CAGCGGUGGCACUGGCAAACCAUGCUGCUCAACCAGCACCUCAACUUUACUGGAACUCCGUCCUGCCAAACACACAAAUGCCAAGAGCUAUCAGUGAACUUCUGCAUCCUGGUUUGUGUUGAAUAAAUAUAGUAUGUUACUGGAGUACGUAUGGCAACAUAUUCACAAAUGUGUCACGUAUUUUCCAAUAUGACGUUGAUAUAUAAUUGCAGACUCCACAAACGAAGAAAAGAGCACAAAUGUCAUGAAUGCUGUUGGGAAUGGAAAGCCAAUUGACCACAAGGGCAACCUGAAAAUACUGUACUACCACAGCUUGCACGACGCCCAUUUUCUUACAAGAGUGAUGAUCGUCCCACUGACAAUCAACUCCAUUAUAAAAACGUAGCUAUUUUCUUCUUGGAGAAGGACAUGCGCCCUGGCACAACAAUGAGCUUCCAAUUCCCUAGAAAUUCAAACACGGCUACUUUCCUGCCACCAGAAAGAGCUCAAUCGAUCCCCUUCUCCUCUAACAAACUACCAGAAAUUUUCAACCAUUUUUCAGUGAAGCCAACAUCUGUGGAAGCCAAAACAAUUAAGCAAACAAUCGAAGAGUGUGAGGCUCCAGGCAUUAAGGGAGAGGAAAUAUAUUGCGCCACAUCUUUAGAAUCAAUGGUUGAUUUUAGCACUUCGAAUUUUCGAACAAGAAACGUUCAAGCAAUCUCGACAGAGGUAUUGGAAAAAGGUGCCACCAUGUCCAUGCACAAGCAUACAACAAUGCCGGGACUGAAGAAGUUGGCAGGUGACAAAGUCGUUGUGUGUCAUAAGCAGAACUAUCCCUAUGCUGUGUUUUACUGCCAUGUAAUAAAACCAACAGCAGCUUAUGUUCUCUCCCUGAAAGGCGAUGAUGGGGUGAAGAUUAAAGCAGUAGCCAUCUGCCAUCUAGACACAUCAGAAUGGAACCCAAAGCAUUUGGCCUUCCAAAUCCUCAAAGUUAAGCCCGGAACAAUUCCCAUCUGCCAUUUCCUUCCCACUGAUCAUAGUGUCUGGGUUCCGAACCACAAAUCUGCAUGAUCAUCACUUAGCACUGUACGUAUAAUAAGCUUGCACCCCUGUAUAAUUAUCUCCCUACUCUACUUAUUUCUGCCUCUUCAUGUGGUGUAAGAUAUAUGAUGAGAUGAAGUUUUUGGGAUUAGUGGUCGGGUUGCCUUAAAAACACAGAUUACAGAAACUGCUUGAACUUAACCCGAUCAUGUUUUCUCUUGUACUCGUAAAGCAUGCUGUUGUGGUUCUACUUAAUUUCGUUCUCCCCAAUGUUUGAGUGUUUAAUUGUUACGUUGGAUAAUGCUUGUAGUUAGAGAAGCCUUCAUUUAUAUCAAAGUCCUCAACUUGUAAAGAUAUCAAUGGUCCUAGUGCUGCCACGUGUAAGAAGAUUGAAGAAUAAAGCUGUUGAGAUAUUGUUAGACCUGUUAUGCAGUUUAGGAAAACUGUUAGUAUUGAUAAGAGAAGGUUAGAGAUGUUAGAGAGGUUAGAAAACACGUGAACAAGGCUUUAACUCAGCUGAUAUAAAGUCUGUAGUUGUGCUCAGUUGAACUUAAUGAGAAAUACAACAAGUCUCUUCUCUAUCUCUGAAAUUCUCUCUGCUCUCUCUGCUUUACUUCUUUUGUCUCUGCUCUACAUUUUUUUUCAAUCUUCCUAUCUUAACAAAACUAUCAAGAAUUAAUGCAUCCAGAAACAUAUAUACCAAGACGCAAAACAACAUAUUUUUCAUGCUCUGUCUGUAACACCAAAGCAAACUUCCUUUAUCACAAAAGGAUCAAAUUCCAGUACUAAUCUAAUCCAUCAUGUAAAGCAUACAAUCUACAAGUGCCUCCCUUAAUUUGUCCAUUGGAUAUAUAUGUCACUUUUUGGUAAUUUGGUAUAGCAGCACCACGUAGUCUUGAAAUAGUAGUGCGGCUAUACCAAAUAUACCAUUUGCCCCUGCAUUUAACAGAAAAGUAAACAAAAUUGACGGUAGAACUAUUUGUCCUAACGAAACUGCAGUUGAAAGACCAUGAGAACGAUUUUGAAAAUUGAGGGACUCAAAUGAAAAUUGGGUCUAAGUUCAAGAACCAAUAAAACGAUUAACCCAUAGAUUUUGGAUCCAGUACCACAUCCCAAAGAGAAAACCACAAGUUUGCAAGCAAGUUUGUCCAUAAUAACACUACGUACAGUAUGGGCAGUGCGCUAGACUCAUCUCACUUUCUCAACCUAUCCUAUAGUUGUCUAAAAGAGUUUCUAAUUUAAUGUACUGAGAUUUACGAAAGAAAUAUCAGAGAAACAAUUUUCAGGCAAUAAAAAAAUGUCUUGGCAAGAAAAUGUACAAUUUGUUACAUAACUUAUUAAAUAUGAACAGUUGAAAGAAAAAAGAAUCUGGAUGAGGGAUUUGCAAAUUCCUAUGGCCCAAUUACCUUUUUUUCUUUGUUGUUUUUUUUUUUUUUUUUUUGGUUCUUUUGAUCCAGUAGCAUAUUCCAAAGAAUGAAAACCACAGGCAUGCAAUGCAAGCUCUUUUCCCACGUUUUCCUCUGUUUUUCUCCUAUCAUGGAAGUGAUUAAAACACACCUCUAAGCUUGUUUUGCGUUUGGUAGCCGAGUGUAAAAGCUCAAUGCAAGAUAGUUUGAGGUAGAAUUUUCUCCUAUUUUAUUAGGACAAUGAUAAUUAAAAAAAAGUGUGAUUCAUUGAAUAUUUGCGGGGUUUUGUUCAGACCUGACAAAGUUCUAAGUCAACACAUCAAAUUCCUUUUUCCAACAUGCAACAAUUGUAUUUGAUUCCCAAUUUUUUCUGAUAUACAUCACAUCAUGCCACUUGCAUCAAAUGAAUUUAAUUGAGUGAGGCAAUGGGAAGUAAUUAAGCUCUGUAUUCGUGGGUGGAGUGUUACUUCUGGAACCCUAAUAAUUCGUCCCUACAGGACUCUAGAACUCUCAAACUUCUUACAAGGACUACUUAACUCUAUAGCUUAAUGCAUAUAGCAUAUAUAUGCAAACACAAUUAGAAAUUCUACAACAGAAGCAAGAUCAAUCUCACUAUGCCUUCUAAACAAACAAACAAAUAAAACAAGCAUAUUAAUUGCUUUAAUCACUCUACUAACAUCAACACAGCACACUUAGUUUACUAACAGAUGAUAUAGAAAGGAAAAAAAAGGACCAAUAGGGAGAAAAUGGUGAACUAAGGAGAGACUAAUACUUCUGGUCCUUAGAAGGCAUAACAGAAAUAAUAGAGCACACUGCUUGAAUGCAAGUCAGUAUUAGGAGCAAAACAGCUGCAAUGAAAGAAAUAGUUGCCCAAGGUGUAUUGAAAUAAUGUUGCCUCAAAUUUGCCUUCCAUUUGUUCCAAGGCUUUCUGCAGUAGCUAUUAAGGCGCUCAGAAAGAAUAGCAAAGUAGAAGCUUUCACGAUACACUGCAAUUCCUUUUCCGAGGUUGUUAAUCAGAGUGCACACCUCAUUGUAGUCACCAAGCAUAUUUUUGACAAUCCCAUCCUUCAGAAGGAACUCCACAUCCUUUUCGGUGUUCACAAACUCAUCCAUGAGUGAAACAUAAUCACUUAUGUAAUUCUUACGGCAAUGGCACUAUUCAAAGGCAAUGAGGUUACGGAGUGUGAGCUCUGUGUAAUCGUGUAUUUUUAGUUUUGGAAUUUCUAGAAUCCCAUCGUUGAAUUGUGUUAACGCAGCUUUCCUUUCCUAGCCUACACGGAAGUCAACUUCACAAUCUCCUCCUAGCAAUUAGUCUUUCCUGCUGUAAAUCAGAUUUCCUACUGUAAAUCGGAUUGUAUUCAUGUCUAUAUUAUUUCCUACUUUAAGUAGAUAUCUUGUACUAGUAUAAAUAGGGACUUUGUGUAAUCUGUUAAAUACAAGGAAAUAUAUACUCUGCAUGGUAUCAGCCUAACCUAGGGUUCUCUCUCUCUCCCUUAUUCGAUCCUCUUCUCCUUUAGGUCCACCUCAUGGCUUUGUCUGAAUCCACCAUCUCCCUCCCAAGCCCCAACUCUUCUAUUUUAUCAAGCUUAUUGACUCCAACUAUCUUCUUUGGCUCCGCCAACUCAAACCCUUUUUAGUCGGCCAUGACCUCUGGAAAUUUAUCGAUGGCAUUCAUAAACAACCUUCUGCCCACACCUCCACCUCUACCACCGCAACACCCACAACCACCACCACUCUUACCCAAAUCAAUCAUGCCCAUGCUCAGUGGUACCAACAAGACCAACUCAUUGUUAGCUACAUCACCAAUACACUCUCUGAGUCCAUUCUCUUUCUCACUGUUGGUUGCACCUCUGCCCGGGAUCUCUGGGAGUGUCUCCAACGCCACUUCUCUCAAUCCAGUAUGGCCAGUGAAUCUACUCUUCGUUUUAAACUCAUGGAUUUGCAAAAAGGCUCUGAACCCACUUAUGCUUACAUUCGUCAUGCUAAGUCCUUUGCCGAUUCACUGGCUGCCAUCAAUGAACCUGUCUCCCCAAAAGAACUUGUCACUACUGUGCUUUGGGGUUUAAGACCCUAUUGCAACAUCCUCGUCACAGCAAUUCUCAAUUUCCCUCUGCUUCCUAACUUUGCUAAUCUUCGUGCUCGUUUGUUAGCAUUUGACGCACAGACUCCUUGAAUCUCUCCUGAUCAAAACACAGCGCAAAUGGCCACCCAAUCCUCUCCUCACACCACCGGUCAUACUUCCUUCCCUUCUCACCGUGGUGGUGGCUCUUCCAACAACAGGCGUGGUGGCCUCGGUGGCUGGCGCAAUAGCGGCCGGGGUGGCUGGCGCAGCUUCUCAUCUUCCUGGAGCAACCCGUGGAAUGGCUUCCAGCAGCUCCAAUGACCUAAUCAACCAUGGCCUCCUUUUGCUCCAAGUUCUGGAUCUCAAAGCAACUGGCCUUCCUUUCAGCCUCCUUGGGCCUAAUCUGCCGCUUCUAUCAAACACUUUGCCCGGCCCAACUCAGCUCCUGGUGUCUUGGGACCCGCUUGGUGCACUACCUGCAAUACCAAUCACAUACUACUACAAUAUGUCCUCAUCGCUACAAUGGCCCAGAAUCCUUUCUUUGCUAGGGCUCAAUUCAUGUAGCCACCUGACUCUACUUGGUACCCUGACACAAGUACCACUCAUCAUAUGAUUGGUAGUCCUUCUAAUCUCCAAAAUCAAUCCUUCUAAUCUCCAAAAUCAACAGCCAUAUCAGGUUCAUAAUUCUGUAUUUCUUGGUAAUGGAGAUUCUCUCCCUAUCUCUCAUACUAGCUCUCUCUUUUGUCUUCCAUCUCUUCGUACUAAUCUUCUUUUUGUUGCCCAUUUUACUUGUGAUAAUUUAGUUUUCUUUGUCUUUACUCUUGACUUUUAUCAAAUCUAUGACUUAUGUACUGGUUCGUUACUCUUUCAGGGCCCUUCUAAAGAUGGUCUUUACCCACUUUCCAUCUCCUCUCACUCAUCCAUAGUCCCCCAUGCCCUUACCACCGUGCACUCUCCUGCUUGGCAUCAUUGCCUUGGCCAUCCAUUCCAUCGUGUGCUCUCUCAUUUAGCGCCAUCUCUAGGCUUUAAAGUUUCUCAUGCUUUCUGUAAGGAUUGUGCACUUAGCAAAUCCACCAAACUGUCAUUUCUUAGUAAUAAAACCUUUGCCCCAUCUCCCUUUUAUUUAAUUCACUCUGAUGUAUGGAUGUCCUCGGUCAUUUCUGUCACUGGUUAUCGCUAUUAUGUCUUGUUUACAGAUGACUUUUCUCGUUACUCCUGGAUCUAUCAUAUGCACCGUAAAAAUGAGGUCUUUUCUCACUUUCAAACCUUUCUUGCUAUGGUUAAAAAUCAAUUUCACACCACUGUACAAAUUCUUUAAAGUGACAAUGGCACUGAAUAUGUUAAUAAUGCUUUCUCUGAUCUUUGCAGUCAACUAGGCAUCCACCAACGUUUCACAUGUCCCCACACUCCCCAACAAAAUGGCCUAGCUGAACAUAAACACAGACACAUUGCCACCAUGAUCUGUCCCCGGUCAUUUAUUCAACCAUCUUGACCUUUUGCUUGAUCAUUUUCCACAAGCAACCGUCCACGUACCCCAAUAAUUUAAAAGGGCUGAUGAUCUUUAAUUUGGUGAAAGCUUCUAUCUACCUACCGUGCUAUAUAUGAGCUAUGCAAUCGUGACCGUGUUACAUGACGUCCCAAUGUCGUAGGGAUAAAAAAAUAAUAGUCAUGGUUUUCUUAUUAAUGUCAAUACAUUCAUAGCAAAGAGCUUGUAGCUCUAGUGGUUAAGAGCAAUUACCCAUGCACUUGAGAUAUUUUGUGUUUAAAUCCCCUCUUCCCCAAUAUUUCUUGUAUAAAAAUAAAAAUAACAAUAAUAAUGACAUUAAUGUUGUAUUCUAUAAAGUGUUGGACAUGUUUUAUACCCCUUUCUUGCAAAUUACAGUUUGCCACGUGUACAAAAAUAAUAGAUAAGUGUUGGACAUCAAGAGCACUUACAUAUAGGUUUAAUAGGUAAGUUUUGAAUAUUUCUGUAUUUAGCUUUAAAUAUUGAAAAUCAACCUAUUAGCAUAUUAAAGAUUUGUCCAUAUUCGACGUACAUUCUCUUAUUUUUCUCUCAUUGAAGUAAAUACAAAACUAAGCACAUAGUGGGAAAGUGCGUCACGAUUAGGGGUGGGUUUAGUCUAGGUUGGUUCAUUUUUGGGCUCAAUUUGAACACCGAACUGUAAGCUUCGGUUUGGCUAUUUUGGAAACCGAAACCAAACCAUAAUUGAUGAAAACCGACCACUUCGAUUACCUUCUGGUCUUCCAACCAGAAGAAAACUCAAAACUUUAACCAUACCAAGUGCAACAGAAUUACACCAGGCUGGAUUCAAGUUUAUGAUGGUUAAAGAUAAAAACUUAUUUGACAUACAAUUUGAGAAUGGAAUCCUCAAAAUUCCACACCUGCGAAUACGGGGUUUAACAGAAAUUUUCUUCCGCAAUCUUAUUGCCUAUGAGCAGUGUGAGCUUCAUGAUCAUUACAUCAACGACUAUGUCUUCAUCAUGGACCGCCUGGUCGACAGUGCCAGGGAUGUGGAAUUGCUUGUGAAGAGUGGAAUUCUUGAAUCUAUGCUACCGGACAGCGAGGCAGCAGGGGAAUUUAUUAAUUCUCUUGACUUGGGGCCUAUUUUAGGCAAGCUUGAAACAAGACUAUUUCAGUUCACCAUGGGCUGGCCUGUCUAUUAUUGUAGCCGCUAUACUAGUUGUGCUCACAUUUAUUCAAACAGUGUGCUCCGUAAUGGCGCUGUAGGUUCUUCAUUUCCUCAAUUUCAUGUUUAGUGGUUGCAGAUUUGUUGCUCAUGUACGUGUUUAUCUAAAGUUAAAUAAGAGUGAUUGACUGGAUUGACUGUUAGUCUGUUAGUUUGUUUUUCUGGGGUUUUUCCCCCCUGUUCGUCAAAAAAAAAAAUAAAAGAGUGAUGGCUUGUGCCUAUGAAAAUUACUUAGGAGUAUGCUCCACAGAGCCAAAAUAAAUAAACUAGGGAAGUGGAGGUUCUUCUGUUUGUAUAUAAAUGAGCAAUUCAAACUCUCAGUGCCAAGGGAGUUACCCUUGAUACAUUUGUUAAAAAUUAUAUAUUUGGUCUUACAUCAAACAAAUAAUUUGAAGGGCUUUUUUGACAACUGCUGACAGCGUUUGGCAGAAAAGUUUAGAAGCGCUUCUACGCUUCUAGAUCAUAAAAGUGCUUUACCAAAAAGCACUUAGAUUUCUUAUGAAAAUUUCAACAUUUUUAUAAUAAAAGCGCUUGCUAGAAGCACUUAUAAGCAGAAGUGCUUCAUAGAGAAGCAGUCCCAAACGAGCUUGAUUUUCAAAUGUGCUGCUUAAGAAGAAAUUUAAUACGUUUUGAAAACAAAAAAAAAUACGAAAUUUAAUACGUUUGUUUUACAAAUUGUAUUAAUUGUUAUCAAUAAUACUUGUGCACACCCACAACAUACUUCUUUCUUUCUUUAUUUUCCUUCAGUACAGUUCUGCCUUUCUUUAAUUAUUUUUAACGAAUGCAAAGAGUUUGUCACAAAAUCAAGGAUUGAAAAAAAAAGAGAGUAAAUUAUGUGCUAGAGAAACUUUCCUGCAGAAAUUGAAGAACAACUCUAGUUUCUCUCUUUCGCCUUGUACUCCCGCACUGAGGUUAGUAUUGUUAUAAUGUGCAGAUUAUACGGUCACUCUUGUAUAAUGGCGAGAAGGCUCUAAUUAUAUUUUUGAACCUCUUUGACAGGACCCGCCCCGAAUUUCCCGAAACCCAAGACGAAUUCUGUGGAAAUUCCCUACAUCACCCCGAUGUUGGGCCCACUUCUAAAACUAUAUCAUUUUUCCUAAAAAGGAAUAAGGGCACGAGACUUUCUACCGAAAUUUCGGCAGAGUCUCUCCUGUAAAUUGAACAUUUCCCAAAAUUUCAACCUGCAUAAAACACAUUUUAUAUUACCCAACUGGCAGCAUGCACAAAAUAAUAACAUGCAAUUCACAUAAACGGCCUCUGGCCCUCCGGUAAUUCAGAGCAAUGCAAACUAGCAACUCUAAACCUAAUAAAACAACAUAAGUAACAUUUAGCCAGCGGCUGCACCCAGGCACUACCCUAGGCUACCUACGUACCCUUACUAAGGGAUCAAGCCACACGUAGUUCUUUCAUACAAAAUUUCCAAAUCCAUCAACAUGCAAUCAAUUACAGAAUCCCAAACAAAAUCUUUCUCAAACAUCAUUAGUUCCCAACUCAGUAUAAUAAUCCUUAAUUCAUCUCUGUAAUAAUCACAAUAUCUCCCCAUACGCCGGAACUACCAACACCACGUAUGGAGCCUGCCUGUACGCCAGAUAACCAACGACACGUGGGACCUCAUCAUCAUAUCACAUAAUCUCCCCAUACGCCGAAACUACCAACACCACGUAUGGGGUCUGUCAACACGCCGGAUAACCUACGACGUGUGACCUCAACAUCAAAUCACAAUAUCUCCCCAUACACCGGAACUACCUACGCCACGUAUGGGGUCUGUCCACAUGCCGGAUAACCUACGACACGUGGGACCUCAUCAUCAUAUCACAUAAUAUAUUAACGAUCAAGAAAUAUCACUACGGUCAUUUAAUCCUCCUGGGAAGGUAAAACUAUCUCAGGAGACUCACGGUCAACCAAGGGUCAAACUACCUCAUACUUGGACAAACGAGCCCACGGAGCCCACAACCUCCGUUUUACUAUCCAAGAGUUCCUAUAGGUUCUACAAGGUUUAGGAUACACGGCUUGCAAGUUUGGUCAAGAUCAGACGGUCGGAUCGCUCACGAUAGGACGGUUACUGCAAACCUAGCCCUAGGGUUGGCAUUUUCGGAGUAUCCGAAACUCCGUUUUACGAUCUGUCGAAUCAUAGACGAUCCUAAGGAUUUGCAGACUAACUAUAAUAAAUUCAAGACCAUCCAACGGUCUAAACCUAUCGAACCCGGAUAACGCGCAAUAGGCAAUAUCCAAAUUGAAAUCCGAGCACACCUACGCACUCGUGAGGACUAGGAGAUUACAUCGGGACAUAGUGCCCUUUUUCUACAGUGCCCAUGAGCCGCCGCACGCACCAGCAACGCGUGGGUGCCCAAAGCGAUUAUGCAUCGCCAAAAAAUCUCAAAACCACGGCUCAAGACUCCUACCCUAGGUAUAACACCCUAUUUGGAACCACUUUUGUUCUUGGACCUACCCCAAAAACUGAUCAGAAGUGGCCGGAAUGGCUGAAAUGUAAUUCAAAAAUCAAGCUACCAACGCUCAAAAUCGAUGCAAUCCUACCCAACCAUCAACUAGAUUAUGAAGAAUGGAUAAAUUUCCAUACCUUGAUCGCCAACAAUGGCGGCCGGAGGAGAGAGAUCUGAUCCGGCGAAGUUCGAGUGAAAACGGCCAAAAAUCAUCUUUUUCAGGCGGCUGGAGGGCGACCGAUGUCAGGGAAGGGCAGGGUCGUGACGCUAAGGCUGAGCCUGUCCUUUUGGCACCGGUCCCUUCCGCAGCCGUGUCCGGUGGCUGGAGUUUCGAAGAGAGAGAGAGAGAGAGAGAGAGAGAGAGAGAGAGAAAUCUGAUUUUUAUCAAACCUUUUUGCCAAAAUUACGGUUAUGCCACUGAGGGUAUUUUGAUAGUAUCUCUCUCGUUACAACUUCGAUUCGAGCCCACCACGUGUGUACGGACUCAUCUAACUGUGUUGUACGCAACGGUAUAGUCGAAAUUCCCAAAUUAUUUCCUUGUCAAAAAGUCAACUUUAAACAUUAUAAAAUAUUUUAGGGAAAAAAUGGUAUUUUCUCUCAAUAAAUUAGUAACUAAUUUAUUUAGGACUGGGUCAUUAUACUCUUUUUCGCUUCAAUGGAUGGGAAAAAAUUUUAUGUAAUAUCCCACAUCGACCAACGAAGAGGGGGCGAUGUGUCUUAUAUGUACAUGCCCGCCUCCAUCUAGCAUAAGGCCUUUUGGAAGCUCACUGGCUUCAGAGUCAUGGGAACUCCGAAGUUAAGCGAGUUGGGGGCUAGAGCAAUCCCAGGAUGAGUAACCCACUGGGAAGUUGCUCGUGAGCUUCGAGAAACAAAACCGUGAGGGCAGAGAGAGGGGCCCAAAGCGGACAAUAAGGCCUCGUGCUAGAUGGAGGCGGGCAUGUACAUAUAAGGCACAUCACUCUCUCUCCGUUGGUCGAUGUGGAAUGUUAGAAUGGAAUUGUUACCUUUGGUGUGGAGGUGUUCUAUCAUUUGAGCAAGAAAUUCCCACAUAUUCUUCAACUAUUUUUCAAGCAUGCAUAUUCCUCCCUAUCAAUCUUUGGUUUCUUCCUUUACUGUGCAUAGUAAGGAUCCAGUCAGGGACGGACCGUCGCUAUGACUAUCCUGGGCUAUAGCCCAGGCAAAUUAUUUUUUUUUCUAGUCUAAAAUAGCAAUCCCACCGCUUGCUGUAGUACUUGUUCAGUUCGUCACAAACAUGAGCAUAAUAGAAGUUAUCAACAUCUAUAUAGGAACCCCAAUGAAAAGGCUGUUAACUAAUAAUGAAGUUAACCCGUCAAUUUUUCCGCAUAUCAGAUAUCUCUCAGAAUAUGCGAUUCCAUAUUCAAUAAGCCACUCCACAUGCCCUGAGGUUUUCAUCAAACCACCCAUUAAGGAAACAUACUGACUCAUGUAAUUAUCAUUACUCAUCGGGUAAUGCAAUUGUUCAAAGGCAAGGACAUUUCUCAUUAUUUAUGUAGCGAACCCCAAUGGAAAUGGUGGGAUCUUCAGAACCCCAUCGGUGCUACUGAAUUGUAUGUCAAAUAUGUUUUCACCUUGUCACGCCUCAAACUUGACUCCAGCGUGCUGUAAUUCUGUCAAGCUGGGUAUGGAUGAUGGGAGUUUGAUGCAGGAGCAUAGGGGUGGAUCAAGAUAGAUAUUUACUAUUUAAUUAGUUAUUUCAUGAUAUAUUGUUAUUUUCUUAUUUAGGUAGUUUUAUGAUAUCUUUUAUUAUUUAUGUGUGAUUUUAUAAUUAAUUAGUAUACUUUUGGACCAAGUAGCCUUGGUGCUCAAGUCUUGUAAAGCCUAUAAAUAAGGCUAAUGUAAUAGUUGUAGAAUAGAUGUCGAUGAUUAAUAAAAUCGUUUAUUUGUGGCAUGGAUUUGCUACGAUAUAUGUGAGUUUGCACUAGCCCUAGAUUUCAGUGCUCGUGUAUGUGGUUGGUGACCUGUGUCCGGAUCCCGAUCCCCAUCAAUUGGUAUCAGAGCUAUGGCUCAAGAUCUGCUAUAUCGGGGAGGUUUUUGGAUGGAGGGUCGUUUUAACAACUACAACGACAUGGAGGAAAUUAGGAGGAUGCUACGGCAACUUAUGGAACACAUUGCUCGCAUUGAAGCUCGAACCCAGAUAGGUAAGAGUUCUGACGGGGAGGGAUGUGUGAACCCUUAUCUGAACCGAGUAGCUCGCAUCGACACUCUAAGCCGUGAGAGUCUCGACGGGGAGUACGAGGGAGAUAGCCCUUUUCAUUAUUGUGCUCCGCUGUGUGAGUCAAGUGAAGAGGGGCACGGUUAUUCUCAUUGUGUCUUUGAAGGUAUAAAUGAAUUUAGUAAUUUUGGUGCAUCUUGUUAUUCAUCAAAGUUAUUAAAUUUGGAUUUACCUCCAUUAUUUGAUCCUUGCAAUUGUGAAAAUUGCAAUAAAAAUUGUUUGGGUGUUCAAAGCAAUUUUGAUAAGCAAUUUAUUGACCAGAACAGUGAAGAGAUGAGAAUUGAGAAAACUUUCGAAGAUAUUAUUGAUUUUAUGGGCAUUAAUAUUUUCACUUGGAAGGUUGCCAAAAAUCUGGUUGAUUUUGUCAAUCGGUUGAAGAUUCUAGAGAGAAACAUUUGCAUUGCUAGAGGGAGUAAGAAGUCAAGAAUAACGAAAUAUUCCAAAUAUCUUUUUAUUUGGAAAGGAAGGUUUCAAUUGGAUGCUAAAAGAUCCAAAAUUAAUAUGCAGCAAUUGAAGAUUCUACUCGGAUUUUCCUUAAUCAAAGGCUUGAAUUCGAGGACGAAUUCUUUCCAACUAUGGGAGUCUGAUGCAGGAGCAUAGGGGUGGAUCAAGAUAGAUAUUUACUAUUUAAUUUGUUAUUUCAUGAUAUAUUGUUAUUUUCUUAUUUAGGUAGUUUUAUGAUAUCUUUUAUUAUUUAUGUGUGAUUUUAUAAUUAAUUAGUUUACUUUUGGACCAAGUAGCCUUGGUGCUCAAGUCUUGUAAAGCCUAUAAAUAAGGCUAAUGUAAUAGUUGUAGAAUAGAUGUCGAUGAUUAAUAAAAUCGUUUAUUUGUGGCAUGGAUUUGCUACAAUAUAUGUGAGUUUGCACUAACCCUUGAUUUCGGUGCUCGUGUAUGUGGUUGGUGACCUGUGUCCGGAUCCCGAUCCCCAUCAGAGUUCCCCUCCAGCUUUUGAUUCCAACGGUUGAUAGAGUUUAAAUAUUUUCCUGAAAAGAUCAAUAAUAUGUGCCACUGAUCUAAAAGUCUCCAAAUUGUCUUCCAAUUUGUCAACAGGCAAUAGAUGUUCGAAGAAACUGAAAGAAAUACAAAUUAUUGAAAGCCCCUCAGUAAUGCUGUUAUUGUCAGCAUUAGCAGGGAGUGUAAUUUUCUGUGGGUCGAAAAGAUCCUCGAGAAUGAAGAAUGGCAACUGAUUUUCAAGCAACCACGUAUCUGUCCAUGCAUCUUGCAACAUACCUGGUUUGUCAAAUAUGCGGUCAUUUUCGUCCCAAAAUUUGAAGUAGUCCUUCAAUAAGGGCUCAAUAACGAAGGCGGCGCCCACUAGAAUGAUUGUUACAAAUUCAUCACUGCUAAACUUGAUGGGUUCUCCAUAACAACGUCUCAAUCUUGCUUCGUGGUCCUUUAUUUUCUUAAUAUAAUCCUCCAAACUCACAUUGGUCCGACCUAUAAAAUCUUGCAGGUAUCUCUGUUUGUUCUCUUCCAAUACGACAUUCAAGCCUUCCUUUCCAUGGUGAAGUGGACCUAUAGAGACCGACUGCCUGAGGUGUGCAGAGCUUUUCAUUCACACAUACGUAGAUAAAAUGUCUGGGGGCUCAGAGAGUGAUGAAUGUGCAACAGCUAAUGGGAGGGUUUAUAUUCCUGAAGUAAGAAAUGAGGAAACACCAGCAGUUGGGAUGAAGUUUGACUCGCUUGACCUCGUUUACAAUUUCUAUAAUAGAUAUGCAUUCUUGGCUGGCUUUGGUAUUCGACUUCAUUCUAGCUUUUGGGGGAAAAAUAAGAAAGAGAUUUUGAGGAAAGAAUUUGUAUGUUGCAAACAAGGUGCAUACAAGAAGGAUGAAACUCGGGAGAGAAAAAGACAACGGGGAAUAAGUAGAUGCAAUUGCAAAGCAAAGAUUGUGGUUGUGAAGACAAAUGGGAGCAAGAAGUAUACCAUUUCUCUUUUUGCAGAGGGACACAAUCAUAAGAUGACACCCUCAGAAAGAAUGCAUUUAUUGAGAUCACACCGUCAUAUUUCAGAUUCUACAAAAGUACUCACAAAACAGUUGGGUUCAGUUAAUAUUCCCAUUCAUCAGAAGGUAAGUAUAUUCGAGGUGCAAUCCGGAGGAAUGGAUAAAAUCGGUUUUAUCAAAAAAGAUAUCUACAAUCUUGAAUGUAGUGUGAAUGGGAAGCUGAGGAACCACGAUGUUGAACUAGUGACCGAGUAUUUUAUGGCUGAACAGAAAAAAAAUGAGGCUUUUUAUUUCAAGAUUGAGGGAGAUGGGCAUGACAGGUUUAGUCGAUGUUUUUGGGCAGAUGCAACUUCUAGACGGGCGUAUGGGUUUUAUGGAGAUGUUGUUGUAUUCGAUACCACAUUCAACACGAAUCGAUACGACUUGACAUUUGCACCAAUGUUGGGAGUUAAUAACCAUGGUCAGACAAUUGUCUUAGCAUGCGCAUUUUUGAGCAAGGAAACGACUGAGUCGUUUGUUUGGAUGUUUGAGGAGUUUAAGAAAGCCAUGCCAGGUGGGGAACCUAAAACGAUCAUUACAGAUCAAGAUGCGGCAAUGGCCAUAGCGAUUUCAAUAGCCUUCCCGAGUACAUUUCAUCGACUUUGCAUAUGGCACAUCACAUCAAAGUUCUCUGUUAAGUUACCACGUGACGCUUAUAAGGAGUAUUGGCCUGAAUUUCAGAAAGCCAUAUGGGAUACUGACAAUAAGGAUGAGUUUGAUGCAAAAUGGAAUAUUGUGGUUAUAAAGGCUGGUUUGACUGACCAUCCAUGGCUAAGUUCAAUGUUUGAUUUAAGGGAAUCUUGGGUUCCAGCCUACGCACGACAAUUUUUUGCCGCUGGAAUGUCAAGCAGCCAAAGAGCGGAAGGUUCUCAUGGUUUUUUCAAGCAAUACAUAUCAAGGAGAAAUUCGUUGAUGGAUUUCAUAAUACGAUUUGAGAGGGCAUUUUCUCAUCAACGUGAAAAAGAGUUAGUUGCUGAUCACGUAGAUGCAUUUGAAGUGGCUCAAUGUCUUCUACCGAUGCCAAUGAACAAACAAAUGGCUACCUUGUACACAAGGACAAUGUUUCAAAAGUUUGAGCAAGAACUAAUACAAAGUACAGCAUGUUUCCUAGAGCUCAAAACAGAGGAUGCAUGUAAAGUUGUGUUCAACGUGAGCGAAAGGAAAAAUUGGGAAACAAGAGUGGCAGAAGUCGUAUAUGUCAAAGAUUCUGACCACGCAUCGUGUAGCUGCAAAAGAUUUGAAUUUGUUGGAAUUAUUUGCAAGCACAUCCUAGCAUUGUUCAGAAGGGACCAGAUUGAAUAUAUGCCCGAUAAAUAUAUUUUGAAGAGGUGGAAGAAAACUGCGAAAUGUGGAUUGGUGUCAGAUGCAAAUGGCAACGAAAUUAAAGACUGUGCAGAUCCUGGCCUUCUAAUAAAGCGGAGUACAAUGUCUCGACUUGCUUCAAAUGUGGUUGAGGAUGCAUUAAUGAGUGAAGAAGGAUGUGAGCUACUGUCAGAGACUCUAAAAAGUUUGCAGGUGAAGUUGAAGUUGCUGAAGGAUGGACCAAGUAAUAACGAAGUUGGAGGGUCCAGCUCUCAAACACAAUAUAUGAAAGACCCUAAGAGAGUGAGGUGCAAAGGAAGGUCGAAAGGAAUAACGGGAGCAAAGGAAAAGGCAAUGAAGCGAGGGAUUAGACACUGUCGGGAGUGUGGACACAUUGGUCAUGAUAGAAGACAAUGCCCAGCCUUGAACACACCGUAAGAUGCUACCACUAUUUGUAAUAAUAUCUAAAAUAUGAAAAGGUAAAAUUUUUAUGUGCUUGUGUUUGAUGUUUAUGCAGGACAUCACCGUCGAACAAUGACAAAUCAACUCCAAUACAUCGUAGUGACCCAUUAUUCGACGAUUUUGACAAGAUGCACAGACCAACUGAAUGAUUGAUAUUUGUAUUAGACGAAAUGUGGUUGUUAUGAAGAUUAAUGAUCAAGUGAAGUUUUAUAGAUUCAGUUUUUGAAUGUUAUUGUGUUUUUGUUCAUGUCCACCGAUGAGCUCUUACUAUGUCCACUGGUAAUUGAAAUGAAAAUUUUCUUGGUUUCAUUCUUCCAAGACAUUUGGAGACAUGUUAAUUUUACGUCUUCUCCCUAUUUAUAAAUUUUCAUAGACAUUUGAUCAAGUUUGAAAUUUGUAGUUAUGUGAAGAAGCAAUGACUCUUACCAUGUAAAAUGGGCAGUUUAGGGUGAAAUUUGUUUUAACAGAGAUUCAUUUUUCAAUUCCUCAGGGUAAUGCAGCAAUUACAGCAGCCAGCUGUUGUUUCCAUUACCAGUAAUCAUUUCCAGCAGCAGCCACUUUUUCCGACUGGUUAUUAGGGGCACGAUUUUGUACACUUUUGUAAGUGAAGGAUACUCGAAGCACUUUGUUGGAACAGAGCAAAUAGAAACCAGCGGGUAAAAAAAAAACAUAACAUUGCAGCUAAUUACAUUUCGAUACAUAGGUGAAAAAUAUUAAAGGGUACACUAACUUACAUAAAUACUCAUAAUUCCACACACAAAAGAACAUUUGAUUGCAAAACAUAUUAUGUGCUUCCUCAUAGCAAUACCACGAUCUCCCCAACCAACUGAACAACGGUAGCCACAAUCACUGGGUCGUACUCGUCAGCUUCUUCUUAGCAGGUCUCACAUGCUUAUGGCCACUCAUAUCCCUAGUGAUAUACACGAAAUAAAUCUUCAGCAAUAUUUGGAAUUUUAUUAUAUAUAAAUAAACCAUAAACCAUUCAGUAAACAAUGUAUAGCACAUGUUAUGUAACUUAUGACUCACGUGUCAGUUUUUUUUUUAACACAUUAGUACUCCAGCUCUUUAAUGUAAAUGGACAUGAUAAGGAGCAUUUACUGAUUCCCGGCUUUCUAUGAUAUUGACUGCUUCUUGAAUAAUAUUUCCAUAUUUGCAAAAUAUAAUGUUAGACAUUAUAACACAUGAUGACUUGCAAUACAUAGUCCCAAUAAUUAUAUAUCAAGCAAAUGAAACUGAUAUUUGUGUUAUUUUAAGUUAGAUAAUGACAUUAAGGGAGUAUAUGUGCAAUACCACGGUCACCCUCAACCAACUGAACAGCGGUAGCCGCAAUCACUUAGUCGUAUCGGUCGGCUUCUUCCGAGCAGCUUUGACGUGCUUAUGCUCAUUCAUGUCACCCCCAUCGUCUAGUAUCUCUCUCACAGCAUCAGGGGACACAUAGUUCCAAUCAUAACUUGUAUGAGUAGUUGCCGCAAAUGCUCGGAAUUUGUCGAAUCCUUCGUUGAAUGCCAACUCCAGUUCAGUAUGGUGCUCUUCGCAUCGCAUAUGGUUCAUCAAACAACCUUUGAUUUCAUCAUUCAUUACUGUAUCCAACUCCUCAGCUUUCAGCUUCCUGCUAUGACUCAGCUUCAAGUACUUGUUCUUUUGGGAUAACGCUUUGUUCACCCUAAUGUUAAGAUCAGCCAAAAUUGCCUCGUCUUCAACACAUUUCUCGUGCCAUGAAUUGAUCAGUCUGGAAUUAUAAUCCAGCUUGCCACUGACUGCAUGUAUUGCCUGUAAUGGAUCAUCGGAGUCCCCCUCACUCCCAAAUGAUGUUGAAAAAGGAAGGGGUCGGCGAGUACAAUGUGGAAAUAGAACCUGCCACUCCAAUUUGUCAUCUUCGAUUGUGUUGUUGGCGCCUGAAGAGGUUGACAUGCUUGAAUAAUCCUCUUUGUUUUGGGAGGAUGAGGAUUGCAUAUGCAAUUUCGUUUGAGAAAGGGAACAUAGGUUUAUAGACCAACAUACCAAAGCUUGUGUGUAGUCAACAUAUGUACUUUUUGGCGGGAAUUUUUUAAAAAUAGGUGUUAGGUUUUGCUUUUCAAGCAUGUCAACCUCACACUCUCCUGACACCACUGCUAGUGGUUGAAACAAAGUCAAUGGAAGUGACAUCUACUUAGUUAACUCAACCAAACUAGUUAGGAUUAAACUUAGAUUGUAUCAGACCAAAAAAUAAUUUCUACUUUGUCAACCAAAUAUUUUUUGGCGGGAACCCUUUUCUUGGUAUUACUAUCACCCCUUUCAUAUAAAAUCUCCUUCCACACAAAACUCACUCCUCCACCGAAUCUGUCUCCAUCUACCGAUACUCUCUCAAGCAAACAAACUCAUUCCCCCCAAAGAAUGAGCAUAAGCACAACCAAGUUUGAUGUGAGCAUAAUAAACACCCCUCCAAACAAAGACCGGCUUCGACACGCAAGUGAGUCACCGGACAAGCAAUGUCACAUUGCUAGACAGAAUGACCAUUUUGUUGGAAGUUUUGAGUCUGAAAGAGUUGUUGCUUUUUGGAAGGAGAGGCAUCUUCAACUUGGUGAUGAAAUCCAAAGGGCAAGGGCACGUUUGGAAUUUGUGGAAGGCCAAAUUGAAGAUGACAAAAGGCAGGCCAAUCUGGAUAGGGCGAAGUUGUAGCGCAUGAAGCGUAGACACAAACGACUUCGGAGUGUAGCUGUUCAAAAAUACAAGAACUCAUCUAAUGUAGUGGAGUCAAAGAAGCGUGUGAUGCAAGCUGGAUUCGACUACUUCCGAUCCUAUGCAAAACUCGUCGUACCCGGGUUUGAUUGGUCAUCUAUUACCGUUUCCGACGUCACCAAAUAUACUCAGCAAGGGAAGUAACCAUUUUGGUUCUCGUGUUUUAGCAGAGGCAAAUAAGUGGAAUUGGAAUUUUGGUUACACUCUGCUUCAAAGCUAUUUUGAUGCUAACUACUAUGGAAGAUUUAAACCUUAAUAUUUUGAUGUCUUUAAUUACGAAAACAGAAGAUGCAAAGAGCUCAUCUACUUCAGCCAUAUGUUGCUGCCAUGUCCAUUUGUUUUUGAUCACUUAUCAGAUUUGGACAUGGUUGCAUCAUAUGCAAUGUUGCCUUUAUUUAUUAUAUGUUAGGACAAGGUUUAUGGAAAAGCUUUUGUGAGUGCGUUUGUGACAAGGUUAUGGAAUUAUUAUGUACACUUUAUAUAUUGUUUUUUGUACUGGUUCAUUUCCUACUAUUUCUUGCUUUCUUUAUAUUUUAUGUUUGUGGAAUCCCUCUCAAAGUUAACAUAUACUGUGAAAAAAAUAUUAUGCAACUGAUUAUAUAAUCACUCAUAUAGACUAGGACAAAUAUUCACUAAGGGUUUUAAACUUGCUUCACUUGUGUGAUGUUAUUGACAAAAAGUAUGGCAUUAUUUAUGUGAUUUGACAUGAUUGAAAAUAUAUUACUGAUUCCCAAUGCGGCGUCAUAUGGACAACGUAUUGAAUACCUGUGACGUGUUAAUAACUCAAGGUGCAGUUGCAUGUGGACAACUUCUUGAAUACCUCUGACGUGUUGAAAACUCUAGGUGCAGUUGCAUGUGGACAACUUAUUGAAUACGAACUGACGUCUUCAAAGCUCUAGGCGUAGUUGCAAUGAUGGCUUCAAAGCAUGUGCAAUUAUUUUUUAUGUACAUUAUUAUAACAAAACAUAUUAUUGUAUAUAGUGAAACUAAAUAUUGUAUUAUUAGAAAUUAUAUUUCGAAUAUUAUCCGAAAUAUACGUGUUAACGUGAAUUUGGGUUAAGAGGAAAGUGAGUUAUGUACAAAUAAUUUUCAUUUUCUCAUUUUCCGGGCAUUUUUUGGAUUUUCGUAGAAUUUAUUACCUAUGUCCACAGAUUGUUGCACUAAAAAAGCCAAAAUAAUAGCAAGAGGACACCUGGAGCGAUCUCAGCCCGUCACUGAUGACUACUUGCACAAGUGUACGUCAGUCAACAUGGCCACACCCUCCCAUUUUACCCUAAAUUAUUAUUUUAUUACUUUUCCUUACAAAAAUCAGAACUAAUUACACACAAAAUAAAAAAAUUAUCCGAAAAUUGCUACGAACUCAUUGACACUCCAUCUCCGUUGCUGAAUUCUCCGAUUCAUUGUUACGUAUUUGUAAAAUUAAUUCCCAACAUUAACGGGAGAUGCUUGUUGAAGUAGGUUAUUCAAGUUGAAGUUAACAAACAUCAAUACUUAGGGUUAAGAGGAAAGUGAGUUAUGUAACACAAUUUGGAUUAUUUCAUUGCGAGACGAAUGAUUUAUAGGUUCUCCUAGUUUUAUGACGUCACAAGUAGGCCGGAGUAAUUUUUGGGGCAUUUUUACGAUUUUCCUACUAUUUUUUACCUAGUUUCAAAGAUUUUUGAACAAAAGAAUCCAAAAUGUAAAAGAAGAUGACACCUGGCGCGAUCUCAGCCCGUCACUUUUCACUACUUGCACAAGUGUACGUCAGUCAACAUGGCCACAUCCUCUCAUUUUACCCUAAAUUAUUAUUUUAUUACGUUUUGUCUUGGAAAAUUCAUAACUAAAUACACAAAAAUUCAAAAUUAUUUCUGAAAAUUGCUACGAACUCAUUGACACUCCAUCUCCGUUGCUGAAUUCUCCGAUUCAUUGUUACGCAUUUUUAAAAUUAAUUCCCAACAUUAACGGGAGAUGCUUGUUGAAGUAGGUUAUUCAAGUUGAAGUUAACAAACAUCAAUACUUAGGGUUAAGAGGAAAGUGAGUUAUGUAACACAAUUUGGAUUAUUUCAUUGUGAGACGAAUGAUUUAUAGGUUCUCCUAGUUUUAUGACGUCACAAGUAGGCCGGAGUAAUUUUUGGGCCAUUUUUACGAUUUUCCUACUAUUUAUUACCUAGUUUCAAAGAUUUUUGAACAAAAGAAUCCAAAAUUAACAAGAAUAUGACACCUGGCGCGAUCUCAGCCAGUCACUUUUGACUACUUGCACAAGUGUACGUUACCGAACAUGGCCACAUCCUCCCAUUUUACCCUAAAUUAUUAUUUUAUUACCUUUUUUCUUGGAAAAUUCAUAACUAAAUACACAAAAAUUAGAAAAACGAUCCGAAAAUUUCUACGAACUUAUUGCGAUUUCAUCUUCCUACUGCAUUCCCUGUUUAAUGGUUAUGCUACAUUAGUAUUUUAUUAUUAUUUAUCCACAAUUAUUAUAAUUAUUAUGAUAUUACUUUUUAGGCUGUCCAUUUGUUAAUUAUACCACAUCCAACUUGUUGAAAACAAUUUUAUUUUCCGUGCGAAUAGGCCAUUUGUAGUGCUUAUCGGUUUCUCUGUUCUUCAAUUUGUUAAUUUUUUUAUUUUUUAGGUUGAAGGGAUGUUUUGAAACAUAAUAUGGAAAUAUACAAGUCAUCCAUUGUACUCCUUCCACACAAAAAAAUAGUCUACGUCAUUCACUGUUCAACACCCUAGGUUAAGACACGUGUAACCAAAUCCGUUCGGAUAUGCUAAGUGGGAAAAUGUCAUUCCCAAGCACUGGUGAAAAGACACUUAUUUACUCCAUGCAUGACUUUUGGUUUACCAAAUAUGAAGAUUGGGGUCGGUGAGCAAAAUAUCUGUGUCAGUAAAAUGUCAUUCCUAGCCAUCUAUGAUGUAAGUAAUAAUUCCGCUAUAUAAUAAAUAUUAUACAUUUAUAUAUAAAACGGUUUAUGACAAAAUACCAACAUUUGAACAACAUUUAAACUGAGAUAGGUAUAACGUAGCCAGCCAACCUAGAAGUGAAGAGAAGCAAGUCCACAAUGCAUCAAAACUGUAAAUUCGUACUAAAACUAAUGCAAAAAUACGUGAUUCCCUCGCACAACUUACUCACGCAGGAUUUUGCACCAAAAAAUACUCUCACGGUGCCAUUUGCAUCGGUUGCAGCAAGUCCAAAACGCAGGAUUUAUCUUGUCUUCACUAGGCCACCCUGGAAUAACAAAAUACCAUUCAUUGUUGUUACAAGCGCUGCACCGAUUGAACUUAAUCUUCCCAUAGUCAAACAUAUCUACGAUAUGUCUUGCAACAAAUGCUCCGCGACAUCUUCCUGUUAAAGCAUCCCUGGUUCCUUUCAUAUCAAUGUUGUUACGUUGAUUCAAAGAACACAAGAAUUGUAAUGCAUCCUCUUUUGACUGACCAAUUCCGGACAUACCAAGUAGUCCAACUACAUAUGCCGCUUCCAUAUGGCCUGCCGUGGCUGCAAUGCGCAUCCCAUACAACGCUUCCACCUUACCGUCUGUGAAAAAACCUUCGAAUGCUUCUCUAAAUAUGGACUCAGGGUUAUCGCAAGCCCUGCAUUGUUGCAAGAAAUGCUGGACUGCAGGUUUGGCACGGUAGCAGAUAGGAUGGUGUGGGUACUUUGCCAUUGAAAUGGUGUUCCACACUUGUGGACUGUUUGCCAAAAUGUUGAACAAUCGGCACACACAUGCCAUACGGAAGAGAUCUUCCGAUGAUUCGGUUGCCACGUAUAACAUCACUUGAAACCAAGCGGACUCCGGGAUAAAGGCUUCGGGCAUAUCGAAAUGGAGAUGCUUCCUUCUCUUUCCUCCGACUGUAGUGAAGUGUUUCGAAUUCAUUGAAAAGUUUUUGGAAUGGAACGAUUUGAGGAGUGGCAGAGGGGAUAAAUGAUAAUAUUUGGGGUACACGUUCUACUUCCGAGCCUCUGUUUAUAGUGUUUUGAAAAGGUGUUUCCAGUUGGGGUUUUUCCAAGUUGACCCUUUUGAAAGAAACUGAAUCCAAGUGAAUUAAAACUUAAGACAAAAGAAGGGAAAACGUCAUAACGGUGCAUACAGAGUCAGACAGUUAAAAAGUUAAUUAAAUGGCUAUUUGCAUAGCCAUUUUUGGGUUUAUCCCACUAUCAAAUUCAUUGAUACAAAUGUGAUGGAUUACUGACUAGUGACAGAAGGUCCCAUCAUAUACUUUUUCAUUUUCGCACACCCAACUAUCCCUAGUAAUGUUAUUAAAAUGGAACCAAUAAUGACGGAUUCUUAUCCAACUAGUUGCCUUAAUGAAAUAUAAAUAAAUUAAUAAAAUUGAAGCAGUGUCCCGUCAUUAGUCAGAAAAUAUAUUUGGUAGUGAAGUAGUUUCUAUUGCUUUUCGGGCUAAAAGAUGUCACAAUGCUGACGGUACAGGUGUCGACAUCGUGACCAACCCACCAAAUGAUCCCAAAAAAAAGUAAUAUAACUCGAUUUGGGCAGAGAUGAGAGAGAGCUGAGUGACAAGUUUAGGGUUAUGAGUGAAGGGGUAUGAAUGACAACUAUGAGUGAGAAGGUAUGAGUCCGAAGAGGUUUCAGUGAGAAGAUUUGAGUGAGAAGAGGUACAACUGAGAAGAUUCAACAUGUCUUCGUCUUCAUCUCCUGCUCAAACAAAGAGGUGUCAGUAUUGUGGAGCUACAAUGGUGCUUCGGGUUUCAAAAUCUGAAAAAAAAUCGAGGGAAGCCAUUCUGGAAGUGUCUAACCUCCUAUGUAAGUUUUAAUUUAAAGAAUAUGUAUGUGGGUGAAAAAAAACCUAUGUCUAACUCUGACAGAAUUAUAUUCCAUAUAUGAUGCCUGCAAUUAGGGAGCCACCAGUUGCAAUGGAUUCGAAUGGGUUGAUGUAACCUCCGCUGAAGCAGAACAUCAAGAUGACACGUAUGAUGUUAGAGUGCUGAACAUGCUGAAGUCCAUUAAGGACUUGGUAUUAGUUUUAUUAGUUGUAUUAAUUGUCAUUUUAUUUGUUCUUUUAAUGAUCAUUUAACUGCACGGUUUAAAAGAUUGUGAAAGUUCUCUCGCACAAGACAUAUUGCACGCACCACCAAUGAGACCCUAAACCCAUUUUGUAAUAUUUGGUAACUGCAUGUAUUUCGCAUGUUAUUGAAUGUUUAUUGAAGGUUUAUUGAUAGUUUGCUGCAUGUAUAUGGAAUAUCAUUGCCCCAAAAUUGGAUGUUUAUUGGGGCCACAAGUAUCACUCAAGUAAGAAUGAAGGGGAGAAACGGACCUUAUUCUUUCUUAUAGUAGGAAGAACAACUGUUAAGUUUAAUAUCCUAUUCAAUACGACUUCCCUAUGGUUGGUGUACUUGGGGACUGAAGUAUAUUGCAUCAUUAUUGUGGGCAAGGGCAUGUCUAUUGUGUGUGUUAAGGGAGUAUUGUGUGGGCAAGGGCAUGUCUACUGUGUGUAUAUUGCAUGUCUACUGUGUGUAUAUUGCAUAUCUAUUCUCUGUAUAUGGCAGGCCAAGUUUGUGUAUAUUGUUUGUCUGUUGUGUGUGUAUUGCUUGUCGGUGCGUUUGUGAAUUGUGGUUCAUUUUGUGUAUAUUGUCUUUGUUUCUACUUUUAUGCUACUGAGCUGCGGAAAACCUCGCAUGUUUAGACACCUAUUAUGAUGCAACACAUUGCGAUUAAUGGUGGCUUGCAUCAACAAUGACAUAUCACUUUGCAAUGAUGUAAUACACUUAAAAAGCCGUCUUCAAAUCCCAAUUCACAUAUGCAGUCUUAAAAUUCUAAUUCAAUGCAGUUUGGUUAACAAACAUGUAAAUGUCAUGAAGGAGUUAGCGGUAGAAUUCGAUAAGGACCCGUACGUCUCUAUUGUGUAUUUACAUUAGUUUGAGAAUGGACAUUCCCAAAACCUUCUCAUGUACCAUUUGUCAUCUUCAACCAAUAUCAUGGGAAGUAAGCAUCUCCCCUUGUUAUCUCCGCAGCCAAUUUCAACCGAAAAAAAGGCAUGUUGUGCGAGGUGCAAGUAGCUAACGGAAGCUUAGCGCUGAAAAGCUCAAUGUACUUUAACACAAACAUGCCACAAUCGCCUCUGAAGCAAAACAAGAACUCGAUCAAUUCAACUAAUGACAUUCUAAUGUAAUUGACAAUUGAAAGUAAUAAAAUUAAAUUGCAAGUUGUGCUUACUCAUUAGACUGUUGUGGAACAUCCACACGCUCUAUUGGCCACGGACACCACCAAUCUCGGCUGCAAUUGUUUGCAUAAACACCUUCUUCAUAAAAGUCGAUGGUGUUGAGAAGAUUUGGAAGCGUAAUUGAUAGCGGGCCGAGUUCUUCCUUUACGAUGUCAUCUGGAAUUAGUGAAACCUUUGAAUCGUACACUUUGAUUCACACAAUACCAGAUCAAACANNNNNNNNNNNNNNNNNNNNNNNNNNNNNNNNNNNNNNNNNNNNNNNNNNNNNNNNNNNNNNNNNNNNNNNNNNNNNNNNNNNNNNNNNNNNNNNNNNNNNNNNNNNNNNNNNNNNNNNNNNNNNNNNNNNNNNNNNNNNNNNNNNNNNNNNNNNNNNNNNNNNNNNNNNNNNNNNNNNNNNNNNNNNNNNNNNNNNNNNNNNNNNNNNNNNNNNNNNNNNNNNNNNNNNNNNNNNNNNNNNNNNNNNNNNNNNNNNNNNNNNNNNNNNNNNNNNNNNNNNNNNNNNNNNNNNNNNNNNNNNNNNNNNNNNNNNNNNNNNNNNNNNNNNNNNNNNNNNNNNNNNNNNNNNNNNNNNNNNNNNNNNNNNNNNNNNNNNNNNNNNNNNNNNNNNNNNNNNNNNNNNNNNNNNNNNNNNNNNNNNNNNNNNNNNNNNNNNNNNNNNNNNNNNNNNNNNNNNNNNNNNNNNNNNNNNNNNNNNNNNNNNNNNNNNNNNNNNNNNNNNNNNNNNNNNNNNNNNNNNNNNNNNNNNNNNNNNNNNNNNNNNNNNNNNNNNNNNNNNNNNNNNNNNNNNNNNNNNNNNNNNNNNNNNNNNNNNNNNNNNNNNNNNNNNNNNNNNNNNNNNNNNNNNNNNNNNNNNNNNNNNNNNNNNNNNNNNNNNNNNNNNNNNNNNNNNNNNNNNNNNNNNNNNNNNNNNNNNNNNNNNNNNNNNNNNNNNNNNNNNNNNNNNNNNNNNNNNNNNNNNNNNNNNNNNNNNNNNNNNNNNNNNNNNNNNNNNNNNNNNNNNNNNNNNNNNNNNNNNNNNNNNNNNNNNNNNNNNNNNNNNNNNNNNNNNNNNNNNNNNNNNNNNNNNNNNNNNNNNNNNNNNNNNNNNNNNNNNNNNNNNNNNNNNNNNNNNNNNNNNNNNNNNNNNNNNNNNNNNNNNNNNNNNNNNNNNNNNNNNNNNNNNNNNNNNNNNNNNNNNNNNNNNNNNNNNNNNNNNNNNNNNNNNNNNNNNNNNNNNNNNNNNNNNNNNNNNNNNNNNNNNNNNNNNNNNNNNNNNNNNNNNNNNNNNNNNNNNNNNNNNNNNNNNNNNNNNNNNNNNNNNNNNNNNNNNNNNNNNNNNNNNNNNNNNNNNNNNNNNNNNNNNNNNNNNNNNNNNNNNNNNNNNNNNNNNNNNNNNNNNNNNNNNNNNNNNNNNNNNNNNNNNNNNNNNNNNNUUUUCCUCUCCCUCAUCUCUAUUAUUUGGCCCUUCACCCCCUUCAAUCCCUUCAUCUUCUUUUUCCUCUCCCUCAUUUCUGUUACUUGGCCCUUCAUCCCAUUGAAUGUCAUCCAUUUCCCCAUAUCCCUUAAAUAGAUGUGAGACGACACAACGAUUCGUCCUCUGUUUCAGUAAAGCUAGGUCCCUCCUUACUUCCUGCUCAAACUGAGGACCUAAACAUUGGUCCAAUAGUUUUUCCAUCCGUAUGACCUUUAAGUGAAGGACGUCUUUUUCCCGCUUUUCUUGAAACAACUCGGACCUCAACAAGCUUACCACCUUGUUCAACUCAUCAAGAUCACCACAUGAAGAAGGAAUUGACUCUGCCGAGACAACAGCAGGGCGAUCCUGUGGCCAACUCCAAUAUGGCUGUCUCAUUUCCUCUUCACUUAGACAUAGCGCCCGCAACUGAACUGACUGUUUCAGAAUACAGACAAGAGUCAUAUUAAAUCAUUCUACUUCAUAAUUUCAUUCAAUCUUAUCAAUAGUUCUAAGGGCUGCAAACCAAACCUCUUUGCUCUGGAAAAAAUAAUUGUUCAACUUUCUCAUCUCUGGAACAGACGUAGUAGUUCUCCAUCGCAAAAUACGCGGGACAGCGGUCGGAUCAACAACCUUGCAGUAAUUCAGGUCCGCCAUUCUAGGAAUUAAUUCAUAUACCCAAAUCUACACAAUUCACAGGACAAAAGUCAUUAUUUAUGUUUUAAAGAAAAACAAAACAUAACUGACAUGAACAUUAUUACCAUGUACCUGGAAAGCAUACGUGAAACCUUUAAAACUCCAGCCACUCCUUUGCGCUUCACUAUGCUUAUCCUUCUUGCCCUUCUCAUUUCUCCGGCUUGUUCCCGUUACCUUACUUUUCCCCUUCCCUCUUCCCUCUUCAUUUUCCAAGCUUUUCACAUACUUUGUUGGUGCAGAAAAUAGACUGUCUUGGGUUUUGUCAAAGGACACCGAACCCCACGGAUACCUGUUGAACGCAUCCAAGUCCUCUACAAGGGUCAGGUAAUUUAGAUUGAUGUUCAAAUGUUUGUCCCUUCCCAAAACCACUAACUCAGCAAAGUAAACAAGAGGUAGCUUGAAGAUGUCAUCUUCCUCUGUGCACCUCACAAAUGCUUCUUCUAAAGCAUUGCAUGUAAUUCCUUCGUCUAUAAAAUAUCUUUUCUGAAGUCUGAUUUCAUUACUCUCUCCACUGGAAACUUCAGGCACUUCCCCAAAACGAAGCCCUGUGAUCAAACAGAAAUCCUGACGAGUGAACUGAGCAACGUCACACCCUAAUAAGAAACUCAGUCCAUCCAAGUCUUUCACACCCUGCCCCGCUACUCUACGCAACACAACCCCAUGCACAAUCUGUCCGCUAAACUGAAUCUUAUCUAUAUUCAGAAGAUGGCCAAAGCAUGAUGUCUUGAAUUGUUCUAAUUGUUCCGCACUCAACUUCGCUCGAAUUGCAGCUAGAGAUGAAUUUGCAUGUGAGCAGUUGUUCACCCGUGAUGAAUAUACCUCUGCCUCUGGCCAUACCAGCUCCACGUUGGAUCCCAUUUCCUCAAAUACAAUGUGAAAUAACGUGAACAUAUAUACUACCACGUAUUUGCACAAUCACAACUAGUCAACCAGGCACAUUACAACUUUUACAAAGUACAUGAGCAUAUGGAUUACUCAUCACAGGCUUUAACAUCAUCAAAGCAAUAUGACAAUUUUUGUGCAAAUACCUGUUAAUGCAAUGAUUAUGUGAAUUACAAACAAUUUCACGUGUUUUAUUUAUGGAUCCAUACUCGUGUGAGUGCAAUGUAGGCAAGUUCUGCACUUCACACACAUGACAAUUAUUGUCAUCUCAUACACAACCCAAAAUAAAUAAAUAAGAAAUAUAGUGGAAGGAAGCAAAGCAAAGCAUGUACUCUGCUAUCUGCUUGCUAAGCAAUUGCCACAUCCUUCUUUCUUUCUACCUUUUUCUUCAGUCACCCACAAUCGUCAUAGAUCAACCUUCAUUUCAAAUGCUUUGCACUUUUAUUCAUGAGUUUAUUAUUAUCUGUUCUCAUUUCUCAUAGGCAAAUUUAGUAACAAAUGAAAUAAUAUUUAUUUCACAAAAUAUAUAAAUUCUAGUGCCAGAGAGGUACUCUUCACUCUGCACUGCUUCAAAUGUGGAAGGUUUUGAGAUGUUAUUGACAUGUGAUUGACUUUAUUUUCAUUCGUUUUUUAACAUAUACCCAAGCAAAAAUUAACAUGCAAUUGAAGCACAAAUAAGAGAUGCCAAAUCCAACAACAUUGAUGGUACAAAUUGGGGAAAACCAUUACUCUAACCCUAAACUCAAAUUCCUUACAUUACUCAUCAAAUGCUUUGCAGUUCUAUUCAUGAGUUUAUUAUUAUCUGUUCAAAUGUUUCUCAGGCAAAUUUAGUAACAAAGGAAAUCAUAUUUACUUCAUAAAAUAUAUAUAUAUAUAUAUAUAUUCUAGCGCCUCUUCUUAAUCUGCACUAUGCACUGCUUCAAAUGUGGAAGGUUUUGAGGGCCUCCUCCAAUUCAACACCAUUAUCUUAUUCAUAUCAUUAUUGACAUGUUAUUCACUUGUUAUUGACUUCAUUUUCAUUCUUUUUUUAACAUAUACCUAAGCAAAAAUUAACAUGCAACUGAAGCACAACGAAGAGAUGCCAAAUCCAACAAAAUUUAUGGUACAAAUUGGGGAAAACCAUUACUCUAACCCUAAACUCAAAUUCCAUAAAUUACUCACCAAAUGCUGGUUAUUGCAAGGUGUCUGUGUGGGGUCUUUCUGUUUCUUUGCUCCACAAAUGGAACCUACCACUUCCAACGAAUACAGCUUUUCCCCUUCCCCUUCCACUGCUUCGCCUCUUCACUGAUUUGGAAUCCACACCUUUGCCCCUUCUACUCCAAAUAAAUACUUUCUCGGGGUCUGGAGAACGGAGUGGCGAAUCGUUGCCUUCAACUGUCGUUAGCCGUUGCCUUCAUUGGGUAUCUCAGACCUCUGUGUUUUAGAGAGAUGAGUUCUUUCUGUUCAAACUUCGAACUUGCCUCUUCUUCUUCUUUUUCGGACGUGUUUCCCUCUUCUUCUUCUUUUUGGACGUGCUGGAUAUUCAAUUCGGGUUUGGGUUCCUUACCUACCCAAUUGUGAAACUUUAACUCAAUUCUCCCCAGCCCUUGGAUUAAUCUGAUGGCUAUAAAGUGAACCCCUUAUAACUUACCCCUUAUAACUUUCCACUCAUUAUAGUCUUGGCCAGGUAUGGCGGCCAUGCUAGUAAGUGUUGGGUCUUUGACCCAACUUAAGCUAAAUGGGUCAUAAGAUGACCGAUCAUCUUAUCUCAUAAGGAUAUAUAAGUCAUGUUAUGAUUUAGGAUUUUAUAGGGUUUCCUUUGUAAGAGGUAAGAGAGAAACAAGCUCUCUCUCUCUCUACACAAGGAGGUCAGCCAUAGCAAGGGAAAGGCUCCUAGCACUCUCCUCUCUCUUAUUAUAUCAUCCUUCCAAGGACAGCUUUGGUAUGGUAAAGUUGGAGGUUGCACACUUUGUGCACUUUGGUAAGAACUCAUCCAAGGGAGCCAAGAUUAAAUUGGUUAGCUGUUGGAUUAAAUUGGUUAGCACGAUUCAACGGUUAAUAGAUAAAACUUCACAUAAAAGUCAUAUAUAAGGCCCUCACUAUAGAAUGACUCGUUAGUUUAGUCUCUUGUUACAUAUCAAAUGUUAGAGAUAUUUUUUAAUAAGGAUCUGCCAUACCACAUAGUUGGAUAAGACAUUAUACACGGCUUUUGUAAGAGCAUCUCCAGCGCUCCAAACUAGCCCAAGCAGCAGGGGGGCCUAAGUCUAGGAAGCAGCUCCAGCUCGCAAGAUUCAACCCAGGCAAGGUGUGGAACCCACGAGGAGAUCUAGCCCGUCACCUUGCCUUUGGGUUUCAGUCAAGCUGAUGUCAACGAAAGAAUUUCAAAUUUUUUUUACCGUUACAAUGUACGCGCCAACGAUAAAUUUUCUUUGGAUUUCUUGCAUUGAUCCACAGCUACCAAAAACCAACAGCUACAAGCCACGUGGCUUCUCCAGGAGCCUCCGAUCCAAAAAUCAUGUCAAAUCUAACGGCAGUCCAUUUUUUGGCUAAAAAUAUCAAAAAAUUAUGGAAACAUGUUCUAUAAAUUCCUACAAAUAUUAUUCACUUCCCACACCAAAUCUUCAUACAAAUUCAUAUCCUUUCAAUAUUUUUCACUUUCCAUACAAGAUUUUCUACUACUAAGUUUCGUUUGUGUAAAAAUACAAAUGACCUCUUCUAUCGAAGCCGGAGGCGCGUGUACAACCGUGGAAGAUAUUUUGUUGCGUGAGUGUUGGGUCAAAGUUGGUCAUUCCCUGAUCACGGGCAAUGAGAUGAAGUCCUCUCGUAGGAGUUUCUGACAUCGCAACGAAAGUAAGAUGUGAUAUGAAAAUGUAAGGAAUUUGAUGAGAGGAAUGGGAUUUGAGGAGUUUGAUGUAGGAAUUGAUGUAGGAAUUGAAUUUGGGAGGUAUGUAUAUAAGAUUUGAGGGUAUGUGUUUAGGGAUUUUGAUAAGAGGAUUUGAGGAAUUUAGAUUUGAAGGAUUUGGAUUUGGGGAAUUUAAAUAUGAGGAAUUUGAUUAGGGUUUGGGUUUGAAUAUGUGAAAUUUGAUAUGAGAGUUUAGAGACAACAGAUGAUCGAUUGCUCUGAUACCAUGCUAAAAUAUGAUAUGGUUUGAAUACUUUAGGUUGAGUUUUAUUCUUUUCCAUAAAAAGGUAUAUAUAGGAGUUUACAUGAGUGCUUUACAAAGAAAUAGAUACAAUAAUCAAUUAGGAUAAUAUCUCCUAAUUAUACAAUAAUUUGUCAACUAUAUAGAAUAGGAAAGUAAAUUCCUUAAUUAAUCAAGAAAAUAAAUCUCAUUGAUUAAUUAGGAGACUAACGUCAACAUUUAUAAGCCAUAAAAGAGCAGAAAAAGAGGUACUUAGGAGAUUUUAUACGUCGGACUAAGGUAAGCUUAAAGGACUAUAUCAAAAAAAUAAGGGACCAAGAAGCAAGACAGAGAAGUUGUUAUGCAAACCCAUUAAGUUUAGCAGUGAUGAAUUUGUAAAAAUCAUUCUAGUGGAUUCUGCCUUCACUAUUGAGUUCUUAUUGAGGUUCUAUCUGAAAGGAUCUGGACAUGAAGGAGACCGCUUAUUAAACAAACCGUGGAUGUUUACAGCCUGACAUGUGGUUGCUUGAAAAUCAGCUCCCAUUCUUUAUUCUUGAGGAUCUUUAUCACACAUACAUAAUAACCGACUCUUUUAGGAAUUAUUACAGUACUCAUGAUCAUGAGAGGCUUUCAAUAAUUAAUAUUUCUAAGAAUUUCUUCACAGCCGGAAUAUUGAAUUUGGAGGGGAAGGGAGACAAAUGGAACAGAAUAUCAUCUUCUUCUAGUGUUGGAAAUUUUAUAUUAUUUAAUAAUAUUUAAUUUCUAUUGUGAAUGAAAAAUAAGUUUCUUUAAGAAACGUGUGUCUUAGGCCAGUUUUUCUAACUGGUCGGCUUCCUUAGAUUUGUGCCUAUUGCUUUUCAAAGUAUAAUGAUGCAAUGGUUGUAUCUCGUUCAGGCAAAUGGAAGGUAUAUAGCAAUUUAUAGAACAAUACAGUAAUCCAGAAGAAAUAUUAUGAAAUGAAAAGAAUAAAAAGUAAAAAAAGAGAAAGAAAGGAAUUCCCACCUGCAAUGUAUAUGUAUGAAAGGAAGGACCAAGUUUGUUUUAAAAUGGUAAGAACAAGUUGAUUUUAAAUUGGGUUCAGAUCAACUCAUAGAUUUCUUGCCUUUUCUGUUCUCCUUCCUUGGACAUGAACUGUUUAAUCUUGGACUCUUCCCCAUCAUGUUGGGCCUGUCUUCUUCUUGAGGAUUGUAUAGGCCUAGGAAAUGCUUCGGGGUAGUUUUUGUGUUUUGGGCAUUGGGACCCAACUUCACAAAAAGAAAACAAAUUUGACCAAAACACAAAUUUGAAGGACAUUGAAAUUGUACCCGUAGGAUAGAUUAAAACACUAUAAGGGAGGUAAAUAGUACGUUUACAGAGUUUAAGUGUAAUAAAGGAAUAAAAACAUGCCCAGAGAAUUGAUAAGUGAUAUCAAUUCUUGAAUAUACGUGAAAAUUAUUUUAUGUGGUUAAACCCCACCUCUGGGGAAAAUCCACGGAACUUCUUAGUCCAACUUCUAUCACUUAUCCUAGACACAUUCUAGAUAAUGUUUGCCAACCUCUUCGUAACUCAACUUCUGUCACGAGAUGAUCUUUCAACACUUUAUGUCGAACGCAAUACUGGUCACGAUUUCUUCAAGCUCGCCGGAGUUCUUCCAAUUCUCCUUAUAUUGAAUCUGAUACUAGUCACGAUCGAUUCAAGCUCAUCGGAGAAAAAUCGCCACAACAAUCUUGGUGCCCUCAACCGUAUGAGUCACUGAACAUGCAAAUGAAUACAAUAUGAAUGAUAAAAGUGUUUGAUAAAUCACCAAGUUAUGGAACACUUGAUGAUUUAUCUCAAAUAAAAAUUCAGCUUUCCAAAGUUUAUGAAUUGAAAAUAUGACCGUUAAAGCUCUCUAAACAAAGAAGACGAAGGUCUUAUUUUAUAGACUUUUACUUUACAAGAAAGAAAACACGUUGAAAACCAAAUCUCCAAUUUCCAAGGCUUGACAGAAAAUCACAAAAUUAUCUUUCCUAUUCUAGAGAUUGGUCACAUGAAGUCCAACCAAUAGGAAAUGAGAUAUUUAAGAAAGGAAGAUUUUGAUCAAUAUCAAUAUCAAAUGAAUUCUUAUACGCCUAGUCAAUUGUUAUGGGUAUCUUGACUCCUUGAUAUUGUGAUAUGAUUGAAACAUGAUUUCCACGUUAGAAAAUUAAGGGGAUGUUAAAACAUGAAGGUAAUAGGAGAAUCAAAUUGAUUUGGGCCAAAAUUGCCUAAAAAGAAAACACUCCUUAAUAAACUUCAAUUUACUUUUAAAAAUAGUAAAACGUGAUUGAAUCGUUCUUUAAAACAAUUCCCUAAUAUACAUGCAUGAUAGUGAUAUCACUUACCUUUGAAUCAGAUGGCUUUCACGGGUCAAGCCACAAGUUUUUGUCUUGGGGAUUGCUGAGCUUCAUCAAUCCUGCCAAUGUCAAUUUUGCCCCUAAGCUCUCUCAAAGCACGUUUACAACCUAUGCUAACAUAUAUUAGAGUUUAUGUUAGUAUCAAGAAAAUGCCAACACUAAUUUCGUAACACGUAGAAAUUGUUAGAGAUUGAAGUUUUUAUCAUUUUUUCUUCCAGACUCUCCACCACUCACUAAUAUAGUUUACUCAUGUGAUGAGUUUACAAAACCUAUUUCUCUACUCUCACAAAGACUAUACUUAGGGGGGUGUAUUCAAUUAGGAUUCUAAAGCGUUUAAAAAGAUUUUGUUUAAGUGCCAGCUUUCAUAGAACUUGAUGGAACUUUAUAAUUCGUAUAGAACUUGAUAGACUUUCAGAAGACUUCUGUAUAAUUUUUUAAUAAAACUUUCUUAAGCUUUCAUAGAACUUGAUAGGCUUUCAUUCCAAACUUAUGUAGAUGGUAUAUUUCAUUUUAUCCCCAUCCUUGACAUUUAAAGAAAGAAACUUGAAUUUUUUCAAUCAAAUUUGUUUUUGUUACCAAAGCAGCAAAAACAAAAAGUACUUGUUUGCGAUGGAAGAACAUAUGCACAGUUCAAAAUGAAAAGAAUAAGAAGCAAAGUACCUAUUUGACCAAUGAAUGCUGUGUCAACUAGAGAAGCAAUUGGAUCGGCUGUCAAAGCCAAUGCUGCAGGCAAUGCAUCGAUGGUCCAAAUUGCAAUAAAAAAAUAUUUUGAAUAAUGGCUCUUGCAGACAAAGACCACAUAAAUUCUGAACUGGUCUAGCUUGAAUAAUAAGGUUAGAUUAGCCAAUUGAUGAGAUUAAAAGCAAAGCAAGUUGAUGAAUUUAUCAUCAACUAUUUAAUAACCACAGUCCUGAUCUCUUGGACCCCUGUAGUCCAAGAGAUUUAUGGUCACCCACCGUUGGAUGUAAAUUCAACGGUUGACUUGAAUCGGGUAAUAAUCAUUUAUGUCAUAUUGCAUUUAUAUAUAUCAUUUUGAACCAUUGGAUUAAUAUCCAACGGUGGGUGACCACAAUCUCUUGGACUCCUGUGGUCCAAGAGAUCGGGACUGUUAAUAACCAAUAGAGUAUUUAAACAUAAACAACAAUGUUUGAUCAACAAAACAAAUAGUCCAAAUAUCAUCCAAAAAACAAUAACAAAAAAUCAAUCAUUCCAAACAAACUAGUCAUUCUCAAAAACUCUCAAAAAACCCACUCAUUCCAAAUUGUAGGAUAUCCAAUUUGAGCACUCCUCAGGAGACAUUUUCAAAAAUGCAUCCUUUUUUGUGUUACUAUGCAACAAAGAGAGUGCUUUAUAACGAGCAUGUUCAUCCAAAUUUGGGGUCUCCUUAAUGGCAUCCCAUAUAUAACUCCGCUGCUCUCUCUCUUUUUCCCUUUUUGCCAAUAGGUUAUGGACCUCCCGGAAGUCGAUGACAAUUGAAUCAAUGCUAAGGCUAAUUCUUCCCAUAGCUUGCUGGGUGGUCACAUUUGAGAUAGCAUUCCCUUCCAAAUAUGUUCUAGUUCGUUUCCUCUAGUAACAAGCAUAAAUCCUAGUAACAAGCAUAAACCCUAACCCCAACCUAUAACCUAAUAACAAGAAGAAAACCCAACGAGGUAUUGAUCAAAGAAAAAUUAGGGAGCAUACCUUCACAGAUGGAGGAAGGAAGCUGUUCGUCUUCGCAGAGAGAAAAUCUAGGGAAAGAGAAAAACGUCUUAUGAAAUACUUGGGGGGGAGGUUGGAUUUAUUUUGGUCUUUUUUAUUUAUAACUCUCCCCUUAAAACCUACGUAAAUUUAUCACUUAAUGAAAUCCUUCCAAAUAUAUGACCUUUCGAAUACACCUAGAUUUGAUUCAACUUUUUUAUAAUCAUAAUUGAAUACACCCAUAUUUGAAUGGACUUUUUAAAAGUUCAUAUAGGUCCGAAAUGAAUAUACUCAAACUUGUAAAACCUCUUUUAAAGUUUGUAUAAAUCCAAAUUGAAUACACCUGGAUUUUUAAAAUCUUUUUAAACACUUUAUAAUCCUAAUUGAAUACACCCCCCUUAUUCUCAAAAGACUAUAUUACUUUACCUCUAUCUCUGUGAAAUGUAAAAAGUUGAAACUUUAAUGUCAAACCUCAACAAAAGAUGAACUUUCAUCAGUUACGUUGAAUUUGGAUUUGUUGAACUUAAGUGGUUUUAUUUUCUUUGUCAGUGUUUGAUGACUUAAUUUGGUAUUUAUUUCUUCUUUUUUUUCCUUGGAAAUGUGUUCCACCAACGUGAGGAAGAAAAAUAUGCACAAAUUAAUAUAUUUAAUAGAAGCCCAAGAUUUCGGAUGCAUAUAAUUUCUACAAAAAUCUACAAAGUUUUUUACUUUACAAACUUCUUAUGUCUACCAAUUUCUACUAAAAUUAAUUUCUCUGUGGUGCUCAAAUUCAUCAUAUGUGUGUCGUUAAUUUUAUUGAAAAUUGGAAGUUCCCAUCAUUUUUGUUUUUUGGGAAUUUUCUGAACCAAGGAAAAUCAAGUAAAAUUAAUAAAGCCUAAAUUGGAAAGGGAAAAUAUCUAGAGGAUGCAUUGUAGGAUUGCUCAUGCCAAUAAUUGUACCCUCUAAAUAUAUAGAGACAUAUUUUUUUUGUUUUCAUGACAUGUGGUCCUAAAAUUAUUGUGUAAAUCUUCAAUCCUGAACGAUGCACCUAAAACUCAUCCACCCAUUCUCAGGCCAAUUAUUGCACCUAGUGGGCUCUCGACCCCCUCUCAAAUUUAACCACAUAUUUUAUGGACCAUCCAGCUGUGAGGUACAUUCCCCCCACAUGCCACAAUUGUAUAUUCACAAUUACGUCUGAUACAUCACAUCAUGCCACUUGCCUCAAAUGAAUUUAAGUGAGUGAGGCAGUUGGAAGUAAUUAAGCUCUAUAUUGGUGGGUGGAGUGUUACUUCUCGGUUCCCCUCAUCAUUCGUCUAUAAAAUGGUGAAGGCAGUUGCUAUUGUUACCAUAAGAGCCAGCUCCGACUUCCUUUAAUUUCUUGCUUCAUAUCCACUAGCUACAUCUGUUACCAAGUUAAUUUCAGUUCUAAUGGGGUUUCAUCUCCCACUCAUCUUUGCUCUUCUCAGUGUAAGCUCUGCAAUUUGAUUAACUUUUCCAUUCUCUCUCAUUGUACUCUAUAUAAACGAAAGUUUUGUGUUCCUAUUGUUCUCUCCGAUUUUAUUUAGUACGUACUUAAGUGUCGUCCACUAAUUAAUUAUACUUUGUGAUUUGAUUUUAAUUUGAGUUUGAAUUAAUGUUGCAGCUAGCAGCAGUGGCACUGGCAAACCAUGCUGCUCAACCAGCACCUCAACUUUACUGGAGCUCCGUCCUGCCAAACACACAGAUGCCAAGAUCUAUCAGUGAACUUCUGCAUCCUGGUUUGUGUUGAGCUCUUUAGAAUCUUAGAUAUCUCUUCUACCUGCCAUUUUACUAAAAUAUGUUCCACCACAUAUUUAUCAGUUAACCAUUGUCAUUACAUGAGUGACACAUAUUCACAAAUCGGCUGAUCACUUAUUUUCCAUUAUGACUUGAUAUAUAAUUUGCAGACUCCACAAAUGAAGAAAAGAGCACAAAUGACGUUGGCAAACCUGAAACUUUCCCAUUGGGCAAUCAACAUUACUCCAGUCAAAAACAUUAUGGAGGCAUACCUGAAACUUCCCCAUUGGGCAAUAAACAUUACUCCAGUCAAAAACAUUAUGGAAGAGGCAAACCUGAAACUUUCCCAUUGGGCAAUCAGCAUUACUCCAGUCAAAGACAUUAUGGAAGAGGCAAACCUGAAACUUUCCCAUUGGGCAAUAAACAUUACUCCAGUCAAAAACAUUAUGGAAGAGGCAAACCUGAAACUUUCCCAUUGGGCAAUCAGCAUUACUCCAGUCAAAAAAAGUAUGGAAGAGGUGCUUCUCCAUCCGACAAUCAACAACUCCAUUAUAAAGACUUAGCUAUUUUCUUCUUGGAGAAGGACAUGCGCCCUGGCACAACAAUGAAGUUCCAAUUCCCUAUAAAUUCAAACACGGCUACUUUCUUGCCACGAGAAAGCGCUCAAUCGAUCCCCUUCUCCUCUAACAAACUGCCAGAAAUUUUCAACCAUUUUUCAGUGAAGCCAACAUCUGAGGAAGCCAAAACAAUUAAGCAAACAAUCGAAGAGUGUGAAGCUCCAGACCUUAAGGGAGAGGAAAUAUAUUGCGCCACAUCUUUAGAAUCAAUGGUUGAUUUUAGCACUUCGAAGCUUGGAACAAGAAACGUUGAAGCAAUCUCGACGGAGGUAUUGGAAAAAGGAGCCACCAUGUCCAUCCAAAACUAUACAACAAUGCCGGGACUGAAGAAGUUGGCAGGUGACAAAGUCGUUGUGUGUCAUAAGCAGAACUAUCCCUAUGCUGUGUUUUUCUGCCAUGCAAUAAAACAUACAGCAGCUUAUGCUCUCUCCCUGAAAGGCGAUGAUGGGGAGAAGGUUAAAGCAGUAACCAUCUGCCAUCUAGACACAUCAGAAUGGGACCCAGAGCAUAUGUCCUUCCAAAUCGUCAACGUUAAGCCCGGAACCAUUCCCAUCUGCCAUUUCAUUUCCACUGAUGCUAUUGCCUGGGUUCCGAACCACAAAUCUGCAUGAUCAUCACUUAGCACUAGUACUGUGCGUAUAAUAUGCCUGUAUAAUUAUCUCCCUACUUAUUUCUGCCUCUUCAUCAUGUGGUGUAAGAUAUAUGUUGAGAUGAAGUUUUUGGGAUUUGUGGUCGAAAUUAACCCGAUCAUGUUUUCUCUUGCAACCAUAUAGACUUCAACUUGUACUCAUAAUAAAGCAUGCUAUAUUUAUGAAGAGAUAUUAAUCUUCAGGCAAAUAGAUAUUAUGAAAACAUAUAUAGCAAUUUAUCCAGAAGAAACAUUAUGAAAUGAAAAGAAUAAAAAGUAGAAAAACAGAAGGAAAGGAAUUCGCACGUGCUAUGCUAUGUAUGAAAGGACCAAGAUUGUUUUCCCUUUGGUUAAUGACUAGAAAAGCUCACUUGCAGAGUGCUUUCUCCGACCAUAGAUGGAAGAGAAAUUUUCUCUUAAUAAUAGCACAAUGAUCGGGUAAUUGUAAGAACAAGUUGAUUUAAAAUUCCUUGACCCAAAAAAAAAAAAAAAGUUCUUUUCAAAUUCAGGUCAACCCAUAGAUUUCUUGCCUUCGUCUUCUUCAUCACGUUGGGCUUGUCUUCUUUUUGCGUUUUGGGCCUUGGAAGUUGGGACCCAACCCAACUUCACAAAAAGAAAACAGAUUUGCCAAAAAUCAAAUUUCAAGUCUCUCCUCCGAUCACUAAUACAGAUCAAAUUUUGGAUUUGAUGAACUAAAGUGGUUUUACUUUCUCUGUCAGUGUUUGAUGACUUAAUUUGUUAUUUACUUUUUUUUUUUUACUUGAUCUUUGUAGGGGCUUUUUUUUUUCCGGCAGCUUAAACGGGCUGGGCUGCCGUAAAGGGUAGAUUGAUGAAAUUGUCCCCUUUGUCUGAAUUCGAAAAUCAAGCCCCAAAAGCGCUUCGAAAGGGCAGUAGAGCCUUAGGAAGCGUUCUGGUUACCUUCACUAAUUAAAACAACAGCAACUUACAGAUGAUUUCUUGAGGCUUACAGAUAAAUUUUCUAGCUUGGCAUGACAUGGAAGCAAAAUCAGCAUGAGUUUAGCACCAAAGAGGAAAAUAUGGCUUCCUAGGGAGAAAUGAGAGUGUUUAAGGUGAGGAAGAAGAGGUUUGCAGGCUGAUUUGGCUGAGAAAAGAGAAAGAAAGAACAAUGUUCUUCCGGCAGCUUGACAAAGCUUCUGACAGAUGUGAAAGUCGUCCGCCAGAAGAGGAAAAUGGAGAAGAAGGAUGAAUAGUGCACGAAAUUGGUGGGUUCUUGCAGGUAAGAGAGAAAGCUUGCUCUCUGAAUCUGAGUUGGUUUUGGUUGGGUAGAAGAAGCCCCCUUUUAUAGCUGCGGGAAACCAUCUUUUUCCAAGAAACCCUAAUGGUUUCUAUCCUUUUUGGCCAAGCUUUUCCCUUCCUUUCUCUUCUCCUCCCUUGACUUUUCCUAUCUUGGUGAAAUUUCCUCUGCCUAUUUGCACAAAAUUAGAGAUUUUGAGGAGCUCAAGGCCCCUUUCCCGCAGCUGCCUUAGUGGAGAAUCCCCAUUUUCAGUCAUCUUUCUUCCUUCUUUUCUCCCAUCUUCCAAGGCUAGGUUUGAUGAGAGAAAGAAAUGGAUAUGCACACUGGUUUGAAGGGUGUUUUUCCUUGAAACUUGUUCUCUCCCAUGUGCUGGAGCUUCCCAGCAGCUUACACACAUAGAUAUUUUGGCUUUCAUCGUGGCUUUUGUUUUCAGCUAGGUGCUGGAGAUUUUGCAUAUAUUUUCUUGAGUUGCUUGGGCCUUCUAGGACAAUACGUUGGUUUAUCAAGUGAAUGGGCUAACUUCAUCAAUUGUUGGGCAAUUUUGGUUGAGUUAAUGGACUAUUUUGGUUCAAGUAAUGGACUAUUUUGGUUGAAAUAAUAGGCUAUUUUUCUCUCUUUGUGCUCACCCACAUAUUUGGGCCUAAAAAAUGGGCUUGAGUUUCGGGGCUCCCAAGCAACCCCGGGACUUCCAUUUCUCGGCCCAUCAAUGAGCCUCAUGUCAACUUAUUACCAUCCAUACCACAACCCACUCAAGCAAGCCUCAGGCAUCUUGCGUGGCUUGGGCCCACGUAAGCUCGUAGUGGCAAUGUUGCUUAUUUGCUUGACGUGGCAUGUGUGCAAGUGCAUAUGACGAACUUUCGCGUGCCCAAAUUGAGUUUCUUCUCGGUAGGGUAUCGCAUUGGGCCGAGAAUUUAAUUGGGUAGAACCGUGGAUUUUUUGGGCCUCAACAAUCUUAUAUAUAUUAGUUUUCUUUUUUUCCUUAAUAUUCACCACCUUUCUGUUGCAUAAGUAUUCCAGUCUUAGCGGGUUUCCAUCUACCACUCAUCUUUGCUCUUUUAAGUGCAAGCUUUUUUAUUUUUAUUUUUUUAUGCACAAGAUUAGAGGGGAGGGAGAUUUCUCAAUGUAAGCUUUGCAGUUUCAUAAUUAAUAUUUCCAAUAUCUCACUGUUAGUAAAAUAUGGAACGGGAAAAGUACGAAUAAAAUACACACAUGUUUUAUUUAGCAAAAUUUUGACAAGAUACAACUGAAAAGUUUGGCCACUAUAUAAUAUUUUGAUUUAAUUUUUUUUAUUUUUUUAAUAUAUAUUAUUUUUAUUCAAUAAUAUGUGAAAAAUAGGUGUACAAUAUAUGAAAUUUGUAUGUAUUAUUGAAAAAUUCGUAAAAAAAAAACAUGUUAUUAAAUGUGAAAAAUAUGUACGUAUAUGUAUAAAACAUGUAUUGUACAUUACUUUUUAACAAACUUGUAUUUUACCUAGUCUUUAAACCGUAUAUGGAAAACGGAAGUAUUAUUGAAAAAUACAUAUGUACGUAUAUGUAUAAAACAUGUAUUGUACAUUACUUUUUAACAAACUUGUAUUUUACCUAGUCUUUAAACCGUAUAUGGAAAACGGAAGUAUUAUUAAAAAAUACAUAUGUACGUGUAUAAUAUGAGUAUUAAACAAAAAAAUGUGCUAAGUACUUAUCUUUUAAUUUAAUAAUUCAUUUCAUUUUGUGAUCUCAUACGUAGUAAUGAGAGUUCAAAUUAAUGUUGCAGCUGACAAUGGUGGCUCUGGCAAGCCAUGCUUGAUGCAGGAGUAUAGGGGUGGAUCAAGAUAGAUAUUUACCAUGUAAUUAGUUAUUUCAUGAUAUAUUGUUAUUUUCUUAUUUAGGUAGUUUUAUGAUAUCUUUUAUUAUUUAUGUGGGAUUUUAUAAUUAAUUAGUUUACUUUUGGACCAAGUAGCCUUGGUGCUCAAGUCUUGUAAAGCUUAUAAAUAAGGCUAAUGUAAUAGUUGUAGGAAAAGAGAUGUCGAUGAUUAAUAAAAUCGUUUAUUUGUGGCAUGGAUUUGCUACGAUAUAUGUGAGUUUGCACUAGCCCUAGAUUUCGGUGCUCGUGUAUGUGGUUGGUGACCUGUGUCCGGAUCCCGAUCCCCAUCAAUGCUGUUCUCCCAGUACCUCAACUUUACUGGAACUCUUUCCUGCCAAACACAAAUGCCAAGAGCUAUCAGUCAACUUCUGCAUCCUGGUUUCUAUUAAGGGACUUUUCGUGAGCUUAUCAUCUACCCAAAUUUUACUCAUCCGACGUAAUUUUAAAAGUGAUUUGAUCCUUUGGCAAAGUAAUCUUGAACUACAAAAAAGGAGGGCACUCGAAUAGGCAUGCCAUUUGGUAUUACCCACCUCUAAUUUCUUUUAAAAUUUUAGUAAUUGAUUUUUAAGAUUAGAAAAUGGGAAAGUUCAAAACCGAAAAAGUUGUUUCAGUUUUGGCAAGUAUCGGAAAAGACUAAAAUUUUCCGACUUUAUUAUUACUAGAAACAAAGUCGAAGUAUUCACCAAUCAUGUGGCCUUCCAAGUGCUCAAGGUUAAGCCAGGAACCGUUCCUAUCAGCCAUUUCCUUCCCAAGUAUGAUCAUGUUGUCUGGGUUCCAACCCACAAAUCUACAUCAGUACCUGAACUAAUCAGUUCUACAUGAAUAUUCAUUCAUGGCAACCUUGGGCUAAGUAUUUGAAUUUAUGCUCAUAAAGCUUUAAUGCUUUUGAGGGCCAAUCGUUGUCUACAUAUGGUAUUGUAGCAUCUUUAGAUGGAAGAGGUCAGGGGUUCAAUUCUUGUUUUCCACUUCUUUAUUUGUUGGUUUAUCGAGUGUAGAGUGGAGUUGCACCUAUAUGUUCGUCUCUCACCCCAUCAUUUACCAUUGAUAUAUAUUUAAUAGAAGCCUAAGAUUUCGGAAGCACAUAAUUUCUACUUUACAAACUUCCUGUGUCUACCAAUUUCUACUAAAAUUAAUUUAUCUGCGGUGCUGAGAUUCAUCAUAAUUUUAAUAGAAAUUGGAAGUUUUCAUCAUUUUUGCUUUAAGUCUCUACUCCACUCACUAAUAAAGAUUACUCAUGUGAGUUUACAAAACAUUUUUUUUUUCUACUCUCUCCUGAAGACUACACUUCUUCUCAAAAAAUUAGAUCACUUCACAUCUUGUGUAUGUGAAAACUAAUGUAAAAAGUUGAAACUUUAUCGUAAAACCUCGACAAAAAUGAGCUCUACUACAAAAUGUUAAAUUUGGAUUCGUUGAUUUAAAUGGCAAUUUGACACUUGAUAGAAAUUUUUACAUACAUGUGUUAGUGUUUGAUCACUUCACAUGUCACUUACUAUAUUUAUUCCACUCAAGUUAGGUAAAUAUUAUUAUCAAACAUUUCAAUUAAUUUGUGAUUUUUUUAUUAUUUAAUCAAUUAUGAAUUAAUGGAUUCUUCUUGUUGUUUUGAAGACCAACAAAAAAAAAAAAAAGGGUAGUGAUGGCUUAUAAUUCUGGUAAAACAACAGUGACGUGGACAACAGAUGUUACGCUGUACUAAAGAUUUUUGAAGAUUCUUUAUUUGAGUUUCUUUCAAGAUAAAAACCAUAUUAUCCACAACCACAAGCACAUCCGGCAGACAAUCUUUGGCUAUUCAUCACAAUUGGGAGACAAUGAAGAAGACAGAAAAUGGAGUAAUUCAGAUGUUACCAGCCAUCCACGACAAACUGAAGUCUGCAAAGCAUUCGUAAUCUAAAAAGGAUGGGGAGGCUGCGCAAUACUUAGCCACGUGUAGGCCAGGAGGCUUUCCAAUUUUAAUAUAUAUAUAGAUUGAAAAAAUAAAAUAAAAAUCAAUCUAUUAUCAUAUAUAUUAUAAAAUAAAGAUUAUUGCUCCCAUGGGCGGUGCUAUGCACAGGACAGUGCCUGCCUAGUCCAAAUUUUUUUUAAAUAAAAAUAAAAAUCUACAUAUGUUAUAAGCUCAUCCAAAAAAAAAAAAAAAAAUAAAAGUGUUGUAAAUUAUAAGGUGGAGCCCACAUGUUGGAAGGCUUUGCCUACAAAAGGGUUCACACCCUCCCUUUGUAAUUAGACAUUGAGAAUACUAAGGAAGACAGAAAUGAAUAGAGAGAAAACAUUCCCUUCUCUCCAUCUCAAUUCCCUCUCCAAUUCCUCUAGAUUUAUAACACGUUAUCAGCAGCACGAAUCGCUUUCAAACAAUACCAGCUGAAUUUUAUGAUGAAACCCAGAUCUCUCAUCCAUCUCUGCUGCUCCACUACUUCAAAAUAAAUCCCACAGAAAAAGAAAAAGCCUCAAUGCUCUCUCUCUCUCUCUGUCUCGCUUGGGAGACUUGGACAAUUCCUCAUCCCCGUUACUGACAAUUUCAACAGCUUCAGGGGAAGCUAGUUUAUCUUCCUCUGCUCACGAAACCAUGACUCUUUCAGAGCCAAACAACAACACAAUAGACAACGCAUGGAGACCAGACUGGAGCUCGUCGGCUAAGGCACCGACGAUCCGACCCUACCCGUAUGGACCUUCCGGAUGUGGUUCCUGGGUCUUGUCUCAUGUGCCCUCCUCUCAUUUCUCAACCAAUUCUACAAGCAGCAGAGCUUCAAAUCAAACAGAUCAUGGCAUCGCUUUCACACCUCCCCAUCUUCCUCUUCCUCCUGUUCACCGCUUUCUAUUCUACAGCUUCGCAGUCCUUCAUCGGCGCAUCCAAAGGCGACAUACCGGCGCUCGCCUCAGAUCCGAACGCGGCGGCUCAGUGGGUGAACUCGAAUGUCCUCGCCUUCUACUCGGCCAGCAACAUCGACCUCAUCAACGUCGGCAACGAGGUCCUUUUUCUCCAACGACCAGGGCCUCAUCUCGCAGCUCCUCCCCGCCAUGCGAAAUGUCCAAUCUGCCCUCUCCGCCGCGUCCCUCGGCGGCAAGGUCCGUGUCUCCACGGUCCACUGCCUCGCCGGAUCGGGAUCCUUCCUUCAAGUGUUUCUCUGUCUUCGACUUGAAAAAGAAGGUCAUGGCAGGCCUAUGUAAAAAUUGCGAAAAGGAAGGCAAUCUUCAACCUUUUCUCCUGUCUCUCUCUUGAUCAAUUCAUGGAAGGCACAUUUGGGUCUUCCGGGGGCUCAUCAAAUGAGUCAGCAAUGUCAAAGGUGGAGGUGGUGGAGCAAGACUACGUGGGGAUGUCAUAUGAGGCAACCUCAUACCCAGCUGAGGCAGAGCUUGUGCUGGGCCUGGGCCUUGGCCUGAGCCUUCGUGGUGGUGGUGCAGGGAAGCAGCCAAAGCCAUGUGCAUGGGGUGAGCGUGGUAGAAUCUUGACUGCUAAAGUUAGGUGCUGAGUUACACUGUGUUCUCUGCUACUGACCCUAAGAGGAGUGCUAGAAACUUCCAUGUUCCGCCAUCAUUUCGCUUUCACUGUUACAAGGCACUGGAGUAUGUUUAAUUGAAAAGUGAGAUACACAGCAAGUUGAUCAGCCUAGUGGAAAGCAAAGGAUUAUUGCCAGGGAUAUGAACACCCACCGAAAUAAAGGGAUAAGUACUCUUUUUCCCUUCGACCAGUUUUUUUUUGUCCCACUGGGUUUUUACUGGCAAGGUUUUUCACGAAACAUAUUCCGUAUCAUUUGUGGUCUCUAAGAGGGAGUGUUGUAAAUUAUAAGGUGGAGCCCACAUGUUGGAAGGCUUUGCCUACAAAAGGGUUCACACCCUCCCUUUGUAAUUAGACAUUGAGAAUACUAAGGAAGACAGAAAUGAAUAGAGAGAAAACAUUCCCUUCUCUCCAUCUCAAUUCCCUCUCCAAUUCCUCUAGAUUUAUAACAAAAAGUAAAUUCUACACAUAUGUUGCCCAUCCAGGUGGUCCCAUAUCUUCUCUUUCCUUUUCUUUUGGCUAUUAGACUUCUUGUUUCUCUCUCUCUCUUUGCUACCCCACAUCAGCAAGUUUCUCCCUCUCUUUUUUUGGGAUCAAAUUCUUCUUCUAUUGACAAAAUCUUCUAUUAUAUUGGGUGGGCAACUUGGCAACAACAUCUUCUCCUCUCCUUUUGUCAACAGCAAGUAUUAUUCUCAUUCUCUCAUUUGCUAUAUAUCUUUAAUUAUAGUUUUAAUUUAAAAUUGAGUAUUCUAGGGUUUAAUUAGGGAUGAAUUAUAAUUUUGGGAUUUUGUUGAAAUUAAUUAGGGCUUCGAUUAGGGGUGAAUUAUUCUACUGCUUUGAUUUGGAAUUUUGUUAAAAUUGAGUAUUAUAGGUUUAAUUAUGGAUGAAUUACAAUUUUUGGUUUUGGUAUUGUUGAGAUGUUAUUAUGAGAAUUUGUUUGAUUUUUUGUUGGUAUAUUUGAUUAAAAUUCUUUCUACAUAUUAUUCAUAGGCUAUCUUUUAUUAUGUCGGAUCACAAUCGGAAUCCCAAGAAAACAAAAAAUUUGAAUAGUGUUGUUUUGUAUUGCAUUGCAUUUACUUUUGGUUUUAGUUUUGCUUUUAGUGUAAAUUACUCAAAUGGUCCUCAAAUUUGUACCCAAUUUACAUUUUGGUCCAUAAACUAAAUUAUUCAUUCAAAUGGUCCACCAACUCUUUAUUAAUCGGUGCUUUGGUCCUAUCGUUAUGUUUUCUAUUAAAUUUAGUCAUGUGAGCAGCACAUGCUACAUUUGUAUGGGUAAAUAAGACUUUUGACCAGUGGCGGAUCCACGUUGGGACAAGAGGGGUCGGACGACCCCUUGGAAGGCUGGAAAUUUGGCAAGGGAGUCCAUGAAAGCCCCCUUGGACAGCUGCUGGAAGCCCCCUUGUAUGCACACAAUGUGCUCGACGAAAUGCCCCAACGAAAUGUCCUGCGCAGCUGUGCUGCGCCUUGCGCGUAAUUUUUUUUUAAAACCAGCCUUGCCAAACGACGUCGUUUGGUCAAGGCUCAGUCAAAUUUUUUUUUAAUUAACCUGGCCUCAAAACGACGUCGUUUUGGGCCAGGUUUAAAAAAAAAAAAACAGAACAGUACACACGCACAGCAGCUCUGCACAGAUUCAUUUUCUCCAAACCUUUCAUUCCCAAUUCCACAGCCCCUCUUCCCAUCCUCUCAAACCCUAACCUCCCAACCUCCCAACCUUGGACAACCUCCAUCAACUCUUCACCGGUGGCCCAAUGCCGAUCACCACCACCUUCUACCGCCGUCCGCCGCCCAUUUUUUAAACUACAAGUAAGUAAGCAUGGAAAAUCUGAUAUUAAUAAUUAUAGUGAUAAUAUAUAUUGUUGAUAUUGAUAUUUUUUUUUUAUGUAAUGAAAUUUAUGGAUAUGAAUCAUAUUGAUUGAUUGAGUUUAUGCUUGAAAUUUAUGGAUAUGAAUCAUAUUGAUAUUUUUUUUUAUGUAAUUAAAUUUAUGGAUAUGAAUCAUAGUGAUAAUCAUAUUAAUGUAGAUUGAUUGAGUUUAUGCUUGAUUGAUAAUAUGAAUUGAUUGGGUAUAUUAAAUAUUGAUUGCUAUUUGAUAUGAUAAUUUGGUAUAUUGAAUAUUGAUUGAUAUGGGUUUAGGGAGUAUAUUGAAUAUUGAGAGUGGGUUAUUGAAAUUUUCAUAUUCAUAUGAUAAUUAGGAUAAAAAUUAAUGAUUGAUUGAAUUAAUUGAUUUGUAGAUUUAUGGAACGAUUCUUUAAAAGAAAAUUAUCUACGGAUAGUUCUUCUCUGUCUAAUCCGGGUAGUUCAAAUGCAAGACCAAUUGAAGUAGAUGAGAUCUUAGCUAAUCUUCAAGCAGACCCUGGACUAAGAACUCGAAUGGCGGAUUAUAGUCCUAAUAUUAGGGAUGAGAUCCGAAGAGCAUAUCUACAAAAGGGACCUUGUCAACCUAGAAGUUAUAAAUUCCCACAAACUAAUCAAUCAGGAAUUAAUAGACGCUUCAUUGCUCAUUGGUUUGAUGAUCAUGAUUGGUUGGAAUAUAGUAUUGCUAAAGAUGCUACGUUUUGUCUUCAUUGUUAUCUCUUCAAAUCUAAUUUUGAUCAAGUGGGUGGUGAUGCAUUCACUGGGGUAGGCUUCAAUAAUUGGAAGAAGGCGAAAGAAAGAUUUAACCUUCAUAUUGGACCGGUUGGUAGUGUUCACAACCAAGCUAGAGAAGUUGCUUACAAUUUGAUGCAUCAAACUACACACAUUGAAACAAUUGUGCUCAAGCAAACAAGCCAAGCUCGCACGGCUUAUCGCACUUGCUUGAAUGCAUCACUUAAGUGCACUAGGUAUUUGUUGCGGCAAGGGCUUUCUUUUCGUGGUCAUGAUGAAAGUGCACAAUCAAGUAAUAAAGGGAAUUAUUUAGAGCUCUUGCAAUUUCUUGCGGAUCAUGAUGAAAAAGUUAAGGCCGUUGUAUUGGAAAAUGCUCCGGGAAAUUUAAAGUUAAUAGCUCCUUCAAUUCAAAAAGAUCUUGUCAAUUCUUGUGCCAAAGAAACCAUUGAUCUUAUCUUGAGUGAUGUAAAAGAUAGAUAUUUUUCAAUAAUGGUGGAUGAAGCACGUGAUGUUUCAAUAAAGGAGCAAAUGGCAAUGGUGUUGCGUUAUGUGAAUGACAAAGGACAAAUAAUUGAAAGGUUUGUGGGGGUUCAACAUGUAACCGACACUACUUCAAGUGCACUAAAGGAAACAAUUGAUGAAUUCUUUUCUUCCGCGAAUUUGAGCUUUUCCAAGCUACGAGGACAAGGUUAUGAUGGAGCUAGCAAUAUGAGAGGUGAGUUCAAUGGCCUUAAGAGAAAGAUUUUGAGAGAACAACCUUGUGCAUUUUAUGUUCAUUGCUUUGCUCAUCAACUUCAACUAGCUCUUGUUGCGGUAGCAAAGAAAAACAUUGAUGUCAACUCUUUUUUCACAACGGCUAAUAGUUUGGUUAAUGUGGUUGGAGCAUCUUGUAAGCGUCGCGAUGCACUUAGAGCACAAUACCAAGAAGAGCUUGUGAGAGCUUUUGAAGAUGAUUGUCUUAUAACGGGGCGGGGCUUAAAUCAAGAAAGGACUCUCAAACGUGCCGGCAAUACACGAUGGAACUCACAUUAUGGUACGUUGAUUAGUAUCAUUUCUAUGUUCCCAUCUGUGGUGAAUGUGCUUCAAAUGAUUGUUGAUGAUAAUCUUAAUGAUAGUUCGGGUGAAGCCUAUAAGUUAAGGAGAGAAAUACAAUCUUUUGAGUUUGUGUUUCACUUAUUUGUAAUGAAAGCUAUAUUGGGAAUAACAAACACUUUGUCUCUAGCAUUGCAAAAGAAAGAUCAAGACAUUGUGAGUACAAUGAAUUUAGUGAAAACAUGCAAGGAAAACCUGCAGUUGAUGAGGGAUAAUGAGUUUGAAGAAUUGGUUGGGCAAGCAUCCUCGUUUUGUUACAAAUAUGAUAUUAUAGUUCCUACCAUGGAUGAGGAAUAUGUAAUUCCAGGGAGAUCAUGGCGUAAUGCUCCAAUGAAGACAAAUUAUCAUCGUUAUCGUGUGGAGAUCUUUAUUCAUGUAAUUGAUGGGCAACUUGCGGAAUUAAAUGAUCGCUUCAACGAGGUAAGUACUGAGUUACUUACUUGUUUGGCAUGCUUGAGUCCAAAAAAUAACUUUGUGACUUUUGACAAACGAAAGCUAGUUCGUCUUGCUCAAUUUUAUCCUUAUGAUUUUUCGGAUAGAGACUUAUUGAUGCUUGAAGAUCAACUUGGUGUUUAUGUUCAUCAUAUGCGUUCGAGUAGUGAUUUUUCUCAAUUGGAAGGGAUUAGUAGUCUUGCGGAAAAAAUGGUGGAGAAAGGAAUGCAUGAAAUAUUUCCUUUUGUAUUUGCUUCUUACAUUGGCUUUGGUUUUACCGGUUGCAACUGCAUCAGUGGAGAGGGCAUUUUCCGCUAUGAAUAUUAUUAAAAAUCCACUUCGCAACAGAAUGGGAGAUCAAUGGUUGAAUGAUAGCUUGCUUGUUUACAUUGAGAGAGAUGUUUUUGCUUGUAUUGAUAACGAAAUUAUAAUGCAAUGUUUUCAGAAUAUGAAAACUCGUCGUGGACAAUUGUAACUUGUAUUAUUGGUUUUGUUAUGAAUUAUGAAUGAAAGUACUAUCUUUCUAUCUUUUUAGCAUUAUUUUCUUUGUAGAAAAAUUUCAGAACUUUUACACUAAGCCCCCUUGGCUACAUAAUCCUGGAUCCGCCACUGCUUUUGACCACUUUAUCACCUAUGUAUCACCACUUUAUAACCUAUUUGGGGAACAUAGGUCAGUUAUGGACGGUUUUACCCUUACAUUUGACGGCAACAUUAACAUAAUGUAACAGUGGGAUCAAUGGAGUGAUUAAUAUAAAGUUGAUGGACCAUUUGAAUGAAUAAUUUAAUUGAGAGACCAAAAUGUAAAUCAAGUAUAAGUUUGAGGACCAUUUGAGUAAUUUACCCUUCGCUUUUAUAUUUGUUGAACUUUUAUUUAUGAUAGAUAUGCAUUUAAGGGUAAGACCCAUUAUGUUCCCCUGGCUAGGUGUAUCUUUUUAUGUUUAUUAAUGAAAUUCACUCGAACUGUUGAGUUUAGUAUGUAAGUUUUGCCUAACUGGCUUUUGAAUCCUAGAACCGCCACUGUUGCUCCAUCCUCCAUGCACUUGCAUGUGCUCUUACAAAGUGUGAAGUAGAUUUUGUGUGCUCCAAGUCAUUGACUAGAGCUGAAACAUGGUUAGCUAGAUUUAUAAGGACCCAUCUCUUUAUUUCCUAGACAUAUACCCAUCUCUCUAUAAAUCUAUAUGUAAAACCUAAUUUCAAACUUAAAUGACCAGUAGGAUAUAAAAGGUCAUAGUAUUCCUAUGUUUUUAUAUCGUUGCCACCAGACUUCUUAUUUUAUUUAUAAUUUAUUUCAAGCAUUUCAUUAACUGCCAUAAUUGUAAUUAAUACUCCAUAUUAAUAGCAUAUCAAUCACCCCAUUUCUUUUGGUUGCCAUUCCCUCUAACAUAUCGCCCCUUAAAUUUGAAAACCAAAAAAAAAAAAUGUAAAUUACAUAUCCAAUAAUGUACCUAUGAAAAAUAUAAAUAUAAAUAUAUACAUAUAAAAAUAUAGGUAUAUUAUUUACCAAAUAGAAAAUAUAAAAACCUAGGUCAGUUGCUUUGUAAUUGAAAUUUCUGUACAUUUUCCACAAAUUAAAAAUAGGUACAUAAUAAUUUAUAGAAAAUAUAUGUACAUUAUUUAUCCAUAGGUAAAAAUACCGAUAAAUGCACAUAGGUGAAUUAUUUACCAAUAUAUUAUUUUUUUGCUAAGGAUUUACCUUAGUUUUUAGUAGAUUAAUUUACCUACCUAGAGGCAUAGGUAGCUUAAAAAAAAUGUACCACCUUAGUUGGUUGCAUACUAAUUUACCUACCUAGAGGCAUAGGUUGCUAAGAAAAAAUGUAGGUAAAUUCAUGUACCUAAACACAUAGGGGUCAAAUAGAGAAUAACAUGUUAUUUCCCUUUGAACAAAUUAAUUUCAAACCAUAACAAUUAUUGAAUUUGGAAAUUGGUAUAAAUAAAAGGAAAUAAAUAAACUAUCAAUUUGAAAAUUAAAAUAAGAAAUGAUCAAGUAGUCAUAUUUGAAAAAAAAGGAAAGAAUAUAUUCUUGGUUUUUAUAGGAACAACGAGUAUAUUCAAACCAAACGGCGAUAACUACACCAAGCUUUAAUUACUUUUUUUUAAGGCCAAAAGUCACUUUUGGUCCCUGUAGUUCGGCAUUUCUACCACUUUUGAUGUUGUAGUUUCAAUUCCGUCAAUUUUGCCAUUGUAGUUUCGUAUUUGUAGCAAUUCAAGGACCUGUUAAUAUUAAUGUCAAUUUGUUUAAUGAUGCAAGAGGUAAUUUCGUCAUCCCAAAAUCCUUGAGCAUAAAAGAUUGUCUGAAAUUCUCCCCAUUUCAUAUUAGGGCUCGAAAUUCAACCACUAAUCCUAAUUUUUGAAGAACCCUAGACCCAAAUGACCAAUUUCAAGCCCUAAUAUGAAAUUACGGAAGUUUUAGAUGAGCUUUUAUGCUCAAGGAUUUUGAGUUGAAGAAACUGCCCCUUGCACUGUCAAAUAAAUUGACAGGAAUACUGACUUGUCCUUGAAUUGCUACAAAUACAAAACUACAGUGUCAAAAUUAACAGAAUUUAAACUAUAGGGUCAAAAGUAGUUGAAGUGUCAAACUAUAAGGACCAAAAGUGACUUUUAGCCUUUUUGUUUCAAUAAGGAAAAAACUGACCUAUUAAAUCCUUGGAAUCUAUACAAAAUUGAAACACAAUUAAUCAACAUUGAAUUGCAGCUAAUUUCUUAAACAAGGGUAUUAUAGGAAUUUAAAAAGUAUAACAUUUAAUCCAUUGAAUUUGAUUAGGAAACUUGAUGAAUUGAAUCCUAGUUAUAUAGUUUUUCUUAUAAAAAUCAGGUUUUAUUUAUAGACAAAUAAAACAAUGGGUUGUAGGUAAGAAAAUAUUAAUUUGAAGGGAAAGAGUCAAAUUUACUAAAUUAAUAAAGCAUAAAUUGGAAAGGGAAAAGAUCUAGAGGAUGCAUUGUAGGAUUGCUCAUGCCAAUAAUUGCACCCUCUCGAUAUUGAAAAACCUAUUGUUUAUUAUUAUCUUCAAUCCUGAAUGAUGCACCUAAAACCCAAGUGUCUCAGGCCAACCAUUGCGCUCAUACCACUUGUUGCAGUACACAUUCACCUGUUUUUAAAGAAAGAAAUUCUACCAAUCGAUAUUUUCUCAAAUUUAAUCACAUAGAUCUAUUAUGGUUAACCAUAUGUACUUUUAUCUGCCAUCCAGAGGUACCUUUUUCCAACGUGCAACAAUUGUAUUUGAUUCACAAUUAUGUCUGAUAUACAUCACAUCAUGCCACUUGCCUCAAAUGAAUUUAAUUGAGUGAGGCAAUGGGAAGUAAUUAAGCUCUAUAUUGGUGGGUGGAGUGUUACUUCUGGAACCCUCAUCAUUCGUCCAUACAGGGGAACAAUUCCCUUCCUUCUAUAAAAUGGGAGCAAUUCUCUCACUGUACUCUAUAUAAAGGAAUAAGUGUCGUCCACUAAUUAAUUACACUUUGUGAGAUUUGAUUUUAAUUAGAGUUCGAAUUAAUGUUGCAGCUAGCAGCGGUGGCACUGGCAAACCAUGCUGCUCAACCAGCACCUCCACUUUACUGGAAUUCCAUCCUGCCAAACACACAAAUGCCAAGAGCUAUCAGUGAACUUCUGCAUCCUGAUUUGUGUUGAAUAGAUAUAGUAUGUUACUGGAGUACGUAUGGCAACAUAUUCACAAAUGUGUCACGUAUUUUCCAUUAUGACGUUGAUAUAUAAUUGCAGACUCCACAAACGAAGAAAAGAGCACAAAUGUCAUGAAUGCUGUUGGGAAUGGAAAGCCAAUUGACCACAAGGGCAAACCUGAAAAUACUGUACUACCACAGCUUGCACGACGCCCAUUUUCUUACAAGAGUGAUGAUCGUCCCACUGACAAUCAACUCCAUUAUAAAAACGUAGCUAUUUUCUUCUUGGAGAAGGACAUGCGCCCUGGCACAACAAUGAGCUUCCAAUUCCCUAGAAAUUCAAACACGGCUACUUUCCUGCCACGAGAAAGAGCUCAAUCGAUCCCCUUCUCCUCUAACAAACUACCAGAAAUUUUCAACCAUUUUUCAGUGAAGCCAACAUCUGUGGAAGCCAAAACAAUUAAGCAAACAAUCGAAGAGUGUGAGGCUCCAGGCAUUAAGGGAGAGGAAAUAUAUUGCGCCACAUCUUUAGAAUCAAUGGUUGAUUUUAGCACUUCGAAGCUUCGAACAAGAAACGUUCAAGCAAUCUCGACGGAGGUAUUGGAAAAAGGUGCCACCAUGUCCAUGCACAAGCACACAACAAUGCCGGGACUGAAGAAGUUGGCAGGUGUCAAAGUCGUUUUGUGUCAUAAGCAGAACUAUCCCUAUGCUGUGUUUUACUGCCAUGUAAUAAAACCAACAGCAGCUUAUGUUCUCUCCCUGAAAGGCGAUGAUGGGGUGAAAGUUAAAGCAGUAGCCAUCUGCCAUCUAGACACAUCAGAAUGGAACCCAAAGCAUUUGGCCUUCCAAAUCCUCAAAGUUAAGCCCGGAACAAUUCCCAUCUGCCAUUUCCUUCCCACUGAUCAUAUUGUCUGGGUUCCGAACCACAAAUCUGCAUGAUCAUCACUUAGCACUGUACGUAUAAUAACCUUUACCCCUGUAUAAUUAUCUCCCUACUCUACUUAUUUCUGCCUCUUCAUGUGGUGUAAGAUAUAUGAUGAGAUGAAGUUUUUGGGAUUAGUGGUCGGGUUGCCUUAAAAACACAGAUUACAGAAACUGCUUGAACUUAACCCGAUCAUGUUUUCUCUUGUACUCGUAAAGCAUGCUGUUGUGGUUCUACUUAAUUUCGUCCUCCCCAAUGUUUGAGUGUUUAAUUGUUACGUUGGAAUAGGCUGCUAAUGCAUGUAGUUAGAGAAGCUUUCAUUUAUAUCAAAGUCCUCAAACUAUCAAGAAUUAAUGCAUCCAGAAACAUAUAUACCAAGACGCAAAACAACAUAUUUUCCAUGCUGUGUCGGUAACACCAAAGCAAACUUCCUUUAUCACAAAAGGACCAAAUUCCAAUACUAAUCUAAUCCAUCAUGUAAAGCAUACAAUCUACAACUGCCUCCCUAAAUUUGUCCAUUGGAUAUAUAUGUCACUUUUUGGUAAUUUGGUAUAGCAGCACCACGUAGUAUGCAUUUAACAGAAAAGUAAACAAAAUUGACAGUAGAACUAUUUGUCCUAACGAAACUGAAGUUGAAAGACCAUGAGAACGAUUUUGAAAAUUAAGGGACUCAAAUGAAAAUUGGGUCUAAGUUCAGGGACCAAUAAAACGAUUAACCCAUAGAUUUUGGAUCCAGUACCACAUCCCAAAGAGAAAACCACAAGUUUGCAAGCAAGUUUGUCCAUACUAACACUACGUACAGUAUGGGCAAUGUGCUAGACUCAUCUCACUUUCUCAACCUAUCCUAUACUUGUCUAAAAGAGUUUCUAAUUUAAUGUACUGAGAUUUACGAAAGAAAUAUCAGAGAAACAAUUUUCAGGCAAUAAAAAAAUGUCUUGGCAAGAAAAUGCACAAUUUGUUACAUAACUUAUUAAAUAUGAACAGUUGAAAGAAAAAAGAAUUUGGAUGAGGGAUUUGCAAAUUCCUAUGGCCCAAUUACCUUUUUUUCUUUGUUUUUUUUUGGUUCUUUUGAUCCAGUAGCAUAUUCCAAAGAAUGAAAACCACAGGCAUGCAAUGCAAGCUCUUUUCCCAUGUUUUCCUCUGUUUUUCUCCUAUCAUGGAAGUGAUUAAAACACACCUCUAAGCUUGUUUUGCGUUUGGUAGCCGAGUGUAAAAGCUCAAUGCAAGAUAGUUUGAGGUAGAAUUUUCUCCUGUUUUAUUAGGACAAUGAUGAGCUAUAUGUGACAACAAAUUGCUUUAAUAAUGAAAAUUAAAAAAGUGUGAUUCAUUGAAUAUUUGCGGGGUUUUGUUCAGAGCUGACAAAGUUCUAAGUCAACACAUCAAAUUCCUUUUUCCAACAAUCGUAUUUGAUUCACAAUUUUGUCUGAUAUACAUCACAUCAUGACACUUGCAUCAAAUGAAUUUAAUUGAGUGAGGCAAUGGGAAGUAAUUAAGCUCUAUAUUGGUGGGUGGAGUGUUACUUCUGGAAUCCUAAUCAUUCGUCCCUACAGGACUCUAGAACUCUCACACUUCUUACAAGGACUACUUAACUCUAUAGCUUAUUGCAUAUAGCAUAUAUAUGCAAACCCAAUUAGAAAUUCUACAACAGAAGCAAGAUCAAUCUCACUAUGCCUUCUAAACAAACAAACAAAUAAAACAAGCAUAUUAAUUGCUUUAAUCACUCUACUAACAUCAACACAGCACACUUAGUUUACUAACAGAUGAUAUAGAAAGGAAAAAAAAGGACCAAUAGGGAGAAAAUGGUGAACUAAGGAGAGACUAAUACUUCUGGUCCUUAGAAGGCAUAACAGAAAUAAUAGAGCACACUGCUUGAAUGCAAGUCAGUAUUAGGAGCAAAACAGCUGCAAUGAAAGAAAUAGUUGCCCAAGGUGUAUUGAAAUAAUGUUGCCUCAAAUUUGCCUUCCAUUUGUUCCAAGGCUUUCUGCAGUAGCUAUUAAGGCGCUCAGAAAGAGUAGCAAAGUAGAAGCUUUCACGAUACACUGCAAUUCCUUUUCCGAGGUUGUUAAUCAGAGUGCACACCUCAUUGUAGUCACCAAGCAUAUUUUUGACAAUCCCAUACUUCAGAAGGAACUCCACAUCCUUUUCGGUGUUCACAAACUCAUCCAUGAGUGAAACAUAAUCACUUAUGUAAUUCUUACGGCAAUGGCACUAUUCAAAGGCAAUGAGGUUAUGGAGUGUGAGCUCUGUGUAAUCGUUUAUUUUUAGUUUUGGAAUUUCUAGAAUCCCAUCGUUGAAUCGUGUUAACGCAGCUUUCCUUUCCUAGCCUACGCGGAAGUCAACUUCACAAUCUCCUCCUAGCAAUUAGCCUUUCCUACUGUAAAUCGGAUUGUAUUCAUGUCUAUAUUAUUUCCUACCUUAAAUAGAUAUCCUGUACUAGUAUACAUAGGGACUUUGUGUAAUCUGUUAAAUACAAGGAAAUAUAUACUCUACAUGGUAUCAACCUAACCUAGGGUUCUCUCUCUCCCCCUUAUUCGAUCCUCUUCUCCUUUAGGUCCACCUCAUGGCUUCGUUUGAAUCCACCAUCUCCCUCCCAAGCCCUAACUCUUCUCAUUUUAUCAAGCUUACUAACUCCAACUAUCUUCUUUGGCUCCGCCAACUCAAACCCUUUUAGUUGGCCAUGACCUCUGGAAAUUUAUCGAUGGCAUUCAUAAACAACCUUCUGCCCACACCUCCACCUCUACCACCACAACACCCACAACCACCACCACUCUUACCGAAAUCAAUCCUACCUAUGCUCAGUGGUACCAACAAGACCAACUCAUUGUUAGCUACAUCACCAGUACACUCUCUGAGUCCAUUUUCUCUCUCACUGUCGGUUGCAUCUCUGCCCGGGAUCUCUGGGAGUGUCUCCAAUGCCACUUCUCUUAAUCCAAUAUGGCCAGUGAAUCUGCUCUUCGUUUUCAACUCAUGGAUUUGCAAAAAGGCUCUCAACCCAUUGAUGCUUACCUUCGUCAUGCUAAGUCUCUUGCCGAUUCACUAGCUGCCAUCAAUUAACCUGUCUCCCCAAAAGAACUUGUCACUGCUGUGCUUCGGGGUUUAGGACCCGAUCACAAAAUGCUCAUCACAGCAAUUCUCAAUUUCUCUCCGCUUCCAGACUUUGCUGAUCUUCGUGCUCGUUUGUUAGCUUUUGAUGCACAGACUCCUCGAAUCUUUCCUGAUCAAAACACAACGCUAAUGGCCACCCAAUCUUCUCCUUACACCACCGGUCAUACUUCCUUCCCUUCUCACCGUGGUUGUGGCUCUUCCAGCAAUAGGCGCGGUGGCUGGUGCAGUAUUGGCCGUGGUGGCUGGCACAACUUCUCAUCUUCCUAGAGCAACCCGUGGAAUGGCUUCCAGCAGCCCUAAUGACCUAAUCAACUGUGGCCUCCUUUUGCUCUAAGUUUUGGAUCUCAAAGCAACUGGCCUUCCUUUCAACCUCUUUGGGCCCAAUCUGCCGCUUCUAGCAAACACUCUGCCCGACCCAACUCAGCUCCUGGUGUCUUGGGACCCGCUUGGUGCACCACAUGCAAUACCAAUCGACAUACUACUACAACAUGUCCUUAUUGCUACAAUGGCCCAGAAUUCUUCCUUUGCUGGGGCUCAAUUCAUGCAGCCACCUAACUCUACAUGGUACCCUGACACAAGUGCCACUCAUCAUAUGACUGGUAGUUCUUCUAAUCUCCAAAGGAAAUUAAAUGAAGGAGUCCUACGAAGGCUCAAGGCUCGAAAGCACACGAUCCGGCUCUGCUGCGGAGCUCACUCAACUACUGGCUGAGGGGGCGCAAAACAGAAAAUUGUGAGUGGACAAAAAUAAAAAUUCAGUUCAGUGUAAACCAACGUAAUAUAACCCCACCGUUUAGAAAACCAUGCAAGAAAUCCAAAUGCAUCUCAAAACCAUCAUAAUCAUCAAAUCAAAAUCAAAUACUGGAUGCCAAGUCCGAAAUCCAUAAAGAAAGCUUUACAAACCCACCAUCCAAAUCUUACAAUCCCACAACUAAACUCUCGAAAGCGUACCCAUUGGCAGUACCAGCAAGGAAGUAUCCUCACCGAGAAACAAGAACAAAAGAAUAGCUAUAUAUAUAAUUAUAUAAUAUAACCACACCUAGUUGUACCGGGAAAACAAUCCAACCGGGGGAUUGUUUGACUAGUCACCAUGGCAGAGUCAAAGUAAACAAAUUCCUCAAUUCACCAUGUGACUAGGGAACGAGCUGUCCAACUGGGGGACCAACUCUCAGCCAGCAUGUACCGUCGAUAGCCUCAAAACCCGUACGUCUGUGACCAGUCCUACGCGUGCAGACUACCCAAUCAAGGGUUUACAGCAACAUCCCAUCAAGGAUGCCCUAGGUUCCCACAAUUCCAAGUAUCUCAAGUUUGCGUAUCCAAGUUCCAAAUCCGGGGAGGUACAUAGGGUAGUGCUUAUAGCACUCCAAAUUGACAUUCUAUACUCAUCACUUUCCACAAUCUCAUCUCAACAACCUAAGUACCCCACACAUAGCCAAACAUAUAUAGAAAUUCUCAAAAUCCAUAUAUACAUACUCAAGAUACUCAAAUAUGUCAAAAUCCAAAAUAUAUUUCCAAUGCAUCAUAAAAAUAUCACUUUUAACAAUUGAAUAAAUAAUAUAUAUCCAAUAUACCAAUUAAAACAUCAUGCAUAAUAUUUCCCAUCAUAAAAUCAUGCAUAAGAUUUGAAAACAAAGUCCACUCACAAGUAGUCCCACACUGCUUGACCUUGAGAGGGUCCCGCCUACUGCGUAUGCGUGGUUGGAGUACCUAUUUCAGAAUACGUAUACGAGAUUAAUAAGAAGCGUUUCGAACGAGAACUUUGAAUUAAAUAUCCUAAUUUCCCAGGUUUCUAGUAAGUGUACUAGGAACGAGACGUUCUAAGGUUCCACUACCCAAUUCGAACCAUGGAAGAGCUUCGGGAGACACUCGGUCAACCGGCGGUCAAAUUCCCAAAUCGGGUCAACUGGCCCACGGGACCCACGACCUCCGUUUUUAAAAUCCGUAAGUUCCUAAAGGUUUCACAAUGUCUAAGAUACUACUAUCACAAGUUUGGUCCGAAACGGACUGUUAGAUCGCUUACGAUCGCACGAUCAGACGGUUAUUGUAAAACGUAAACUUUAAGUUAUUGAAUCAGAACAUCCGGGGCUCCGAUUCACGAUCCGCGAAUUCCUACACGAUCCUAGGAAGGUCUAGAGUAACAUAUAUUGGAAUGGAGUCGAUCCAAAGGUCCGAACAUAUCGAACCUAGACCGGAUAACUCCUAAUAUGUGAGAUUCGUUCGGGGUUCGAACAUCAACCAAAUUGGAAUCCUAAGGUACCUACGUGCUCGUGACAUUAAGGGGAUCAAUUGGGACAAAAAUGCCCCUCUGCUACAGUGCCCACGUGCCACCACACGCGGCGGUAGAGAGUGGGUGUCCAAAGCGAUUUCUCUUCGCCGGAAAAUCUCCAAAUUACAAGCCACUCUCCUGGCUACAGGUUCUACUCAACGAGUGGAACACUUUAUUCAACUACAGCCAAGUCCAAUUCGGACGGCAAGUGGCCGGAAACUCACGGUUUAACCCGGAACUUCAUGGCUUGGAUUGGGCGACCAUCGUCACCAUUGUCGUGGCACAACCUAGGAAAUAGCUAAAAGGAGAGGAGGGCUACCUAUUCCAAGCGAUGGCGCAGCUCGCGGUAGCCGAAAAUGUAGCCGAUGACGUUGGCAGUUUUGGCCGGUUUUUCACGUCGUUGCCAUCGCCGUUUGUCGAGUUUUCGAUUGGAGAAAAGGGGUGGGGUGAGUAGAGGAGGAAGAGAGGAAGCUUUUGCAAGAAAUGACACUUGUCAGGGAGGGGGGGGUUGGGGGAAGAGAGAGAGAGAGAGAGAGAGAGAGAGAGAAAAAAAAAAAAUUUCAGAUUUUCAUCCAAACCCUUUUCGAAAUAUUUACAAGUUUGCCACUAAACUACUUUUGGUUGCCAAAUCUUCGUUAUAACUCCGAUUCAAGCCUACCACGUGUCUACGGAUUCGUCUCAAUACAACCUACCCAAAAAUACCAGUCACUGCCCCAAACUCUUUUUGGGUAAGAAAAUGACCAAAAUACCCCUACCCCAAGGGUAAAUUCAUAAUUUCACUUCAAUAAUUUAAUAAAGAAUUAAAUUUGGAGUCGGGGUGUUACAUUAACUACCUGUUUAGUAGGUGUGGGGUUUUAUACAAAAAGCAUCGAUGUUAUUGGGAGUGGAACCACUUAUUAUAAGUUGUGAUUUAUUUAGUCAAGUUUCCUAUGUGGGAUUUUCUAUUCUUCAACAAGCCCCCUCAUGUGGGACCACCACAUAGUGGGCCACAUGUAAAGCUAAGUCCACAUCGGAGUCAAUCAUUCAAGCCCAAUACCUAAACACCACGUAUUGUGUGAGGGGUAGGGGUAAACAUUCAAGCCCAACAUGUGAACCACCAAAUAUUAAGUAAGGGUAAAGGCUCAAUUCAGGCCCAAUCAAUGAACCCAUUAUGAUAUCAUGUUAAAUUUCAGAUAGACGGGACUGUGGCCCACCACUAGCAACAUUGAUAUUGUCCCCAACUUAACUACAUGUUUAGUAGGUGUGGAGUUCUAUACAUAAGGUCUCGAUGUUUUUAGGAGUGGAACCACUUAUUAUAAGUUAUAAUUUAUUUAGUCAAGUUUCCAGUCAACCUGACUUUGAUACCAUGUUAAGAUUUUAAAGGGACGAACUCUUGGCACUAUUAGUAACAUCGACAUUGUCCCCAACUUAACCACCUGUUUAGCAAGUGUGGGGUUUUAUCCUAAAGGCCUCGAUCUUAUUAAGAGUUGAGUCAUUUAUUAUAUGGAACUUUCUAUUUUGUUAACUCUGUGUAUUCUUCAUCAAUGUGAACACCCCUAAACCAAUCAUACCUGAUACGAAUUGAAACACAAGUUUGUUUUUUGCCUUUGGUAGAUGAGUAGCUAGAAAAGCUCAAUGCACUUGCUCUUCUGCUACAUUUCAAUAUAAGAACAAGGUUUGGAAGUCAGGUCAACUCCUCAUAGCUUCCUUGCCUUUGCUUUGACAUGUCUAUGCACUUCUUGGGGAAGUUUGAAUAAUCCAUUGCAGGCCCCAUGACAACUAAGGAACCAACAUUUUGUAGAAGGUUUUGUCUAUACCUUUUGACUAUAAGUAAAAUCUUUUGUAUCUGCUCUUAUGUUUCGGUGAAGUUUCUAUGUGUCCUUUGUGCCGAGUUUCUAUGCGUCCUUUGUUGAACCAAAAAAUGAGGUUGUUUCUUACUAGAUUCAAAUACUUAAAAGAAAAAAAGAAAUUGUUGUUUCUUAAUGGAUUUUAUGAUGAACAAUAUCAAACUCUCCUCUUAUACGUCUGUUGGUAAAUUUUAACAACAAUAUUAAAACCUUGCAAGUGCACAAAUCAAAUGAUAGUAUAGUAAGCAAGCAAGGGUCGAUCCCACGGAGAUUGUGAUCUAAAGAGAUGUUUAUCAAUGUCACGCAAUGAAAAUCAAAACAAAGGACUUCCAAACACACGCCAACACCAAGGGGGGUUUUGAUUUGUUUUUGUGAAUCAAACAAAAUAAGGAAAAGGAAACAAAAGAGAAUUUAAAUUAGAGUUUAAGAGAAAUUGGUUUAAAAUCAAUCAAGAUCAAUAGCUAGGACUUACUAUCCACCUCCAAACAAUCAAUCAAUCCAUAAACAACAAUAGAUAAUCAAUUUCUAGUAAGCACACUACUACAAAAAAGCAAAAAGACGACGGUAAAUCACCGUCGUGUAUUCGGUUUUUCAAUGGUCGUGGAAUCCACCGUCAUCUUUUCCCUCAUAAACCACGACGCUAAAUCACCGUCGUUGUUACAAUAUACAACGUCAUCAACAAAUACAAAACGACGUCUUUGUACUGCAAAAAGAUCUAAAAAAGCAAUCGAUGAUGAGAAAAGACGACCAACUCUCUAAACAAACCGUCGUUAAAAAGAAAAAAUAUGACACAUAUUAACAGAACAUGGCCGCAAGAUAGACAUACAACGACGAAAAUUAAAAUAAGACGCCGUUAAAUAUCAUUUUCACGACAAUAAAAAAUAUGUCGUCUUUAAAUACAUUAGAAGACGACGUUAUUGAUACCUACUACGUCGCCUAUAUAAAAAUAACCGUCGUAAAAUAAAUUUUCCACUUCGAUUUUUCUAUAAAAGAUGACGUGGAAAUAGUUGUCAGUGUCAUUAUUUACGACGUAUGUAUUUAUAGAGUAGACGUUGAACAACGAAACAACGUCGGUUACAAAUAUAUGAGAGUCGUAUUACAAAAUUUAUACGUCCUAUUUUCAGAAACAAACAACGACGAUAAAUAUUAGACGUUGUUAAAUAAAACAACGUCGAAAACAAAUAAAAACAGACGUGUUUAGUCUGCUAAAGUUCUAAAAAAUAGUCGAGGAUGAGAAUAGACGACCAACUCAAACAAAUCACCGUCGUUAAAAAGGAAAAAUAUGACACAUAUUAAAAGAACAAGGCCGCAAGAUAGACAUACAACGACGACAACUAAAACACUACGCCGUCAAAUAUAAUUUUCACGACAAGAAAAAAUAUGACGUCUUUAAAUACAUGAGAAGACGACGUUAUUGAAAUAUACUACGUUUCUUAUUUACAAACAACCGUCGUGAAAUAAAUUUUCCACUUCGAUUUUUCUAAAAAAGAUGAUGUGGAAAUAGUUGUCAGUGUCAUUAUUUACGACGUAUGUAUUUAUAUAGUUGACGUUGAAAUGCGAAACAACGUCGGUGGCAUUUAUAUAGUCGACGUUGUAUUUAUAUGUAUUCAUUACUCACGACGCACUUAUUAAUAUAGACGACGUUGAACUUCUAAACAACGUCGGUUCCAAAUAAAUGAGAGCCGUAUUACAGAAAAUAUAGAUGGCGUUGAUUAUGAUGAGAGCCGUAUUACAAAUAACGUCGUUUAAUUGAUAUUAGACGGCGGUUAUAAUGAAUUACCGUCGGAAUUCAUUUCGUUCCUCUUCGUUUAUAAAAGAACUUGCGACGUGGAAAAUGUAUGAUGACGUCGUAUUUUUUAACGUUCAGAUUAUAUAUCUCGUUUUUUAGACGUCGGUAUUAUGGGAUUGGAGUCGUGUUAUUUUGAAUUACAUGGCGGUUCUUAAUCCUUCCCCGACGUGAUAUCCUGAAUAAUUGCUUCAUAAUAGCGUCGUGGUUCUUCAUUGUUACGUUGCUUUAAGACGUCGGUAAAUAUGCUGAAUAACUGGUUCACAAUAACGUCGUGUUUUAUUUGAACGUAGAAAGUGAAGAAAUCACAUUACAAUAUAUUACAAAAUUAAUGUCAUACACUGCCAAUUACAUAAGCAUCAUUCAAUCCAUAUAUCUUCACACCCAUCUCGAAUAUUUUGACCGCCUAACUCACCCACCAGUUCAUCAAAUGUGUCAACAUUUGGCAUCCCUCUAGUAAAUGGCUCACACUCAAUUAUCACAUCACCUAAGACUUCAUCACCAAUAACAUUAUUAUAUUCUCUAUUAGGCAUUGAUAACACUACCGACCAACCACGAUGCAUCGGGUCGUCAACAAAAAAUAUUUGUUUGACUUGAGAAGCCAAAACAAAUUGGUCAUUCCUAUGUCCAAUUUUACUCAAAUCUACAAGGGUAAAUCCAAGUUCGUCGACUACAAGACCAGAACUAUCUAUCCAAUCACACCUAAAGACUGGGAUUGUAAACUUUUGGUAGUCAAGGUCCCAAAUUUCUUGAAUGACACCAUAGAAACCCAUAUUUGAGAGAAUUGAGUUUUUAUCCUUGGCACUAGCAACUUGCAUGGUAUGUGCAAGUAAAUAAACUCCACUAUUUUGAGUUGUCCGCACAUCAUCUUGUGCCUUGAUAUUGAAUUUAAUACCUUUAAUAAGAUAGCUCCUAUAUAAUGGCACAGCCAUGUUUGGACCAGCUGCUAGCCACCUUAAAUUUUCUGAUACGCCAUGAUUGUCUUCCUCAAGUUCACUUUGAACCUGCAAAUUAAUCAUAUAUCUUAAUGCAAUCUAACAUAGAAAUAAGAAGAAAAUUAAAAGAGAAAUAUGUUAUUCAACAACAUAUACCUUGAAGCGUAGCCAUUGAAUGAAAGUGUUAUUGUGCUUAUCCUGCAGCCACUUUGUGAUUUAAGGUAUGACAAUCAUGUGAUUUAAGGCCAAGAAGUCUUGAAUCUUGUAAAGAUACAAGAUUUUUAAUAUUUGAAGAAUAACCUUCAGGGACCUUCAUACCAUAGAAAGAAUUGCAAACCUCUCUCUUCUCUGCUCUUGACAAAUUCCAAGGCCCAGGAGGCAAACGAGUACGUCUUUCUCCAUACUCGGGUUGCAAAUCAGUUUUGACCCCCAUGUUCAAUAAAUCUAAUCGAGCAGCAAUCCCAUCUUUAUUUUUUCCAGGGAUCUCCAGCAAUGUACCAAUGAUACUAUCGCAAACAUUCUUCUCAAUGUGCAUAACAUCUAGGGCAUGCCUCACAGGAAGGUAUUUCCAAUACUCGAGAUCAAAGAAUAUUGAUUUCUUCUUCCAACAAACUCUGUCACCAUUUUCAACCAUGUGCAGCACUUCUUCUCCGGUUAAUGGCUCGGGAGGUAUGCCAUAUUCAGGUUUCCCAUUAAAAGCUGCACGUUGCCUCCUAUAUGGAUGAUUGAUUGGUAACCAUUUUCUAUGCCCAAUGUAACAAAUUUUGUGGCCAUUUUCAACCUGUGACUAGGUGUAUCAUCGCCGCAUAUUGGACAAGCUUUAUAUCCUUUAACAACACAACCAGAUAAGUUUCCAUAGGCGGGGAAAUCAUUAAUUGUCCACAUUAAUGCAGCUCUGAGUGUAAAGUAUUCUCCAUUAUGUGCAUCAUACACUCCUCUAAUCCCAUCCCACAAAGAUUUUAAAUCAUCAAUCAAAGGCUCCAAGUAGACGUCUAUAUCAUUUUCGGGUUGUUUAGGACCGGAAAUCAAUAAGGUUAACAUCAUGAACUUUCGUUUCAUGCACAGCCAUGGAGGGAGAUUAUAUGUAACUAAGAUAACCGGCCAACAACUAUAUCUGCUACUUAGAGAACUGUGGGGAUUGAAUCCAUCAGAUGAAAGAGCCAAUCUCAAGUUUCUCGGCUCAUUACCAAACUCAGGCCAUUUAUCAUCAAGAAGUUUCCAAGACGGGGAAUCCGCCGGAUGAGACAUCUGACCGUCAAUUGAUUUUCUAGCAGCAUGCCAAGUCAAACUCUUAGCUGUCUCAUGUGAUUGAAACAUCCUUUUAAACCUUGGAAUUGGAGGAAAAUACCACACCACCUUCGCUGGCACAUCCUCUUUCAAGAUUGAAUCUUUGCCUUCCUUCCACCUUGAGAUACCACAAGUAGGACAAUUAGUUGAAUCCUCAUACUCCUUCCUAUACAAGAUGCAAUCAUUGGGGCAUGCGUGCAUUUUCUCAUAACUCAGCCCCAAUGCACACAAAGUCUUUUUUGCCUCAUACAUAGAGGUUGGUAUUGUAUUUCCUUCUGGAAGCAAAUCGCCUUGAAGUAUCAAUAAUUCUGUAAAACAGACAUCACUCAUCCCAUGUUUUGCCUUCAAAUUAUACAACUUCACUAAUGCCGAUAACUUCGUGUACUUUCUACAACCAGGGUACACUGGUUGAUCUCCAUCCCCAAUCACAUUGGCAAACUCAUACGGAUCGGAACCAAAAUCACCAAAAUCAUUAUCAUCCAUAUCAAUUUCUUCAGACACAAAACUGUACCUACUAUGGCCAUCAUCUUCUUCAACAUUUCUACUAGCAUUAGUAGUUGCUUCCCAAGGUUCUCCGUGAAAUGUCCAAUUCUUAUAGCUUUGGUCAAUUCCAUUAAAGUAUAAGUGAUCCCUUAUAAUUCCAACCCCAAACAACUUCAAAUUAACACAUUUAACACAUGGACAACGGAUAUGUGUUGUAGUUAGAAGAUUUUCUACAGCAAAGUUCAAAAAUGCUUCCACCCCAAACUCAUAUGCCUUCGAUCUUCUAUCCGAGUGCAUCCAUGACUUAUUCAUCUCCGACACUAUAACCUAUUAUCUAUAAUAAAGUGAAAAUACAGGCAAUGACCAUCACUAUAGCAGAUUAUACAAAGAUCUAAUAGCAAGUAAUACAUAACAGAGACGACGGGUUUUAAACAAAAACAGACGUAUUUGGCAUAUAUAGACGACGGAUUUUCAACAGACGUCGUCUAAUAUAAGUAAUACAAACGACGGUUUAUGAAAAAACCGUCGUGUAUAAGUAAUACAACGACGGUUUUUUCAUAAACCGUCGUGUAAUCGUCGUCGUAUGCCUAAAAAGGCGUCGUGUCUCAGUUUAUUUUCAAGAACCCAAAACCCAUUAAGAACACAACAUAUAUAUGAAACCAAGCAAGAAACCAACAUAUACAUGAAGCCAAGCAUGAAAACAAUAAAUCCAUUCCCAAUUCAACAUAACAUAGGGUGAUUAAAAGAUCCGACAAAAUUAAAACCAUUCCCAAUUCAACAUAACAGAUAAUGUAAUCCAUGAACCCAUUAAACAGAAAAUCCAUGAACCUAUACCUAUAAGCACAUUAUUAACAGAUCGCAAAGCAUAUACCUAAAACCCUUUAACAAAACAACCUAAUAUCAUUCAAUGAAUUUACAAAGGGAAGAUAGGGUUUGUACUUACAGGUUGGACGAGCUCACAGAUUCGACGAAGCCUGGAGAGUGCAACUUUUAAUUAGAGCAGAAGUGAGAGAGCGAAUGUUAUGUUGCGCGAAAUCUGAAAAUUUUAGGGUUCAGGGUUAGAAGUAUAAGAAUAAGAGCCAAAUAUAAAAAAAUUUAGGGCGCGCGAAAAUUUUUAGAGCGCGCGCUCUUUAAAACGUCGAAAGAAAAACCAUGGCGAAAGUUCUACAAGAACCGACGUAAAUGUAAUAUUCCACGACGAAAACACUUAACGUAACGCCGUUUAUUUUGACGUUCAUUUUUCGGAUUAAUUUUAAAUUUAUUUUGAAUAUUUUGAUAUAAAGACGACUGAAAAACCACGUCGAAGUUAAGAAAUUGAAAACGUUGUAAAUUAUAAUAGACGACUUACAUAUUAAAAUGACGUCGUUUAAAGUGGAAACCAUGUCGGAUAUUUUACUGCACGACGUAACAUAUGUAUUCCACGACUCAACCACCGUCGUUAACAAUUAAUACCCUAAACCCUUAAAACUAAAUUAUAUAAUUUUAAAAAUUAAGUUUAUAAAAGGGUUUAUGGUUUUACAGCCUAAUAUAUACCCUAUACUACCCAAAAAUUAUACUUUAAAAAUAAACCCCAAUAAAUAACAACCCUAAUCUCUAAACCCUAGACUCUAAACCCUAAACCAUAAAACUAGAAGUGAUUUUAUGACUCAUCAAAACAAUUUUGUUUUGGAUGGUCAUUUUAAAUUUUUUUUAUUCAAAAUGAAUUUUUUCAAGGUUUAGGGGGAAGAAAAUAUAUCAAUGACUUCAUAGGAGUUGACUUUUCAUUUUUCUGAUUUAUUUUAAAUUUAUUUUGAAUAUUUUGAUAUAAAAAUAAUAAAAUAUUCUUAUCACAAUAACAAACCACGUCGGUGUUAAUAAAUUUUAGACGUUGUAAAUUGUAAUAGACGACUAAGUUGUUAAAAUGACGUCGUUUAAAUGAGAAACCAUGGCGGAUAUUUAACUAUCCGACAUAAAAUAUAUAUUCCACGACUUAACCGCUGUCGUUACAAAGUACUACCCUGAACCCUUAAGAAAUUGAAGACGUUGUAAACCAUAAACGACUCAAUUGUUCAAAGAACGUCGUCUAAAUAUCCUUUUACGUCGGAUUUGGUUAAAACGAAACAACAAAAAACGACGGCUUUUGACUUUAUUACGUCGUUGGAAAAGUAUUACACGUCGGUUACGCAAUUUGUAUGUUUGUUUUUUUUUUUAAUUUAAGAAAACCUCAACAAAUUUUUACAUUAUAUAUUAUAGACAAAAUUUGUACAUUAUACAUAAAUAUCAAGUGUUCAAUAAUUCCCCUAUUCCAGGUGAAGGCAAACAAACUCUGACCAUUCAUUCCGGACUUCAUCAAUUGCUUCUUGGGGGUAUGGCGCUUCCUGUUUUCCCUUGGCAUACUGCAUAAACAAUGACUAUUAGGGUUUAUAAAUAAAAAGAAAUUCAAUCACAGACGACGAUAUUUUUCAUAACCGACGUACUAUAUCUAUUCAACGACGGUAAUUUUACAUGACCGUCGUUGAUAAUACAAAAAACGACGUAAAAUGUAUGAAGGUAAUUUCUUCUUACCUUCUUCUCAAACCCCAAGGAAGGAUCCAUGAUGAUGUCCCUCAUGAAGCGCAUCACAUAAUACCCGCAUUCGACAUUGCUGGGUUGCUUUGGUGUCCCUGACAGAGUUUUCCAAAUGGCUGCCUUACGGCCUGGUCUGGCUAUGUGAGAAUUAUAAAUUUUUAUAGCACUGUUCACAAUGUUUUUGGCCUCUUCAUCGACCACACGAUUUCCUGGCAGAGGAUCCAGAAAAUAGACGGUUUCUCUCUUUGCUCUUACAAUCAGCAAGAUCCAAUGACGGCUGCACAAAAUUAAUAUAAAAACGACGGUUAUUUACAAUAACGACGUAUUAUAAUGUUUCACACGACGAAAUAAAGUAGCAAUCGACGACAUUUUACAUUUAUCACGACGAUAAAUAACUACCGACGUGGUUAGUAGUUUCAAACGACUCAAUAAAAUAAAACACCGACGUGGUUAGUUUAUACGCUGUAAUUUAUUGAAAAUCAUAAAAACAAAAUCCUGUUAAGGAGACUAACCCUGGAUUGUAAGGCAUCAGGAAAAUCUGUUCACCGUCAGUCUUUUGAAGUCGAGCUGCUAGUAAGCGUGAUCUGUCAGCUAUUGUGCCAGAGUUGGCACUAACUGUAGCAAGGUCGAUAAAGCCAACCAUAUUGCACAUAUUUGCUCGUUUCAAAACAUCGUGCAAGUGCCUAAAUAUAUAAAAUAAUAUAAACAAGUCAGCACAAAAAAACACACGACGGUUAUGUAUAACAAAACGACGUAUUAUAAAAUUUCACACGACGUACUGAAAUAGACAACGACGUUAUAAUAUAUUUAUCACGACGGUAAAUACUAACGACGUGGUUAGUUAGUUAAGACGACGUAAUAAAUAAACCAACGACGUAUUAUUUUAGAAUGACAAACCUCAUAUAUACAAAAAAACACGACGGUUAUGUAUAACAAAACGACGUAUUAUAAAAUUUCACACGACAUACUGAAAUAGACAACGACGUUAUGAUAUACUAACGACGUGGUUAGUUGGUUAAGACGACGCAAUAAAUACACCAACGACGUAUUAUUUUAGAAUGACAAACCUCAUAUAUACAGCAAUGACAGUGGCUCCUAUUUCUUCCAUGCCUGCAAAUUGUGUAAUAUCUUCAGGCAGGAGGAAGGUAUCGCGCUCUAGACCAAACACCUCCUUAUCAAUUGUAAAGUGCAGGGUCUUAUCCUGAGGCACGAGUGUCGUUUCCACAUAACGACAAAGGGAGUUUAAAGAAGAUGGCGCCUCCAUAUUUGAAUAAUCAACAACUUUAAUAACCUGUUUAAAGAAAUAUAAAAAAUGACGUGGUAAUUCAAUAAAAACGACGGUUUAAGGAAUAAAACGUCGUCUGAAAAGAAUUUAAACGUCGUCUGAAGAAACCGUCGUGGUGAAUAAUUUAUUACGUCUUAAAAAAAAUUCCGCCGUCUAAGUUGUAAACAAACGACGGUUUAAAGAAAAAUAUCGACGUCUGGAAUUUUGAAAAACAAAUAAAAAAGGCAAAGUUAUGUGAACAUACCUGGUCGUCAUCUUCUUUCUCCUUUUCAUCAUGUUUUUCUUCUGUCUUCCCUUCAUCUAUUACGUCGAGAAUGACUAACUCCGUCGUCUAAAAACCACAAAGUUUUAAAAUAACGACGUUUAAUGGCGUGUAAAACAAGUAAACUAAAUACGACGUGGUAUUGAAAUACAAACGACGGUUUAUGUUUAAAAUCGUGGUGGUAUGUAUUUCAAACGACGGUUUUAUUAAUAAUAACGACAUCUAAUGGUUUUUAAAAAAACAGAGAAUUCAAAGUUCAGAUAUGUUACCUUUUCUUCCUGAUGUUUCCCAUUUUUGGCAGUAUCAUCCUCAAAAUGCUGGGAUCUCACAUCACCUCCAGAGCAGCUUGCUUUGUCAGACAUUGGAUUUUUGGGACUUUGGCUAAUUCUGGGUUUAAGCAUGCUUGGAUCAAAAUUGGGAAUUAAUUGGGAAAGCUGACUCAGGAAAUGCUCCCUCUCAGCCUCUACCAAUUGUUUCGUUCUAGCCUCCAUCCUUAAAGCCUCUUCCCUUGCCUUAGCUUCCAUCUUUUUAGUCUCUUCUUGAAGGAGAACUCUUAAACUGUCCUUCAAACGGUCGUCAAAGCUCACUCUCUGUGGUUUGGGUAAAUUGAAAUAUUGCCUUGGUGAGAUCCCAGCACCUACUCCUCUCACUCUGCCUGGAUGCUCGGGGCCCAAAGCCAUGGUCAGCACAUCAUUGCUGCCAGAAACAGUGACUUUGCCUUCCGAGACUUGUUUUUGCAAUUCAUCCUAAAACAAAGAUAUAUAAAAAAGUAAGAACAAAAACACACGACGGUUAUUUAUAUACAAACGACGUAUUAUAUAAUUUCACACGACGCAAUAACAUAUAAAUCGACGUUAUUAUAAUUUAUCACGACGGUAGUUUUUAAACCGACGUGGUUAGUUUUUAAAACGACGAAAUGAAUAAACCACCGACGUCUUAUGCUUUAUUUACAGAUAACAGAGGGAUGAUUCAAUAUUCACACCUUUAACGACCUUGUUUAAAAUAUUUCGACGUAGUAAUUCAAUACAAACGACGCGAAAAUGAACCACCGACAUCUUAUGCUAUAAUUACAGAAAACAGAGUAGUGAUUCCUGAUUUAGACCUUUAACGAUGUGGUAAUAUCAUUCACACGACGCAAAAUAUAACAUAAGACGUAAUAAGAAUUAUUCACAGUUUAAUAAAAAUUUAAAACAGAGUGAGUAGGCUUACAAUUAAUUUUGCUUUCUCUGCCACCUUUGGAUCCGGGAUGUUACCAUGUUUGUCCUGUCUAGCUCUCUUCCAUAAGGUAGAUCGAUCAAUUUCUACCCCAGGCAUGGUUUCCUCCAAUUGAUCCUCCAAACCAGCAUAUCCUUUUCGAGACAAUCGAUGAUUGUACUCAAGUUUCUCCCUAAUCUGUGCAUGUUGAGAAUGCACAGACUCAAAAUCUUUGGAUAACCUUGAAGCUACAAAGGCAUCCCAUUGUGCUUUCUCUAUGAAUUUAUAUAUUUCAGGGGGUUGGCUUAAUCUCUCCCUGUCAUUAGUGUAUGGAAGGAUAUAUUGCCUCGUUAGUGUAGACUUGAAAUCCUUCCAUUUCUUGGCAGCAGAAGCUAACACAGAGCUCUUGCCCCCUUGACCUACCACAAAAGCAAUGUCAACUGCUUCCCAAAUCUGCUCCUUUAUAUCCUUGGAGAUUUGAGCCUAUUUCAUGUCCACAAGUGGAACUCUGGAGCGUGCCAACACACCAAUGUAGGACUGCAUCUCACUAUGUGCUUGGCCAAUUCCUUUCCCCCUUUUAUUGUACUCAACAAUUGGCCUCAGUUUCUGAAGUUUUCUCUUCACAACAUGAGGCAUUGUGCUCAUACCUCGACCAGACUUUGAAUCAUCAGAGAUUGUUGUCGUGCUGGUUCGUUCUGUCUCAGCAGAUGAUGAAGCAAACUUCAUCUUCUUCGAAGGCUUCACUUGAGGAGGUACCAUUCCAAGGUCCUUACCUCCAUUUUUCUUGGAGCCAGAAUCCUUACUUUGGUCUUAGUGAGAAACCAUUUUUACAGACAAAACUGCAAGUGAAAAUAUUUCAGGAAAAGAUUAAGAACACAAACGACAGUUAUUAAUAAAAUACGACGUAUGAUAUGAUUUUAAACGACGCAAUGAAAUAAUCUCAGACGUAAUAAAUGUUUAAAACCAAGGUAAUUAAACAACGACGAAAUAAUUAACUAUAAACGACGUGAUAAUUAACUAUAAACGACGAAAUAUUUAUAUAACGUCGUGGUAUUGAUGUUCACACGACGUCAGUCGUAAUAUACCGUCGUCUAUAUAAGGAUCCAAAACCCUUCUUUCUUUCUCUGUGAAUGUUUGAUUGCAGAUUUGAUUUUUCUGAACCAUGGUUUUUGUUUUCUAAUUUGAUAAAAUACAAGGCCAAGAAAGAAAGUUUUGGAAUCUUAUAUAGACGACGGUAUUUUAAUAUGACGUCGUGGUAUUAACAUUCACACGACGUAAAACAAUAAGAUACUGUCGUCUAUAUUAGAUACCAACCCUACUUUCUUUUUCUUUAUAUUUUAUCAAAUUAGGGAAAAACAAAAACCAUUGUUCAGAGAAAUCAAACCUGCAAUUAAACAAGCAAAUAAAAAAAAGACUAUAAUUUUAAAAACAACUUUGUCAAUUUUCAGACGACGCUAGAACGACUGACGAACCGUCGUGGUCUACAUAUUUAACCACGUACAUAAGAAGCUACCGUCGUCUUAUUUAGUUGAGGUAGUUGUCUUCAAAGUUGGAAACUUUCCCUCUUUGUCUGUAUAUUUUAUUGAACUUGGAAAGAAGUAAAAUGAUUUUGGCCAGAAAAAAGGUAAAAAGAUUUUUCAAACAAAAAACGUAUGAGCAUGCAAAACAACAACCAAAAUAGUGAAAAUGAAAGCUUACCUUUUGCGUGCAAUGAAAGCAAGAGGAAGAUUAUGUUUAAGUUCAGAGACGACGAAGAAGAAGAGAGGAAGACGAUGAGAUACUCUGACAGUGCUCUGACAAGGAAAAAAGUCUAAAAGUUUUCUCUGGGAGAUUGAACUUUUUAAUCGGGUUUGAAAACGGCGCAUGUGUAUGUCAGGUAGACGAAAAGUUGCUUACAUAUAAAACCAUUUCAAAAAAAUAAUACGGCGGUUACAUAUAACUACGACGUAUAAAUUACAAAAUACGACGGUACAUUUAACUUCGGACGUGGUAAAUAAAUACGACAGUAGUGUUGUAGGUACCGUCGUAGUAAACUCAAAAAUUAAAGUACAUAAGUAAUAACUCGCGUCAUGGUAGAUUAUUUAACACGUCGUUUUUAUUAAUUUACCGACGUGGAUUUCUGUAAUAUACGUCGAUAAUACCGACGUUGAUUUUACAAUUUAAACGGCGGUUUUUUUGUAAGGACCGCCGUUGGUUUUAAAAAUUUAUUCUAUAAAUUUGUCGCUUUCAUUCAUUUUCGGUUUACAUUUAAGGUUCCAAGUUCUUCCUCUCUCAGUCUCUCACGUCUCAAAGACAAUAAUUUGGAUGUCUUUCUCAAAGAGAAAUUGAGCUUACUCGCAUCAAAUAUAUGUCCACAAGAAGAAGCUUGUCAACUAGCCUUCUCACUUCCUUGAUCAAGCCUGAUAGGACACUUAGUGCUUCUGAAUACUCCUUGCUUUCCAUCAAAAGAGAUGCAAGCCUGGCCUCCACUCGCUGUCGAAGGAAAGUUCGCUUCUCAGGGAAAUCUUCUUGAUUUUCUUGGCUAAGAAGAUCCGUCAGAUUUGUGAUAGCCUCUUCCUUUAUCCGUAGAGCUUCAGAAGAAGAAGAUGGGUUUCAAGAAUGCGAUAAAGAAUAGAAAUGGCUUCAGAUGGCCUCUAAAGCAUGAGCAAUCGAAUCAGUAGUUGUUGGGAGAUAUGAUGAAGACAUUGUCAAUGCUUUGAACUAUACAAGUCCUGCAGAAAGAUAAAGGACCAAACUGUUAAAGAAACUGAAACAAUGGCGGUUUUCUGUUCUACCGUCGUCUUUUCUCGUCGUCUAUAUUAAGGUAAGAUGGCGGUAGAUUUAUAAUUACCGACGUAGAUUAUUUUGUUAAACGUCGUUAAGUGUACUACAACCGACGUGGAUUUUAUUUUUAAAUUAUAAAUAGAGUUUUUUUUCCCCUAUUCUUUCAGUUUUAGUUUUCAAUUACAAAGCGUGAUAAAUAGAUUUUUCUUUCCCGAGGAAAUUUAAAAUGAGGGAAAUUAAUGUUCUAGAAUUUGUAAACUAACACGACGCAAUAUUUGCAAAUCUGUGUCAUCUGUUAAGAUUAUGAUGUGGAACAGAGUUCCAUCUGGUAAGAUUUCGUAACCCUUGGGAUCUCAGACAAAUCUGAUUAUGUCGGCGGUUUUCUAUAUAAAUCGUCGUGGUUAUUUCAAUUCUUGUCAUUAAGUAGAUCUACCGACGUAGGAUAAGAAAAUCAAAGAAAAAAAUUGUUAACAAAAAUUCUUAUUAAGACGACGGUUAAAAUUAAAGGUACGACGUAUAAAAUGAAUAAAUACGACGUUAAAUUUUAUUGUACGAUUUAAAGAUAACGUCGUAGAACUAUAAGAGAAUGACGUCGAUAUAUUUAUAUUUUCCGUCGUUGUACAUUAAUUUAAUACGGCGAUAUUUUGUAUUUUAAAGCCGUGGAUUUGUUUGUAAUUAUACGGCGUCUUAUACGAAAACCUCGUCGUGUUAUUUUAUGAGUAAAAACGGCAGUUUUUAUUGAAAUCGUCGUCUUUACUUUCUACGUCGGUCGAUUCAUAACUUCUGCCGUUCUUUGUUGGCAUUGAUUUUACACUGCGAAAAUCUGUUUCAAAUAGACGUCGGUUGUUUAAUUAUGUACGUUGUUGUUUUUGAACAGCCAUUUGAAUCUCCAUUUUUUAGUUGUCUAAGGUUGUAUUACACGACGGUGUUUUUAGAACCGUCGUCUUUUUAAAAACCACGACGGUUUUCACUUAGACCGUCGUUGUUUUCUGGUCGUCUUUUUCACUUUUUGUAGUAGUGGCAUAUGAUGACGACACUCACAACAAGAUCAUGGCAUUUGACUCGAGUUGUAUGAUUCUCUCUUAAGUGUAUGUAAAGUGUAUGACAUUUACAUCAAUACGUGUAUUCUUAAUUGAAAUCUACUAUGGCAUUUACUCAAAUUAACAAUCAAGAAUCCAUUAAGAUCAAAGAGAAUAUGAGUGUCACAAAAACCCUAAAACAUGGCAUUUGUUAUUAGGAAUUCAAGAAUCGAUUUCUCAUAACUAGUUCUUAACCCAAUUAUUCGUUGCAAAUAAGAACACAUUCAAUAUGGCAAUUGACCUAUGUUCUACAACAAUUUAAUUCCAAUACAUGCUUCUAAGUUAGCUACUCAAAGAAACAAAAUAUCAGAAUUCACAUAACAUAUAGAAACCGAAAACAUCACGCUUGUAGAAACUAAAAAUCCAUUAACCUUGUUUAUAAAAUUGAAAUCAUGUUUAGGGCUUCAAGAUUAAGCCCUAACUAACAAGAAAUUAGUUACUCAUGGUCUUGGAUGAACUCAAAAAUAAAUACAUAAGAACUGAAAAUUAAAGAAGGAAGGAAAAGAAAGAACUCGUUCGCAGCUUUCUCCUCUUGCGCUGUUGAUCUCUUUAGGACGUGAAUCCUUUUUAUCAGCCUUGCCUCGUCUUUUAUAUCACUUAUAUCAGAGUUCUAAACCCUAAAAUUGACUGAAAAGUCGUCCAAGAAGUCUUGGUAAACAAGGAAUCCAAAUAGGAAAGUAAAAAUCACAAUUCCUAACUCCACUGGGAAAUACAGCUCAGCCCAAUGUUCACACGAUUUUGGGAUCUUCGACCUUGUAGAAAAAUCAUUAAAAAUAUAUUUUAGAAAGAUAAAUGUCUUAUCUUUCCAACCAUAUAUAGCACGUAACUUGAAAAAUUCGGAAAGGCUUCCGUUUCUUCACAUUCACGUAGCAUGUACGAAACUGUCCUGUCUGCACGUGGGCUAACUUUACUUGUAAUACUGUACCAAUUGGCUCGGUAGAAAAUUCUAGAAAAAUCAUAGAUUGAACUUCAAGAUGUUAGCUUUCAUCUCCAAUCAGGGGCGGCCUUGGGGAGGUGCAAGUGGCGCCACCGCACAGGGCCCCCGAAAAAAAAAAUAUUUAUAUUAUAUAUAUAUAUUAAUAUUAUAUGAAUCGUAUAUAUAAUAUAGCGUCUGGAUAUUUGCACAACAGCGUGUUCAGGGGAGUUGGAUGGAGCACAUCUCUCUUUGGCAAAAGGGCCCGAGUUCGAUGCUCCUUGAUGUCGUUCUACUGGCUAGCCUUUUGUGAUAUUAUUUUUGCAUUCAAACUUUACAUAAUUAUUGAACCAUUGGAUUAAUAUGCAACGAUGGGUGACCACAAUCUCUUGGACUCCUGUGGUCCAUGAGAUCGGGACUGAUAUUACAUGACUUAUUUUAUUAAAUUAUUAUCAUGUUGAUGAUUGGUUGUAUGAGAAUAUAGUUUGUAGAAAUAUUUAUCUAUUUCUUGUUGGGGUUUUCUUCCAGGUUAUAGGGUUUUGGAAUUUUUCUUUGUAAUCUAAACAUGCCACCUACUAGAAAAUACGUUUAUGGAUAUACAAAACGGCUUAGAAAAAGAAAAUUCGAGGAAUUGACUCAAUCUCAAAGAGGAGCUCUUGAUAGAUUCAUUGUUAGAGAAUCACAUGCUACAAUUGAUGAAAAUAUUUAAAUUUUUAUGAAUUUAAUUUCUGAUUUUCAUUGCAUAUUUAUUGAUGGUGAAUUUUAGUUAUAAAAAAAAAUUGUUUAUGACAUUAAGUUAUGGCAAAUUUUUAUAGUAUUUUCGUAUUAGAUUAUGCAAGGCCCCAAUUUAAGUUUCGCACAGGGCCCUCAAAAUCUCAGGGACGGCCCUGUCUCCAAUUGGUCUUGUGCUAAAAUUCCUCCGAAAAGUUGAUUUUCCCUUAAAAACCUUCUAAGAGUGCAGAAAAGCUGAAAAUCAGAAAAAUAAAGUAAUAAGCCAUUUUUAAAUCUAAUUCUCUUACAAAACCAAAGUAAAAAGAGUACAUAAAUGAGUAUAUUUAUGGACUUAUCAACGUCUUCUUCGUUGGACUUGGGGUUGUUUUCCUUAUAUGUCCCCUAUAUAUAUAUAUGGCCUUUAGUUGAGCCCACAAAUACCUUCAGUUAGUUUUUGGGUUUAGGGGCCUACAGAACCUGCACUAAACAAUAAAAGAAAAUACCUAAUUAGUUUAGUACGAAUUUAUAAUGAAGGCUUUAUUAGGUGAAGUUUUAUUUCUUAAUCGUUAGAUCAAAUUGGUUAGCAUCUGAAGUCGCCCAAAGAUUUGAGAGGGAUUCCACAAACAUAUAAUAUAAAGAAAGAAAGCAAUAGUAGGAGAUGAACCAGUACAAAAAACAAUAUAUAAAUAGUACAUAAUAAUUCCAUAACCUUGUCACAAACGCACUCACAAAUGCUUUCCAUAAACCUUGCCCUAACAUAUAACAAAUAAAGGCAACAUUGCAUAUGAUGCAACCAUGUCCAAAUCUGAUACGUGAUAAAAAAAAAAGGACAUGGCAGCAACAUAUGACUGAAGUAGAUGGGCUCUUUGCAUCUCGUGUUAUCGUAAUUAAAGACAUCAAAAUAUUAAGGUUGAAAUCUUCUAUAGUAGCAAGCAUUAAAAUAGGUUUGAAGCAGAGUUUAAAGAAAAUUCCAAUUCCACUGAUUUGCCUCUGCUCAAAGACGAGAACCAAAAUGGUUACUUCCCUUGCUGAGUAUAUUUGUUAACGUCGGAAACGGUAAUAGAUGACCAAUCAAACCCAAGUACGACGAGUUUUGCAUAGGAUCAGAAGUAGUUGAAUCCAGCUUGCAUCACACGCUUCUUUGACUCCAUUGCAUUAGAUGAGUUUUUGUAUUUUUGAACAGCUACACUCCGAAGUCGUUUGUGUCUACGCUUCAUGCGCUGCAACUUCGCCCUAUCCAGAUUGGCCUGCCUUUUGUCAUCUUCAAUUUGGCCUUCAACAAAUUCCAAACGUGCCCUUGCCCUUUGGAUUUCAUCACCAAGUUGAAGAUGCCUCUCCUUCCAAAAAGCAAGAACUCUUUCAGACUCAAAACUUCCAACAAAAUGGUCAUUCUAUCUAGGAAUGUGACAUUGCUUGUCUGGUGACUCACCUGCGUUUCAAAGGCGGUCUUUGUUUGGAGGGGUGUUUAUUAUGCUCACAUCAAACUUGGUUAGUAAAUCCAUUCUAUGGGGGGAGUGAGUUUCUGUGGAGGAGAGAGUUUCAGUAGAUGGAGACAGAUUCGGUGGAGGAGUGAGAUUUUUGUGGAGGGAGAAUUUCUAUGAAAUGGGUGAUAGUAAUACCAAUAAAAGGGUUCCCGCCAAAAAGUAUUUGGUUGACAAUGUAUAAAUUAAUUUUUGGUCUGAUACAAUCUAAGUUUAAUCCUAACUAGUUUGGUUAGUUUGGUUGAAUUCACUAACUAGAUGUCACUUCCAUUGAGUUUCUUUCAACCACUAUCAGUGGUGUAAGGAGAGUGUGAGGUUGACAUGCUUGAAAAGCAAAACCUAACACCUCUUUUUUUUAAAAUUGAAAGAAAGUACAUAUGUUGACUACACACAAGCUUUGGUAUGUUGGUCUAUAAAGCUAUGUUCCCUUUCUCAAACGAAAUUGCAUAUGCAAUCCUCGUCCUCCCAAAACAAAUAGAAUUAUUCAAGCAUGUCAACCUCUUCAGGCGCCAACAACACAAUCAAAGAUGACAAAUUGGAGUCGCAGGUUCUAUUUCCACAUUGUACUCGCCGACCCCUUCCAUUUUCAACAUCAUUUGGGAGUGAGGGGGACUCCGAUGAUCCAUUAGAGCUAAUACAUGCAGUCAAUAGCAAGCUGGAUUAUAAUUCCAGACUGAUCAAUUCAUGGCGCGAGAAAUAUGUUGAAGACGAAGCCAUUUUGGCUGAUCUUAACAUUAGAGUGAACAAAGCGUUCUCCCAAAAGAACAAGUACUUGAAGCUGAGUCAUAAAAGGAAGCUGAAAGCUGAGGAGUUAGAUACAGUAAUGAAUGAUGAAAUUAAAGGUUGUUUGAUGAAUCAUAUGCGAUGCGAAGAGCACCACAGUGAACUGGAGUUGGCAUUCAACGAAGGAUUCGAAAAAUUACGAGCAUUUGCAGCAACUACUCAUACAAGUUAUAAUUGGGACUAUGUGUCCCCUGAUGUUGUGAGAGAGAUACUAGACGAUGGUGGUGACAUGAAUGAGCAUAAGCACGUCAAAGCUGCUUGGAAGAAGCCGACCGAUACGACUAAGUGAUUGCGGCUACAGUUGUUCAGUUGGUUGAGAGUGAUCGUGGUAUUGCACAAAUUAGAAGUAUAUUCCCAUAAUGUCAUUAUCUAAUUUAAAAUAACACAAAUAUCAGUUUCAUUUGCUUCAUAUUGUAACACCCCGACCCCAAAUUUCCCCAAAAUUUACCCUCAUUUAAUUAAUUAAUUAUUUAAGGGUAUUUUAGUCAUAUUUUUAACCGGAGAGAGUUUGGGACCAUGACUUGUAUUUUUGGAUAGGUCGUACUGAGACGAGUUCAUAGACACGUAGUGGGCUCGAAUCAGAGUUGUAACGAGAGAGAUAUGGUCAAAAGAAACCCAGUGGCACAAUCGUAAAUAUUUCAAAAUGGGAUUUUUAUAAAAAUCUGGUUUUUCUCUCUCUCUCUCUCUCUCUCUCUCUCUCUCCCGCGACUUCUCUCUCUCUCCCGUCGGCUCUCUCUCUUUCUCUCCUUGUAUCUCCGGCCACCGACCACGGCUGUGGGCGGGGCCGGUACCAAACUGACCGGGACGACGUCCCCUUCCUUCCCCGACCAUUCCCCGCCGGCAACGCGGCCGUUGCUGGCCGGAAAAUGCAGAAAACCGCCGGGAGGUCGUCGAAACUUCAACGCCGUCGAUCUCCCUCCUCCGGCCACCAUUUUCGUCGACCCAGGUAUGGAUCUUGAACCUCUCGAGCUGUUCUAGCUGUUUGUUGGUUGGGUUUUGAUCGAUUCGAUCUCUAGAUCACUCGAUUUUCGAAUUGAAAAUUGGCCGAAACUUCGGCCGCCGUGAUCGGCCAUUUUCGGCCACUUUUUGUGGUAGGUCCAAGAACAAAAGUGGCUCCAAAUAGGGUGUUAUACCUAGGGUAGAAGUUUGGAGCCGAGAUGUUGAGAUUUUCCGGCGAAGCGUUAUCGCUUUGGGCACCCACGCGUGCGGCGGCGCGUGGGCACUGUAGAAAAAGUAGAUGUGUUCCGAUGAGAUCCUUAGGUUGUCACGAGUGCGUAGGAUUUGGCGGAUCUCAAUUCGGACGUCGUUUGACUAUCGAACGGAUAAUCGCAUAUUAUGCGUUAUCCGGGUUCGAUAGGUUGAGACCGUCGGAUGGUCCCAAAUUUAAUAUAUGUUGAUCUAGGUAUUUCUAGGAUCGUGUAGGAUUUCACGGAUCGUGAAUCGGAGCCCCGGAUGUUCCGAAUAAUAAUUUAAAGUUUAUAUUUUAUAUUAACCAUCAGAUUAUGCGAUCGUGAGAAAUCCGACCGUCUGAUCUGAACCAAACUGGCAGGAAAAGUGUCCUGUACCUGGUAGAACCCAUAGGGACCUUCGGAUCGGAAAUUGGAGGUCGUGGGUUCCGCAAGUCUGUUUGACCAGGGUUAGAGUAGUUUGACCCUUGGUUGACCGUGAGUCUCCCGGAGUAAUCUCACCCUUCCAGGGGGAAUUAUCGGGAGCUAGACUAUUGUGGAGGGUUACACAAUAUUAGAAUUAUUUAUAUAAUUAUAUAUGGUUGUACAAGGGUACAACAAAGUCUAGAAUGUCAGUUUGGAGUGCUAUACGCACUACUUUAGGUACCUCCUCGGAUUUUGGAUUCGCUACAAGCACCACCAAGUGAAAGUUAGGUCCCGCGUGGCGUAGGUUAUCCGGCGUUGGGACAGACCCCAUACGUGGCGUUGGUUGUACCGGCGUAUGGGGAGAUUUGCAAUAUGAUGUUCAGGUCUCACGUGGCGUAGGUUAUCCGGCGUUGAGACAGGCCCCGUACGUGGCGUUGGUUGUACCAGCGUACGGGGAGAUUAUGUGAUAUGAUGUUGAGGUCCCGCGUGGCGUAGGUUAUCCGGCGUUGGGACAGGCCCCAUACGUGGCGUUGGUUGUACCGGCGUAUGGGGAGUUAUAUGAUAUGAUAGUAUGGCAUGGUCGCACAUGGCGUAGGUUAUCCGGCGUGUUGACAGGCCCCAUACGUGGCGUUGGUUGUAUCGGCGUAUGGGGAGAAUAUGUGAAAUGCAGAGAAAGGAAAUAAGGUAUCACCGAUGUGUGGAAUUGGGUUUUAGGGAAGAACUACGUGUGGCUUGAUCCCUCAAGGAGGGUACGUAGGCAGCCUAAGGUUAUUGGGUGCAGCCGCAGACUAAAUAUUAGUCAUAUUUGGUAUUUGAAUUGUAUGGUAGUUGUUUGAGAAUUAUUGGAAGGCCAAAGGCCAUUUAUGAGAAUUUGCAUGAAAUUAUAUUGUGCAUGCUGCUAGUUGUGGAUAUUAAAUGUGUUUUUAUGCAGGUUGAAAUUUUGGGAAAUGUCCAAUUUAUAGGGGAGACUCUGCUGAAAUUUCGGCAGGAAGUCUCGGUUUUUAGUAAGUGGGCCUGGCAUCGGGGUGAUGUCAGGAAUUCCAAAGGGUUCGUCUCGGGUUUUGAGAAAAUUCGGGGCGGGUCCUUAAACAUAUAUAAUUAUUGGGACUAUGUAUUGCAAGUCAUCAUGUGUUCCUUCUGUCUAACAUUAUAUUUUGCAAAUAUCAAAAUAUUAUUCAAUAAGCAGUCAAUAUCACAGCAAGUUGGGAAUUAGUAAAGCCCCAUUAUCAUGUCCGUUCACAUUAAAGAGCUGGCGUACUUUUUCUCAAAAAACUGACACGUGAGUCAUAAGUAACAUAACAUGUGCUAUACAUUGUUUAGUGAAUGGUUUAUGGUUUAUUUAUAUAUAAUAAAAUUCCAAAUAUUGCUGAAUAUUUGUUUUUUCUAUAUCCCUGGGAACAUGAGUGACCAUAAGCAUGUAAGACCUGUUAAGAAGAAGCUGACUAAUACGACCGAGUGAUUGUGGCUACCGUUGUUUAGUUGGUUGGGGAGAUCGUGGUAUUGCUAAGAGGGAGCACAUAAUGUGCUUUGCAAUCAAAUUUUCUUUUGUGUGUGGAAUUAUGAGUAGUUCAAAUGUUAGUGUACCCUUUAAUAUUCUUCAACCGUUUGAAAUGUGAUUAGCUGCAAUGUACUUUUUUACACGCUGCUUUCUAAUCACUCUGUUCCAACAAAGUGCUUUAAGUAUCCUUCAGUUACAAAUGUUUACAAAAUCGUGCAUCUAAUAACCAGUCGAGCUCAGAUCUUAAUAACAAGUAAAACACUAGAACAUAACAUUCGGAAAAAGUGGGUGCUGCUGGAAAUCAUUACUGGUAAUGGAAGCAAGAGCUGGCUGCUGGAAAUGCUGCAUUAGCCUGUGAUAUAAUCAAUGAAUCUCUGUUAAAACAUAAUUCACCAUAAACUACCCAUUUUACAUGGUAAAAGUCAUUGCUUCUUCACAUAACUCAAAAUUUGAUACUUUAUCAAAUGUCUAUGAAAAUUUCUAAAUAGGGGAAAGACGUAAAAUUAACAUGUGUCCAAAUUUCAUGCAAGAAUGAAACCAAGCAAAUUUUUAUUUCAAUUAUCAGUGGACAUAGUAAGAACUCAUCGGUGGACAUGAACAAAAAAAUAAUAAUAUUAAAAACUGAAUCUAGAAAACUUCACCUGAUCAUUAGUCUUCAUAACAACCGAAUUUCGUCUAAUAGAAACAUAAAUCAUUCAGUUGGUCCGUGCAUCGUGUCAAAUUCAUAGAAUAAUGGGUCACUACGAUCUAUUGGAGUUGAUUCGUCAUUGUUCGACGGUGAUGUCCUGCAUAGACAUCAAACACAAGCACAGAAAAAAUUUACCUAUUCAAAUUUUAGGUGUUAUUAUAAAUAGUGUUAGCAUCUUACGGUGUGUUCAAAUUUCUUGCGCAUUGUCUUCUAUCAUGACCAAUGUGUCCACACUCCAGACAGUGUCUAAUCCCUCGCUUCAUUGCCUUUUCUUUUGCUCCCGUUACUCGUUUCGACCUUCUUUUGCACCUCACUCUCUUAGGGUCUUUCAUAUAUUGUGUUUGAGAGCUGGACCCUCCAACUUCGUUAUUACUUGGUCCAUCCUUCAACAACUUCAACUUCACCUGCAAACUUUUUAGAGUCUCUGACAGUAGCUCACAUCCUUCUUCACUCAUUAAUGCACCCUCAACCACAUCUUAAGCAAGUCGAGACAUUGUACUCCGCCUUAUUAAAAGACCAGGAUCUGCAGAGUCUUUAAUUUCGUUGCCAUUUGCAUCUGACACCAAUUCAGAUUUUGCAGUUUUCUUCCACCUCUUUAAAAUAUAUUUAUCGGGCAUAUAUUCAAUCUGGUCCCUUCUGAACAAUGCUAGGAUGUGCUUGCAAAUAAUUCCAACAAAUUCAAAUCUUUUGCACCCACACGAUGCGUGGUCAGAAUCUUUAACAUAUACGACGUCUGCCACUCUUGUUUCCCAAUUUUUCCUUUUGCUCACGCGAAAGACAACUUUAGAAGCACCCUCUGUUUUGAGCUCUAGGAAACAUGUUGUACUUUGUAUUAGUUCUUGGUCAAACUUUUGAAACAUUGUCCUUGUGUACAAGGUAGCCAUUUGUUUGUUCAUUGGCAUCGGUAGAAUACAUUGAGCCACUUCAAAUGCAUCUACGUGAUCAGCAACUAACUCUUUUUGACGUUGAUGAGAAAGUGCCCUCUCAAAUCGUAUUAUGAAAUCCAUCAACGAAUUUCUCCUUGAUAUGUAUUGCUUGAAAAAACCAUGAGAACCUUCCACUCUUUGGCUGCUUGACAUUCCAGCGGCAAAAAAUUGUUGUGCGUAGGCUGGAACCCAAGAUUCUCUUAAAUCAAACAUUGAACUUAGCCAUGGAUGGUCAGUCAAACCAGCCUUUGUAACCACAAUAUUCCAUUUUGUAACAAACUUAUCCUUAUUGUCAGUAUCCCAUACGGCUUUCUGAAAUUCACGCCAAUACUCCUUAUAAGCAGAAUGUGGUAACUUAACAGAGAACUUUGAUGUGAUGUGCAAUAUGCAAAGUCGAUGAAAUGUAGUCGGGAAGGGUAUUGAAAUCGCUCUGGUCAUUGCCGCAUCUUGAUCUGUAAUGAUCGUUUUAGGUCCGCCACUUGGCAUGGCUUUCUUAAACUCCUCAAACAUCCAAAUAAACGACUCAGUCGUUUCCUUGCUCAAAAAUGCGCAUGCUUAGACAAUUGUCUGACCAUGGUUAUUAACUCCCAACAUUGGUGCAAAUGUCAAGUCGUAUCGAUUCGUGUUGAAUGUGGUAUCGAAUACAACAACAUCUCCAUAAAACCCGUACGCCCAUCUAGAAGUUGCAUCUGCCCAAAAACAUUGACUAAACCUGUCAUGGCCAUCUCUCUCAAUCUUGAAAUAAAAAGCCUCAUUUUUUUUUUCUGUUCAGCCAUAAAAUACUCGGUCACUAGUUCAACAUCGUGGUUCCUCAACUUCCCAUUCACACUACAUUCAAAAUUGUAGAUAUCUUUUUUGAUAAAACCGAUUUUAUCCAUUCCUCCGGAUUGCACCUCGAAAAUACUUACCUUCUGAUGAAUGAGAAUAUUAACCGAACCCAACUGUUUUGUGAGUACUUUUGUAGAAUCUGAACUAUGACGGUGUGAUCUCAAUAAAUGCAUUCUUUCUGAGGGUGUCAUCUUAUGAUUGUGUCCCUCUGCAAAAAGAGAGAUGGUAUACUUCUUGCUCCCAUUUGUCUUCACAACCACAAUCUUAGCUUUGCAAUUGCAUCUACUUAUUCCCCGCUGUCUUUUUCUCUCCCGAGUUUCAUCUCUCCUGUAUUCACCUUGUUUGCAACAUACAAAUUCUUUCCUCAAAAUCUCUUUCUUAUUUCCCCCCCAAAAGCUGGAAUGAAGUCGAAUACCAAAGCCAGCCAAGAAUGCAUAUCUAUUAUAGAAAUUGUAAACGAGGUCAAGCAAGUCGAACUUCAUCCCAACUGCUGGUGUUUCCUCAUUUCUUACUUCAAGAAUGUAAACCCUCCCAUUAGCUGUUACACAGUCAUCACUCUCUGAGCCCCCAGACAUUUUAUCCACGUAUAUUAUUGAUCCACUUCUAUAUUAUUGCAUAGCAAAUAUUAAUUCAUUAAUAAAUCAUUACUGCAUCACAACAUAUCAAUGCAUUCCACUUACACAAAACAUUGCCCAAAUUGACACAAAACACGCAUAGCCUAACUUGUUGGAUUCCGAUUACACAAAACGCAAGCAAAAUUUAAUAAUAGUUACGUCAUCUCUUGUGAAAUAAUCUAGAAAAAAUAACAUUAGAACCAACAUGUUCAACUAAGAACACAAAUGCAAUUCAAACCAGCAAUCACAUAACUUCACCCAAUAUCCUCUCCAAAUGCUUACUCCUAAUGUCAUUAAGCCUAAGUUUAGGAUCUUUUACCUACAUUUCAUAAUUUUUCACCCCCACCAAAAAUAAUCAACUAAGUAUACUGAAUAUUCAUAAGGAAAUGACGCAUUAUUGAUGCCACAAAUGACGAAUUUCCUACCCUCACAAAAAACAAAUCAAACCCAAUUAAAUCAAUCCAGCAAGAGUGAACUUACCUCUCAAAAUCAAUCGGGAGCUCCGAAGUCAGUAAGCUUGAGAGAAUGUGGUGGACAUUAGAGAAGACUCUUUGGUAUUGGAGACUCCAUCUCUACCAAAAUCGAGGAACGAACUGCUGCUACGGCGUCUAGCUACAGAAAAAGAUAUGCUACUUUACUUUCAUCUGGAAUCUUGUUUGCUGAACGAAAAAGAGAAAGGGUUUUCACUUGAGCCAUAGAAUCAAAACAAGGCAACAUCUAGGUAAGAGCCAUUAAUCGUCAUAUCGAGGAUACCAUAGAUCGCAGGCCUCCCAAGGAGCUGAUGACAAUGGAGCGACUAUAGGGUUUGGGAGCUUUGGAUCCUUCUAAUUGUGGGUUUGCGUUACAUUCAAAAAAAGAGGAGUGUGUUGUUGAGUUUUUCACAUAGAGGGAAAGAGGGAAAGAUCUUCAACUGAAGUUGGGUUUCCAACGGGUCAAAUUUCAACCCGGUUCUACAUGCACCCUCUUUUAAAAACUCACCGUUGGAUUUCAUCCAACGGCUCGUACAUACCCCUCAAAAACACCCCUUAUAACUUUCCACUCACUAUAGAAGCUCUCCCCAGGAAAUGCUUCGAGGUAGAUUUUAUGUUUUGGGCCUUGGGACCCAACUUCACAAAAAGAAAACAAAUUUGACCAAAAAACAAAGUUGAAGGACAUUGAUAUUGUACCUGUAGGAUAGGUUAAAACACUAAAAGGAAGGUAAAUAGUACGUUUACAGAGUUUAAGUGUAAUAAAGGAAUAAAAACAUGCCCAGAGAAUUGAUAAGUGAUAUCAAUUCUUGAAUAUAUAGAACGUAAAAUAAAGGAAUACGUAGAAAAUUAUUUUAUGUGGUAAAACUCAAUCUAUGGGGCCACGGGACUUCUUAGUCCAAAAAAAAUCCAUUGAACGAUGAUUACAAGAAGUACUCACACACUUAUCCUAGACACAUUCUAGAUAAUUUUUACUAACAUCUUUGUAACUCAACUUCUGUCAUAGGAUGAUUUUUUGACACUCCUUAUGUUGAACGCAAUACUGGUCACGAUUUCUUCAAGCUCGCAGGAACUCUCCUUAUAUUGAAUAUGAUACUAGUCACGAUAGAUUCAAGCUCAUCGGAGAAAAACAGCCACAACGGUCUUGGUGCCCUCAAUGGUAUGAGUCACUGAACAUGCAAAUAAAUACAAUAUGAAUGAUAAAAGUGUUUGAUAAAUCACCAAGUUAUGGAACACUUGAUGAUUUAUCUCAAAUAAAAACUCAGCUUUCCAAAGUUUAUGAAUUGAAAAUAUGAUCGUUAAAGCUCUCUAAACAAAGAAGACGAAGAUCUUAUUUUAUAGAAUUUUUCUUUAUAAGAAAGAAAACACAUUGAAAACCAAAUCUCCAAGGCUUGACAGAAAAUCACAAAAGUAUCUUUCCUAUUCUAGAGAUUGGUCACAUGUAGUCCAACCAAUAGGACAUGAGAUAUUUAAGAAAUGAAGAUUUUGAUCAAUAUCAAUAUCAAAUGAAUUCUUAUACGCCUAGUCAACUAUUAAGGGUAUCUUGACUCCUUGAUAUUGUGAUAUGAUUGAAACAUGAUUUCCACGUUAGAAAAUUAAGGGGAUGUUAAAACAUGAAAGUAAUAGGAGAAUCAAAUUGAUUUCGGCCAAAAUUGCCUAAAAAGAAAACACUCCUAAAUAAACUCAAUUCACUUUUAAAAACAGUAAAACGUGAUUGAAUUGUUCUUUAAAACAAUUCCCUAAUAUACAUGCAUGAUAAUGACAUCACUUACCUCUGAAUCAAAUGCCUUUCAUAGGUCAAGCCACAAGUCUGUGUUUUGGGGAUUGCUGAGCUGCAUCAAUCCUGCCAAUGUCAAUGCUGCCCCUAUGCUCUCUCAAAGCACGUUUACAACCUAUGCUAACAUAUACCCUAAACCCUAGUAUCAAGAAAAUGCCAACACUAAUUUCGUAACACGUAGAAAUUGUUAGAGAUUGGAAGUUUUUUUUCUUCAAGUCUCUCCACCACUCACUAAUACAGAUUGCUCAUGUGAUGAGUUUACAAAACCUAUUUCUCUACUCUCACAAAGACUAUACUUCUUCUCAAAAGACUAUAUCACUUUACCUCUAUCUCUGUGAAAUGUAAAAAGUUGAAACUUUAAUGUCAAACCUCGACAAAAGAUGAACUUCCAUAAGUUACGUUGAAUUUGGAUUUGUUGAACUUAAGUGGUUUUACUUUUCUGUCAGUGUUUGAUGACUUAAUUUGGUAUUUACUUCUUCUUUUUUUCCUUGGAAAUGUGUUCCACCAACGUGAGGAAGAAAAAUAUGCACAAAUUAAUAUAUUUAAUAGAAGCCCAAGAUUUCGGAAGCACAUAAUUUCUACAAAAUUCUACAAAGUGUUCUACUUUACAAACUUCAUAUGUCUACCAAUUUUUACUAAAAUUAAUUUAUCUGCAGUGCUCAAAUUCAUCAUAUGUGUGUCCUUAAUUUUAGUGAAAAUUGGAAGUUUCCAUUAUUUUUGUUUUACGGGAAUUUUUUGAACCAAGGAAAAUCAAGUAAAAUUAAUAAAGCAUAAAUUGGAAAGGGAAAAUAUCUAGAGGAUGCAUUGUAGGAUUGCUCAUGCCAAUAAUUGUACCCUCUAAAUAUAUAGGGACAUAUUUUUUUUGCUCAUACCACUUGUUGCAGUACACAUUCACCCGUUUUCAAAGAAAGAAAUUCUACCAAUCGAUAAUGUCUCAAAUUUAAUCACAUAUUUUAUGGACCAUCCAGCUAUGAGGUUUUAUCUCAAAAACCUUCGGUACAUUUCUCCCACAUGCCACAAUUGUAUAUUCACAAUUACGUCUGAUACAUCACAUCAUGCCACUUGCCUCAAAUGAAUUUAAGUGAGUGAGGCAGUUGGAAGUAAUUAAGCUCUAUAUUGGUGGGUGGAGUGUUAGUUCUGGGUACCCCUCAUCAUUCGUCUAUAAAAUGGUGAAGCCAGUUGCUACUGUUACCAUAAGAGCCAGCUCCGACUUUCUUUAAUUUCUUGCUUCAUAUCCACUAGCUACAUCUGUUGCUCUUCUCAGUGUAAGCUCUGCAAUUUGAUUAACUUUCCCAUUAUCUCUCACUGUACUCUAUAUAAAGGAAUAAGUGUCGUCCAUUAAUUCUCUCCGAAAGUGUCGUCCUGAUUUUAAUUAGAGUUCGAAUUAAUGUUGCAGCUAGCAGCGGUUGCACUGGCAAACCAUGCUGCUCAACCGGUACCUCAACUUUACUGGAACUCCGUCCUGCCAAACACACAGAUGCCAAGAUCUAUCAGUGAACUUCUGCAUCCUGGUUUGUGUUUGAGCACUUUAGAAUCUUAGAUAUCUCUUCUACCUGCCAUUUUACUAAAAUAUGUUCAACCACAUAUUUAUCAGUUAACUACUGUCAUUACAUGAGUGACACAUAUUCACAAAUCGGCUGAUCACUUAUUUUCCAUUAUGACGUUGAUAUAUAAUGUUGGGAAUGGAAAGCCAAUUGACCACAAGGGAAAACCUGAAAAUACUGUACUACCACAGCUAGCACGAAGCCCAUUUUCUUACAAGAGUGAUGUGGGGACCAAAUCUCAUGUAUCAUAGCUUAACCCAUAUGCCACAACUAAAAGACGUGGGAUGAUCGAACAGCAUACCCACAUGGUCAUGGAUCUCUUCAGAUAAUCAAUAUUAAACAACCCAUAAACUUCUCCCUUUGAAGAACAAAUUAAAACCAAUUUCUAGAGGAAGGUUACAAAACAUUUUAGCCCGUGAAGAACAAAUCAAGACAAUAUAACCCAUUUGAUAACAAAAUCAAAAUGAGAUUUACCAAUACUAGAUGACCACGGCGCCAGUAUAAUGGUACGACGGCGGCGUUAUUGUAACGGUGGAGAAGUGGAUGGUAUGACGACGGUGUUAGUGUGACGGUGGAGGAAACGAUAUUAUGAAGGAGGCGUUGCUAUGUUCGGUGGAGGAGUCGUGUGUUUCACAGUUCAAUAUAUCCUUUUUAGUCAUUUUAUAUUAGGGUAAAUCAGUAAUUCAAUAAAUAAUUUGAUAGUAUGGUGUACUCAGUUAAUAUUAGGGUUCAUUUAACAGCACUCAAAUUAACUAGUGUAGAGUCUAUCUAUAUUAUUAAUACUAAAAAUAAAUAUAUGACUAAAUAACUCAAAAAAAAAAUAAAUCUACAAUCUUUUUUUUAAAAAAUUUUUUUUAUAGAAUUUUAUUAGAUUAAUAGGCACUACUAAAAAAUCUCCUUAUAAACUACAAAUACACGCAUAACUUAUACUAAUGUGAGCUACUGACACCACCUGCCACAUGACAGUUGUCCAAGCAUAGUGUUGUCAUUCAUUAUUCCCCACAGCAACUAACAUCCAAUAAAGGGUUGGGGCCCACCCAUACUCCACCUCUCUGUAUGUAGCUCUUUGAGAAUACAGAAGAAAUAUUUUUUAGGGAAAUAGCUUAAAAUGAUACCCAUUUCAUAAUUUUAAUUAAAAAUACCACCCCUUUCCAAUUUUUGUACAACUAUCACCUAUAAAUAUAAAAUUAUUGUCCACUUAUUGCUGAUUUUUCACAAGUUCAGAAAUUUUGGAAAGAAGAAGCUCACACAGCUCUCUCUCUCUCUCUCUCUCUCUCUCUCUCUCUCUAGCACAACUCUCUUUCUUUGGUAUCUGUCUAUCACAGCUCUCUGUGUCUCUCUUGGCUCUCUCUAUCUUGGCUCUCUCUCUCUCUAGCACAACUCUCUGUCUCUCUCUUUGCUCUCUUUCUCAUAGCGCAGCUGUUUCUCUCUCUAGCUUCGUUAUGUCUCUUUCUCCCCUAUUCGAUCUCUUGCUUUCUGUUUGGAAUCGCGAACCCCUCCCUUUAGCUAUGUCUUCUGAAUAGCUGCUUGCAACCUUGAAGCUCUAGUGGAUUGCCGACCUCGAAAAGGUAGUGUUGAUGGUUAUUUUCUUAAUAUCAGUGGGAUUAUGUGAAAUGGGUUAUAGUUUGAUUGUUUGGGUUUGUGUUAAAUUCGUUUUGGCUUUAAUUUCUUUGGGUUAGGUUUUGUUGAAUAUUCAUACUCAUUCAUCUGGGUUUGUACCAAUUGCAUUUAGAUUGGUCUGGAUAUGUGAAUCUUGAAACUUGGGAUUUUCUAUUUGAUGUAGUAGAUCUGUAUAGUGUGAUUCUGUUGUGUUCCUCUUAUUUUACAGUCGUAUUGCUGUUAUAUUGUCAUUAUAUUGCUUAUAUAUUGCUGUUAUAUUGUGGUUAUAUUGCUAUUGUAUUGUUUGGUUAUUGUGGUUAUAUUGUGUUAAUGAAAUGUUGUUUUGUCAUGGUCAGAAAUGGAGACAAUUGUUAUUCUCGUGUGCUACAAUGGAAAAUGGGUCACCUCGAAGAAGAUGUGCAAAUACGAAGGGGGUGACUCAAAAGGCUUAAUAGUUCCACGGACCAUCAAAUUUGUUGAACUGUUGGACCGUGUGCAUUAGAUUGGUAAUACAAACAGCAGGGAAGACAAGGUUUGCUUAAAAUUCUCAGUUUUGGUGGCCUCGAAUGAGUGGAAGCACAUAAAUAUUGAGGACGAUGAUGAUAUCAAUUUUUUUAUGAAGUACAAUUCCGAGGUAACACCUUCAAAACUAGCUCCCUUACUCGUGAGUAUAGAAGAUAAAGGAUUGACAAAUGAUGUAGUUCAUAGUAUGCAUAUCACGACAGAUAGUAGUCGGAUGGGUCAUUCUUCAGUUGCCAUUGUUGAAAGCAAUGAAGUAACUUGGAAUAAUACGAAUGUCACUGAUGUGGGAGGUGAAGUAGGGACAGAUUUUGUGGAUAUGAUUGAUUUUAGCGAGGUGUAGGAGAUGCAUGGUGGUGAUAAUAGUACUGAAAGAAAUGAAGUGUCAGUGUACUCUGCCCCUCCUAAUUUGGGCUGCUUCAACAUAGCUGCCCAGUUGCCAAUAAUGCGUUUAGGAGGAGAAUCUGAACCCACUCGUCAACAUUAUUGGAGUCAAAUAGGUGAACAAAAUCGGUACAAUGCAGCCGGUGUAAAUGAUGAAGAAGCAUAUUUGGACAGCGGGUUUUCACGAAGUGAUUGGAAUCCGAAAAUUACAGUUGGGCAAAUUUUCUCUAGUAAGAAAGCAUUGUUGACGGAGUUACGGUUGACGGCAUUAAGAGGCCACUUUGAAUUUAAGGUGCAAUUCUCUUGCACUAAAAGGUUGCUUGUGGUUUGUUGUCAACGUCCAUGCCCAUGGCGGGUCCGAGCAUCGAGAAUUGGAGAAUACAGCUUCAUGAUUGUGAGGUGUACAACUGUCCAUGAAUGUGAUUUGAGGUUCGUAAGUGACAAGCAUCGUCAAGCAACCGCAGCACUUGUAGCCACUUCACUUAAAAGGAAGUGACAUUAUGAGAGAUGUGAAACACAACUUUGGUUGCACCAUCCAUUAUUCGAAAGCUUGGAAAGCAAAGGAGUUAGCUCUAUUGUCCAUUAGAGGAUCAGCGGAGGAGGCAUAUUAUAUCCUUCCAGCUUAUUGCUAUGAAUUGGAGCGUAUGAAUCCCGGCACAAAAACACACAUCCAAACUGAUGAGAACAAUCACUUUGUGUAUUUAUUUAUGGCGGUUGGCGCAUGUAUUAGAGGGUUCCGUUCUUCCAUGCGCCCAGUGAUAGCCGUGGAUGCCACUCAUUUAAAAUCCAAGUACAAGGGUGUUAUGUUUGUAGCAAAUGCAUUCGAUGGUAAUUGAAAUAUAUAUCCUCUUGCUUUUGGGAUCGGGGAUUUGGAGACGGAUGCAUCAUGGCAUUGGUUUUUCACUAAACUUCAUGAAGCCAUUGGUGAGUGUCCCAAUCUUGUUAUUAUUUCUGAUCGCAAUGUUAGCAUAGAGAAUGUGUGGAACAAAAUUUUUCCAACUGCACAACGUGGCAUAUGCUUUUAUCAUAUGAAGGGGAACAUGAAACGCACUUGCUAGUUGAAAAAGCGUGAUCACAUACUUAUGCACUUUGAGCAGGCUGCGAAAUCUUAUUCCAUUGCUGAAUUUGAUUGUCAUUUUUGCAAGAUCAAGCGAAAGGAACAUGUUGCUCAAUAUCUUGAAGAGACAGGGUUACAUAAGUGGUCUAGAGCUCACAUGGAUGGACGCCGCUACAAUGUAAUGACAACAAAUAUUGCAGAGUCAAUCAACUCAGUCCUUAGGUUUGCAAGGAUGCUGCCAGUGGUUCAUUUGAUAGGGGAAAUUGUUAAUCUCCUUGUGAAAUGGUUCACCGAACGUUGUGAGUUGGUUUUGAAUUGCACAACAACAUUGUGCCCCAAUUUUGGAGAGAAGAAGUUGAGGAACAGGUUGGAGGAUGCUGCAAGGAUGAAUGUGGUUAAAGUAAAUAAUGCACAGUUUAAUGUUUUGGACGGUGAUAUGGACGGCCUCGUAGAUUUGGCGAACAGCAGUUGUAGUUGUAGAAAGUUUCAGCUUGAGCAGCUACCUUGCAAGCAUGUAGUUGCAGUUUGCCGCUUCUUGAAAGUAAAUGUAUACGCAAAGGCUUCUCGGUAUUACACUCAGAAAACCUGGAUGAUGCUUAUUCGGAUAGCAUCUACCCGGCACAACCUCACGGAAUGUGGGAUAUUCCUGAAGAUGUUCGAAGUCGAGUUGUGCUGCCUCCCAUGGCAAGGGUCAUGCCAGGCAGACGAAAGAAGAUCAGAAUUCCCUCGCAAGGAGAGGGCACCAUUAGAAGAAAGUGCUCAAGGUGCGGUUCCGCAGGCCACAAUAAAAGCACAUGUAAAAACAAUAUUCCAUUGCGCAAUGUAUCUUAGACAAUAUGAUUUGUGUUGCUUUGGUAGGUCAUGUAAACUCUACUUUUAUUUGUGGUGGGUUUCGUGUUAUGUUGAAUGGGAAUUCUUUUAAAUUUGCAUAAUUUGGGUUGCAUUGCUACAGCAUGCUGUAUUGCUGACAGAUUGCUAUUAUAUUGGACUUUUAUUGUACUGGUAUUGCUUCCAGAUUGCUAUUAUAAUUUGAGUGCGAAAUUAAAGGGACUGGAAUGUAAUUCCAAAUGGAUCCAAAUCAUUAAAGUUCUUAGAAUUCCUAUAUUACACAGUUACUGUGAUACUCCGACUAUACCUUCUUUUAUGAUUACAAAUUCGGCCAAUGCAUAGGCCAGAUGUGGGGCAAAUACAAGGUGAAAUGUCCUAUGUGUUUGACUACAUAUACUUGUUGAAGGAGCAUUACGAAUGCUAACCUCAAUAGAUUGCUCAUGUCUUGCCAAGAACACUCUUGAAUUUAUGCAAUGUGCCCAAGCCAGUCCCAAAGCUGGACUCACCCGUCUGCCUGAUGUGUCCAGGGACUCCAAGUUUCCCAACCUCACCUCAUUCACUUUAUCAUGUGGCCCAAUAAAAUCCACCACUUGGUUGGUGACAACCACCGCCAACCCAAACUUAUUUGCUAAACCCUUCAAUGUCCCAGAUAUGUUGAAAAAUAUUUCAAACCGCCAUUUCAAAUCUGCUGGUGUUGUCUGAUACUGUGAUCGGAACAAUGCAGCAAUGGAAUCAAUGACAAUGAGUUUCACAGGUAGGUGGGUGUGAUCAAUGGCAAUAAAUGCUUCUAUGUCUCCAAGGACAUGGAUGAGUUGUUGAGCAUCAUGAACACCAUGAACAUAUAUGUCUUCCAAUGGCUCCAACCUUAUUAAGUUGGGGUAUGAUGCAUGAUAAAGGUUGCCUAGUUGUUGCAAUCGACGAAAUGGGAAGCUGAAUUCUGUGAAUAUGUAGACGGUGGAGCCCUCUAGUCCGCCAUGUGAGGGUGGGAGCUGAGCUGGUACCGUAAGUUGGAGACAAAGUUGCGUCUUCCCAGAACCACUCUCCCCUACCAAUUCUGUUAUAGAGUUGCAGGGUAUCCCACCCCCCAAGCAGUCAUCUAGUAUUGGGCAUCCAAUGGAUAAUUGAGGGGUUGAAAGAGGAAGGAGCAUGAGGUUUUAGGGUGUCAUAUUUGUGUAAUUUAGGGGGGGAUGUGAUGGUGCUACAAGGCAUGCAUUAUAUAUAUAUAUAUAUGUAGAGUUCAUUUUGAAGGUCUGUAUUGUAGGCCAUAUGUCUUUUAAGGGAUGUAUAAUCCAUCCUUUUUUCAGGUUGUAAUUAAUUUUUUGUUUAUUUAUUAGUAUUUUUUUGGACCAAAUAAUUUAAAAAACAUUAUGAUGCAGUACGUACUGUAAUAGGAUCAUAUUGUAACUCUAUCAUCACUCUAUUGUACUCUUAUUGACAUAAUAUUGCCGUUAUAUGCAUGUUUAUUAUAUAGUUAUUACUGCUAUAUCGCCACUGAACUGGACACCGAUAAACUGUAUACGCACAAAUACAAAAAGAGGCUUCAUCAUUCCAUAAAAUCCUAUUUCCAAACUUACAUAAUACAACAACAGGCCACCCCAUCGUUACAUAAUACAAAAAUACGCCACCUCAUAGUUCCAUUUCCCUACUGUUGACAAAUUCGAAGUUGCAUACUCUUCAAGUGCGGUGACCGCGACGCAUGAAAUUCAUGACCCCGGCCACAGUGAUGUUGGCCUAGUUUCCUGCCGGAUCCACUAUUUUUGCAAACUUACGAAAUAGUUCGAAUCCGCUUUCCACUUCUUCUUGCUUCAACUUGGCCGUUGCUUCUGAUUCCUUGAAUACCAUAAUUGCAGUGGUAGGGGCAAUUUCAAUUUUUGCUUUCAUUGUCUUUAUAUGUAGGAGAUGCAUGCGCGCAUGAUAACGAGAGCGAAUUGUGCGGUUUUUUAUGACACCCCAUCUAGUUUGGCCCUCCACAAUUUUGAAACUAUGUCUGCAUGAAGAUUUUUCCAAAACAUGGUAUUGCCUCGACAUUGCUGCAUGCCAUGGACCAAGUCUGCAGGGAGUGAAUUGGGUGACUUGGCUUGUGUUUCAGUCUUCUCUCCUUCAGUAAUUGAAAGUGUUGGGUGUGGUGUGAGGUUAUGGUCCAUGGUCUUCGAUAUUUAUUGUAGCCUAGUGUACAACUUAAUUGGAAAAAAAGGGGACUAAAUGCGAUGGGAGUGAAAUCAGUGGGGAAGGUAGUGGCUGUAAGCAGGAGUUAAUGUGAUGGAAGUUUUCAUUUCAAACAACUGGGUUGAUUAAUAUAGGCAAGUUUUAAUGACCUGGAGUAACUCAGAGAGUUAUUGGUGGGAGGGAUUAGAGGGAGUAAUUGGCGGGAGGGAUUGGCGGGAGUCUUAGGCGGGAUAGUAUUGGGCGGGAGUUAUUACCCAGUUGACUGUAUGCCUUUUUGUAAUAUAUUUGUAUGUUGGACGUUCCAAACUUGGUAAUUUUCCCAUUAUGUAAUUCAAAUAAGGGAUUUGCCUAUUUGCCUAAUUGACCAACUCAUUCAAAUUGACCAAUAUGGUUAUUGUCUUAUUUCUCAUUUCAGCAAUCUCAAUUCGUUUCCAUUUUUCCAUUCUUCAUAUUUUCCUAUUUUCCAUGUGUCAUCCAAUUUUCCAAUUUUCCAAUUUUUCAUUAUUUUUGCCUAUUUUUUCCUAUUCCCUAUUUUCCUAUUGUGCAAUUUCCCAAGUUUCCUUUUGUUGUAUUUCUAGUUUUCCAAUUUUUCAAUGUUCCCAUUUUCCCAUUAUGUAAUUUAAAAAAAGUUGCCUGCUUUGCCUAAUUCAGAAAGUAAUUAAAAUGGUCCAAUAUGGUAAUUGUCUUAUUUUCCAUUUCCACAAUUUCAAUUCGUUUCCAAUUUUCUUAUUUUCCAUGUGUCCCUAUUUCCUAUUUCCAUUUUUCAAAUUUUAAGUUUUUGUCCAAUUAUCCAAUUAUCUUUUUUCCAAUUGGACUAUUUUCUAAGUUUCCUUUUUUUCCUAUUUCCAAUUUUCCAAUUUUUCAAUUUGCUAACUUUCCUUUUGUUCUAUUUCCAAUUUUGCUAUUUUCCAAGUUGCCUUAUUUCCUAUUUUUCAAUUAUCCAGUUAUCCAAUAUUCCAAUUUUCCAAUUAUCCAAUUUUCAAUUUUCCAAUUUGCGAAUUUGCCUAUUUUCCAAGUGUCCUUUUUUCCUAUUUCCUAUUUCAAAUUUUCCAAUUUUCAUGUUUUCAGAGUUUCCUUUUUUUUUCCUAUUUUCCAAGUUUCCUUUUGUCCAAUUUCAAAUUUUCCAAUUUUCCAAGUUGCUUUAUUUUCCAAUUACCCAAAUUUCCUAUUUUCCAAGUGUCCUUUUUUCCUUUUUCCAAUUUUCCAAUUUUCCAAGUGUCAUGUAAUCCUAUUGCCUAGUUUCCUCUUUCCAAUUUUUCCUUUUUUCCUAUUUCCAAUUUUCAAUUUUCCAAAUUUCCCAAAUUUCCAACUUUCCAUUUUUUCGUAUUUCCGAUUUGCCAAUUUUCCUUUUGUUCUAUUUCCAAUUUUCCAAGUUUCCUUAUUUCCCAUUCUCCAAGUUUUCACUUUUCCUAUUUUUCAAUUUCGCUAUUUUCCAAUUUUCUGUUCUGAAAUUCGCAAUAAAUGCUUAGUUACACAGUCCUAUUUUGGGUUGAAAUCCACAAUUUUCAAUUUCCCAUUAAGGUUUGCUUUUUUGUCGUUUGGAAGCCAAUUUUAUUGUUGUUAAUGUAAUGUUGUACUGUUGUAAAUUACAGCCAAUGAGUUAAUGAUGUAGUUUGCAAUCCCAUCAAUUGAAUGCACCAACUAAAUACCCAAUAUACUUCAUAUAAGUUCGUACAUAUAACUCAACCUUCCUAUACAGAACUGCAACAGAGGCACCUUCUUAACGGGAAAGGUAAUUAGUCUUACUAAAACGCAAAUAUUCUCCACUACAGCUAACCAAUUGUCGUUUACAACUGGAGACUGAAUCUACCUUUAUUUGUUUUGUUGCAGGCAACAGCUGUGAAUUGUCCCCGGCAAUACUUAAAGAUGUCGGAUGUACGCCCUCCAAAUGAGCAUGUCACAGUUACCCGGGGGACCAGCCGUGGCAUGUGCCAUUCCCAUCUCCACCUCGGACUCCCAAUCAUGAUCCCACUUCAUCUGGAAGUGAGGCUGAGAGCAAUGAUCCGCUUGACAAAAUCUCUGCCGUCAAGCACCACCUCCAAUAUAUGUCAAAGGCAACGGAUUGGUGGGAGAGUAAGUGCGAUAUUCAUGGCCAAGUUAUGGGAAACUUGGCCAACAAGUUGAACAAAGCAUACGCUGGAGAGGUGAAGCAAACUCUAAAAGCAAAAAGUCGGAGCAAAGAGUUAGAGUCCUUGAAGUUGAAAUUGGAAGAGAGAAAGAAAAAUGCUGUCGAAAAAUUCACACAAUCUGAAGAAUAUAACCAUGAAAUGGUUGAAUGUUUCAACAACGGCUUUGAAAUGUUCCGAGAUUAUGCUUCGGUCAUCUCACCAGACUACAAUUGGAGUGAAAUUGAUGUAGCUGGUGUUUGGCAGGUGCUGAAUAUGGGUGCUGAGGGAAUGGCUCAUCAUAGCCUCGUGCAUGCAGCAAGGAGAAAGGACAAAGACUUGGAUCUUUUGAUGGACCUGUAGUAACAGUGAGUGCUGCUUCAGUUCAACUCACCUGAGUACAUGGAUCUUUUGUUGCCUUCAUUUUCCCUUCGCAGGCUAGUAUUGUUAAGGUUCGGUGGCGAUUUCUUUUGCAUGUGUAAAAUGUUGUCUGUAAUGUGUAUGUAUUGUAUGUAGAUUGACUUAAUAUUGUAGUUCUAUUGUAUGUAUAUUGCCUUAAUAUUGCCUUUGUAUAGCAUAGAUAGUGUAUGCAUAUUGCCACCGUAUUGGAUGUAUAUUGUAAAACUAUUGGUAUCGUAUUGCCCUUAUAUUGCUCUAAUAUUGCCUCUAUAGUGCACCUAUAUUGACCUAAUAUUGCUCUUAUAUCGUAUGUCAAUGGCAUGUGCUCUAAUAAGUCUCCAGUUCGUUGAAAGUAAUCCUGAAUUCAAAUAUGAUGGACAAGACAAUUGUUAUCCAUCCUUAUAUUACCAUGAAUUGAUUUGGACCUUUCAAAUGAUAGUUGGAGUUGCACAUGGAUUCAUAUUCAAAAGGAAAGUAAUUCUCUCCCUCAAUGAAUUGUCGUUCAAAAGAAGGCAGCUAUCAAAUUUUGGGUACAAAAAGGCAACAUCCACGGUAAAUUAAUUGGGCACAAACCACAUAUUACAAAACCAGGAUGAUUUUUGGCAUGCUUCAAAAGAGAAGGGCCAAAUACAACAGAAAAGAAAAUCCAUUCAAGCUUGUACAAUAGAAUGCACAAUAACCCUUUUACAUGUCCUUCCAACACCAGUGUUUUGCCUACUUUAGAGUCGCAGGAGGAGAGCUUAUUGCCAUUGUGCAAUUCGAGGGGGCAGUCAAUUUGGAAUGGUGGCAUAAACAUGUUUACUCCACGGAUCACCUAUAUGGGACAGAGCUUCCUUCUUCCCUUGUCGUCUGUAGGUUUCAACUUCACACUUUUUAUAUACAUGUAUGAGAACUUGUGGCUAUUUAUUUAUGGCCUUCUAACACUUGUUCUGCCAUUCCAAAGUGGGUUGGAGACUUUUUGAGUUGAAUGACUGGAAAGACUUCAGAUGACAGAAACUAGAGAGUUUGAAGAAAAAGGGUUACCAAGAACAGCAGUCAUGCCCACGACAUAAACUAAACAUGCUAUAAGCUCCACAGUAAUAUUUACUUCAUCUCCAUAAUCAGAAUAUUGGGAAAAAAAUACCACGGAGAAAUACGUGAAAUGAAAAACAACUCGGCAGUUACUGUGAGAUUGUGUACAUAAAACUUGGAACAACCAAACCAAUUAAAGCUAAGCCAUCUCAUACGUAUACCUACAUCAAAUAACAGUGUAUGGUCAUCUUGUUUAGAAUAUUGCAAUCAACACUUGGUUGAGACCGACCUGCAAAAACAACUGGGUUAAGUACAGAUGAAGCCAUUUAUGAAGGGCAGUUCCAGAAUUAAGACCUACGUUAAUUUGUAACUGCCACCGAAUCAGUUCAUAGUGCCAAAUGCAUCUACCAAGCACACAGAUAUGACCAGCCAAAAGAAAAAAAAGCAAAGUAAAAAAGAUAAAAGAGGCAUGCCAUAAAUGGGAACCUCAGCAGAAAUCAUCAGAUAUGCAUACAAGCAGAUUGAGUAACAUCUCACUAAGUAGAGGUCAUGUUGGUAAUCGCAUGUUGUGUUUGCACACAGACAUUUGGUUUUUGCAAACACAACAUGCAAUUGCAUUCCAUGAUGUGUGUGUUGUGUUUGCACACAGACAUUUGGUUUUUGCAAACACAACAUGCAAUUGCAUGAUGUGUGUGUUGUGUUUGCACACAGACAUAUGGUUUUUGCAAACACAACAUGCAAUUGCAUAUUGUGUGUGUUGUGUUUGCACACAGACAUAUGGUUUUUGCAAACACAACAUGCAAUUGCAUAUUGUGUGUGUUGUGUUUGCACACAGACAUUUGGUUUUUACACACACGAUAUGUAACAUUUAGUUUUACCCUUUUAUUCUUAUUUUCUUCGUUCAAACAUGGUGGUGAGAAAAGCACCAAACCAUCCCAUCAUAUAAAGCAAAACUCAUACAAUAUUUUAGAUGCAAAAGUUAUAUAUUUUAUAUAAAUGCAUCAUCCGCAUGGCUUGAAAUUACAAAUUCACGUUCACAUAUUACUUUUCACAAGCGCACAGACUAACAAUAAUAAUAAUCAACCAAGUAGUUGCGACAUUCAUCCUAUUACGUCCAUAUUGAUAAUGUCAGAAGUUUCAUCGAUAAGCCUCAUCAAACUACAAGUUUUUUAAUUUGAAUUAUGAAUUCAGAACUAAAAGCUCAUGAUAUGCAGAAAAUGACAUACAUUGUCCACAAUCGACUUUUCGAUAUAUUUCUGCUCUAGCAAUUUAUCGUCCAAAUUCUGGACUCUCUGUGUCAGGUGCUUCUUUGUGUUCUAUCCAGCAUAAGAAUAUUUAAUAGUGUGAUUUCAAUUGUUUAUACAAAUUCUAUAAGUAAUAUUGAUGAGUGCUGUAAAUCUAUUUGAUAUUGGGAACAAACAUGGUCCCACUAACAGAAACUCAAACAAAACAGGAAUUUUUUUUUAUUUUUUUUGGCAUAGACAGCCGAAAAGAAACUUACAGCAAUAGCCUCUGUCACGCUCUCCAGACGUUUAUGCAAUUUUGAAACAGCAGCAUUCAUACUACGCUUUGUCACAUACAGAAGAUCUGAGAAUUUUAGACCCUAACCAUUUGUGAAGAGCAAAUAUUAGAUUUGCUUAAAGAAGACAACAACUCACAGAACCAAUGGAUGAAAUAAUAUGAACAUAAAUAUAUCAUUUGGAUACCUUCCACCACAUGUAACCAUAACCCAAUGCCCCCAAGGUAGCUGUUGGCAUUAUUAGUGAUGUCAAACCUAUUAAAAAAAUCAAAAAAAAAAAUAUAACCAAGUAUAAAAUGUUUCUAUUGCAUUAUGAAAUACAUACGUGUAAGGAAUUAAUCGUUUUACAACUUAACCAAAAAGUCAAGGCAGGAGCAUGCAUUCAUUGAGUGGUUAUAAGCAAGAGGAAAAAGCACAAAGCAUGCUAAGAAUUCAUUUGAACACAGAAGAGAAAGUAAGCUACCUUGGAAUUUGGCUGUCAUUCCCCUUCAGGACGGCUCUCUGUAGUGACGAGUCUAGUUGUCGGACCUCAGCUGCCAGUCGGCGCACCUAAAACAAAGUAACACAGGAAAAUUGAUAUCCAUUACAAAAAACAAAAAUUGAACACGAGAAAGCAUCCUUCGACACUAAAUUUAUAGCAGUUUUUCCAAUACCUGUGAUGCGAUCGCAUAAAAGUCACCUUCUGAUUGUUCUCCGGUUCCAUUGAACAAAGGCUGCAAACAAAACAGAAAUAGACACAAAUCCAUCAAUUUUUUGAGCAACAAGACACAAGCUCCGAAAUAAAUAAACUAUCUAACUGAUCAAAACCCUAGUUUACCAAAUGCAUUACAAAAUUAAAAACUCAUACAAAAAUAACACCAAAUACAAAUGUUCUGCGAGUUCCACUAGCAAAGCAGAGUACAAAUCAUGAAAAUGGUACCUGAAGUUCACCGAUCAAUUCAGAUAAUUGACCAUUCUUACGCAGGAUGGUGCUCGUAUACCCUGUAGAAAGAGAACAAUCACUCAGAUCAAAUGUAGCUAAAUACACAAGGAAACUAAUCCAGUAUGCAAGAUGAAAGAGGAGUGAUUGGUACCUACUCCAGCGAAGAUCAGCAAACACAGUAUGAGGUUCCAAAUUCAAAUAACAACAUAAUGCUAAGCAGAGAAGUAGAAUUGCUGCCGAAAUUAUUUAAAACGAACUAAGUCAAAACUAAAUGGAGAAAUGUUAACAAAGUUGUAUGCUUCAGUAAGUCCAGUAACAGAUUCCCAAAACCACAGAGACAAAAUGUGAACAAUGGCUACAAAAGCAUCCAUAAAGAGCAACUAUGUUUAUAUAUGGAGGUGUACAAAAUAGUUAACCUUCAAAAUCGAAACAGUGUGUGUGCCAUGUAAGGCAAUUAGCCACUGCUUCUAGACUAUACAAUAUUACACCUCACAAUAAUAACUAAACCAACUAGCUCUAGCAAAAAGGCAGGAUGACCAUAUAAAGUACCCCCAGCAAAGCAUCUACGUCUGCAUCUUCAUAUCAAGGAGUUCCUGACAUAAGUAAUGAGCAAAGUGAAUUCCCAAGUCAUAAGUCCAGAAUGAGGUGAAUUCACGGACAUUAAAACAUUUACCUCAUAAAUAUGCCUCCCCCCUUAAACCCUCAAUUGCAAGCCUCAGCCGGUAAUAUUUGAUCUUCAAAGGGUCAACUUUAUCUACCGAAAUCCCAGCACUGAGAUGCUCGAUGAAUUUGACGGUCAUGAUUCCGCAAGACGUACUGUGAGACCAAUAAGUUGGGAAAUUAGAACUGCAGUUAUGUAAGAUUUGGAUAAACUGCACUAAAUUCACAAAGCUUACCCAUCUCGUUGUUGUGGCACAUCUGCAAUGCUGCAAACUGAGAAUGGCGUAAACGUCAACAUCUUCAGCCCCUUUUGCUUAACCUUUUCAACCUCAGAAUCUUCAUAAAAGUGCAUAUCGUACAGCACUCGUGCCAGCGUAUCGCUAAUAGGGUGCAGAAGUGUAACCAGCUUCGAACAUUUGGUAAAAGCAACAUAUGAGUCAUACACAGUUGCAGUAUGUCAGACGAAAUCAAUUUCGAUUGCAACCCAGUAAGACCCUUUAAGAUUAUAUGGAAUAUAGACCUUCCGGACUUUUGUCCAAGCUUGGCCAUACCCGUGUUGCCACGUACCGCGUACAAAGUAAUGUAUAUUCUGCAGCUUGCUGGGUGGAAGGUCAACGGUGUUUGAAGCAACUGCCUUCUUCGAUCCACGUUUCUUGGCAGUCGGUUUGAACGGAUCUAGAAAUUGCUGCAUAAAUUGAAAUGAAGGCAUAUUAGAAAAUCACAACCGAAAGCAAAUGAAGCAGCGAAUGUAACAUGGUAACAUGUUUACCUGCAAGCAACAAUCUGCUGUUGUCCAGUCAGUUCCAAAUACCAACGGAUGAGAGAGUUGCCUUUUCCAGAUAAGAAAGGUUGCCAUGUCCAGGUGCUGAAAGUUGACACACAUAAUAUCAGCACAAUUUCAUACAACUGUACACUUAAAAAAGGUGAGAAAACAAUUUAAUUAUCGCAAUAAAGUAGAGCUUUGUGUAUUCUUACCCUUGAGCUAAUCCAUUCCGUUUCAUCGAUAAGUCUGUAGAAAAAAUCAGCGCCCACUGAAAAUAAUUCCAGCUGCACCUCCGCACUACAAAAGGCAAACUUGCAAUGGUUACUUUUAUAGUCAUCUCAUAAUUCUGACUUUGUUGAUGACAAAAAUACACAUGUAUAUUAAAGCAAACUCUACGUUUUCUCAUUAGUCUAUGACUACAUACUAGAAUAGGAUGAAGAUUGGAAUUCAAAGGUAAAGAAUCCUAACCUGAUAUCGUUUUUCCAGGCAGUACAAAACUCUAUUACUGCCUUCACAUCUUCAAUGGGCACGGAUUUUGAUGGAUCAAAACAUGGCGGGGUUGCAGUCGCAGCCAACACACUCAUCGUCCUCUUCUUCCUCAAAGGAUCAGUAAAUGGGCUCAACAAUGUCUGCGCCGGGCGCUUCUGUCUGCACCCUUUACCUUCCACUUCUUUUUUUUCCACACUCGAACUACCUUCUUCAUCACCAGCCAUACUAACUGUGGGUAGACUUGGAGGAUUCAUCGGACCUCCCGAUGGCAUACUCUUAGUCACUUUCCAAUCUUCUAACAGAGACAACACUUUUUGGCAGAUUUCGUCACACCCGGCCACAUCUUCCGGGGUAGGCAGCUUCUCGGAUUGUGCCUGCUCAGCUGCUUCAUGCACUUGUAAGUGAGGAACUGAAGCGGCCAUUUCUGCCUCUUCGACUACCAUGGCUGCGGAAGGUUCGGCUCCAUCACCGGGAACUUGUGUUUCCAUUACCGCCGGUUCUGUAGGCGGACUAACAUGGUCAUGUAAUGGCGACAAGUGAUUGUCGCCUCCUUCAUUCAUAUGAGGACUACUGAGGUCCUCAUGUCCUUUCCCACCUUCAUUCACCCCACCAUUUCGUUUUUUCAGCUGCUCUAUCUCCACAUUAAAAUAAUGCUCCAUUAAAGCCAGGGUGUUGCGGAAAUCCUCCACACACUUUUUAUUUUUUUCGAACUCUCUUUCAACUUUCAAUGACUCCUUCCGUACCAUGUCUUCCAACUGAUGCACUCUGUUGCGAAGCGCUCGAUUUGAUAUGGCAACUUUGGCCAAUUCAUCCUUUGUCCUUUGAAAGUCACGCUUCAAAGUGCGUAACUCUCUGGACGCGACUGUACCCUGCAUUCAGUUAUAAUGCAAGUGUUACAAUAUUUUCAAAAUAUAUUGCAACAAUACAGCAGUUAUUUUCCUAUUGUAUUAUGACGUAUAUCUUGGAAAAAAAUGUAAUGCUUGCCUUAGAAGACGACGGAAGGCUAGCAGUUUCGUCAAUGUCCUUAUCUUUUUCUUCUACAGAGGCAGAAGUGCUGGUUUUUUGUUCAGCGUCAUCGCCAAACAACUGAACAAGUUCUUCAGUGUCGUCAACACUGUCACCCCAAGUCCAAUACGGCUGCUGCUUGUCGAUUACAGAUGGCCGGAGAAGUUGCACAUCAACCUGCAAUUUACACAUACAAUAUACAUAUCAGUAAACUUAUUAUAUUAUAUUUUCAUAUGCCUAACAUUAUCAUUAAAAACUUAACUAACCUCACGGUUCUCGAAUACUUGGCUCAUUAGCUCAUAAAAACACGGCGAACUAUUGCUCCUCCAAUGUAGUAAACGAGGGAUGUAGGCAUUAUCUUCGUGCACCACCAAAUGUAGUGCAGCCAACGCUGGAAAAACCUCAUAAGCCCAAAUCUGGUUUGAGGAAUAAAACGUGAGUCACUGUAAACAAAUGAAAUUUAACUUCAACAUGAAUGGAAAUUUGCUCACCUGAAGUGCAUAGGCAAAACCUUUGAGGUGGUACUCUCUUGGUCUACCAGUUGCCGUUGUUUUUGCUUUCUUUUCAGAUUUUUUUGUUUUUGCAGCUUUUUUGGGCACUUUCACUCGCUGGUAAUCUGUACAAAGUGCCCUCAGAAGUGACACAAUUGUCUUGGCAUAACACACAGCACCCCAUGGAUACUUCCCAAACUCUUCAAGGUCUUCCACCAACUUCAAAUAUCGCAUGUCAAUCUGGACAUGUUUUUCACUGCCCAACAGCACAAACACAGCAAAGUAUACAAAUCUGAGCUUCAAUACAUCGUCCGCAUCAACGCAUUUGAGGAAGGCCUUUUCUAAUUCCAAAACAUUGACAGUUUUAUAGUUGCCAAAGUACUUCCUUUUCAAUGAGCAGUUCUCAUUAGUGGGAAUCGGAAUAAAGGGAAGGUUUCCAAACCUUAGCCCUGUCACGAUGCAAAAUUGCUGCGCCGUGAAUUGGAUCACCUUAUUGCCAACGAUGAAUUUGAUCCCGUUGAGUUGGGAAACUGUCUUUGGAUCAGCUUUCCUCAGCAGCAAGCCGUGGACAAUUGGCGAAGUCCACUUGAGGUCCUCAAUCAGUAGGAGAUGCCCAAAACAACUCUCUUCAAACCUUUGUAGCUGUUGUUCACUGAAUUUCUCCUUUAUCGUGCUGAUUGCAGUCUUCGUAUGGGAUAGGGACAAUGCUUUUCCUUGGAACUUUUCUUCCUCUGCAAUCAUCAACUUCAUUUGAGCAACCAUCUUUCCCUGCAUGCCAAUAUUAUAAAAAAAAAUUCAGUCCGUUGCAAUCUAGACAAUAACAAGCAAUAAACAAUCAGCACUUAUCUACAGCCUAUUAUAGGAUAUUAAGUGAAAACAAAAAAACAAAAAAUACAGGGCAUAAACAAAACCCCAGCUAUUUACAACUGACCUACUAAUUCAAUAGCUCAAAGCCACAUCCCAAGACACCCAGUACUCUACCACUCUUGCAUAAUAUAAUAUCUAAAGACACAUCUCAACACACCAGAUAAUCAUGACACAGCUUCAGCUAGAAUGGGAAUGUGCGGUAGCACAAGCCUAAUUGAGAACAAUUCAAGACUAACGAUAGAAAUCUAUCUGACUAGAAAGAGUUUUAAAAAAACAAGAAGACAUCGGGAAAGAAUUGAUUGACUUCAAGGUAUAAUGUAAUGGAACAUCCUAUGAAUUAGUGGCAACCAUAAUAAUGACUCCACUAUGGCCCUCCUUUCAAAUGUAAGAAAAUGAAUGAAAUUGGCACCAUCCCUUCAGUUUUUUCUUAACAAAAUAAGAGAUUUGUAUGUAUUCUCUGCUUUAUCGAUAUCAAAGAUAAAUUAAUAAAUAAACCAUCAAAACUGUAUAAAAUGUUUGUUAGACAUGUACAAUUACAAAAUUAUAAGUUCUCCUCAGAAACAAAGUUCUCUAAGUACGCAAACAAGAAAAGCAAAAGCUUAAAGAGUUAGCUUAUAGCAAAAUCAAUGUCCCCAUUUCUCUAAACCACACCUGCUGGUGGUAGGUUCCCAUCUUCACUCAUUUCCCGCUUUCUUUUAAACAGACAAUGAUCAAGCACAAAAGAGCAAACUUUUAAAUAACUCAUAUUACACCACAAAUAGUUCUAAAGAAAACUUAUUCAUAUCCAAUAUGCAACCCCUAAAGUUAGUAAACAGAGUUAUAAAAAAAUAUGUCAAAUUAACAAGCAUUAUUCUCAAACAAAAAGUAUGAUAUGGUUGGGAGUUUACAAGUUCAAAAUGAUAUACACAGGUUAAUUGUCUUAGACUUUAGAUAUCAUCUUCAACAAAGAAAAUAGAUACCGAUUAGACUUGUAAGAAGGUUAAAUGCAAUGGUCAUAAAGACCCAUAGUAAGCCACCAAAUACCAAUCAAUAACUGCUAUAAAAACCAUAAUAAAACCAUAAUAAACUAAAAAUACAACAGCACUAAAAUGCCAACACAACAUCACUACAUUAGCAAUAUAGUAGCAACAAAACCACAAUACGACAUCAAUAGCAACAGCAAAACAACAGCAGUGCAAGCAUCAGUCCACAAAGAACAAACCCAUUCACUGUUUCAAACAAGGAAUCAUCAUACUAAGAUCAUUUCAGAGAAACCCCAAAACCAAUUUCAGUGAAACCCCUAAACCAAUUUCAGAGAAACCCCUAAACCAAUUUCAGAGAAACCCCUAAACCUUCAACCAAUUUCGAACAAAUCCCUGAACCAAUUUCAUAGAAAUGCAUAAACCCUAAACCAACUUCAAAGAAACCCUAAACUGUAAGAAAAUGACGAUGAACAGUACCUGUUCAAGGUGAACGAUGGAGUUGAGCUUCGAUGAACAAAUUUCGCUCGGAGAGGAAGAGAGAAGAGAGAGUCAGAGCUGAGCGACGAGAGAUUAAGGGCUGAGCGACGAGAGAGUGAGAGCUGAUCGACGAGAGAUGAGAGAGUGAGAGCAAAGUGACGACAGAGUGAAGAGAAAUUGAGAGAAGGAGCCAAGAGAGAGAGCUGAGAGAGAACUUCAGCAAAACUGAUAGAGAACUUCAGCAAAAGUGAUAUGUGUACAAUAAGGGGACAAUAAAUAUAUAUUUAUAGGUUAUAGUUCCAAAUUUUUUUAAAAAGAGUGGUAUUUUCAGUUACAAUUAUAAAAAUGGUGGCAUUUUGAGCUAUUUCCUUAUUUUUUAUUCAACAUGGACGCAGAAACUGUUGCUAAACUGCAAACUUCUUAAAAUAUUUGUCUCACUUUCUCAACCCUAUAUUUGUCUAACUUUCUAGAUCCAUGUACUGAGAUUUAUUAGGGAAAUAUUGUAGAAACUGAUUAUUUUGAAAUAUUAAAUGUGAAAAACUGAACAAAAAUUUGAUGGGUUACAUAUUUCAACUCAUUUCAGCAGCUUAGAUUUUGAAGACCUCGGAAGAGGCCAUGCAGUGAGCCUAGCUAGUGCACUGUUGAUCACUUCAGUGUCUACCGAUCUGUAAUUUUUCCAGAUUGGUUAUAUUUUCCUUUACAUAUUCUUAUAUUAUUCCCAGCUGUAAGUGUUUUACACACUUGUCUAUUAGAAAAGGGGAGACUUAUAAAUAAAUCCAAAAUGGGUACAGUAUUUAUAAAGAAUGACAAAAUUAAAGUGUUUGGGCAAUAAUGCCCUUAUUCAUUUUGAGAUUGCCUAAGGAAUAUUUUUUCUGAUUUUCAGAAGAUGCCAAAGGACCGUUGUUUGAUGAUUGCCGUAAGGAGCUAAGAAAACUUGCUUUGAUAGUUUUGGACAGAUGCAUGCUACUGUUGCUGGGAUGAUCUCUUCACGUGAAAUGAGGAUGAUGAUGCUUCUACACUACACAAUCCAACGAAUUCACAUGUCUAUUUCAGAUACAAGUAUAAACUAACAAGGCUUUAAAAUAUGGGCUGAUGCACUGUUGUUGAUGUUGCUGACACUGUUACUGUGUUGUUGAUACUGUCACUGCGUUGCUGUUGGAAAAAGCACAAGGACUUCACAUGUUGCUUUCGUCUUUUGUGGAGGAGAGAGACCUAGGACUUGCAUGUCUUAGAUAUUUAAGAUAAGGGGCUUUCGUUCCAUUUUGAAAAUACUUUGGGUGUUUUUGAAAGGUGAUUGUUUCUUUUGGGUUUCUCACUAAAUUUCGCUUUAGAAGGGAAAAUAAUAAUAAUAAUGUCAAACAAAGUAGGGUAAAUAUUCAGAUAUGCUCAUAUUAUUAUUCUUCUCCAAUAUUGAGGUAUUUAUACAAGUACAAAGAUGUGUUAACCCUAAAUAAAAUAGGAAAUAUAUCUAAAUUAUAAUAGGCAGUAAAUCUCUAUUACAAUAGGACUAAAUAAUAAUUGGUAAGUAACCAAAAUUCUAAUGAAAUAAGGAAUCAAAAUCCUAACUAAGUAAGGACUCGCCAACACUCCCCCUCAAGUUAGGGCAAACAUAUUUCGCAUGCCUAACUUGACAAGCGAGUCAUAGAACACCAUACUUGAGAAGCACCAAUUGUAGAGAAGGUCUUUUCGUCAACCACGAGUGAAACAAGUGACAAACUAAAGCAAAGUUCGCAGCGGAAACACAAGAGCGAAUCCUAAAAAAUAGGGCACAUAGCAGAACACAAAAAUCCUGGAGCACGACAGUAGAUAAGGCAGAACACAGAAACCCUGUUAGCACGGCAAUAGGUAAGGCAGAAAAAGUCAAGAGCAAAGGCAAGGUCAACAGGCGUGACCACAACGAAAACACACCAGCAAAGACAUGAGCAACAAUAUUAGCACCAUAAUAGACAUGAGCAACAAUACUGGUACCAACAACAGCAAUACAAGGCACUGGCACCAGCAAGAGCAACAAGGCAUGGACAUAACAUGCAUAAUCAAUAGUAAUCAACAUUGUCCCCAACAAGAGUCAUAAUAGGCAUGAGCAAUAACAUUGUCCCCACUAAGAGACUUAACAGGUAUGAGUAACAGUACUGGCACCAGCAAAGGGCAUAGUAGUCAGCAGCAAUAACAAUGACAAAUACUUCUAUUAUUGCAGAGACAACUUCUCUUCACUCCCCAUCUCCCCUUGAAGAGAAGGGGUCAUCGGAACCAUAAGAAAAGUGGCACUUAAGAAACAGAAGUUGACUGACGCUCAAAUGUAGAAGAAUCAGCCAUGGCAAAUAGGUAGCUGAAUUGCAGCGGAAUAGAUGAGCAGCGGUGUCACUCCCCCUCAUAUCUGAUAAUGUAUGAGAGUCGAGAUUUGGAGAAAGCAAUAUCGAAAAAUAAAGUUGCAGAACCCAAAUAAAGUUGCAUCUAUCUCCCCAUCAAAUCCGACACUGGUAAAGGGUCGAGAUUUGAAAGAGGAGAAAUUGAAAUAAUAGUAAAGAGACUCAAACAUGCAGUCUCAUGGCAGAAACAAAUGCAAGAGGGGAAGAUGGUAGCAUACGGUUGUCCCAUGAAGAAAAAACUUCAGAAAAGGAGAAUAGUAAGGGAGGAAACCUAGCAAAUCAUGAACAGAGACAAAGACAAAGAUGCUCAAACUGAGAAGCGGAAAGGCAACUCAAGAGAGCAACCGAAGAAGACAGAGGCCCGCAGAACAGUCAAAGUUAAGGCUCGGCGAGUGGUGACGAUGCUCGCGGAGGAAAGCAACGGCUCGGUGAGCGGUGAUGAGGCUCACGGAGUAAAGAGACUUGUUAUGAAGUUUCAAAGAUAGAGAAGCUGAGACAUCAAGAAAGACCAUCUGGCAUACAAAGAUGAAAAAUAAAAAUUUUGGAACAGUAGCAAAGAAGCAUGUGAAGGCUGGUGCGGUGAAAACACAUAUGAAAGGAUGAACAAAAGAAGAUGACUAUACAAGAUGAAGACCCAUGAUGGGUUAGGAAUGAGGAGUGCCAACGACUCUCAAUUUGGCAGAGGUUAUCGCAGGUUAGGAACCUGGCUCUGAUACCAUGUCAAACAAAGUAGGGUAAAUAUUCAGUUAUGCUCAGAUAUGCUCAUAUUAUUAUUUUUCUCCAAUAUGGAGAUAAUUAUACAAGUACAAAGAUGUGUUAACCCUAAAUAAAAUAGAAAAUAUAUCUAAAUUACAAUUGGAAGUAAAUCUAUAUUACAAUAGGACUAAAUAAUAAUUGGUAAGUAACUAAAAUUCUAAUGAAAUAAGGAACCAAAAUCCUAACUAAGUUAGGACUCGCCAACAAAUAAUAGUACAACUCUUAUUAGCAACAGGUUACAAACUUCUUCUACAACACACCAACAUGAAUCUAGCCCUGAUCCACUCUUUUACAUACUUGAAAACAAAACAAAACACGAAAAACAAAAAACAAGAAACAAGAUAGGGAGAAAAUGGCUACGGAGAGACUUCCUGCUAAUCAGGGGCGGCCCUGGGGUGGUGCAAGUGGCGUCACCGCACAGGGCCCCCGAUUCUUAAGGGCCCCCAAAAAAUAAUUCUUUAUAUUAUAUAUAUAUAUAUUAAUAUUAUAUGAAUCGUAUAUAAAGUAUAGCGUCUGGAUGAUAAAGAGACUCAUUAUCAUUAUCUUAGUCAUAAGAUUCAAAAUGAAUUGAUACUUUUGUUAGCUUCUGAGCUCAAAAGUGCAAUCAUUAAAAAGAUUGAAGAAGCUAAAUAUUUUUCUGUGAUUCUUGAUUGUACUCCAGAUGCUAGAAACCAAGAACAAAUGAGUUUGAUAGUAAGAUGUGUGGAUGUCUCUACUAAUUCAAUAAAGGUUGAAGAAUUCUUUUUGGAAUUUUUGAUUGUGAAUGAUACAACAGGACAAGGACUUUUUGAAGAGUUGCAAACGGUGUUGCAAAAACUUAAGCUUGAUAUUGAUAAUGUGAGAGGACAAGGCUAUGACAAUGGAUCAAAUAUGAGUGGGAAAUAUCAAGGUGUCCAAAGAAAAUUUUUGGAUGUAAAUCCUAGAGCAUUGUACACACCUUGUGGUUGUCAUAGUCUUAAUUUAACACUUUGCGAUAUUGCAAACUCUUGUGGAAAAGCAAAAGAUUUUUUUGGAAUCAUACAACGUAUUUAUACAUUGUUUGCUAAUUCUACAAAGCGGUGGAAGAUAUUGAAAGAUAAUGUUAAACACUUAACUCUGAAAUCAUUGUCAGUUACACGUUGGGAAAGUCGUAUUGAAAGUGUGAGAGCAAUAAGAUUCCAAGCUGCAGAUUUAAGAGAAGCUUUACUUCAGUUAGCAGAAAGUGACGGUGACUCCAAAAUAACAAGUGAAGCUAAUUCUUUGGCAACAUAUGAACUUGGAAAUUUUGAGUUCUUAUUGGGCAUGGUUAUUUGGUAUGAUAUAUUAGGUGGUGUCAAUGUAGUGAGCAAAAACUUACAAUCUGAAGACAUGCUUAUUGAUGUUGCUAUUGAUAAAGUGAAAGGGUUGAUUACUUUUUUUUUGAAAAGUAUAGAGAAAAUGGGUUUACAGAAGCUAUGUGUACUGCUAAAAAAAUUGCUACUGACAUGGGAAUUGACCCGGUGUUUCCUGAGAAGCGAAAAAUUCGUAGAAAAAAACAUUUUGAUGAGAAUACUUGUGAGCUAUCCCAAUCAGUUCCUGAAUCAACUGAAGAAAAGUUUAGAAUUGAUUAUUUCUUGUAUUUAGUGGACCAAGCUAUUGGUUCUUUACGAAGAAGGUUUCGACAAUAUCAAGAGUAUGAGAAUUUUUGGGUUUUUGUUUACUUCAGAGAAGUUAAAUUCAUUGGAUGAUUGCGAUUUGAAGAAUAGUUGCAGUCAUCUGGAAAGCAUUUUGAAAAAUGACAAGUUUUCUGAUGUCGAUGGGGAGGAUUUAUUUGUUGAGUUGAAAGUUUUACAAGAGCUUUUACCAAAAGUAAAUACCACAGCUACUGCAAUAUUAAAUUUCUUGAAAAGAUUAAAUUGUUUUCCAAAUGCAUUCAUUGCAUAUAGAAUCCUAUUGACUAUUCCUGUUACUGUUGCAUCUGCGGAAAGAAGUUUUUCAAAAUUAAAAUUGUUAAAAUCAUACUUGAGAUCAACUAUGUCGCAAGAAAGAUUAAAUGGACUAGCUUUGAUUUCAAUUGAAAGUGAACUUCUUGAAAAACUUGAUUAUGAACAUUUGAUUGAUGAUUUCUCUUCUAAAAAUUCAAGAAGAUCAAUUUUCAGACAUUAGUAUUGUACUAGCUGUGUUUUUUUUUUUCUUCUAGGGUAAAAGCUCUCAUAAUAAUUUUAAUUCUUCAAAUAAGACAGCAAAUACAAUGUGAUGAAUUUUGGAUAAUCAGGUAUGUUUUUGUUGUUGCUUUUGUGUUUAAUGCAAUAUAAUCUAAUUUUUUUAAUGACAUUUGUGUGCAACUACUCUUUGAUUUGUGAUUGCCAAUUUUUUUUUCUUUCUAUUAAACACAGAUUGCUUAUUGGAGGCAGCAAGAGACCUUAUAGGGGCACAAGGAGCUUAUUUUUGUACAAAACAUUUAACUUUAUCAAAUGGAAACAUUUAAAUUUUUAUGAAUUUGAUUUCUGAUUGUCAUUGCAUAUUUAUUGAUGGUGAAUUUUAGUUAUAAAAAAAAAAUUGUUUAUGACAUUAAGUUAUGGCAAAUUUUUAUAGUAUUUUCGUAUUAGAUUAUGCGAGGUCCCAAUUUAAGUUUCGCACAGGGCCCUCAAAAUCUCAGGAACGGCCCUGCUGCUAAUACUUGAUCAAUAACAGAGAUAAUAGAGCACACUGUUUGUAUGACAAUGAGUAUCAGAAGAAUAAUAGCUGCAAAGAGAGAAAUAGCUGCCCAAGGUGUGUUGAAAUACUUUUGUCUCAAAUUUGCCUUCCGUCUGUUCGUGGUCUUCUUGCAGUACUCGUUUAGUUUGCCAGCAAGAUCACCAAAAUAGUAGUUUCCGUGGUUCGGAGCAACUUUACUGCAAAGCUUGUUAAUCAUAAUGGAAACCUUAUUGUUGUCACCUAGCGUGUUUACAACAAUUCCAUUGUCAACAAGCAACUCUACAUCCUUUGGGGUGUUUACAAAUUUAUCCAGGAUGAAAACAUAAUCGCUUAUGUAUUUAUCCACGCAAUGGCCUUGUUCAAAGGCAAUGAGAUUUCUAUGUGUAAGCUGUGUAAUCAUGUAUUUCAAUUUUUGGAAUUUCCAAGGUGUUUUUCUUGAACUGUAUAUCGAAUAAGUUCUUGCUUGAUCCCACGUUAAACUUAACUCCGGCCUGGUGUAGUUUUGUCAUGCUGGGUGUACUUUGGAGCCCUCCAUUUUUUUUUCUUUUGGCAGAUGUAAAGUUCUAAUAAAAUCAACAAAAUGUAAAGGUUUUUUAGGAUCAGGAGGCAUAAAAGACUUACGGAAGGCUGGUGAGUUCUCCAAGUUUUCUAAACGCAGUGCCUGUUGGAAGAACUUGUAAGAGAGUUCAAUUAUUGAAGGCUCCCCAGUCUGAGCACCUGUGAGAUUGUAAAGAUCCUCGAGAAUGAAAAAUGGCAGCUGAUUUACGAGCAUAAGCAUGUCAGGCAAUAUAUUUUGUAGCACCCAUGGUUUUUUAAAUAUCCAAGCAUCAUCAUCCUGCAAUUUUUCUUCCUGAAAUUUUUCUUCGGAUUUAUUCCUCAACAAUAGCUCAAUGACAAAGGCGGCAUCAACUAGAAUGAUAUUCACAAAAGUAGCAAUGUUAAACUUCUUAGGGCUAGUUUGGCGGCGUUGUGCUUUUAAAAAAAUAUGCUUCUGCUGUGCUGUGAAAAUAAUUAGCUGUGAAAAAAAGCUACUAGGCGUUUGGUAAACUGUUUUUGAAAAACUGCUGUGAGUAGUCAAAGUGUUUGGUAAAUUUUUAUCAGAAGUACUUUUAGUGUGUAUAAUGACCAAAAAGGACAUGAUGAUGAAAUUGUUUGUUAUUUUCUUCAUUCUUUUUCUACUUUAAAAAAAAAAAAAACCCAAUUUCACUACAUAAAUUUUUAUUCUUUUUUAAUUCACACCUUUUUAUCAAAAAAUUUAAUCUACAAUUAACAUACAUAUUUUACCAUAAAUUAUAAAUUACUAUUAUAACAAAAGUAAUUCUAAAUAUUGUUAUAUUAAUAUGGGCUUCGGACAUGACAAAAAUACAAAAAUUGUUCAAUUUUAAAAUGCCCCAAUAGAUCACUACAAUAUAAAAGAAGCUAAUUAGAUGCAUUCAUUAAACUUGUAGCGAUGCUAUUUCUUAAUGCAUUCAUUAGCUUCUUUUUUUGGUUUCCAAUGGUUCUCUAACAAUUUUAACUAAAAAAACAACCAUAAUGCUUUGUGAACAAUAAAUUCAAGUCCAAAUCUGCUAUUGCCCACACCAUACAUAUAUACAUAAUUGUUCCUUUCAUAAAACUUGAAGAUUCAAUAGUAAUUACACAGUUUACCAAUCUUGAUUCCAACUAUAUCCAUAAAAUUAAACUAUAAUUAGAAAUAGAGGAGCUACAUGUGAUUACUCAUAAAUGCUUCCCACUCUCAUCAUCAUCAUCAUCAUCAUCUUCCUCCUCUGUACUUUGCCUUUCACAAAUGGACAAGACCAGAUGGUAACGUACACGACAUGGUCCACAUAUAGAUAAAUUUUGGGUUCACUGGAGAACAUAAAAGAGUUUUUACACGAAUACAAAGUUAGUUAAGUAGUGAAUAAAGUAAAACUAUUCUGUACAAUUCUAGCUGAUGCAGUCCAAAAAGAAUAUAUGUCUAAUAACUUAAAUAACAAUAAAGAGAAACAAAAGCCUCAUGAAAAAUGCUAGAGUAAAAGUUACAUAACUGAAUCGAUGGACAGAGAACUCCACAGGCAGAGAAACAGCAACAAAAAUUGUCAAAACAGUAGCAAGACCAUGUUGGAGUCAAGGCCAAAGAUCAUAUUUCCUGUGUAUCUUCUUCCAUUCUGAAUUAUUCUCGUAUUCAAAUACUGUAACUCUAUUUCAAGUGCACCCCAAAAUACUUAUCUAAGGCCAGUACAUAGGACUUCAUAAAGGGUGCGAUAAAAAAUAUUGCCCCUUAAUUGAUAAACAGAACCAAGAUCCCAACAGCACACCAAAACUAUACCAACCACACCUACAUAAUAUGGACAGAAAAUCCUGUUGUUCCGAUCUCUAACCACACCAAUGACAUUCAUUAGGAAAAUACAAAAGAUGGGUACCCUGCAUUUCUAACAUUUAAGAUAAAAUUCACUGCCAGCUAAUCACAAAUUUGAAAAGAUGGCAAGAAAAUUGGCUAAGCUUUAACAAAAACCAGAGCAGUCCUUGCAUAGACCUGACUUUUUGCUCCAAGCUUUAGCAGAUCACUUACUGGUAGAGAGCAGAGAACAUGUAUGUGAAUAUCUGAAGUUGGAAGGGUAAGCCAUCACAAACACCAAGAGAUCUGAUUCUCAUCUCUUGUUACAACAACAAAUCACAAACACCAAUACAUCUGAUUCAGAAUCUCAUAAACAAUGGAGGAACAAACACAUAUUCACACACAUAUAAAUCCCUAAACAGAAAAAAUAAAAAAUAAAAAAAAAACCAUGAAAGUCAUAGGAGAAUCAAAUUGAUUUGGGCCAAAAUUGCCUAAAAAGAAAACACUCCUAAAUAAACUUCAAUUCACUUUUAAAAACAGUAAAACAUGAUUGAAUCAUUCUUUAAAACAAUUCCCUAAUAUACAUGCAUGAUAAUGACAUCAUUUACCCCUGAAUCAAAUGCCUUUCACUGGUCAAGCCACAAGUCUGUGUUUUGGGAAUUGCUGAGCUGCAUCAAUCCUGCCAAUGUAAAUUCUGCCCCUAGGCUCUCUCAAAGUGCGUUUACAACCUAUGCUAACAUAUACUAGAGUUUGUUUUAGUAUCUAGAAAAUGCCAACACUAAUUUCGUAACACGUAGAAAUUGUUACAUAUUGGAAGUUUUUAUCAUUUUUUCUUCCAGUCUCUCCACCACUCACUAAUACAGAUUACUCAUGUGAUGAGUUUACAAAACAUAUUUCUCUACUCCCACAAAGACCAUACUUUUUCUCAAAAGACUAUAUCACUUUAUCUCUAUCUUUGUGAAAUGUAAAAAGUUGAAACUUUAAUGUCAAACCUCGACAAAAGAUGAACAUCCAUCAUCAAUUACAUUGAAUUUGAAUUUGUUGAACUUAAGUAGUUUUACUUCUCUGUCAGCGUUUGAUGACUUGAUUUGUUAUUUACUUCUUCUUUUUUCCUUGGAAAUGUGUUCCAUCAACGUGAGGAAGAAAAAUAUGCACAAAUUAAUAUAUUUAAUAGAAGCAAAAAUUAAUAUUUACAAAAAUAUGCACAAAUCAAGUAAAAUUAAUAAAGCAUAAAUUGGAAAGGGAAAAUAUGUAGAGGAUGCAUUGUAGGAUUGCUCAUGCCAAUAAUUGUACCCUCUAAAUAUAUAGGGACAUAUUUUUUUUUGUUUUCAUGACAUGUGGUCCUAAAAUUAUUGUUCUUAGCGGGCUCUCCACCCCUCUCGACUGAAAACCUAUUGUGUAAAUCUUCAAUCCUGAAUGAUGCACCUAAAACUCAUGUUGCAAUACACAUCCACCCAUUCUCAGGCCAAUUAUUACUCCUAGUGGGCUCUCCACCCCCUCUCAAAUUUAAGUGGUCCAUUAUUAUUAACCGUAUAUUUUAUGGACCAGCCAGCUGUGAGGUUUUAUCUCAAAAACCUUUCUCCCACAUGCCACAAUUUAUGUCUGAUACAUCACAUCAUGCCAGUUGUCUCAAAUGAAUUUAAGUGAGUGAGGCAGUGUUACUUCUGGGUACCCCUCAUUAUUCGUCUAUAAAUUGGUGAAGCCAGUUGCUACUGUUACCAUAAGAGCCAGCUCCGACUUUCAAAAUAAAAAUUCCAACAACGGUCUUAGUGCCUUCAAUUGUAUGAGUCAUUGAACAUGCAAAUGAAUAAAAUAUGAAUGAUAAAAGUGUUUGAUAAAUCACCAAGUUAUAGAACACUUGAUGAUUUAUCUCAAAUAAAAAUUCAGCUUUCUAAAGUUUGUGAAUUGAAAAUAUAAUCGUUAAAGCUCUCUAAACAAAGAAGACGAAAGUCUUAUUUUAUAGAAUUUUUCUUUACAAGAAAGAAAACAUGUUGAAAACCAAAUCUCCAAUUUCCAAGGCUUGACAGAAAAUCAAAAAAAUAUCUUUCCUAUUCUAGAGAUUGGUCACAUGUAGUUCAACCAAUAGGAAAUGAGAUAUUUAAGAAAGCAAGAUUUUGAUCAAUACCAAUAUCAAAUGAAUUCUUAUACGCCUAGUCAACUAUUAAGGGUAUCUUGACUCCUUGAUAUUGUGAUAUGAUUGAAACAUGAUUUCCAUGUUAGAAAAUUAAGGGGAUGUUAAAACAUGAAAGUAAUAGGAGAAUCAAAUUGAUUUGGACUAAAAUUGCCUAAAAAGAAAACACUCUUAAAUAAACUUCAAUUCACUUUUAAAAACAGUAAAACAUGAUUGAAUCAUUUUUUAAAACAAUUCCCUAAUAUACAUGCAUGAUAAUGACAUCACUUACCCCUAAAUCAAAUUGUCACGCCCCGGACCUGGGGGUCAGUGGAAACCCCACGUUCGGUGCGUGAGAAAAUAAAAAGUAAAAUAAAAUAAAAAGAAUGCCGAAACAAGGGUUUAAAAUAAACUUCUCUUAUAAAAAUAACUCCAAAAUCUUACAACUUUACAAGAAAUAAAUAAAGCCCUAUCAUUCUUAUCUAAUUCAGCCUCAACUGGUUUAGUCCUUGUCUUGCCCACUAAUUCAUCUAAAAAAUGAAGAGUGUUGCUAAACGAACCCUAAAAUUAAUUGAGUACACCCUACUACCAAACGAUUUAUUGAAUUUGUCACAUCUCGGGAUCAACUCCGCCGUAGCACGAUAUUGUUCGCUUUGGGCCCUCCCUCUCUGGCUCGCAUGGUUUUGUUUCUGGGAACUCACGAGUAACUUCCCAGUGGGUCACCAAUCCUGGGAUUGCUCUAGCCCACAACUCGCUUAACUUCGGAGUUCCUACGACUCCGAAGCCUGUGAGCUCCCAAAAGGUCUCGUGCUAGAUGGAUGCGGGUGUGCACAUAUAAGGCACAUCACCCCCUCUCCGUUGGUUGAUGUGGGAUCUUAUAGAAUUACUAAUUUAUCCUAAUAUAAAAUGACCAAAGAAGAUAAAAUAAUAUUGGUAUCUAUUGCUUUGAAUCCAUGCCUUCAAACAAAUUGACUUAAUUUUUAACAAACAACACGGAGUCCAGGAGAAGUGUAUUGAUCCAAGUUGAUUUUUGUAUGCGUAAAACUUAAACAAUCAAUAACACAAAGCAGUUCAUGCUGAAAUAUUGGAAACCCACACCCAAAGAGUUCUCCGCUGCGAGGUUGAAGGCAGGAGAGAUGGGUGACAGAUUUUACUUCCACUGCGAAGUUGGAGGCUAGGAGAGUCUGUGACUGCCAUGGUUGAGGGAGAAGAUGCGUUCAAAAUGCCUAUUGAUAUUUUACAUUAUUGGCUUUUUUCAAAAGUGAAAGUUUUUUUAUGGGUAAAACCUAAAUUUACUUUUUCUAUACAAGUUAACAGUGUUUGUGUAUUGUGAAAAGGUGGAGAGACGUGUCAAAAUUUUAGACAAAGGACAGGAGGAGAUAGGGAAUUUGGGGACAGCAGAUCUCAACUCCCUUGAGACCCUAUUCUCUACGCCACCCCUCCCCCUCAACAACCCUAGUCACCAUUUCUCCUUCAACUCCAACGGCAACUCAUUAAAACCCAAUUCUCAAAUGCAACAAUCUAAUCCCAAUCCCAAUUCAGAUGUUUCUAAAAAACCCAUUGUCGUGGUGGAGAACUGCAAUUCCAGGUGGUGGUGGUGGUACCACAUGGGAGAGAGAAAAAAGAAGAAGAAGAAGCAGGAGAGAGAGAGUUUUUUAUUUUAUUAUUAUUUUACUGUAAUUUUUUAAUUUAAAUAAUUAAAAAAAUUAAAAGUUAAAGAGGAUGUACCAUGGGUAUUUUUGGUAGUUAAAUAAGGUGUACUUAGGGUCAGUUUGGCAUUGCUGUGCUGUGAAAAUAAUAGCUGUCAGAUUUGCUGUGAGAGAAAUCAGCUGUGAGAGAAAUCAGUUUGGCGUUUGAUAAAAUUUUUGUUAAAAGUGUGUUGAUAUUGAUUUUAUGCUUAAUCCGAAAAUGAUUGCUGCAUAAUCAUUAAACCCAGCGCCUCUUCGAAACUGAUUCCUAUAUAAUCAGAAAAUGAAAGCACCUCAUUAGCUGCUUUCCUUUAUAGCUUUCUCUCACAGCAAUUUUUAACAAUAAGUGAUUUUCUCACAGUUUACCAAACGGGUUGGGCUUCUCAAAAUUUUUUAAAAAUCACUUAUUACCCCAAAUAAGCAAUACCAAACGGGCACUUAGUUAAUUUUACAUUUUAAUUUAAACAUUAGGGUGUACUCAGUUAAUUUUAGGGUUCGUUCAGCAGCACUCAAAAUUAAACAAGGUGAGGGAUGAGCAAGUAGGGACAUGAGACAUUGCCACAGUAGAUUGAUAUAACUAAAUAUUAUUAUAAACAUAGAAAUAUAUAAGUAUUAUUAUAAUAGGAUUCAUAAUAAUUAAUAUAAAAGUAUAACAACAAUAUUUACAUUUAUGUACCAAGAUAAUUACACAUAUAAAUAUAACCAAUAUAUAUUUUUAUAUAUUUUAAAAUAUAAGUCUUUACGUAAAUGCCUUUCACGGGUCAAGCCACAAGUCUGUGUUUUGGGGAUUGCUGAGCUGCAUCAAUCCUGCCAAUGUCAAUUCUGCCCCUGAGCUCUCUCAAAGCACGUUUAAAACCUAUGCUAACAUAUACUAGAGUUUAUGCUGUAUCUAGAAAAUGCCAACACUAAUUUCGUAACACGUAGAAAUUGUUAGAGAUUGGAAGUUUUUAUCAUUUUUUCUUCCAGUCUCUCCACUACUUAUUAAUACAGAUUACUCAUGUGAUGAGUUUACAAAACCUAUUUCUCUACUCUCGCAAAGACUAAACUUCUUCUCAAAAGACUAGAUCACUUUACCUCUAUCUCUGUGAAAUGUAAAAAGUUGAAACUUUAAUGUCAAACCUCGACAAAGUGUUCUACUUUACAAACUUCUUGUGUCUACCAAUUUGUACUAAAAUUAAUUUCUCUACAGUGCUCAGAUUCAUCAUAUGUGUGUCCUUAAUUUUAGUGGAAAUUGGAAGUUUCCAUAAUUUUUGCUUUAAGUCACUCUUCUGAAGGAAGUUGAGGUUCCACUUCAUAAUCCAAAAUGUCAGGUUGACUUAUGGCAAACAAUGUAAAUAUGUAGGAGUACUAUGACCUUUUAUAGCAUUUUUAGUUUGAAUUUGGGUUUUAUACAUAGAUUUCAAAAUUAAUAGGUUGAUGCCUAGGAAAUAGAAAUUGUAAGGGCCUAUAUUAGAGUAGCCCUCUUAAAAAUAAUAUUAAUUAAUGAAUAUUUGUUCUUCUUGUUGUUUUGAAGUAGUGGUGGGAGGCAGACCAACAAAAAAAAAAUAUAGUGAAGGCUUAUAAGAGCAUUUACAAUCAUGCUCCCUAUUUUUUAGUUAAAAUUUAGCUAAAAAUAGAAAAAAAGUUAUUAUAGGAGCUCUUUAUAAAGCUCCUUUAUAAAAUUUGAACUCCAAUCAUACUCCCUAGUUUAGGGAGUCAAAAAUACUAUAGUUAUUUUUUAAUUCAAUUUGAUUUUGGUUAAUCUCUAUAAAUAUGAAAAAAUAGUUAGCAUUAAUUAAAAGUUUAAACUAUGCAUAAAACAAAGAAACAUUAAAUUAUAGGGAGCCACUAUGAGUCAUUACUCUCUCCUCAGAUUUAGGAGCUCCUAAAGGUCUCCCUAUUUUAUGAGGUGGAUAAGGAGCAUGGUUGGAGUUGUAUUUCUUCAAUUUCCUCCCUAAAAUUUGUCUAAGGAUGUGGUUUAGGGAGCCCAUUGUGAAUGCUCUAACUCUGGUAAAACACGAGUGACAUGGACAACAUAUGUUACGUCGUACUGAAGAUUUUUGGGUUUCUUUAAUUGGUUAAGUAGCAUCCACACAGCUUCCUAAAUCAUCUCCUUAGACAAAUUUUAGGGAGGAAUUGGAAAAGUACAACUCCAACUAUGCUCCCUAUCCACCAACUAAAAUAGGGAGACUUCUAGGAGCUCCUAAAUCUGAUGAGAGAGAAAGGACUCUUAAUGACUCCCUAUAAUUUAAUGUUGCUUUAUAUUAUUUUGUAUACAGACGGGUCAAUUAUAUUAAAUUAAAAAAUAAUUAAAGUAUUUAUGACUCUCUAAACUAGUGAGCAUAAUUGUAGAUCAUCUUAUAUACCUUAAUUUGAAGAUUCUUUAUUUGGGUUUCUUUCAAGACUUAUCACCUUAGCCACGCCACCUACACGUCUGCAAGCUUUCCUAACAAGGAAGGGGAGGCUGCGCAAUACUUAUCACCUUAGCCACACUACACCAAAUUGACGUCUGCAAGCUUUCGUAAUCUAACAAGGAAGGGGAGGCUGCGCAAUACUUAUCACCUUAGCCACACCAACACCACAAGACCAAUAUGUGUAGUCCAGGAGGCUUUCCCAUUUUAAUAUAUAUUAUCAAAUAAAAUAAAAAUCAAUCUAUUAUCAUAUAUAUUAUAAAAUAAAGAUUAUUGCUCCAUCCUCCAUGCACUUGCAUGCCUCUUACAAAGUGUGAAGUAGAUUUUGUGUGCUCCAAGUCAUUGACGAGAGCUGUAACAUGGUUAGCUGGAUUUAUAAGAUCUUUUCUUUUCUGGGAAUUUUCUGAAUCAAGAAAAAUUAAGUAAAAUUAAUAAAGCAUAAAUUAGAAAGGAAAAAUAUCUAGAGGAUGCAUUGUAGGAUUGCACAUGCCAAUAAUUGUAUCCUCUAAAUAUAUAGGGACAUAUUUUUUUGUUUUCAUGACAUGUGGCCCUAAAAUUAUUGUUCCUAGCGGGCUCUCCACCCCCUCUCGAUUGAAAACUAAUUGUGUAAAUCUUCAAUCUUGAAUGAUGCACCUAAAACUCAAGUGUCCCAGGCCAAUUAUUGCUCUCAUACCACUUGUUGUAAUAAACAUCCAUCCAUUCUAAAGGAAAGAUAACCAUCGAUAUUAUCUCAAAUUUAACCACUUAAGUUCAUUAUGAUUAACUAUGUAUCUUAUGGACCAAUCCAAUCAUGAGGUUUUAUACCCAAUUAGAUCGACUAAUACAAAGUUCACACGUGGAUUGAAAAGCGCUAUCAGUAGGGGAGUGUUCGGCACCCUUUACUGCCGAACGCAACACAAGACCCCUUGCAUGCCUUCACUAAGUUGAGCCUAUCUAUUUUUUAGCAUUAACAAUAUAUAUAGAUUGAAAAAAUAAAAUAAAAAUCAAUCUAUUAUCAUAUAAAAUAAAUAUUAUUGCUCCAUCCUCCAUACACUUGCAUGCCCUCUUACAAAGUGUGAAGUAGAUUUUUUGUGCUCCAACUCAUUGACUAGGGCUGAAACAUGGUUAGUUGGAUUUAUAAGAUCUUUUCUUUUCUGGGAAUUUUCUGAAGCACGGAAAAUCAAAUAAAAUUAAUAAAGCAGAAACUGUACCCUUUAAUUAUAUAUGGACGUAUGUUUUUUUGUUUUCAAGUCUUAGAUGACAUGGGGACCUAAAAUUAUUGCUCCUAGUGGACUCUCGACCCCUCUCAAAUUUAAGUGGUCCAUUAUUAUUAACCACAUAUUUUAUGGACCAUGCAGCUGUGAGGUUUUAUCUCAAAAACCUUCGGUACAUUUCUCCCACAUGCCACAAUUGUAUAUUCACAAUUACGGCUGUUACGUCACAUCAUGCCACUUGCCUCACAUGCAACAAGUCUGUGUUUUGGGGAUUGCCGAGCUGCAUCAAUUCUGCCAAUGUCAAUUCUGCCCCUGGACUCUCUCAAAGCACAUUUAAAACCUAUGCGAACAUAUAUUAGAGUUUAUGAUGUAUGUAUCUAGAAAAUGCCAACACUAAUUUCGUAACAUGUAAAAAUUAUUAGAGAUUGGAAGUUUUUAUCAUUUUUUCUUCCAGUCUCUCCACCACUUAUUAAUACAGAUUACUCAUGUGAUGAGUUUACAAAACCUAUUUCUCUACUCUCGCAAAGACUAAACUUCUUCUCAAAAGACUAGAUCACUUUACCUCUAUCUCUGUGAAAUGUAAAAAGUUGAAACUUUAAUGUCAAACCUCGACAAAGUGUUCUACUUUACAAACUUCUUGUGUCUACCAAUUUGUACUAAAAUUAAUUUAUCUACGGUGCUCAGCUUCAUCGUAUGUGUGUCCUUAAUUUUAGUGGAAAUUGGAAGUUUCCAUAAUUUUUGCUUUAAGUCACUCUUCUGAAGGAAGUUGAGGUUCCACUCCAUAAUCCCAAAUGUCAGGUUGACUUAUGGCAAACAAUGUAAAUAUGUAGGAGUACUAUGACCUUUUAUAGCAUUUUUAGUUUGAAUUUGGGUUUUAUACAUAGAUUUCAAAAUUAAUAGGUUGAUGCCUAGGAAAUAGAAAUUGUAAGGGCCUAUAUUAGAGUAGCCCUCUUAAAAAUAAUAUUAAUUAAUGAAUAUUUGUUCUUCUUGUUGUUUUGAAGUAGUGGUGGGAGGCAGACCAACAAAAAAAAUAUAGUGAAGGCUUAUAAGAGCAUUUACAAUCAUGCUCCCUAUUUUUUAGUUAAAAUUUAGCUAAAAAUAGAAAAAAGUUAUUAUAGGAGCUCUUUAUAAAAUUUGAAUUCCAAUCGUACUCCCUAAUUUAGGGAGUCAUAAAUAUUAUAGUUAUUUUUUAAUUCAAUUUGAUUUUGGUUAAUCUCUAUAAAUAAAUAAAAAUAUGAAAAAAUAGUUAGCAUUAAUUAAAAGUUUAAACUAUGCAUAAAACAAAGAAACAUUAAAUUAUAGGGAGCCACUAUGCCAAUAAUUGUAUCCUCUAAAUAUAUAGGGACAUAUUUUUUUUGUUUUCAUGACAUGUGGCCCUAAAAUUAUUGUUCCUAGCGGGCUCUCCAACCCCUCUCGAUUGAAAACCAAUUGUGUAAAUCUUCAAUCUUGAAUGAUGCACCUAAAACUCAAGUGUCCCAGGCCAAUUAUUGCUCUCAUACCACGUGUUGUAAUAAACAUCCAUCCAUUCUAAAGGAAAGAUAACCAUCGAUAUUAUCUCAAAUUUAACCACUUAAGUUCAUUAUGAUUAACUAUGUAUCUUAUGAACCAAUCCAAUCGUGAGGUUUUAUACCCAAUUAGAUCGACCAAUACAAAGUUCACACGUGGAUUGAAAAGCACUAUCAAUAGGGGAGUGUUCGGCACCCUUUACUGCCGAGCGCAACACAAGAUCCCUUGCAUGCCCUCACUAAGUUGAGCCCAACUAUUUUUUAGCAUUAACAAUAUAUAUAGAUUGAAAAAAUAAAAUAAAAAUCAAUCUAUUAUCAUAUAUUUUAUAAAAUACAUAUUAUUGCUCCAUCCUCCAUACACUUGCAUGCCCUCUUACAAAGUGUGAAGUAGAUUUUUUGUGCUCCAACUCAUUGACUAGGGCUGAAACAUGGUUAGUUAGAUUUAUAAGAUCUUUUGUUUUUUGGGAAUUUUCUGAAGCAAGGAAAAUCAAAUAAAAUUAAUAAAGCAGAAACUGUACCCUUUAAUUAUAUAUGGACAUAUGUUUUUUUGUUUUUUUGCUCUCGACCCCUCUCAAAUUUAAGUGGUCCAUUAUUGUUAACCACAUAUUUUAUGGACCAUCCAGCUUCGGUACAUUUCAAAAAGCUUCGGUACAUUUCUCCCACAUGACACAAUUGUAUAUUCACAAUUACUUCUGGGUACCCCUCAUCAGUCGUCUAUAAAAUGGUGAAGCCAGUUGCUACUGUUACCAUAAGAGCCAGCUCCGACUUUCUUUAAUUUCUUGCUACAUCUGUUGCUAAGUUAAUUUCAGUCCUAAUGGGGUUUCAUCUCCCACUCAUCUUUGCUAUUCUCAGUGUAAGCUCUGCAAUUUGAUUAACUUUUCCAUUCUCUCUCAUUGUACUCUAUAUAUAUAAAUGAAAGUUUUGUGUUCCUAUAAUUCUCUCCGAUUUUAUUUAGUACGUACUUAAGUGUCGUCCACUAAUUAAUUACACUUUGUGAGAUUUGAUUUUAAUUAGAGUUCGAAUUAAUGUUGCAGCUAGCAGCGGUUGCACUGGCAAACAAUGCUGCUCAACCAGCACCUCAACUUUACUGGAACUCCGUCCUGCCAAACACACAGAUGCCAAGAUCUAUCAGUGAACUUCUGCAUCCUGGUUUGUGUUCAGCUCUUUAUAAUCUUAGAUAUCUCUUCUACCUGCCAUUUUACUAAAAUAUGUUCGACCACAUAUUUAUCAGCUAACUACUGUGAUUACAAGAAUGACACUUAUUUUCCAAUAUAAUUUGCAGACUCCACAAAUGAAGAAAAGAGCAAACCUGAAAUUUUCCCAUUGCAGGGCAAUAGAGUUUACACUCAAAGCCAUUAUAAAAAACGUCCUCCUCCUCCAUCUGACGAGGGCAAACCUGAAACUUUCCCAUUGGGCAAUAGCCAUUACACUCAAACCCGUUAUAAAAAACGUCCUCCUCCUCCAUCUGACGAGGGCAAACCUGAAAAUUUCCCAUUGGGCAAUAGCCAUUACACUCAAACCCGUUAUAAAAAACGUCCUCCUCCUCCAUCCGACGAGGGCAAACCUGAAAAUUUCCCAUUGGCCAAUAGCUUUUACACUCAAACCCGUUAUAAAAAACGUCCUCCUCCUCCAUCUGACGAGGGCAAACCUGAAAAUUUCCCAUUGGCCAAUAGCUUUUACACUCAAAGCCAUUAUAAAAAACGUCCUCCUCCUCCAUCUGACGAGGGCAAACCUGAAAAUUUCCCAUUGGCACGUUCUCCUCCAUCUGACAGUCAACUAAAGCAUUACAAAGACUUAGCUAUUUUCUUCUUCGAGAAGGACAUGCGCCCGGGCACAACUAUGAAGUUCCAAUUCCCUAGAAAUUCAAACACGGCUACUUUCCUGCCACGCGAAAGUGCUCAAUCGAUCCCCUUCUCCUCUAAGAAACUACCAGAAAUUUUCAACCAUUUUUCAGUGAAGCCAACAUCUGAGGAAGCCAAAACAAUUAAGCAAACAAUCGAAGAGUGUGAAGCUCCAGGCCUUAAGGGAGAGGAAAAAUAUUGCGCCACAUCUUUAGAAUCAAUGGUUGAUUUUAGCACUUCGAAGCUUGGAACAAGAAACGUUGAAGCAAUCUCAACGGAGGUAUUGGAAGAAGGAGCCACCAAGUACAUGCACAACUAUACAACAAUGCCGGGACUGAAGAAGUUGGAAGGUGACAAAGUCGUUGUGUGUCAUAAGGAGAACUAUCCCUAUGCUGUGUUUCUCUGCCAUGCAAUAAAACAAACAGAAGCUUAUGUUCUCUCCCUGAAAGCCGAUGAUGGGAUGAAGGUGAAAGCAGUAACCAUCUGCCAUCUAGACACAUCAGAAUGGGACCCAGAGCAUUUGUCCUUCCAAAUCCUCAACGUUAAGCCCGGAACCACUCCCAUCUGCCAUUUCCUUACCACUGAUGCUAUUGCCUGGGUUCCAAAACACAAAUCUGCAUGAUCAUCACUUAGCACUGUACGUGUAAUAAGCUUGGUCGGGUUGCACCCUAGGCCUGCAUAAUUAUCUCCCUACUUAUUUCUGCCUCUUCAUCAUGCGGUGUAAGAUAUAUGAUGAGAUGAAGUUUUCUCUUGUAACUAUGUAGACUACUUCAACUUGUACUCAUAAUAAAGCACGCUGUUGGGGGGUUCUACUUAAUUUCGUUCUCUCCAAUGUUUGAGUGUUGAAUUGUUACGUUGGAAUAGGCUGCUAAUGCAUGUAGUUAGAGAAGCCUUCAUUUAUAUCAAAGUCCUCAAACUAUCAAGAAUUAAUGUAUCCAGAAACAUAUACCAAGACGCAAAACAACAUAUUUUCCAUUCUCUGUCUGUAACACCAAAGCAAACUUCCUUUAUCACAUCAUUUAAAGGAUCAAAUUCCAGUACUAAUCUAAUCCAUCAUGUAAAGCAUACAAGUGCCUACCUAAAUUUGUCCAUUGGAUAUAUAUGUCACUUUUUAUUUUUUGAUAGAGAUAUAAAUGUUGAAAAAAUUAGAGUACACAACUCUUAUAGACACUACUACGAUUUACUAUUUGCGCGACGGAAGUUUGCGCGACGAACAUUGUUUCGUCGCGCAAAAAGCACUAUUGCGACGAAAAAAAAAUACCGUAGCGCAAACAACAUAACACAAGCGCGACAAACAGUUUCGUCGCGCAAACAAUCUAUGCGCGACCAAUAUUAAUUUCGUCGCGCAAAGGUAGGGGAAAAAAACCCGGUUUUUUUUUUUUGGCGCCAUAAUCUUGCGCGACAACAACAAUCGUCGCGCAUGACAAUAUUGCGCGACAAUUCAAAGAAUUCGUCAGGUAAAGAUGGACAGAAAAUUGUCUCAUUUUUUUGGCGGUAAAAAACUUUGCGCGACGAAAUUUUUCGUCUCAAAAGACAACUUAGCGCGACGGAAAUAUGUACCGUCGCGUAAAAAAACGAGGGAUACUUAUUUUUGGCGCCAAAAUGCAGGGUGGAUAAAAAAAAUUUUGCGCGACGGAAUUACCUUCGUCGCGUAAAGUGUAAUGCCGGUGCUUUCUUGCGCGACGAAAUAAAUAAUUUGCGCGACGUAAUUUAAACCUUGCGCGACGAAAAGUAUUAUUUGCGCGACGAAAUUUUGUGCGACGAAUAAUAUGUUUCGUCGCACAAAAAAGCAGAUGUCGACAGGUAAUUGCGCGACGGAAAUGUUGUUUUGUGCGAUGGAAAAGUGGGUUUUCGCGACGGCAUUUUGCGCGACGGAUAUUGGUGUUCGUCGCGCAAAGUCCUUCUUCUUCAUAUUAGUAUCUGCCAUUGCAGAGGCAGAAUGCAGAAAUUGCAUUCUGCCUCUCUCUCACUCUCCCUGCCGCUGCUCUGCUGUGAAUUCAAUACGUUCAUUGGGUAUGUAUUUUUUGUCGUUAGUUUAAAUGUAUUAAUGUAAAUUCGUAGUAACGCUAUUAAUUUUGUUAUCGUUAGGGAUAUUUGUGAUUAGUGAUUGGUGGAGAACGAUUGAGAAGGUAUGUUAUUGUAAAAGUUUGUUUGUUAUGUUUGUAAUUUUUUUGUGAAGUUAUAUGUAUAUAAUGUUGUGAAAUUGUGCGUGACAUAGCACAAUGUGUUGUGAUGUACGAAGUUAAUUGAAAUUAACUUCGUACUUUUAUUUUUAUGUUUAGUAACACGUAGUUUCCCGUUCGAGAUUAGUUGGAUUUCGUGCAUGGAUGAGUAAUGCAUGACUGCGGUCCAAUUAAUUCUUGAAUUGUCCCAUUAUUUGGACAGUUUGGUAAUGCAUAGUGUUGUCACAUAAUCUUCGGCUACAGGAUUAGGUUUCGAUUGUGGAGAUUUCGGUGUCAUCUCGGUACGUUCUUCGAGUGGUACGUAGGUAUUUAUACCUAUGCCCACUUCAAGAACUGUGUCGAGAUGCUGCCGAAAUUAAUCCACGUCGAAAUCUAAUCUCAUGUAGCCGUAGGUUACGUGACAGGACUAUGCAUUCCCGAAUGGGAUAGGGCCCUUACCGGAGGCAUAAGGUGACAUUAUAACUUCGUAUGAAGUUGUUGUGAUUGUUGUGUCGUGAUUGUGGUUUCAUGAAUUAUGAGCAGAAGGUGGAUACAUAACCCGAAUAGAUGCGCAGACGAAUACUUGGAUGGAAUCGAGGAUUUUAUUGAGUUUGCACAUAGACACAACCCGGGUGCAAGUAGAAUCCGUUGUCCUUGUAGGAGGUGUAACAACACGUUGUGGGAGACAAUUGAAAAUGUUGGAUUUCAUUUAGUAAGGAAUGGAAUGAUUGAAACAUAUAGCAUUUGGAACCUUCACGGCGAACAUGUAGGCCAUGCUUCGUCUUCAAAUGCCCCAAGAGUGGACAAUGUUGAACCUAUUGUGGAUCCUAAUGAUCAAGUCAUGGGUAUUAUACAGGAUGCUUUUCCAUUCGCAUCGACCAACAUCAAUCAGGAAGGGGAAGAUAACGUGCCUACACCAAUAGACAGUGCGGAGUUUGAACAGUAUGAAAAACUGUUAAAAAAUGCCAACCAAGAGUUAUACCCGGGGUACGAGAGCUUUUCCGUUCUCACUUCUAUUGUGGAGCUAAUGCACGGAAAAAUAAAGUAUCGUAUGUCGAACUUGUGUUUCGAUUACUUUUUGGGGGUUUUCAAGAGAAUGCUUCCGACGGAUAAUUAUUUGCCGAAAGACCAGAAACAUGCACAGAAGGUGUUGCAUGGUCUUGGAUUGGGUUAUGAAAAAAUCCACGCUUGCAAAAACAAUUGCAUGUUAUUCUACAAAGAGCAUGAAACGUUGGAUACAUGCCCUAUAUGCAAUGAGUCGAGGUUCAAAAUGACAUCCCAGAAUAGAACGACUAAGAUACCACAAAAAGUCAUGCGUUAUCUGCCCCUUAAACCUGGGUUGCAGCGAUUGUAUAUGUCGACGCAUACUGCCACAGACAUGAGAUGGCAUAAGGAAAAACGGGUAGACGAUGAUGUGAUGCGGCAUCCUGCAGAUGGGGAGGCAUGGAAAGAGUUCGAUCGAACGUUCCCCGAGUUUGCUGCUGAUCCCCGAAAUGUAAGAUUGGGACUUGCCACUGACGGAUUCAAUCCGUAUGGGGUUCUAAACCAACACCACAGCACUUGGCCGAUUUUCGCAUUCCCAUAUAAUUUGCCGCCUUGGAAAUGCAUGAAAAAAGAAUACAUGAUGAUGACUGUUUUGAUAACUGAGGAUCCUGGCAGGUCAAUUGAUGUGUACUUAAGGCCUCUGGUUGAUGAGCUGAAAGAUUUAUGGACAAACGGUGUUCGCACGUACGAUAAAUCAACUGGGAGGAUGUUCACUUUGCGAGCAGCAAUUAUGUGGACUGUGAAUGAUUUUCCAGCAUAUGCAAUGGUUUCUGGGUGGAGCACAAAAGGUUAUAUGGCAUGUCAUGUAUGCAAGGAAGAUGUAACUUCUGGUUGGCACGCGGGAAAAGUUUGUUACCUUGGUCAUCGGAGAUGGUUGCCAUGGGACCACGAGUGGCGAGAAAAAGAUAAAGAGUUCAACGGGAACACAGAGCGUCGCCUCAGACCUGGAGAAUGGUCCGGUGAUGAGAUCUUGGAACAGCUGAACCGUUUGGAUUUUGGUCCGUUCGGAAAAACAAUUAGUCGGACCAGACCUUCUACACAUUUGAACUGGACGCACAAGCCUAUGUUUUUUGAGCUCCCAUAUUGGUCGAAACUGAAAUUGAGGCACAAUCUAGAUGUGAUGCAUGUUGAGAAAAAUGUAUUCGACACAUUGGUGGGCACGAUUCUAGAUAUCGAGGGGAAGACGAAGGACACGAUCAAAGCUCGUCUUGAUUUGGAAAGAAUGGGCAUACGAAGGGGUUUAUGGAUGAAUAGGGACAGUGAUAAAGCUAGAAGGGAUCUUGCAUUCUUUUCUAUGAAACCGAAUGACAAAAAGGAGUUUCUAAAGUUUGUAUCGUCUGUCAAAUUUCCCGAUGGGUAUGCUUCUAAUAUCGCACGUUGCGUGAAUGUCGAUGGGGGUAAAUUUACUGGACUUAAGAGCCAUGACUGCCAUGUUCCUGUGGGUAUUCGACACCUACUGCCGGAAGAUGUGGUGAAGCCAAUCAUGUUGUUAUCCAGAUUUUUUUCCCAACUGACGGCAAAAACAUUGCGAAGGACAGACAUGUUUCAGUUGCGCCAUGACAUUGUCCAAGUCCUAUGCAAGUUUGAGAUGAUAUUUCCUCCGGCUUUCUUUACAAGUAUGAUGCACGUAAUGGUUCACUUGCCAGAAGAGGCAUUGCUUGCUGGUCCUGUCAACUAUCGCUGGAUGUAUCCAAUAGAAAGGUAUAUAAUCUUUAUCAUUUGUGUAUGCAUCAUUAUCGACACUUUGCUAAUUUGUAUCAUAUCGUUUUAUUUUGGCAGGCUUCUCGGAGAGCUGAAAAAAAGUGUACGCAACAGGGCAAAGCCCGAAGGAUUAAUUAUAGAGGCUUGGGUUCAAUAUGAGUCGCUUACUUUCUGUGGAAUGUAUUUAAAAGAUGUGGAGACGGUUUUCAAUCGUCCUCAACGCAAUAAUGACGGAGGUAUGAGAAAUGAAAAACUUUUUGUUUUUGCCCAAAGCGCAUGACCAUUUGGAGAUCCUGGACGAGGAGAGUCGUUUUCUAGAAAUGACAUGGAGGUAGCGCAUUGGUUCGUACUGAACAAUUGUGAUGAGAUAAUGGCCUACUUAGAUGAGCAUGAACAGAUGAUGAAGCGAGAACAUCCAUCACAUUUGGUUGCCCGGAAACAUCGUGAAUUAUUUCCACAAUGGUUUUUGGAUUCUGUAAGUUAUAACUGUUUUGUAAUUGACAAAUAUAAAUUGUAGUAUUUAAUUUUGUCAGACUAACAUGUAAAUGAUUUUGUAUACUAUUAGGUGAAUAAAUUGAAAUCAUCGAAUUCCCCCACUUACAGUGAUGAGUUAUAUAACUUGGCGUUCGGCCCAAUUCGUGCUGAGUUGUUCUCGGGUUGUAAUGUUAACGGCGUCAAAUUUUUGGGGGCCGCACGAGAUGACAAGUUGUGUAUGCAAAACAGCGGUGUCCAUGUCCCAGGUGGAGGCGAAAGUACGGACAUUGAUUUCUAUGGCAAACUGACAACUGUCGUGCAAUUGCUUUAGAAAGAUCGAUACCAAGUCAUCAUGUUUAAGUGUCGAUGGUUCGAUACCAACCCAAAUAGGGCGGGAAGUGUUAAAAUCGACCAUGGAGUACUGUUUGUGAACAUGGCGUCCCAAAUUGUGUAUCUAGAUGACCCUAAAGCCGGGAGCGGGUGAAAAGUUGUGCAGAAGAUGGAUCAUAGGAACGUGUAUGAUAUACCAGAACUAGACCCAAGUGACAACGACGUCGACAAUGUGGCUGACCAACGUUUAGAAUCUUCAAUGGAAAAUGAUGCGGAAACACUUCGAGAUACAAAUGUUAUACAAGAACCGUUUCAAAUAGAAGGAGUGUCUUCAGUAGAAAUACCGAUUCAGUCAAUUACAAUUGACCUCGGUGAUCUUCCCCGAUACGAUGUUGCAGUGGGUCCUAGCAACGCCGAUGAUGCAGUUAUAGAGGAGGAGGAGGAAGAAGAUUGGGAGACCGAGAGUGAUGAUAGCGAUGAUAACGAAAGUUAUUAUAGUUCAGAUGAUGAAUAAUGAAUUUAUUUGUAAAGUUAUUAUGUUAGUGUAUUCAUUUUGUGUAAUACAAAUCUUUGAAUAUAUGUAGUUGUCCAUAUGUAGUUGUGUAUUCAUUCUCCAUAUUUCAUCACAAACUUCAUUGGAAUGUCAAUACUUUAGUCAAUACUUAUUACGACCCCAUGCUUGUCGAUUGGUUUUUAUUUAUUUAUUUAUUAAUGUCUUUAACUCUUCAAUUAUUAUUUUUUUCUUUUGAGAUAUAGUUAUUUCUUCAUGUUUAAACAAAAAAUAUAAGUUAUUUCUCCAAUAUUAUCUGUGUGCCACUUAUUUUUCUUCACUUUGGUUCAUGAUUAGUGGCAUCAAUCUAGUCAAACCGAUAAAAUCGGUCGAUUCAAAUCUUAAUUAUCAAUUUAGUUUGGUUUUGAUGAAGAAAUACAAAGCCUUUCCAAAAAAUACAGAGCAUAAAAAAUGAUGAAUACAAAACCUUUCCAAAAAAUACAAAGCAUACACAAUUUGAAUUAAAUGAGGAUUUAUGGCGCCAAAUCCUUGCGCAACGAUAAGGAGCCCUUCGUCGCGCAAAUAUAUAUUAGGUAACGUUAUAGUAUAAUAUAUACCCACAUAUAUAUUUAAAAUUGGCGAUCGAAGUAGUUCAUUGUAUUCAUAUGAAGUGUAGGACUGUAGCUGCAAAAAAUCAUCAACAUCGGAGUUAAAAUAACCGUUCAAUCAUCACUUUUUAUUUAGAACCGUCGAAAAGUUUUACCCCGUUACUUAAUCUCUGAAUGUUUUUUUUGUCUGAUUUUUGCUGUCUAUGAUCUCGAAGUAUAACAAAACAAGUUUGACGGCUGGAUGACUGAAGCUAGUUUCGUAGACUGCGUGUGCUAUCAAAAUCAUAUAUUCACCAAAAACUCAAAAAUUUGUUCAUACAUUUGUGAAAAUGUAACUUAAUGUUUAUGUGGUAUCCCCUAGUGUAAAAAUAUGAAAUUGAAGAUCAAAUUCAGUCAUUGUAUUCAUAUAGGGUCAACAAAUGUUGCUGUAAAAAAUGAUCAAAAUCGGAGUUAAAAUAACCGUUAAAUCAUGACUUUUCAUUUAUAACCGUCAAAAUAUUUUGUCCUGUUCCCUGAUAUCUGAAUGUUUGGUCGUUUUGAUUUUUGGCGUAUACGAUCUCCAAGUAUAAACAAAUAAGUUUGCCGGUUGGAUCAUUGAAACUAUUUUAGGGUUUAGGGUUUAGGGCUUAGGGCUUAGGGUUUAGGGUUUACAUUUUAGGGUUUAGGUUUUGCGCGACGAAUAAACAUUCCUUUCGUCGCACAAAGUGAAAGUGACAAAGAUUGCGCGACGGAUAAGUCUUCCAUUCGUCGCGUAAUCUGGGACACACAUUUCACCCCUCCAUACCCUUUGAACACUUAGUGAAAAUUUCAACCGAAUGAAAUUCUUGAACCCGCGCGACGAACAAAGCAAAUACGUCGCGUAAAGUGGACGUGAACAAGAUUGCGCGACGGAUAAAUCUGGUAUUCGUCGCGCAAUCUGGGCCACACUUUCACCCUUCCAUCCCCUUUGAACACUUAGUGAAAAUUUCAACCGAAUGAAAUUUUUGAACUCGCGCGACGAACAAAACAAAUACGUUGCGCAAAGUGGACGUGAACAAGAUUGUGCGACGGAUAAAUCUAAUUUUCGUCGCGCAAUCUGGGCCACGCUUUCACCCUUCCAUCCCCUUUGAACACUUAGUGAAAAUUUCAAGCGAAGCAAAAUCUUCAACUCGCGCGACGAAUAAAAGUAUUCGUCGCGCAAAAGGCACAGGCCUCUGAUUUUUGUUAGCAAACAUUGCGCGACGUUUACUGUCUUCGUCGCGCAAAAGGCACAGACCCUUCAGUUUCAGCCUCCCGCUAAACCCAAAAUUUUCCCAAAAUUUUGGCGGAACGACAGCGUUUUGCGCGACGAACAUAUGACUUUCCGUCGCACAAGGUUAACCUUGCUCGACGUUUACUAUCUUCGUCGCGCAAAAGCACAAACCCUUCAGUUUCAGCCUCCCGCUAAACCCUAAGUCCCAAAAUUUGGGCGGAACGACAUCGUUUUGCGCGACGAAUAUAUGAUUUUCCGUCGCGCAAGGAGAACCUUGCGCAACGUUUACUAUCUUCGUCGCGCAAAAUCACAGUUUCAGCCUCCCGCUAAACCCUAAAUCCCAAAAUUUUGGUGGAACAACAGCGUUUUGCGCGACGAACCAUGUAUUUUUCGUCGCGCAAAAGGCACAGACCCUAAUCCCCAUUCAAAAUUUGGCGUUCUGGGAGACCUUGCGCGACGGAUAUUUCAUCGCGCAAGAUUCAUUAAUACCAUUUUGCACGACGCAUUCUGUUCUUCGUCGCGCAAAGUCGAAUAAAUUUGCAGAAACGGCCCGAUGCCUCCUUCUUCCCCAUUUUCUGGUUUCUCUCCGUUUCUUCCUCUCUCUCCGCCGUCACCUUAGCCCUCUCUCUCUGCCAUCACCUCAGCCACCUCCGCUCGUUCCGUAGCCUCCCUGCCGUCACCGUCGAGCCUGCCGUCGCAAUUUCGUCAGUUUUUCCCGAUUCUUCGCCGGCCGAUUUCUCUCUCCUCCGGCCACCAUUUUCGACGCCUAAGGUAUGAUUUCUCGACUAUUUUUUGUGCUCUAGCUGAUGGUUGGUUAGGAUUUCUUGAAUUUUCGCUAUAGGAAAUAGGAAUUAAAACCCUAGGUUUUGGCCGCUUUGGGAAUUUCAAAUCCGGCCACUUCCGGCCAUUUUUCGGGGUAGGUCCGAGAACAAAAGUGGCUCCAAUUAAUGUUUUCAACCUAGGGUAGGAACCUUGGCCCUUAGUUUUUAGAAUUUUCCGACGAAUGUUAUCGCUUUGGACACCCACGCGCUGCCGGCGCGUGUGGUGGCGCGUGGGAUGUUGUGGCAGUGGGGCAUUGGGUCCCAGAGCAAUCCCCUGUUUGUCACGAGCGCGUAGGUUUGCUCGGAUUUGAAUUUGGUUAUCGUUUGAGUCUUGAUCGGAUUUCGGCUAUUGUGCGAUUUCCAGGUUUGAUAUGUUCGGACCGUUGGAUCGAACUCAAACUCACGUAGUUGUACCUUUGUGUUUCUACGAUCGUUUAGGAUUCGACCGAUCGUUGAUCGGUGUCCCGGAUACUUCGAAAUUCCAAACCCUAGGUGAAGCUAUGCUUUUAAUUAAUUAGUUUAAAUUCUUAAUGAAAUUAUAUGUGCAGAUGUCAGAUUUGAUUAGACGUGGUAGGUCGAUGAUGACUGCACCGAGUUCGGAUCCCCCUGCUCAGUCGGCAUAUGCUGCCACUGCUCCAGCUUUGAUGGAGCACGUGCUGGUUGGUCCCGGGGCGUCCCAGGCGCCUGCGUCAUCUGCGUCAUCCGUCGCGCAGCCAGCUAGUGCUAGGCGGCGGCACCGGCCCGCCGACACGACAUCGACCGACGGUACUGGUGCCUCGGGAUCACAGCCAGAUAUAACUACCAUUUUGUAUUGUUAAUUUUAUAUUGAAAUUUGACAAUGUUGUUUAUUUAACAUUAAUAUCUUUUUUCUUUGCAGCGAAGAAGAACACCUGAGGGCCGUGUCGUCAGCUGAAGACGGCGAAGGUCACCCGGGUGACCAACAGUCGUAUCAGCAUCGGAUACGACGAGCGCCAUCGGGCUGCACCGACGGCGGAGUUGCAUAGCUCCUUGGCCCACGACAUUGGCCACGUCGUGCGGACCCAUUGCCUGAUGCAAUGGAAGUCUUGGAGGGUCAUGCCUGACGAGAUCAAGGUGGAGGUUCGCGGCCAGUUGUCGGUAUGUACCUUACAUUUUCAUUAAUUUUCUUUAAAAUUGUGUAUAUUUCUAUUACUUAACGUAUCUAAUUAAUUGAUUGCAGACGAACUAUAACUUGGAGGAUCUCGACGAAGAGUCGUUGGCGUACGUCAACAGACUCUUCGCUGAGAGGUACAAGCAGUGGAAGAGCGACUUGCACCAUCAUUUUCAGGCCUUUGAUGAUCCGCAAGUCGCUCUUCAGGAGGGUUGCCCGAAGGAGCUUGAGGGGCGGGAGGAUAGUUGGGAGUGGCUCUGCGCUCAUUUUCAAGCGUCCGAAUAUGUGGUAUUUUUUUAAUAAUAUUUGUUUAAUUAUUACUUAUUUCUUAUUAAUGUUUAUUUCAUUUUUUUUAUUUCAUUAUUAUUUAAUUUGUUAUGUUUUAACUAAUACGUUUCAUUUUUUGUAUAACAGAAUAAGGCCCAAGUGAAUAAGGGUAAUAGGAAGAAGAAGACCCUUCUCCACCAUUCCGGCUCCAGGCCCUUUUCGUAUAGGAUGGAUGCCCGGCGACGGGUAAUAAUCACAUAAUUUAUAUUUCAUUUUUAAUGUCAUUUUUAUUAAUUUAUUUUUUUCAUACUAAUAUUUUUCUUCUCUUGUUCAAUUUAGGAGGGGUCCAAGUUCCCAGAGAUCGACGUCUUUGGUGACGUUUAUGUUCGACCCGGGAAUGAGUUGGCCGAGUCCCUUCAUGUAAGUAUUAUUUAAUUUUAAUUCUUAUGUUACGCAUUCAAUUUAUAUGCAUGUUUAAAUUUAUAUUUUAUGUUAUGUUCAACAGACGACGAUGGUGGAGAGGAGCCAGUUGGUUCUUCAGGAGUCCGCCUCCCAGCUUCCUCCCGAGACUCCGAUCGAGUCUGUGGCUCCUCCACAGGAUGCUGGAUUUCAGAUCUUGACGGAGACGUUGGAUCAGACUCUCGGGAGGAGGCCGGGGACAUAUUGUCGAGGGAUGGGGAAUGCCCGGCGGAGGGAACCUAGACCUCGUUCAUCGGCCCAGUCAAACAGUCAGGUGACUGCUUUGACAGCACAGGUGGCCGAGCUUCAGGGUCAGAUGUCGGUGAUUCUACAGUCCCUCGCACAGAGCGGCUUUCCAAUCCCGCAGUUUCGUGCGUCAACCUCCCAGCCCGUCCACCCCGAGUAUGCCCACCAGACCACUGCCCCGGUGGACGCCCAGACCUCCGAGCCGCAUACUGGCGACGACCCGAUUGAUUUUGCUUCAUUAUUUGAUUAGUGUAUUUAUUUUCAUCAUAAACAUUUAUUUUAUUUGUAAUACAUUUAUUUUAUUUUAUAACAAAAUUUUGUUCUAAUUUAUUUUUAUUGCAAUUUCAUUGUUUAAUCAAUAAAAAAACCAAUUUUAUUUAAAAAAAAUAAAAAUAAAUAAAAAACAAAAACAAAAAAAACAAAAAAAAAUUGUAAUAUUAUUUUUGCGCGACGGAAGACAUUUCGUCGCGCAAAACCACAUGUAACAAAAAAAAUUAAAAAAAUCAAUUUUUUAUUACUUUAAUUCUUGCGCGACGAAUACAUACGUCUCGCAAACAUUUUUUGCGCGACGAAAUGUUUCGUCGCGCAACAGCUUUUGCGCGACGACUGAAAUUUUCGUCGCCAAAUAGAUGAGCGACGAAAACUUUCUCAUCGCGCGAAUAGUUCUGCGACGAAUAUAUACGUCUCCCGGACUAGUUUUGCGCGACGAAUUAUUUUCGUCGCGCUAUUCGUUUCGUCGCGCAAAUAUACGUGCGCCGAAUACUUUAUCGUCGCGCAAAUAUUUAUGCGACGAACAGUUGUUUCGUCUCCACACCGUUGGUGCAACGAUGGUUUACCCGUCGCACAAUUAUGCGCGACGAAGUGUUGUACCUCGUCGCGCAAAGGCUUUCUUCACGAUCUUCGCGCGACGGAAGGUGCGCGACGAAUUUUUUGUCGCGCUGAAAUUAGGGCGACUAAAUAAGACUUUGCGCGACGUUUUGUUAUUCGUCGCGCAAAGAGUAAAAUGUAGUAGUGAGACUUGUUGGAGACAAAACAGGUAAACAAAUUACUUGUAUUAGACUCACAAAAUAUUACAACAAGACAACUCUCAAAGAAAAGACAAACUCUCACACUUCUCACAAGGACUACUUAACUUUAUAGCUUAUUGCAUAUAGCAUAUGCAAACACAAUUAGAACAUACCUACGUACACUAUGGGAACACUCGUGUAUAUUUCAACACAAGAAAACAUGUGCACCGUGCACGGUUCACAUGAAGUAAGAAAUGAAGAGGAAAUAAAGAAGAAGAAUACAAAAGAAAAUGGAGAUGAGAAAAAAAAAAAAACCGAAUAAUGAAAAAUGAAUUGACAAUUAUAUAUGGUUGACAUUAGAUCUAAUAUUAUAUGUAACAACUAUUGAUCUAAAAUAAACAUUAAAUCAAACAAUAAUUAAAAGAUUUGACAAUAUAAAAAUUUAUUGAGGACAAAAAAAGGCAAAAACUUAUGAAAAAUGGAAACAAUAAAUAUGAACUGAGUCAUCAACUCACCAUGGUAAGUUUGCUGACGUAUAAAAAUAGUCAAUGGACAUCGAAAAGUAAUUGGCUUACAUCAAAAAUUAAAAUCACGUGGGUUAUUCCUAAGAAACCUUAAUAUUUGCCUUCCAUUUGUUCCAGCAAAAUAAAAGUCAUUGCUACUUAUUGUAACCCCUUUUCCAAGCUUAUUAAUCAAAGUAGACACCUCACUGCUGUCACCUAGCCAAUUUUCAACAAUGUCAUACUUAACAAGCAACUCCACAUCCUUUGAGGUGUUCACAAAACGAUCCAUGAGACUAACAUAAUCACUUAUGUACGUCUCCUCGUAGUGGCAUUGUUCAAAUGCGAUGAGAUUUCUAAUUAAUACCUCUGUAUGAUCGCUUAUUUUCAAUCUUGGAAUUUCAAGAGUCCGGCCAGCAAAUCUAAUAAGGUAUUCAUUGAUCCCUCAUUCAACUUGAACCCUGCCCUGUGUAGCUCUGUGAUGCUGGGUGUGUUUAUAGUUAUGAGUUUCCCGUCAUUAGUUUUUAGGGUUAUUCGUUAUAUGAGUCCCUGAACUUAGACCCGAUUUGCAUUUUAGUCCCUCAAUUUCCAAAAUCGUUCCAGUGGUCCUUCAACUUUAGUUUCGUUAGGACAAAUGGUCCUGCCGUCAAAUGAUUAUAAAGUGGAAAAAACAAGAACAAAAAAGGAAGUGAGUUAAAUUUGCACCUGCUAUGUUCAAACGACAAAGUUCGUUUCCGUUUGGUCGAUUACAAGAGAAGCUCAAUGCAGCUUACUUGGUUCCUCUUGGUAGAUGGAAAUAUAAUUUUUCUCCUAAUAACAAAGGUUUAGUGCAAUCAAUGAUGGGCUGUAUAGAACAACUUUUUUGUUUUAUAUGUUUAUGUGAGACAAGUUUUGCCAGAUUGAAUUAAUGUCUUCUAGCUAUGUACCUUAUCUUUUUGCCGGGCCAUGAGUUGAAUGUAGAGGCAGAGCAUGGCCUUGGGUUUGUAAAAGACAAAAGACUGAACCAGACGUAAUUAUUUAGAUUUUGGAUCCAGUUCCACAUCCCAAAGAGAAAACCACAAGUUUGCAAGCAAGUUUGUCCAUAUUAACACUACGUAGAGUAUAGGCAGUGUGCUACUCAUCUCACUUUCUCAACCUACCCUAUAUUUGUCUAAAAGAGUUUCUAAUUUCGUGUACUGAUUCACUACUACAUUUUACACUUUGUGCGACGAAGAGAAUUUCGUCACGCAAAAUACAUUGGUCGCGCAAAGUUUAAAAAAAAUUUUAAAAAAAUAAAAAAUUCCCGCGUCCAAUUUUUGGUACUUGUCCAAAUUUUUUGAGUUUUGCGCGACGAAUACUAACAUCGCGCAAAUAUUUGCGCGACGAAAUAUUUUUUGUUUUAAAUUUUUUUAAUUUAAAAUAAACUAAUUUAAUAGUUUGCGCUACGAAAUAUUUUGUCGCGCAAGGUUUUUGACUUUUUGUUUUAUUAUUUCUUUAAUAUGAAUUUAUUUAUAUGAAUUUUUUGAAAUUUUUACUUUUUAAAUUUAAUUUAAUUGUAUGAUUUCUUUUUAAAAUUACUUUAAUUUAAAUUGAUAUUAAUUUUUACUUUUUAAAUUUAAUUUAAUUGUAUGAUUUUUUUUAAUUACUUUAAUUUAAAUUGACAUAUUCAAAAUAAAAUUACAUAUGAAAAAUAGUGAUUAAAUUAUCCAAUAAAUAUAUAUAUAUAUAUAAUAUUCAAAAUGUACACAUAAAUUAACAAAGCACAAUAAUAAAAUCCUAAUACAAGCGUAUUGUGGUGGUAGUGUCGGAGGAUAUGUUUUGAUAGCUUCCUAAUCCUCAACUUUAGCCGUCAAAGUCUCGAUGAUUCCCUACAAAAAAAAUAAAUAUGGUCAAAUAACCACAAACAAAAAAAAAAAAAAAAAAAAAGGCAUAAUCUCCCCUAAAAUUGUUAUACCACAAAUCCAACCCAAACUCCAAUCCCUCCCCUUUACUCAACCCCAAAACCCACACAAACUCAAAAUUAACUCCAAAAACACAUAUUAAUGAAAAAAAUUUAAAAUUUGGAGAGAAUAUACCUUUUGGCAAGAUUGAGAGUGAAUGAGAGGGAGAAGUGAGUGUGAGAGAAUUAGAGAAGAUAGUGAUAGAGAGAUGAGAGAGAUGAGAGAGUGAGUGAGAGAGAGUGAGAGAUAGUGAAGAGAGAGAUGAGAGAUUAAGUGAGAGGAGUGAGUGAGAGAAAUGGUGGGAUUUGGGGAGAGGGAAAGAGAAAGGAGAGGUAAGAGUAGAGAAAGGCAUUGAGAAAAUGGUGGAUGAGUUAUUUCGGUUUUAAAAACCGUAUCACUUUGCGUGACGAAAAAUAUUGUUGGUCGCGCAAAGGUUUGCGCGACGAAAAAUAUUGGAAUAUUGAUCGCGCAAACUUUUGAGCGACGAAACAUAUUGGUCGCGCAAAGUCUAAAAAAAUUAUUUAAAAAAAAUAAAAAUCCCCGCGUCCCAUUUUUGGUACCCGCCAAAAUUUUUAAAUUUUUGCGCGACGAAUAUAGGAAUAUUGAUCGCGCAAAGUCUAAAAAAAUUAUUUAAAAAAAUAAAAAUCCCCGCGUCCCAUUUUUGGUACCCGCCAAAAUUUUUAAAUUUUUGCGCGACGAAUAUAGGAAUAUUGGUCGCGCAAAGUCUAAAAAAAUUAUUUAAAAAAAUAAAAAUCCCCGCGUCCCAUUUUUGGUACCCGCCAAAAUUUUUCAAUUUUUGCGCGACGAAAAAUACAUAUUGGUCGCGCAAAGUCUAAAAAAAUUAUUUAAAAAAAUAAAAAUCCCCGCGUCCCAUUUUUGGUACCCGCCAAAAUUUUUAAAUUUUUGCGCGACGAAAAAUACAUACUGGUCGCGCAAAGUCUAAAAAAAUUCCCGCGUCCGAUUUUUGGUACCCGCCCAAAUUUUUGCGAGACGAAAAAUAUAUAUUGGUCGCGCAAAGUUUUGAGCGACAAAAAAUAUUGGUCGCGCAAAGUCUAAAAUUUUUUUAUUUUUUUUUUAAAAUCCAGCGUCCCAUUUUUGGUACCCGUCCAAAUUUUUAGAGUUUUGCGCGACAAACUGUUGGUUGCGCAAACUUUUGAGAGACGAAAAAUUGGUUCGUAACACAAUAUUUAUAAAAAUAAUUGUUAUGAAUAAUAAAAAUAAAAUUAUUUUAUUUUACAAUUUAAAAUAUAAAUAAGGUUAAAGCUGCUUAAGAAAUAUAUAUACUAUUCAAUUUCUUAAGUGUUAUACGUACAAAAUAAAUAAAUUUAAAGGUACUUAAUAAAUAAAUAUAUAUACACACACCAUUCAACGAUCCAACCGUCAGACUUAUUUGUAUAUACUUCAAGAUCGUAUACCCCAAAAAUCACAAAAAACAAACAUUUAGAGAUCUAGUAACGAGACAAAACUUUUCGAUGGUUAUAAAUGAAAAAUUACGAUUUAACGGUUAUUUUAACUCCGAUUUUGAUGAUUUUUUUUUACAGCUACACUCCUUGACCAUAUAUGAAUACAAUGACUGAAUUUGAUCUUCAAUUUAAAAUAUUUACACUAGUGGAUACCACAAAAUCUUAUGUUAUAUCUAACGAACGUAUAAAUAACCUCUUAAUUGUUAGUGAAUAUAUUGUUUUGAUGGCAUAUGCAUUCACCAAAACUAGUUUCAACGAUCCAACCAUCAAACUUGUUUGUUUAUACUUCGAGAUCAUAUACGCCAAAAAUCAGAAAAAAUAAACAUUCAGAGAUCAAGUAAUGGGACAAAAAUUUUCGACGGUUAUAAUGAAAAAUCACGAUUUAACGGUUAUUUUAACUCCGAUUUUGAUGAUUUUUUACAGCUACACUCCUUGACCCUAUAUGAAUACAAUGACUGAAUUUGAUCUUCAAUUUAAAAUAUUUACACUAGUGUAUACCACAAAAUCUUAUGUUAUAUUUAACGAACGUAUAAAUAAACUCUUAAUUGUUAGUGAAUAUAUUGUUUUGAUGGCAUAUGCAUUCACCAAAACUAGUUUCAACGAUCCAACCGUCAAACUUGUUUGUUUAUACUUCGAGAUCAUAUACGCCAAAAAUCGGAAAAAAUAAACAUUCAGAGAUCAAGUAAUGGGACAAAACUUUUCGACGGUUAUAAUGAAAAAUCACGAUUUAACGGUUAUUUUAACUCCGAUUUUGAUGAUUUUUUACAGCUACACUCCUUGAACCUAUAUGAAUACAAUGACUGAAUUUGAUCUUCAAUUUAAAAUAUUUACACUAGUGGAUACCACAAAAUCUUAUGUUAUAUUUAACGAACGUAUAAAUAAACUCUUAAUUGUUAGUGAAUAUAUUGUUUUGAUGGCAUAUGCAUUUACCAAAACUAGUUUCAACGAUCCAACCGUCAACCUUGUUUGUUUAUACUUCGAGAUCAUAUACGCCAAAAAUCGGAAAAAAUAAACAUUCAGAGAUCAAGUAAUGAGACAAAACUUUUCGACGGUUAUAAUGAAAAAUCACGAUUUAACGGUUAUUUUAACUCCGAUUUUGAUGAUUUUUUACAGCUACACUCCUUGACCCUAUAUGAAUACAAUGAACUAAUUCGAUCGUCAAUUUAAAAUAUAUAUUUUCUAACAAAAACCCAAUCUGAACAACAAUAAUAUAUUUUUCUAACAAAAAUCCGAUCCGAUCUAAAAUAAUAAAUUUAAAGCUACUUAAUAAAUAUAUAUACUGUUUAAUUUCUUAAGUGUUAUGCAUACAAAAUAAAAAACAAAAAUAAAUUAGUAUAGGCGACAAAAUGUUUGGAUUACGUCAUGCAAAGAUUUUAAAAUAUAUAUAUAUAUUAUUUUUAUAAGGACUUUGCGCGACGAAGUUCAUUGUUUCGUCGCGCAAAGUCACUUUGAGCGACGAUGUAUUGUUGUCGCGCAAAAGUUUGUCGCGCAAAGUUACUUUGCGCGACGAAUUUUUUUUCAUCGCUCAAAAUUUGGUCGCGCAAGACUUUGAGUGACGAUGUAUUGUCGUCGCGCAAAAGUUUGUCGCGCGAAGUGACUUUGCGCUACGAAUUGUUUUUCGUCACGCAAAAUUUGGUCGCGCAAGACUUUGAGCGACGAAGUUUUGAGUUUCGUCGCGCAAAGUGACUUUGAGCGACGAAUAGUUUUUCGUCGCGCAAAAUUUGGUCGCGCAAGGGGUUUUUUUUUACUAGUAUGAGUUUUAUAUACAAUUUAUAACAAUAUUUUCAGGCAAAAAAAUGUCUUGGCAAGAAAAUGUACAAUUUGUUACGUACUUAACUGGAACGAUUACCUUCAAAUUCCUAUGGCCAAUUACCUUCUUUUUUCUUCCUUUUUUUUUUUUUUUUUUUUUUGGUUGUUGUUGUUCUUUUGAUCAAGUUGCAUAUUCCAAAGAACGAAAACCAGUACAGGCUCUUUUCCAAUGCAAGCUCUUUUCCCAUGUUUCCCUCUGUUUUUCUCCUAUUUUUCUUAUAUGGAAGUGAUUAAAAUACACCUCUAAGCUUGUUUUGCGUUUGGUAACCGACUGUAAAAGCUCAAUGCAGAUAGUUUGAGGUAGAAUUUUCUCCAAUUUUACUAGCACAGUGAUAAGCUAUACUAUAUGUAACAACAAAUUGCUUUAAUAAUGAUAAUGAAAAAAGUGUGAUCCAUCGAAUAUUUGCGGGGUUUUGUUCCAAGUCAACACAUCAAAUUCUUUUACACCAUGAAAUUAAAAAAAAUUUAUUCAACCAUCUCGACCUUAUGCUCGAUCAUUUUGCACAAGCAACCGUCCACGUACCCCAAUAAUUUAAAAGGGCUGAUGAUCUUUAAUUUGGCGAAAGCUUCUAUCUACUUCUACCGCGCUAUAUAUGAGCUAUGCAAUUGUGACGGUGUUACAUGACGUCACAAUGUCGUAGGGAUAAAAAAAUAAUAGUCAUGGUUUCUUAUUAAUGUUAAUACAGGCAUAGCAAAAAGCUUGUAUUUCUAGUGGUUAAGAACAAUUACCCAUGCACUUGAGAUAUUAUGUGCUUAAAUCCCCUCUUCCCCAAUAUUUCUUGUAUAAAAAUAAAAAUAAAAAUAAAAAUAAUAAAGAUAUUGAUAUUGUAUUCUAUAAAGUGUUGGACAUGUUUUAUACCCCUUUACUGCAAAUUACAGUUUGACACAUGUACAAAAAUAAUAGGUAAGUGUUGGACAUCAAGAGUACUUACAUAUAGGUUUAAUAGGUAAGUUUUGAAUAUUUCUGUCUUUAGCUUUAAUUAUUGAAAAUCAACCUAUUAUCAUAUUAAAGACUUAUCCAUGUUCAACGUACAUUCUCUUAUUUUUCUCUCAUUGAAGUAAAUACAAAACUAAGCACAUAGUGGAAAAGUAGGUCACGAUUAGGGGUGGGUUUGGUCUGGGUUGGUUCAGUUUUGGGCUCAACCCGAACACCGAACCGUAGACCUCGAUUUGGCUAUUUUGGAAACCAAAACUAAACCAUAAUUAAUGAAAACCGACCACUUCAAUUACCUUCUGGUCUUCCAACCAGAAGAAAACUCAAAACUUUAACCAUACCAAGUGCAACAGAAUUACACCAGGCUGGAGUCAAGUUUAUGAUGGUUAAAGAUAAAAACUUAUUUGACAUACAAUUUGAGAAUGGAAUCCUCAAAAUUCCACACCUGCGAAUACAGGGUUAAACAGAAAUUUUCUUCCGCAAUUUUAUUGCCUAUGAGCAGUGUGAGCUCCAUGAUCAUUACAUCAACAACUAUGUCUUCGUCAUGGACCGCCUGGUCGACAGUGCCAGGGAUGUGGAAUUGCUUGUGAAGAGUGGAAUUCUUGAAUCCAUGCUACCGGACAGCGAGGCAGCAGGGGAAUUUAUUAAUUCUCUUGACUUGGGGCCUAUUUUAGGCAAGCUUGAAACAAGACUAUUUCAGUUCACCAUGGGCUGGCCUGUCUAUUAUUGUAGCCGCUAUACUAGUUGUGCUCACAUUUAUUCAAACAGUGUGCUCCGUAAUGGCGCUGUAGGUUCUUCAUUUCCUCAAUUUCAUGUUUAGUGGUUGCAGAUUUGUUGCUCAUGUACGUGUUUAUCUAAAGUUAAAUAAGAGUGAUUGACUGAUAGUCUGUUAGUUUGUUUUUCUGGGGUUUUUCCCCUGUUCGUCAAAAAAGAAAAAGAGAAAGAGUGAUUGCUUGUGCCUGUUUGGGCCUAAUUUGACACACCCAAUCCAAAAUCAAAAAGUCCAUGUCAAUUUUGGACAGCCACCAGCAUUCCCUUUGUAAUUAGGCCAAAAACUGCACACCCAACCUAGCACUGGAGCCUAGAACAAACAAGGUAAACUCAGGACCCAAGCAGUUUGAUUUUUUCAUUUAAAUUGGAAUCAAGGGCCCCAAGUCAAAAAAGCCCAAGCCCAAGGCAGAUUUUUUACCAAAAAGACCCAAGGAAGCCCAGUGCAUGCGAAUUGCUUAGCCCACAAUCCCAAAACUCAAAACUAAGUUUGGCAUGAUUAAAUAAAGAUAGAGAGAAGCCCAAAAUUGAAGAAACCCAAAACAGUUUUAUCAAAAUUGUCAGCUCUCUACCCAAGACCUAAAAAGGGUCAAAAAUACCACUAUUGGCAAAAUUGACGCACUCAGCCUUGGAUCACAAAGAAAUCCACGUGACUAUUUGACUUUGAGAAGUCAACAAUUUCAACUAGUCACAAGAGAAGUUGAUUGGAAUUAAUGUAGGCAGGUCAUUACAGAAAAGACUUCUUUGAAACUCUGUAGCCAAAAGAUCAAAAUCCCUUUCUAUAUAAUUCUGCAUCAGAGUAGGUGGUCUUUCCAAGAGAUAAGCAGACUACGUUUUCAAGAGAUAAGUAGAGAAUGAGGGAGUUGUUCAACAAGAAAAGCAAACUAACCAUCAUGAUAGGUUGUGUUCUUUCUCUCUACAAAAAACAAUAGGGAACAAAGAAGAGUUGGUUUUUCUUUCAGAAAAAGGAAGGAAAAGACCUACAUGAAAACUAAUUAUUGAUGGUUCUUCUCUGCCAGAACAGAUAACUUCUCAUUUUCUUUGACAUUUAAAAAUGAAAGGUCUCGCUUUUACAAAAUCUGCCGCCCAUUAUUUAAAGAUUAGAAAACCCACUCCAGCAUUUCCUAUAAAUAUGAGAGGAGGUGAUGUCACAUCACGGGAUUGGCUCUGCCGUAGCACGAUAUUGUCCACUUUGCGCCCCCCUCUCUACCCUCACGGUUUUAUUUUUGGGAACUCACGAGCAACUUCCCAGUGGGUCACUCAUCUUGGGAUUGCUCUAGCCCCCAGCUCGCUUAACUUCGGAGUUCCCAUGACUCCGAAGCCAAUGAGCUCCCAAAAGGCCUCGUGUUAGAUGGAGGCGGGCAUGUACAUAUAAGGCACAUCACCUCCUCUCCGUUGGUCGAUGUGGGAUGUUACAGGUGAACAUAUCAAAGGACAGCCAAAAAAUCAAUCAAAGACAAAAACUCAAAAUGAUCACUUGAUCUCAAAAGCCUUCAAAACACUGAAGCAAGCAAAGCUCAUUGAGCCACAACGAACAAGUCAGCUAGAAUUCAGAAUCUUUAGAGUCAGUUCAGUUUCAGAGAAAUAAUCAAAGAAAGCGAGAUCUCUCUCGUUACAAAUUUGGUUCAGCUUAAAGCCAAAACAAGCAGAGUUCAGGUUCUUACAAAUAUGAAAACCUCAAUAAAUUUAUGGAGAGCCCUGAUCAAGCAAAACAGGUACUACAGUGCAGUUCUAGCUUAGUAAUAAUCAAAUCCACCCACUUCUGCCCCUUCCAGAUUGAGAAGGUCCCAAUUCUGCCCAUUCAAAAAGCCUUCCAAGACUUGAAAUAGAUUAAAGCUCUGCCAAACUCAAAUGUUGGAAUCAAUUCGCAGCUGAAACAUGACAGUUGAAGGUGUUGAUAGUCCAGUCCAGCACAGACAUACCCAGUCUAGCCCAGAUCAGAAGCAUUCACCGAGGCAGAAAUUGAAGUCCAAAGCUCUUUUUGUCUUUUUAGAGUUGGUCUUCCUUUUCUGAGCUUUGUAAAAGGCAAUUCUGCCUAAAACAGUUCACUUUCUUAUCAUUUAUUCUGGCCAGAACUACCAGUUUUGUACUGUGAAAAAUUAUGAAGUCCUCACCAGUCUAAGGCAAGAAAAGAACUUACUUGGGAGAUAUUCCUCACCAAAUUCACAACCGUUUGUUUAGAAAUCAGUAACUUGGUGUAACGACCCGGUCCUAAAUAAAUUGGUAAUUAUUAAUUUAUUCAGAUAAAAGACCAUUUUGCCCAUAGAAUAUUUUAAUAGGUUUACAUGUUGACCCGGGAGGCUUCGGUGAAAUUGUUACAUCUCGGUCCGAAAAAGUGUUAAAAUAAUUAAAGUAGAGUGCUGCUAAAAGAACCCUAAAAUUAACUGAGUACACCCUAUGAUCUAAGUACACCCUAAUAUUUUAAUUAAAAUAUAAAAUUAACUAAGUACACCCUAUAAAACUAUCAAAAAUAACACUGAUACACCCUAAUACUUGUAGCAUUAUUUUAUAGUUGAUUAUUUUAAUAGUGUUUAUAAAUCUUUGACUUUUCAUAUGGAUUUAUGCUUCUACUAAAAUUGUUGCCACUUUUUUUCCAAUUCCAAGUUCUUGCAAUCACCACAUCUUUCGUUAAAAACACAAUAGGACAAGCAAUCUCUUGAUUAGGGUUGAAUAUGGUUAGUAGGGUGUACUUAUUAAUAUUAUAUUUGUUUCACAAUUCCAUAUAUCCUUUUUGGUCAUUUUAUAUUAGGGUAAACCAGUAAUUCAAUAUAUACUUUUAUAGUAGGGUGUACUCAGUUAAUUUUAGGGUUCGUUUAGCAGCACUCUUAAAGUAAGAGAGAAUAAAAUGAAAUAAACAUUAAAAUAAAAUGAUUUGAAUUAAUUAAGGUUUUUGAGAAAUUAAAAUAUUAUUUAAUAUUAUAAGGGGAAAAAGAUCAUUUUAAGUUUGGGAAGGAAUUUGGAAAUUCCAAUUGUACCGUUGUGUAGAGCAUGUCGAAACGAGUCCGUAGACACGUAGUGGACUCGAAUCGUAGUUAUAACGGAGAAAUGGCGAUCAAAAGAAGUUCAGUGGCAUAGCCAUAAAUAUUUCGAAGUUCAGUUUUUUUAAAACCCAAAUUUCUUCUCUCUGGGGAGUGGGAGAGCCAACUUCAAAUGGUGAUUUCUCCCAACUCCGACCACCACACUUCCCUCUUCCUUCAGUUUUGGCAUCAUGAUGGGUUCCAUCCCGGAAUGACACAUUUUCGACGCUAAGGACGUCACAAAUGGUAUUUGAGAUGCUUUGUAAAUUUGUAACCAUGGAAAACACAAUGAACUUUAUGUUCGGAGUUGCAAGAGAACAUUAAGGGGAAUAUGGAGAGUGGGAAAAUAGUAAUAAGUGGAGAUCUGUAUGCUUACUUACUACUGAACUUCCGUCGUGGUGGUUAGUAUGAAAAAGUGUUAGAGAUUAUAGAUUUUAUGGAGGAACAUGGUUGUACACUGAUAAGUAGUCGGUAGGAGUUGAUUUAAGUUCCAAGAGAAAUUCAUUAUGAACUGGGAUGAAUUACUGCAAGAUUCUUGCUGUUUUGAAGUUAUUGAUUUUAGGGGCAUCACCUCUGAAUGAUCAUAAUAACCAUGCGUGGGCUCUGCAUGAGGUUUCUUUGACAUUGUUUGAUUUUGUGUAUUGAUAAUUACACUUAGGGGUGUCACGUUUCUAGAAACGUGUCUAUCCAAAUUGUUGUAUCUCAAUAUCCUAUGGAAGGAAAGCUGAGAAGCUGAAAAUACUGGAUUUAUGGUGGUGAGAUAAAAAUUGUCAGGAACUUUCAAAAGUCAAAUUAUUUCACAAAGGGAAAUACUGGAGAGAAGUAUUAGAGAAUUUUCUUUGGAUAAGUUAUAUAGGAGUGGAGGAGUUGCGAGUUUAACCAAGGAGGGUUGUGACAAUUUAAAUUGAGAAGUAGUGGUGUUGGGUGAAGUAUUAUUUCAUUCGCGUGGGCUUGAAUGCCGCGAUUGACAGGAAUGGAACAUUAGGGUUCUUCUUCCUUGCUCUCUCACGCGAGCUCGCCAUAGAGAGUAUUUCUUGGCGUGGUACUGGCUUCGUCCGACCUCCGAUUACUGUGAUUUUUGAAAGGACCCGGCCCAAAUUUCUCAAAAUCCGAGGCGAAUCCUGUGAAAUUCCCGACAUCACUCCGAUGCCAGGCCCACUUACUAAAGACCGAGACUUUCUGCCGAACUUUCGGCAGAGUCUCCCCUAUAAAUUGGACAUUUUCCAAAACUACCACCUGCAUAAAACACAAUUUAUAUCCCCAACUGGCAGCAUGCACAAGAUAAUUUCAUGCAAAUCACAUAAUCGGCCUGCGGCCUUCAAAUAAUUCAAAACGAAACCACCAAGCACACUAUCAAAUUAAUUCCUACCUUAAACAAGGCAAACAAUAAAUUUAAAUAUGAAUUAUGACUACUAAAUUUCAACAUACGAGGUUUUAACCUCCUAACACAAUCACAUCUAUGUCCGCGGCUGCACCUAAUAACCUUAGGCUGCCUACGUACCUUCACUGAGGGAUCAAGCCACACGUAGUUCUUCCGUAAAACCCAAUUCCACACAUAGGCAAUACCUUUAUUCAUUUCUCUGUAUUUCACAUAAUCUCCCCAUACGCCAGUACUACCAUUGCCACGUAUGGGACUUGUCAACAAGCCGGAUAACCUACACCACGUGCGAUCUCAACAUAAUAUCACAUAAUCUCCUCAUACGCCGGUACAACCAGCGCCACGUAUGGGGCCUGUCAACACGCCGGAUAACCUACGCCACGUGCGACCUCAUCAUACUAUCACAUGAUCUCCCCAUACGCAGGUACAACCAACACCACGUAUGGGGCCUGUCUCAACGCCGGAUAACCUACGCCACGUGAGACCUGAACAUAAUAUCACAUAUCUCCUCAUACGCCGGUACAACCAAUGCCACGUAUGGGGCCUGUCAACACGCCGGAUAACCUACGCCACAUGCGACCUCAAUAUACUAUCACAAUAUCUCCCCAUACGCCGGUGCAACCAACGCCACAUAUAGGGUCUGUCUCAAAUUGGAUAACCUACGCCACGCUAGACCUCAACAUCAUAUCACAAUAUCUCCUCAUACGCCGGUACAACCAACGUCACGUAUGGGGUCUGUCCGCAUGCCGGAUAACCUACGCCAUGUGGGACCUAACUUUCACAGAGUGGUACUUGUAGUGUAACCAAAAUCUGGGGAGGUGCCUAAGGUAGUGCAUAUAGCACUUCAAACUGACAUUCUCUCACUUAUCUAAACUAAUACUAGAGGUCUUCCCAUUUUAAUGGUACCAGUCUAUAGUAGAUUGUAACGUAAUUUAAUCAUAAAAAUAAUAUUAUUUCUAGACCAACGAUUAUUCACAUAAACAUGAAUUUCAUAAUUUCACUAUUUAAAAUAAUAUCUAAAAGUUUCCUAUAAUACAAAUAAACACUCUAAAGAUCCCAACUUAGUCAACACAGCUCAACAAUGCUCAAGACCUGUCAUUAGGGUCAUUAUGAUCCUUCUAGGAAGGUAAAACUACCUCGAAAGACUCAAGGUCAACCAAGGGUCAAACCACCCACAAUUGGUCAAACGGGCCCACGGGGCCCACGACCUCCAAAUUCCAAUCCGAAGGUUCCUAUGGGAUCUACAAGGUAUAGGACACUCGUCUUGCAAGUUAAGCCUAGAUCGGAUGGUCAGAUCGCUCACGAUCGCACAAUCUGAUGGUUAAUAUAAAACAUAAACUUUAAAUUAUUUAAUCGGAACAUCCGGGGCUCCCGAUUCACGAUCUGUUCCUACACGAUCCUAGAAAUACAUAGAUUAACAUAUAUUAAAUUUGAGACCAUCCAACGGUCCUAACCUAUCGAACCCGGAUAACGCGCAAUAGGCGAUAUUCGUUCGAUAGUCAAACGACGUCCGAAUUGAGAUUUACGAAAUCCUACGCACUCGUGACAACCUAAGGAUCUCAUUGAGACAUAUUGCUAUCCCAAAACCGACCGAAAUCCAAUUCGAAAAUCGAGUUACUUACGUUAAGAAUCGACCGAAUCCUACCCAACAGGCAGCUAGAGCAUGAAAAGUAUGUGAGAAACCAUACCUCACUCGUCGAAAUCAGUGGCCAAAGGAGGGAGAUCGACGAUAGAGAAGUUCGGACGAACUGACCGCUUCUUCUCCAUUUUUCAGCGAAACCACGGUAGCUGGUGGCGGGACCUAGCUGGGGUUGGAAGAGGAUGACGCCCCGGUCAUUUUGGUAUCGGCCUCGUGGUCAUCGGUGGCCGGAUGAGAAAACAGCCGGCGAAAAUGUGACCGGCUGCCGUUGCGCACGCGAGAGAGACCACGAGAGAGAGAGAGAGAGAGAGAGAGAGAGAAAUCUGAUUGUGCCACUGAGAUUCUUUUGACCAUAUCUCUCUCGUUACAACUCCGAUUCAAGCCCACCACGUGUCUACGGACUCAUCUCGGUACGACCUAUCCAAAAAUACCAAUCACUACCCCAAAUACUUUUUGGAUCAGAAAGUGACCAAAUUACCCCUACCUCAAUGGUAACUUUGUAAUUUCACUUAAAUAAUUUAAAUAAGGGAUUAAAUUUGGAGUCGGGGUGUUACAAUUUUUGUUGCUAAAUGUUGUCAUCAUUUCUCCUCUACAUCACUCAGUGAUCAUUCACUCCCAUUUCUCUAGUUUACACGGUGAAUUUUAUUUCUAAAAUUUCUUAAAAUUCCGGCCACUGUGAGUUUGACCAGCGACUUGGGUUACUUUUGCCCAUCUUUUUGGAAAUGGAACCGAUUUGAGGAAGAUUAGGAGGAAAGAUACAUAGGCCGCUGAGGCAGAAGUAAAGCCGGAGCUUUACCAUAGACAGAAGUUGUUUUAGAAGUCCUGGAAGAUUGUGAACAGGAAUUGGAAGUUUGCAUGGGGUGAUAGGAUUUUUAGUACUUGUGCAAACAGUGUUAAAAAUCACAUAAAAUACUUGCAAGAAUACAAGGCUAUUGUAGUCUAGAUGCUCAUGCAAGGUCGUUUUCCUCAAGGACUAAUUAGCAAUUUAUGUAAAAAUAAAUUCCAAUUACUACUUAAAAUAAAAAGUCAAGAAAGAUGAUUAUAAAUUUGGUUGAUUCUAAAAAACAAAUAUUAAACAAAAACAAAUACGAUUGAAAGAAAGAGUUUUGAAUAUCAAUUUAUAAAAACACUAGGGUUUCACCAUCACCUAGCAAUCCUAUGAACUUUUACCAAUUACUUAUGAUUUGCACAUGCCACUUUGAAGGUUAGGUUUUCCUAAUGUAUAUUCUACUUAGAACCUCCAACACAGAAUGUAUAUCCAACAUGCAACCCGUCCGGACGUUCGGAUCAAAUCUGAACAUGAAAGACUCAUUAAGUUUUGUGAAAACCCUUUGAAAAACCAUGCAACCCUUAAGACGUGGUGUUCAUCUUAAGUGAAAUUACAAUUAUUAAUCAGAAGAAGCUAGCAUCAAUUUCAGGGAACCUUCCGACCAAAAUUGCAUCCAAUUACUUUUCUAAAGAUCCUAAUGGUGAUCAGGCAUUAAGACAAUUAGAUAGUUUAAAACAGUGAUUAACAAUUCAAAAUACGCAUGCACUCAUCAUAAGCAAUUAAAUAAAAAUCACAUAUUCAUGCUAAGGUUCAAGGCUUCACCCUAGCAAAAGAAAUUUAGUUACGCAUACUCAUAAUUGAAAUCCAAGAAAAUAUCAUUAAGAAGAAAAGAACGAAAACACCUGAAAGUUGUGAAAACCCAAAACCCUAGCAAUUGCUCUCCACAAUGCAAAGUUCAAAAGUGAAAAGGGAGUCCUCCAUUCCUUGUGAGAAAGAGCUUAAAUACCCCUUAAAACCUAGCUGCCAAUGUACAGCUUUUCUAUCCCCACAAGGAAACUAAUUAAAAUAAAAUAAUACUAGGAAAUAAAGUCCAAAUUGGAAUAGGAGAAUCUGCUCAAAAUCUGCCCAGCCACGUUUUGGCCCCAAAUCUCCUCCAAAUCUGGCCCAAGAUAGCUUGUUUUAAAGAUAAAAAAUGUUCUGAACACUUCUUUAGAAGGCCACGAACCCAUCCGAGGUCAUCUUGGGCUCCAAAAACGCAAUAAAAGCCCAACACGUCACUAUUCCAGCACCGCGCACUGCUCCUUUAUUUUGUUGCCAGAAAAUAACCGCUUGGAAGAAAAAUCUGAAAUUUUGAUACGAUCAAGCUAAGUGACUCAAGAACGUCCUCCAACUGGAAUUACUCCAAAAUUCCUCAAUUUGAUUAUGUUUUGCUCCAGAGAGAUUCGAAAGUCCUAUAUUGGAAAUAUAAUUCAAAGUAUCAAAAGUCUUCCAAAAUAAUAACCAAAAUAUACUAAGAAUGAGGUUAAAUAUAUAAUAUAAAAUAUGUCCAUCAAAAUACCCCCAAACUUAGCUUUUGCUUGUCCUCAAGUGAAACAAGACUCAAACAAAAAUAAAAACUUAACAGAUUAGACAUCUGGCUAACACUUAACUAGGACAAAAUUUCCACCUUCAAGUUGCAAUCCAUAGAAAAUUUUAAAAACUAGAACAUCCUUUCAAUAGAUCUAAGUAAUCCCACCACAAAGUCUAAGCUAUUUAGACUCAAUUAGAAAAGAAUUCACAAACUUCUUUCGGUGCAAAGUGAACCAUUAUGGUUAUGGAGACUUGACUAAAACCCUUAACUCUCAUCCCUUUUAUUCAUACUUCACACACUCCACACUUUUUGUUUUUUUUGUUUUUUGUUUUUUGUUUUUUUGUUUUUUUUUCUUUUUGUUUUUAUAGUAACAGUAGUGGUUGUGCAAUGUUGGUUCCCUUAAGCUUUCAAUCCAACCGUGUAGCCAGCUUUAGGUCAAUGUCUCCCAAACCACUCGGGUUUUAGGGCACUAGGUGUAGAACACCCCUAAGGACUUAUUAACUCAAGCUGAAAAGGCUACGAAACCAACUAACCACCCUGCCUCAUGCCAAAACUCUACCUUUUGUCUCGAGAAUCACUGCUGAUUAGGCAGGAUUGACCCGGUUACUAGCAAAGCUUCGGGUGAGGUAAUUAUUACUUUAUAACACAAACUAACUUUAUUUAUAUUGAACAUAAAUUAAAACACAUUUGGACAAAAAGUAAGUAUUCCAAUCUCACUCCCCAAAAACCAUGUUGGUGUGAUGUGCAAAUUUCAAAGUAUAAUUCAUGAAUUAAUGUCUAAGCAACAAUAAAUAGAAAAUACUCUACCGUGGGAUUGAUUUUCACCAUGUCCAUUUGUUCUAACGUUUAAAAUAAUCUAUGGAUAUUGACUGAAAAACGAAAAUUUGUAAACAAGACUCAAAAAAUGAAAAAUAAAAAAAAUUACGUUCCCACCCCCUAACUUAAAUCACACAUUGUCCUCAAGGUGGGGUAAAUAAUCAAAAGAAACAAGAGCAGAAACAAAACGACUAAAACUUAGAAAAUGGAAAUCAAAAAUAAAGAAAAUACUCUAAGAAAAGAAAUUAGGAAGGCAAAGGAUGAGAUCCAGAUGGAUCUGGUAAUCCUAUCCGUAGAGAUGGAAAGAUUCUAUACACGCCAUUGAGACUGGAUUUGGAGAUGAGGAUUUGACCCUACCUUGUUCGACGAAUUCCCUCAAGGGGAAUUAUAGCAAUAAAAUACAUAUGCUUCUACAAACAUUUAAUUGCACUGCUACGACGUGGAAAGAGUGCUUUGGGGUCUCAUCUCAUGUGAACCCGUUCGAGUAGAAAUCUUUCAUUAGAAUCAGAAAUGGGUCAUGGUAAAGAGAGGUAGAUGAUGAUUACAGUUCGGUAAAAAUGAUCAUUUCUGACAUUCCUCUCAAAGAACCGUGUUGGCAAUGUCGUUUAUCGAUUCUAAAGAAAGAAGAAAAAUAUCAACAAGUCAAAGAACGUGGAUUUCUUUUAAGGGGAGAGCUAGAACAAAAUCAAAUCACGAAUGGAAGAGUUUAGCUUUCAGAGGAAGAUUGAGCAUUACAGCAGCUAUUAAAGGAUAUUUUUAGUUGAAGAAUGAGAUUUUUCUUCCUCUGAUUGUUUAGCUAGAGCUUUUGGCUUGACUGCCAACGUGGUUGUGGAGGAAGAAACUUGGGAACCCGAGUAGUAGAUGCGAGCCCACUACCCAUACCCCUUUUGAGUGACAGGUAUGAAAUUUCAAGGAUGAAAUUUUUAUAAGAGGGGUAGAUUGUAACGACCCGGUCCUAAAUAAAUUGGUAAUUAUUAAUUUAUUCAUAUAAAAGACCAUUUUGCCCCCAUAAUAUUUUAAUAGGUUUACAUGUUGACUUGUUGACCGGGGAGGCUUUGGUGAAAUUGUUACAUCCCGGUCUGAAAAAGUGUUAAAAUAAUUAAAGUAAGAGAGAAUAAAUUGAAAUAAACAUUAAAAUAAAAUGAUUUGAAUUAAUUAAGGUGUUUGAGAAAUUAAAAUAUUAUUUAAAAUUAUAAGGGGCAAAAAGAUCAUUUUAAGUUUGGGAAGGAAUUUGAAAAUUUUGAUUGUACCGUUGUGUGGAGCACGUCGAAACGAGUCCGUAGACACAUAGUGGACUCGAAUCGGAGUUGUAACGAAAAAAUGGCGAUCAAAAGAAUUUCAGUGGCAUAACCGUAAAUAUUUUGAAGUUCAGUUUUUUUAAAACCCACAUUUAUUCUCUCUGGGGAGUGGGACGUGCCAACUUCAAAUGGUGAUUUCUCCCAACUCCGGCCACCAAUUCAAGUAAGACCGGCCCCGUUAGAACCACCACACUUCCCUCUUCCAGUCCCAGCCCAUCUCAGUCUCGAUCCGCCGUCGUAGUCGCCGAAAAUCGCCACGAAACAAGGUGGUUUGGAUAGUUUUUGUCGAAAUUUCGUGGAGCUCGUUCUCCCUCCUCCGGCCACCGUUUCAGGCGAGUGAGGUAUCAUUUCUCACCUAUUUUCUAUGAUAUAGCUGAUGGUUGGAUAUGAUUUGAUAAAUUUUGAGCGUUGAUAGUUCGAUUUUCGAAUCAAAGUUUGGCCGAAUUUCGGGAUGAAAUUCCGGCCACUUUCGAUCACUUUUUGGGGUAGGCCCAAGAACAAAAGUGUCUUCAAUUGAUGUCCUGAUCCCAGGGUAAGAGCAUUGGUCGAAAAUUUUGAGAUUUUCCUGCUGGUGGUAUCGCUUUGGGCACCCAUGCGCUGAUGGCGCGUGUGGCAGCGUGUGGGCACUGUAGCAGAGGGCCAUUGUGUCCCAAUGCGACCCCCUUGUUGUCACGAGUGCGUAAGGGUGCUCGGAUUCCAAUUUGGUUGAGGUUUGAACCCCGAAUGGAUUUCGUAUAUUGUACAUUAUCCGGGUUUGAUAGGUUUGAACCGUUGGAUAGUCUUGAAUUUAAUAUAUGUUAGUCUAGACAUCCCUAGGAUCAUAUAGGAUUUCGCGGAUCAUGGAUCGGAGCCCCGGAUGUUCUGAUUUAAUAAAUUAAAGUUUGUGUUUUACAAUAACCGUCCGAUCGUGCGAUCGCGAGCAAUCCGACAGUCCGAUCCGAACCAAACUUGCAGGACGGGUAUCCUAAAUCUUGUAGAACCCAUAGGAGCUUUCGGAUAAGAAUUUGGAGGUCGUGGGCCCGGUUGACCAAGAUUAGGUAGUUUGACCCCUCGGUUGACCAUGAGUCUUCCGAGGUAGUUUCACCCUUCGAGGAGUACUAGAAUGACCUUAUUACAUAGUCUCGACCUUUAAUUGAGCUAUGUUGACUAUGUUGAGAUUUUUAGAGUGUUUAUUAUUAUCGUAUGAAAACUCUUGGAUAUUACUUUUAAUAAUUGAAAUUAUGGAUUUGAUGAGCGUGGGUAAAUUGAUUUGAUGAGUGGUGAAAAGAAGUCGUGGGCUUGGCUAUGACUAUUAGGAAGUGAGGGGACAUUUAUGUUGAAUAUGCAUUAAUUUCAACAAUUGAAAGAACAUGCAUGGAAUGGGUAUAUAUAUAUAUAUAGAUAAAUUGGAUUAAAGAUUGAGAAAUUAAUAAGUUGAGAUAUUAGUAAUAUUUAAUUGAGAAAUGGAUUUUGAGGUGGAAAUUGGAAGGUUGAAUUUGGGGAAUUUUGGAAUUGAGAAUUAUGGGUUAAUACUGAAAGAUGUAGGAUUAUACUAUGUAAGUACCAUCCCCUAGUUACUAGGCUUCCCAUACGUGGAGUUGGAAUUUCUGGCGUGUGGGAAGGAUAUAUGAUUAUUAGAUCUCACAUGCCGUUGGAUUUUCCAGCGUGAGACAGACCCCAUACGUGGGGUUGGAUUUUUCGGCGUAUGGGGAGAUUAUGUGAUGGUUAGGUCACACGUAGGGUGGGAUUUUCCAACGUGUUGACAGACCCCAUAAGUGGCGUUGGAUUUUCCGGUGUAUAGGGAGAUUAUGUGAUGGUUAGGUCACACGUGGCAUAGGAUUUUCCAGCGUGUUGACAGACCCCGUACGUGGCGUUGGAUUUUCAGCGUAUGAGGAGAUUAUGUGAUGGUUAGGUCCCAUGUGGCGUAGGAUUUUCCGGCGUGUUGACAGACUCCAUACGUGACGUUGGAUUUUCCGACGUAUGGGGAGAUUAUCUGAUGGUUAGGUCACACGUGGAGUAGGAUUUUUCAGCGUGUUGACAGACCCCAUACGUGACGUUGGAUUUUCCGGCGUAUGGAGAGAUUAUGUGAUGGUUAGGUCACACGUGGCGUAGAAUUUUCUGGCGUGUUGACAGACCCCAUAUGUGGCGUUGGAUUUUCCGGCAUAUGGGGAGAUAAUGAGAUGGUUAGGUCACACGUGGCAUAGGAUUUUCUGGCUUGUUGACAGACCCCAUAUGUGGCGUUGGAUUUUCGCGCGUAUGGGAAGGAUAUGUGAUUAUUAGGUCUCACAGGUGGCGUUGGAAUUUCCGGCGUAUGAGACACUAACAGUGAGAAGAGAAUGAGAUUAUUUUUCUAUAUCAGAGAAAGGUUAGAGUAUAAAAAGAAAUAUGUUUGGUGUGUGGUAAUUUAAAUUAAAACAGGGAAAGAUAACUUACCUGUACUACUGAAACAGUUGUGUAACAUUUGGAGCAUGAUUAUGGAGUGAAAGAACUACGUGUGGCUUGAUCUCUCAGUAAGGGUACGUAGGCAACCUAGGUGCAGUCGUAGACUAAACGUUAUUUAUGUUGUUUUAUUGAGAUUGGUUCUGACCCUGUCGUUGGUCCUGAAAUUCGGUUGAAAACUAGAUGCGAGUAAAUAAUUGUUCAUACUCCCGUUUCGUUGAGGGAGGAUUGUGUAAAUGUGUUCUGGUCAAGACAGGUAUAAGAACUCGUUUAGGAUUGAUGUACGAUUUGGGCUAAGGCCUUAAACUACUUGUUGUUGUAUUAGGAGAUUAAAACCUCGCAUGUGGGAUAAUUGGGAAAGUUAGAUGAUGUAAAGUGCACUUAGGCAUUCAUAUAUAUGUUUAAAUUUAUUAUUUGUCUUGCUUAACGUAAUUGUUUGACUUAUGGGCUUUAUUGGUGAUUUGCUUCAGAUUAUUUAAAGGCCGAAGGCCGUUUAUGUGAAUUGCAUUUUGAUACAUUGUGCAUGCUACUAGUUGUGGAUAUUAAAUGUGUUUUAUGCAGGUUGAAAUUUUUGGGAUUGUUCAAAUUACAGGGGAGACUGCCAAAAUUUUGAUAGAAAGUCUCGGUCAUUAGUAAGUGGGCCCGGCAUCGAGGUGAUGUCGGAAUUUACACAAGAUUCCUCUCGGGUUUUCAGGAAUUCGGGGCGGAUCCUGUUACUUGGGGUGCAAAUUAUCCAUUUGUUCACCCGUUUUCGUGUUUUACUUCUGAGGUGGAAGGGCGAAGUUUCCCACUGGCUUGGAGACCACUUGUUGGUCGACAAGUCAGCUUUCUUUGGUGUGUGUGAGCGUGCCACUGCUAGCAAUGUAAAUUCUAGCAGACUUAUUUUUUAGAGUGGAUAACUUGCGCCUCAAGUUACUGACUUCUAAAACAAAUGAUUGUGAAUUUGGGUGAGGAAUAUCUCCCAAGUAAGUUCUUUUCUUGCCUCAAACUGGUGAGGACUUUCACAAUUUAUCUCAGUAUCAAAUGGUUGUUCUGGCCAGAAUAGAUAAUAAUAAAGUAGACUGUUUCAGGCAGAACUGCCUUUUACAAAAUUAAGAAGGGAGAAAUCAACUCUAGAAAGGAAAAAAGAUGGCUGGAAUCCCAUUUCUGCCUGGGUAGAAACUUCUGAUCCGGGCUGGACUGGGUAUGUCUAUGCUGGACGGUGCUGUCAACAACUUUAGCUUGCUCGGCUUUAGUUGUAAAUCGAUACCAAAGUUCAAUUUUGGCAGAGCUUCAAUCUACUUCAAGCCUUGGGAGACUUUUGAGUGGGCAGAACUGCAGCUUCUUCAGUUUGAAGGGACAGAAGUGGCUAUUCUCGAGGAUUUAGCAAGCUGGAACUAUGCUAUAAAAUUUGUUGAGGUUUUCAUAUUUGUGAAAACUCAAACUAUGUUUGUCUUGGCUUUUGCUGAACCAAAUUUGUAACGAGAGGGAUCUUGUUUUCAGAAGACUUAUUUUCUAAGUCUGAACUUUGGAAUUCUGAUCUAAAGCUGUUUUCUUGUUUGUUUUUUUUUGAUUGACUGAUGAAUUGAGUGUCCUUUGUUUCUUUGCCUUCUUUCGCUUUUAUAAGAGAUCCUCCUAAGGAGGUCAUUUUUAAUCCUAAACAAUGGGCGGCAAAAAGAUCUCUUAUAAUGUAAAGUAAGAAGGGUUUCUUAUCAAUCAAGGCAGAUAGGUUCUGAGCAGUCACCUCCUAAAAACAGUCCAUUCCCUGGUUUCCUGGGUGGCAGCUUUCUAAUUCAACCAACGCCACCGUCUGUGUGGGCUUUUUAUGGCAGUUUUGGCUCUUUUCUUUUGUAUUUUCUGAGUGGUUCCCUGUUUCCCGUUCUAAUUUAGAAAGCGUGAUUCGUGAAUUCCUUGGGAGAUGGUGUAUUGAUUUGGAGCAAAAUCUUGAACACAGAUGGGUUUUUGAUCUUCAAUUGGCAGUGUUUCAGAGACGUCCCUCUCACAUUUUUAAACUUUAGUUGGAAUUGCUGACUUUUCCAAAGUUGAGGCAAUCACGUGGGUGUGUCUUUGAUCCCUUGGUUUUGAAUCUAUCGAAAAUUACGGGCUGAUCUUUGAAGCCCAUUUCGAAAGUUUCCACAUCUGGGCUUUCUUUGGGCUGAGGCUUUAUUUCCAACAUUCUUGGUGUGAAGCCCAAACUGUCUGGGUCUUAUUUUCGUUUUUCUCAAGUCUCUGGGCUGGGCAGGCAAUUUUAUCAUGGGCCUGUCUUCUGGUCUUGGGCGUGCCGAAUUUGGGCCCAAACAAUGCCCCCUAAGUCUGAAUCGUUUUGGAAUGGUUUCAGACUUAAUGUUUUGCCAUUUAAUUCACGUGCCAGUUUCUUCCGUGUUUUCGCCCACGUCUGCCACGUUUGCCUGCUACGAACUAGAGUUCGUGGGAAAACGGCUAGUUAUUAUCUAGUUACUAGCUAAUAAUCAUCAGGUGCCGUCCCAUCUUCUUCUUCCCACGUUUUCGAGCCCCUCUUUAAAAGAAAUUCAAAUUCAUAGCUUCUGAAAAAAGAAACCCUAAACCUUCCAGCUCUUGUUCCUGCGAGUUCUUUCUUCGAGAUUUCCAAAGCCUUCUUUAGACCUUCCUUUCUUCUGCUUCUUCCCUUGAAUCAGAAAUGUCUUCCCCAAGGUCCCGCGCUCAGUCUUCUUCCGCUUCAGUUCCUCCCGAUUAUAUCACUGGGAGCGGGAUUGAUGCUCACGCGAUAGAAAUCAGGAGCAAGCUUCAUCCCUUUGCCCAGAAGAAUCUGGACGAGAAUGUCCUCCAUUUGUUUGAGAACACCCUGGUGUUAGGGCCUCACUGGUUUGGUCCUGUUCCAGCUGAGAUGGCAGAAUUGCUAAAAAAGGAUGCCGAGGCUCCUUUGUGUUUUGAGAGCUCUUCUGCCCUGGCUUCUUAUUCUUGGGUUAGCAAGAAUUUGAGCCGGUCCUUCCCGUCCAGCGAGGUGAGGAAUAGUCUGGUCAAAUGGGCAGACUGGAUUGAUAGACUUCUCCCGAGAUAUGGGGGUCACUGGAGGAGAGCUGGGAUUUAUGACGCCAUUUUUCUGUCCAAACAAUCGAUUAACAGAGAUGAGAAUCUGCUUGCUGCUGCUUUAUGCUUCUGGAAUUCUGCCAGCAAUACAUUUGACUUCCGCGUGGGUCCUAUGGCGCCAACCUUGCUGGAUAUGGCUCAGAUUUUUGGGUUCAGGCCCCAUGGUAGGCCUGUUGAUGCCAUUGGAGAUUAUCACAGGCGAAGGAAUCAAGAGAAAGUGGCCACCCCUUUUACUAUCCCUCCAGCCGUGAUCAACCAGAACUGCUCUUUCUCCAACUAUCUGAAGAAGUUCAGUGCUGAUAAGGACAAGGAUCAGCAACAUAUGUUGUUCCUUCUGUAUUGGCUGAAUUGGUUCGUUCUCCCCAAUCGGUCUUCUGCAGUUCUGCUAGAGUACAGACACUUGGCAGAAGCACUCCACAAUCACACUGAUGUGGGGCUCGGGCCUACAGUUCUGGCUCACCUUUUCAAGAAUCUGCAUACUUCCACCCUGGAGAACCCAUUGAACCUGUCAGCCCCUGGCGCAUUCUGGAUGAUCCAGAUCUGGCUGCAGGUUUAUUUUCCAGAACUAAGGUUCCCAGACAUAGUUCUGCCUGAAGAUCAAGUCCUGGCUCUUCCUCUGAUGUCGGCAGAAGUGCCCAAGCAUUCUAUUGAGGAGUAUUUGAUGCUCUUCAGGCAUUGUACAAAGAGGUCGGCAGCUCAGUGGCAAGUGGUGAUCAGGAGGACCUAUCCUUGGUUCCAGACCGGAUUUCGGUUGUUUGAGAAGGAGCCAGAAGAUGAAGCUGCCAGAACAGAUUUCAGGAGGAAAUUUCUGAGCAUUACUCUGCCCAGAGAUCUACCCCAUGGUGGGGGCAAACCUCCAAACUAUCAUCUGGGGGCAGAAGUCUACCAUCCCAACUUCUGCGCGAGGCAGCUUGGUUGUCCCCAACUCAUUCCGCUGAAAUCAUAUCGGAGUUGUAACCGGGCCUCUUCUUGGAGGGAUGCAGAUGAUCUGGAGGUGCACAAGGAUGCCCGGUGUGCAGUGAACAAAAUCAACAACAGCACGGAUGCCCUCUAUCCCUCGUGGGAGCUGAAUUCCUGCAGUUCUGCCGACUUUGACGCAUGGUGGAAAGCCAGAUUCCAAAGUCUGCCUGCUUCUGUCACUGCCCUCAAGGUGCUGUUUGAUGGUUGGGAAAACUGGGUCGUUUUUGCGAAUGGGGAUGCCAAGACGCAUAUGAUCCAGACCAUCAAGGAUAUUAACGCGCAAAUUAUAGAAGGUAGAUUUCUGAUUCUGUAUGGGGUUCGUUCUGUCCUGAUGAUUGAUUUCUAAUGUCUAUUCUGCCUGUAUCAGAUCCUUCUUUGACCAGCGUAGGUGGGCAGUCUGUUCAUGCUGGGGAAGUGAUUGGUAAGUCUUUUCUUUUAAUUCUAUUCUGUCUUUUCCUGCUGGAUUGGUCUCUAAUGUCUAAUGCCUUGGUGCAGUCUCUUCCGUUAUUGCUGCCGGGGACUUGGAGCUCCCUUCUGCGGAUGAAGGAGAUGAGGUCCAGACAGAACAAACACCUACCGAGGCCGCUCUUUCUGGCAGAAGAAAAAGGAAAGGACCUGCCCCUCCUUCGGAUAAUCCCACGCGGCCUGGUAUUUCAGGUAAGCUCGUGAUGUUCCAACCAUUCUCUUUAAAUUUAUUAUGUCUUGCCUUCUUUUCCCUAAUACUGCUUUUUGUUCUGUGCAGCUGGAAGUCCUUCCCCUCCUCCUACCAAGUUGAAAAAACUUAAAAAGAGGAGUGAGGAGGAGUAUGUCGCCGCGGAAGAGACGGCAGCAAUUCCCACCACUACCUCCGGGACGGAUGAAGAGCUGCGAGAGGCUUUUGAGGAGGUGGAGCAGGAAAAAGAAUUGGAAGAGCUGGAAGAAACGCCUCAGGAAAAAACGGCAGUGGCGGAAGGAGAGGUAAGUUUUAUUUCUGUGAUUCGCAUCAGUUCCCUUCUCGCCCUGUUUCUUCCGUUCUGACCCUUAUUUUGUAGGAGAAGAUCCCUGCUGAGGUGAUUGCAGAGAGCAUUGCCUUGGCGCAGAAGCAACAAGGGGGUCCAAGGGCUGAGCGGACUAGCUCAGAACUAGCCCUAUUUGAGGAUGCUGAGGCAGAGCAUUCUACUGCCGUUCCAGCGGCUGAGGAUCAGGCGGAACGGUCUGCAUCAGAGCCUGUGGAUCAGGCAGAGCUGUCUGUUGUGGUUCCGGAGGCUGAAGUGGAAACAACCGCCGCUGCCCCUGUGGUUGUGGUAACUUUCUUUCUUUAUCUGUCCACACUCUCCUGCAUUUCUGCCUUGUUCUUUAUUUUUAACUGUUGUAGCCUUUUCAGGUAGAAGUGCCUAAAGCUGUUGGCGUCCUGGCAGCGGUUACCAGUCCCCAGAAGCCUCCCAUUGUUGCUGUAAGUUUUCAUAACUUUUGGGCCUUUAUUUUCCACUUUCUGCCUGGUCUUACCUUAUGCUUUCUUCUUGCAGAUGCCAAUUCAUUCCCUUCCAGGAUCAUCUGCCACGGCUUCUUUUGCUGAUCCAGAACUCGAAGAGUUUGAAGCCAUGGAUCUGGAUGCCCAAUUGGACAGAUUGGAGAAACUCAGCUCUCCUCCAGGCAAGGCAAAAUCUAGGGCAGUGGAGGAGGCCAUGGAGAGGUUGAAAAUCUGGCAGUCUAAUGAGCUGGAGUUUGAUCAAGACAAUGAAGCCUUAAAUCAGCUGAUGAAGGACCUGGACCUGCUUCACAGACAGAACAUGGCUCCAAAACCUAUCCUUGAGAUGGGCCUAAGCUUGGCCAGAGAUGUGCUCAAUCUGCAUGAUCGCUAUGAGGAUCUCAGGCCUACUUUCAAGACUUCUGAAUUCUGCAAGGCCACUCAUGAAGCCAACCUGGCUGAUUUUGCAAAGCAGAAAGCAGAACUGGAUCAGAUGGUGGCCGGAUAUAAGGAAGCCAGGGCCACUGCGGACAAGCUGGAGAAGCCGAUGGAAGAGCUCCAAAAACAACUGGCAGAAUGCAGGGAGGUGCAGAGCAGGCUUGGGGCUGGACUGAGUUCUAAAACUAAGGCCACUUUCCUUGUGCAAAGUAUGGUUGCAGCUUCCAGGACAGCCUUGGAGAUUGCAGAGGCUUCAAUUCACCAGGGGGUGCUGCUCCAGAAAGAGCUUUCUGUCAAGAAAGCGAACCUGCAGGAGACUCUUAGAAAACUAGGAUUUUAGCUUCUUCUUUCCUUUUAUUGUUCGAAUAAUUUGCCGCAAAGGUGGCUAUUUUUAUAUAAGCUUUCAAAGCAUUUUACUGCUUUUCAUUUAUUCUUGAUGCAAUAACUGGAUACGGCUUUGAAAGUAAAAAACAGAACAACUUUAAAGCAAAAAUAAAUCUAAACAAAAUUCUUUUCAAGAAACAAAAAGGUCAAACUUGUUCCUCUUCUAUCCCGGGAUCUGUUUAUACAGCCUGCGAAUCCCACGUGGUUGGAUAGAACUUCUUUAACCAUUUACCAUUGAUUGGGGCAAAAUGAACAACUCCAUCUCGGUCCUGCAACCUGUAUGCCCCCAUUCCGAGGAUUUGGUUAAUUAUAAAAGGGCCUUCCCAUGUAGGUGACCAUUUCCCAUAUCCAGCUAUGUGUGCUCCAAGGGGCAGAAUUGCCUUCCAGACUAUCUCUCCCUCUUCAAAACUCUUGUUUUUGACUCUUUUGUUGUAGGCCCUUGAUACAGCCUGUUUUCCUGCUAAGAGUUUGUUGAGGGUGUCAAUUCUGCUUGCAUCCAAUUCUUCCAAUUCCAGCAACAUGGCUUGAGAGUAAUCCUCCCCAGUGAGACCAUGCUGGUGAGCAAUUCUAAGAGACUGGACCGCUAUCUCCAUGGGAAGAAUUGCAUCGUGGCCGUAGGUUAGAGCAUAGGGGGUCAUGCCAGUUGCUUCUCUCUUUGAAGUUCUGUAUGCCCACAAAGUUUCUGAUAACUUCUCAUGCCAUUACUUUGGAUUCUUCUCUAGCAUCUUUUUGAUGAUAUUGAUAAUCACCUUGUUACUUGAUUCCACCUGUCCAUUAGCUUGAGCAUAGUAAGGAGUAGAUUGAAGCAGUUUGAACUUGAACGUUUCUGCCAUAUCUAGCAUGUCCCUAGAUAUGAAAGAAGAACCCCUAUCGGUUGUGAUUGAUUCUGGAAUGCCAAACCUUUGUAUGAUCUGUUCUUCUAUAAAGGUGAUGAUCUCUUGAGAUGUUGUGGUUUUUACUGGCUUGGCCUCUACCCACUUGGUGAAGUAAUCUGUGGCAACGAUAAUGAAACAGUGCUGCUGGUUGCUGGCUGGAUAGAUUUUGCCAAUGAGAUCCAUUGCCCAUCCCCUGAAAGGCCAUGGUUUUACUACUGGAUUCAUGGGAACCGAAGGAGCCUGCUGGAUUGGGCCGUGCCUUUGACAGGCUUCACAUCCUUUGGAGUAGUUGAUGCAAUCCUUCAUCAUGGUUGGCCAGAAGUAGCCAUACCUUCUGAUUAACCAGCACAUCUUUCUUCCCCCUUGGUGAGCUCCACAGAUCCCCUCAUGGGUUUCUCCCAUGGCUUUCAUAUAUUCUGUCUUCCCGAGGCACCUUAAUAGUACCUCAUCCUUACUUUUUCGGACCAAAUCUUCAUUCCACAUGAGGUAGUUUGUAGCCAUGAUUCUGACUCUUUUCUUAGAGGGCAGAGUGGGAUAUCGUAAGUAAGUCAUGAUAGGCUCCCUCCAAUCAUCUUCAGUGAUCAAGGCAGAAUUGACUUCUAUCUCCAUUCCUCUCGUCAAAACAGAUGGUAGACUUUUCCUUCCUAUCUUGAUGAUCCUUUGGACGCAGUCUUCGGGCAUUUGUAUGCCUGAUGCCACCUGAGCCAGUUCAUUGGCUGCAAAGUUUUCCUCCCUUGGGAUGUUCUCCCAAGUAGCUUCUCUAAAUUCUGUUAGCAGAUUUCUAGCUGCUACUAGAUAUACAGCCAGAGAAGGAUUCAGACACUUAUAUUCUCCAGCAAUCUGUUUUAGGACAAGCAUGGAAUCUCCCAAGAUCUCCACGGACUGGACUCAUAAUUCUACCAACAUCUCGAGCCCUAUAAUCAAAGCCUCAUACUCGGCCAUGUUGUUGGUGCAUUGGAAAUCUAGCUGGAAGGAAUAGCAAUGUCUGACCCCUAAUGGUUCUUCCAGAACAAUCCCUGCUCCUGAAGCCUUGUCUGUCUUUGAUCCAUCAAAAUAUAACUUCCAAGGUGUGAGAUGAAUCGAGUAGAUUGGAUUGUUAAGGCAAACAUGAGCUCUAGUUAGCAGAUCUGCAUUUGCUAUGUCCAAAGAAUCCAUGUUUUCAAUUUCCUCUCCCGAGUGAUCUACCAAGAAGUCUGCCACAGCUUGCCCUUUGACAGCUUUCUGGGGGACAUACCUGAAGGUGAAUUCUGUCAAAGCCAAAGUCCAUUUCCCAAUUCUGCCCCUCAGCAUUGGUCUUGUUAGCAUGUAUUUGAUUAAGUCUGUUUUGGCAAUGAUGUAGAUAGUAUGUGGCAGCAUGUAGUGCCUGAGCUUUACAGCAGUGAAAUAUAAGGCCAGGCAAAGCCUUUCUAUUGCGGAAUACCUUCUUUCCACUUCUGUCAAUGUUCUGCUUAGAUAGUAGGCUGCCUGUUCUUUUCCUUCUUUGUUAUCUUGAACUAUUAGACUUCCAAUGGAUACUUCUGAUGCAGAUACAUAAAGCUUGAGGGGUCUGCCCCUUUUUGGUGGGGACAGAACUGGUGGAUUUGAGAGGUAAUGCUUUAUUUCCUGGAAAGCCUGUUGGUGCUGUUCUUCCCAUUUGAAUGUCUGUUCCUGCUUCAGUCUUAACAGGGAAGAAAAAGGUUGGAUUUUUCCUGCAGAAUUGGAUAUGAAUCUCCUUAGAAAAUUGAUUUUUCCUAAGAGACUUUGAAGUUCCUUCUUGUUCUGAGGUGGUAGAGCUUCUAUGAUGGAUGUUGCUUUAUUUCUGUCAACCUCUAUACCUCUCUGGUGGACCAAGAAUCCUAAGAAAUUCCCUGCUUGGACUCCAAAAACACAUUUUUUGGGGUUCAUUUUCAGUUUGUGCUGCCUCAUUCUUAGGAAUGCCCUUCUCAGGCUUGCUACGUGAUUUCCUUCCUCAGGGGAUUUAAUCACCACGUCAUCUAUGUAUACUUCCAAGGAAUGUCCUAUCAUAUCAUGAAAAAUAGAAUUCAUUGCCUUUGGUAGGUGGCUCCCGCAUUUCUCAAACCGAAAGGCAUUACAGUAUACUCGAAAGCACCUAUAUGUCCUGGACACAUAAAGGCUGUCUUGUGGAUGUCCUGUUCUGCCAUCAUGAUCUGGUUAUAACCUGCAUUGCCGUCCAUGAAAGAUAGCAUCUGGUUAUGAGUGGCUCCAUCCACUAGCAUGUCUGCCAUUGGCAUAGGAUAUUCGUCUUUAGGAGAUGCCUCAUUCAGAUUUCUGUACAAUAUUUGCUAACCAAUCGGAAUAGACGGCUGGCCUGAUGAAUCCUGCCUUGAGCAGCCUUUCUAUCUCUUCUUUGACCUUUAGUUCUGUGUCCAUAGACAUUCUUCUUCUGGCCUGUUUGACUGGAAGGUAGCCAUCUUUAAUUGGCAGCUUGUGCUCCACUCACUGCCUGUCCAAUCCUGGCAUUUCGUGGUAAUGCCAGGCAAAACAAUCUCUGAACUCCUGUAAAAGUGCCAUGAGUUCAGUCUUGAGUGGUUCCUUCAAAAGUGUGCUGAUGAAAGUAGGCCUUGGAUCUUCUUCUGUUCCUAAGUUUAUCUCCUGUAGAGGAUCCUCUACUUCUGGCAGGGAGUCAUCCAGUGCUGCUGGUGCAAAAUCUAAUACUUCCUCCUGUAAAAUUUCCUCCUCUUGCUCUUUUGUGCUUUCAUGGGUGAAUUCUGCCAUAUUGAUGGCUGGAUUCUGUAUGAAAAGCCUCCUUUCUCCCCAGUAUAUCAACAAUCUUUUUGUGAUGGAUCGGAUUGUUGCAGCUCGAUCCUUGUCUAGUUGAUUCGGACUAAACAUCAGAGUUCUGGAAGUUCAGCACAAAAAGGUCUAUUCCAGUCCUCUAGAGAACUGGCUAAACCUUCUUCAAUGAGUCUUUGGGCCGUGACACCAUGUGGACGGCCGUUCUGAUUGACUCCAAGGAAAGUGAAAGGACCGAGGUCAUCAUGAUAAUACCUUGUUUCAAAGCACAUGGCAGAGGGCAGGAAUGGCCGUGGAUCAGCCUCUAUAAUCUCCAUGCAGCCUUCUUCAUUCCAUAGUGCUAACUGCGGGUGGAGGGUGGAAGGAAUACAAAGGCUCUGGUGAAUCCAAUCCCUGCCAAGUAGUGCAUUGUAGGUGGUGGAAGUAGUGUCUAUAACAAAGAAUGCUAUUUUCAACUCUUUGCUUCCGAUUAUGACAUCCACAUCUAAGAUGCCAUGUAUUUUGGUGAUGCAACCAGAAGUUGGUGACGGUCAAUCGUGUUGGAAUCAGAUCUUUCUCUGUCCUGCCCAGCUUGGUCAGCAUUCUGUGGGGUAAUAGAUUAAUGGCUGCACCUCCAUUUACCAUGAUCUUGGAAAUAGGAAUACCCCCAAGAUUUGCCGUUAUAAACAAAGGUCUGAGGUGAAACAAGGUUGCUCUGUAGCUGGUUUAUUGGCUGUUCUGCCUGUCUUGGGGUUUUCUGCUUGUGGUUCUGGUGGCUCCUCUGCUUCUGCCAAUCUACAUUCAAAGCUUUCCUGAGAGAAAACAUCCCCUUCCAGAGUGCUUUCUUGUCCUUCGGCUGCCCUGAAUUUACUUGGUAGGAUGAAUACCAUGUUAAUUCCCAGAUCACCCUGUAGGAGGUCUUCUAAUUCUGCGCCAAAAGCUUCUGUUUCUGGGUCCAAUUCUACACCAAAUUCCAUUAAUUCUUCCCCGUAUUCUUCCGUCCAGUCAUCCUGUUCUGCUACUUCGAGGGGCUCUUUCUGAUCAUCUGCGGAAGGUUCAUAGUCCAAUUGCUCUUCUUCAUAUUCCUCAGUGUAGUCGUCUUCUCCUUGUAACGGGGUAGACCCAGAUUUCUCUGGUGUCUGCGUGGUGUCAGGACGGCUGCUGGACGACGAGGCCACAUGGAUAGGAGACCUGGCUGGGGGUUCUGUUUUCAGCAAUUCCCUUGACUGGCAAGCUUUCUGUUCUGUCUGGGGAAGUGUUUCAGGAUUUUUUCCUUUCCUAGCAGAACUGGGUUGUGAACGUACCUGCGUAUUAUCUUGGCUCUUAAGAUAUGUGCAGUAUUGCCUCUGGAUUCUCCUUUUCUGGGUUCUGGUUAGCUCCAGAGUCGGUCUACCGCUUCUUCCUACGGAAUACCAUCUCCCUUCUAUGAUCGUUGCCAAGGAUCUUUCGUUUCUGGGCAUCUUGACUGGUAUUUCCUUUCUGGGUUGCUCCAUCCUCCUCUCGCUGUAUUGUGUAGGCCUAAGACAGCUCUUCUGCCUUGUUUUGUCUCGGGAUGAGGUUCCAAUUCUGUCAAAGACACUAGGUGUGGGCUGAUUUUGUCUGUCUAGAACCACCUCUAGCUCUGUUUCACAUUUGCACCUACUGCAGAGCACUACCCCAGCCGAGAUGGUCGCUCUUGGUAUUUGACUGGUCUCCCUUAUGAUUCUUCUGCCUCUGCUGCAACCAGCAUCUGUGAUUGGCUCGGUUUUCCUCUGUUCUGGCCAAUUUAAGUUGACCAUAUUGACUUGUGGUUGAGGAAAAGGAUCCGUUGUGACGGAUGGUGGUUUUUCUGCCAGUUUCAACCUUCCUGCCGUUAUCCCUUCUUGUAUUACGUCCCUGAAAACAACACAACUAUUGGUAGAAUGGUUCCAAGAGUUGUGCCACCUGCAGUACUGUCUGCCCUUGAGUUCUUCCGGCUUCGGUAUUCUGUGAGGCGUCUCUAUUGCCUUCUACAGUAGCAUUUCGUGGAACAAGGCAUCAACCUUGGUUAAGUCAAAAGAGUAAACCUUGUUUUACGUUGGUUUGUUUGGAACGAAUCCUCCUGUGAAUGGUGGUGGCUUUUGGUCUUUAGGUGGCUUUGUGAGGGCUUUGCAACUAAUGGGAUGUUUUAGUUUUGCCAUUUCUGCCACUGAAACCUCUUUCUCUUCUGAUUCUUCUGCAUCUUCUUGUGAUUCCACCUCGAUCAGGUGGACUGAAGAAGAAGGGGUUUUAUAGUAUGUACCUUUGGAGGAGUUCCUCCUUUGCUGUUCCUCCCUGAGUAACUCCUCAUAUUUGGAUGCCUUAUCAGCCAGUUCUGCCAGAUCUCCGAACAAUAUCCCGUCGAACCUUUUCCUGAGAGAGAUUUUAAGGGCAACUUGGGCCAUCUGGAUGAAGUGUCUUUCUUCCAUCGGGAUUCGGCACUUCAUUUUGAGCUUUCUGAACCUGGUUAUGAAAUCUUGGGCCGGUUCAUCUUCACUUUGCUUGAGGGCAGCUAGAUCACUGAUGGUGACUUCUGGCUGAAUCCUGUAAUAGUAGUCAUGGAAGACAUUUUCCAUCUGUUCCCAGGUUUGAACAGAGUUAGCUGGCAGGCUGGUGUACCAGGUAAAAGCUUGCCCAAAAAGAGAGUUGCCGAAAAGCCUUAAUUUCAGCAGAGGGUUGCUUUCUAUAGCUAUGCAUUGGACGGAGAACCUGCCUAUAUGUUCAACUGAGGAAGAAUGGGGGUCUUCCCCAUUGAACAAAGUGAAGUUUGGCACUUUGAAACCUGGAGACAACAGUAUUUGAUCGAUAUAGGCUGGGUAUGGCUUUCUGUAAGUAGGCCUUUCCCCUAUUCUAGCCUCGGGUUCCAUGAUUUCUCUGAUCAUUCUUUGCAACGCUCCUAUGUCAUUCAAAGCAUUGACUGGGGGAAGAUUUUGUCCCUGUUCUGGCUGAACGUAAUCAAACCUGGGCUCUGCUCUGUGUGGUCUGGGUGGAACUUCCUCCCUGUGUUCUUCCUGCUCUUCGACUUCUGGAUGAUUCCUCCAGUUUGCCCCCGGUCUAUUCCUGUCAUGAUUAGCAAAAAGGUUGUUCCCUCCUCGGCCUCUCCUCCUUCUUGCAAGUGGAGGGAAUGGAUUAGGGUCCAUCCUUCUGGGUCUAUAUGGCAAUACUGCCGGUGGUUCAGGCAGAAGCGCCAAAGGUUGAUCAUGUGGGAGCACAUGAAGUGGAAUGGGCUGAGGUUCUGGCUGGUUCUGAGCCAGUGCCAGGUUAUCUGGUUGAGCUGGGGCUUCAUGUUUUUGAUUAGGAAGGGCUCCUUCCCUCGGACCAGCCUGAAUUUCUCCGUGGUCUGGCACUCCAGCCAUCUGUGCAACUAGGAAAUUUUCCUGGUAUGGCCAUAUUAGUCCUGGCGGAGGGCCAUAAGGGAGAUCCAACUGCUGGAUUACAGGAUCUGGGUUUGGGUUUCUGGCCAUGGCGGAUUCUCGGUCCUUCCGGAACUGUCUGUUUACCUGCCAUUACAUCAUGGCUGUCAUGUUAUUGAGAGUGUCCUGGCUCCUUCGUACUGUGAUCUCUUGUCGGAGUACUGACUCCUGUAUUUGAUUCAUCCUUUUGGAGCCAGUCCUGGAACGUCUACUUCCUGUACUGCCGUGGGCAGAUUGCCUAGCAUCGCUUUUUUCUGAUUCGAGGCCUUCCCUGAGAACCAUCUUGUUUUUCUCCAUAUCUGGUGUGGGUUCUGACUAGAUCUUCCGGUAUUUGUGAAUCUGUGAAUGAUUCUGUCAGAGUAUAUAUACUGAGAAGUCCCACUGGGUGUGCCAAAUUAUUCACCCGUUUUCGUGUUUUACUCCUGAGGUGGAAGGGCGAAGUUCCCCACUAGCUUGGAGACCACUUGUUGGUCGACAAGUCAGCUUUCUUUGGUGUGUGUGAGCGUGCCACUGCUAGCAAUGUAAAUUCUAGCAGACUUAUUUUUUAGAGUGGAUAACUUGCGCCUCAAGUUACUGACUUCUAAAACAAAUGAUUGUGAAUUUGGGUGAGGAAUAUCUCCCAAGUAAGUUCUUUUCUUGCCUCAGACUGGUGAGGACUUUCACAAUUUAUCUCAGUAUCAAAUGGUUGUUCUGGCCAGAAUAGAUAAUAAUAAAGUAGACUGUUUCAGGCAGAACUGCCUUUUACAAAAUUAAGAAGGGAGAAAUCAACUCUAGAAAGGCAAAAAGAUGGCUGGAAUCCCAUUUCUGCCUGGGUAGAAACUUCUGAUCCGGGCUGGACUGGGUAUGUCUAUGCUGGACGGUGCUGUCAACAACUUUAGCUUGCUCGGCUUUAGUUGUAAAUCGAUACCAAAGUUCAAUUUUGGCAGAGCUUCAAUCUACUUCAAGCCUUGGGAGACUUUUGAGUGGGCAGAACUGCAGCUUCUUCAGUUUGAAGGGACAGAAGUGGCUAUUCUCGAGGAUUUAGCAAGCUGGAACUAUGCUAUAAAAUUUGUUGAGGUUUUCAUAUUUGUGAAAACUCAAACUAUGUUUGUCUUGGCUUUUGCUGAACCAAAUUUGUAACGAGAGGGAUCUUGUUUUCAGAAGACUUAUUUUCUAAGUCUGAACUUUGGAAUUCUGAUCUAAAGCUGUUUUCUUGUUUGUUUUUUUUUUAUUGACUGAUGAAUUGAGUGUCCUUUGUUUCUUUGCCUUCUUUCGCUUUUAUAAGAGAUCCUCCUAAGGAGGUCAUUUUUAAUCCUAAACAAUGGGCGGCAAAAAGAUCUCUUAUAAUGUAAAGUAAGAAGGGUUUCUUAUCAAUCAAGGCAGAUAGGUUCUGAGCAGUCACCUCCUAAAAACAGUCCCUUCCCUGGUUUCCUGGGUGGCAGCUUUCUAAUUCAACCAACGCCACCGUCUGUGUGGGCUUUUUAUGGCGGUUUUGGCUCUUUUCUUUUGUAUUUUCUGAGUGGUUCCCUGUUUCCCGUUCUAAUUUAGAAAGCGUGAUCCGUGAAUUCCUUGGGAGAUGGUGUAUUGAUUUGGAGCAAAAUCUUGAACACAGAUGGGUUUUUGAUCUUCAAUUGGCAGUGUUUCAGAGACGUCCCUCUCACAUUUUUAAACUUUAGUUGGAAUUGCUGACUUUUCCAAAGUUGAGGCAAUCACGUGGGUGUGUCUUUGAUCCCUUGGUUUUGAAUCUUUCAAAAAUUACGGGCUGAUCUUUGAAGCCCAUUUCGAAAGUUUCCACAUCUGGGCUUUCUUUGGGCUGAGGCUUUAUUUCCAACAUUCUUGGUGUGAACUGGACUAAACAGUUAGUCGGACCAGACCGUCUACACAUAUGAACUGGACUCACAAGCCUAUGUUUUUUGAGCUCCCAUAUUGGUCGAAACUCAAAUUGAGGCACAAUCUAGAUGUGAUGCAUGUUGAGAAAAAUGUAUUUAACACAUUGGUGGGCACGAUUCUAGAUAUCGAGGGCAAGACAAAGGACACAAUCAAAGCCCGUCUUGAUUUGGAAAGAAUGGGCAUACAAAGGGGUUUAUGGAUGAACAGGGACAGUGAUAAAGCUAGAAGGGAUCUUGCAUUCUUUUCUAUGAAACCGAAUGAUAAAAAAGAGUUUCUAAAGUUUGUAUCGUCUGUAAAGUUUCCUGAUGGGUAUGCUUCUAAUAUCGCACAUUGCGUGAAUGUUGACGAGGGUAAAUUUACUGGACUGAAGAGCCAUGACUGCCAUGUGUUUAUGCAACGCCUACUUCCUGUGGGUAUUCGACAUCUAUUGCCGGAAGAUGUUGUGAAGCCAAUCAUGUUGUUGUCCAGAUUUUUUUCCCAACUGACGGCAAAAACAUUGCGAAAGACAGACAUAUUUCAGUUGCGCCAUGACAUUGUCCAAGUCCUAUGCAAGUUUGAGAUGAUAUUUCCUCCAGCUUUCUUCACAAGUAUGAUGCACGUGAUGGUUCACUUGCCAGAAGAGGCAUUGCUUGCUAGUCCUGUCAACUAUCGCUGGAUGUAUCCAAUAGAAAGGUAUAUAAUCUUUAUCGUUUGUGUAUGCAUCAUUAUCACAGACUUGCUAAUUUGUAUCAUAUCGUUUUAUUUUGACAGGCUUCUCGGAGAGCUGAAAAAAAGUGUACGCAACAGGGCGAAGCCCGAAGGAUCAAUUAUAGAGGCUUGGGUUCAAUAUGAGUCGCUUACUUUCUGUGGAAUGUAUUUAAAAGAUGUGGAGACGGCUUUCAAUCGUCCUCAACGCAAUAACGACGAAGGUAUGAGAAAGGAAAAACUUUCUGUUUUUGCCCAAAGUGCACGACCCUUUGGAGAUCCUGGACGAGGAGAGUCGUUUUCUAGAAAUGACAUGGAGGUAGCGCAUUGGUUCGUACUGAACAAUUGUGAUGAGAUAAUGGCAUACUUAGAUAAGCAUGAAGAGAUGAUGAAGCGAGAACAUCCAUCACAUUUAGUUGCCCAGAAACACCGUGAAUUGUUUCCACAAUGGUUUUUGGAUUCUGUAAGUUAUAAGUGUUUUGUAUUUGACAAAUAUAAAUUGUAGUAUUUAAUUUUGUCAGACUAACAUGUGAAUGGUUUUGUAUUAUAUUAGGUGAAUAAGUUGAAAUCAUCGAAUUCCCCCACUUACAGUGAUGAGUUAUAUAACUUGGCGUUCGGCCCAAUUCGCGCUGAAUUGUUUCGGGUUGUUAUAUUAAUGGCGUCAAAUUUUUGGGAGCCGCACGAGAUGACAAGUUGUGUAUGCAAAACAGCGGUGUCCAUGUCCCAGGUGGAGGCGAAAGUACGAACAUUGAUUUCUAUGGCAAACUCACAACUGUCAUUCAAUUGCUUUACAAAGAUCGAUACUAAGUGAUCAUGUUUAAGUGUCGAUGGUUUGAUAGCAACCCAAAUAGGCCGGGAAGUGUUAAAAUCAACCAUGGCUUACUAUCUGUGAACAUUAACAGAACUUGGUAUGAUGACGACCCUUACAUUUUGGCAAACAUGGCAACACAAAUUGUGUAUCUAGAUGACCCUAAAGCCGGGAGCAGUUGGAAAGUUGUUCAGAAGAUGGAUCAUAGGAACUUGUAUGCUAUACCAGAACUAGACCCAACUGACAAUGACGUCAACAAUGUGGCUGACCAACGUUUAGAAUCUUCAAUGGAAAAUGAUGCGGAAACACUUCGAGAUACACAUGUUAUACAAGAACCGUUUCAAAUACAAGGAGUGUCUUCAAUCGAAAUACCGAUUCAGUCAAUUACAAUUGACCUCGGGGAUCUUCCAAGAUUCGAUGUUGCAGUGAGCCCGAGCAACGAAGAUGAUGUAGUUAUAGAGGAGGAGGAGGAGGAUUGGGAGACUGAAAGUGAUGAUAGCGAAGAUAACGAAAGUUAUUAUAGUUCAGAUGAUGAAUAAUUAAAUUUUUUAUAUUUUUAUUAUGCUAGUGUACAGACUUUGUGUAAAACAAAAGUUUGAAUAUAUGUAGUUGUGAUAUCCAAACCUUAUAUAUGUGGACAACUGAAACAUUAUUAAAAUAAAUUUAGUUAUAAAACAUCGGUAAAUCAAUAUAUCCAAACCCUUUUAAUAUUCAUUUAAAAUUUUUUUUUUUGACAAAAACGUUUACAAAAUGAAAAUGAUAAAAUAUUUGUUAUAAAACAUUGAUAAAUAAAUAUAUCCAAACCAUUUUCAUACAAAGUUUGAAAAUUAUUGACAACAAACAUUUUUCAAAAAUGAAAAUCCUUGCGCGACGAAGUACACCUCGUCACGCAAAGUUUGCGCGACCCAGUAAACAGUCGUUGUGUAAAGUUAAAACAUUGCGAGACAAAUUAUCAUCCGUCACGCGAUAGAAUUUUGCGCGACGAAUAUUUACUCUCGUCGCGCAAAUGUAUAUUCUUUUAUAAUAUAUUUUAUAUACACAUAUAUAUUCGAAAUUGACGAUCGAGUUAGUUCAUUGUAUUCAUAUAGGGUCAUGGAGUGUAGCUGUAAAAAAUCAUCAAAAUCGGAGUUAAAAUAACUGUUAAAUCAUGACUUUUCAUUUAUAACCGUUCAAAAAUUUUGUCCCGAUACUUGAUCUCUGAAUGUUUUUUUUUUCCGAUUUUUGGGGCCUAAGAUCUCGAAGUAUAAACAAACACGUUUGACGGCUGGAUUAUUGAAACUACUUUCGUAGAAUGCGUAUGCCAUCAAAACUAUAUAUUCACCAACAAUGAAUAGUUUACUUAUACUUUCAUUAAAUAUAACAUAAGAUUAUGUGGUAUCACCCUAGUGUAAACAUCUUAAAUUGAAGAUCAAAUUCAGUAAUUGUAUUCAUAUAGGGUCAAGAAAAGUAGCUAUAAAAAAUCAUCAAAAUCGGAGUUAAAAUAACCGUUAAAUCAUGACUUUUCAUUUAGAUUCGUCGAAAAGUUUUGUACUGUUACUUGAUCUCUUAACGUUUUUUUUGUCAGAUUUUCGGCGUAUACGAUCUCGAAAUAUAAAAAAACAAGUUUGCCGGUUAGAUCAUUAAAACUAGUUUCGGGUUUAGGAUUUCUGCAGUUUAGGGUUUAGGGUUUGCGCGACGAAGCCAUUUCGUUGGUCGCACAAAGCCUGCAAAGAACAGUCUUGCGCUACGAAACUAGGAUUCUUUGUCACGCAAUCUCAACCAGCCCUUUCACCCUCUUCCUCCUUGGACACUUAGCCAAAAAAAGUUGCGAGUUUACAGAAAGCGGCUUUGCGCGACGCUGCCGGUAUUCGUCGCGCAAUAUGUAUGCCAAUAAAACCUAAAUCCCAAAUUUUGGCGAAUUACAACUUUGCGCGACGAAUAUGGGAAGCUUCGCGCAAAGUUUUCAAUCUUUCCCGCUAAACCCUAAGUCCCAAAAUUUUGGCGGAUUGACAACAUUGCGCCACGAAAGAAGGUACUGUGCGUCGCACAAAGUUUUCAAUCUCUCCCGCUAAACCCUAAGUCCCAAAAUUUUGGCGGAUUGACAAUAUUGCGCGACGAAAGAAGGUACUGUGCAUCGCGCAAAGUUUUCAAUCUCUCCCACUAAACCCUAAGUCCCAAAAUUUUGGCGGAUUGACAACAUUGCUCGACGAAAUAUGGUACUGUGCGUCGCGCAAAGUUUUCAAUCUCUACCCAAUAUUUUGCCGGAUUGACAACAUUGUGCGACGAAAGACGAUACUGUGUGUCGCGCAAAAACUACCCUGAUACCAAAUUUUGGGAUUAACAAUAUUGCACGACAGAAGUUAUACUUAUGUCGUCGCGCAAGUGUCAAUUAAAAUAUUUUGCGUGACGCUUUUGUUUGUUCGUUGCGCAAAAUCGAAUAAAAUUGCAGAAACGACGCGAUAGCCUCCUUCUUCCCCAGAUUUGUUUUUCUACCCUAACUCUCUCUCUCUCUCUCCGCCUUCAGCUCAGCCCCCUACCCCAGUGGAUUUUGGACGACGGCGCCACAACAGUGGUACCCCGGAGGUUUCCCGCCGUCACCGUCGAGCCAGCCGCCCUAAUUCCUCGAUUUUCACCGAAUCUGCGCCGCCGUCGUUCUCUCUCCUUCGGCGACCAAAUCCGACACCUGAGGUAUGGUUUCUGUCCUAUUUUUGAUGCUUUAACUGAUGGUUGGGUAGGAUUUGUGUAAUUGUUGCAAUAGGGCAGUGGAUUUGAAACCCUAAAUUUCGACCGAUUUUUGAAUUCCAAUUCCGGCCACUUCUGGCCAUUUUUCAGGGUAGGUCCGAGAACAAAAGUGGCUCCAAUUGAUGUUUUGAACCUAGGGUAGGAACCUUGGCCCUUAGUUUUAAGAAAUUUUCGACGAUUGGUAUCGCUUUGGACACCCACGCUCUGCCAGCGCUUGUGGUGGCGCGUGGGGUACUGUAGCAGUCUUGCAUUGGGUCCCAGUGCAAUCCCAUAUUUGUCACGAGCGCGUAGGUGUUUUCGGAUUGGAAUUUGGUUACCGUUUGAGUCUCGAACGGAUUUUGCCUAUUGUGCGAUUUCCGGGUUUGUUAUGUUCGGACCGUUGGAUCGAACUCAAACUCACGUAUGGUGUACCUUGUAUUUCUUGGAUCGUCUAGGAUUCGACGGAUCGUGGAUCGGAGUCCCGAAUACUCCGAACUCGCAAACCCUAGGUCAAGAAUCUUAAUAAAAUUGUAUGUGCUUUCAAAUAUUCGUAUGUUUUAUUAAUUUGUAUGUGUAUUAAUGAAAUUGUGUAGAUGUCAGACCUGAUUAGACGUCGUAGGGCGGUGACGACUACGCAGAGUUCUGAGCCCCCGGCUCAACUGACAUCUGCUGCCACUGCGCCAGCACUGAUGGACCACUUGGCAGUUGGUCCCGCGGGGUCCCAGGCUCCUGCUUCAUCAGCUUCAUUAGUGGCACAACCUGUUAGCGCCAGGAAGCGUCAUCGGCCUGCCAGCACCACCGACACCACAUCCACUGAUGCGUCGGGGUCACAGCCAGGUAUAGAUUUCCUUAAACUCCAGUUAUUUAUAUUUUUGUUUUUGUUUUUAUUUUUGUUUUUGUUUUUGUUUUUGUUUUUAUUUGUGUGUGUAUUUUAUAGUUAAAUUUGUUAUUUAUUUAACAUUAAUGUCAUCUUUCUUUGCAGCCAAGAAGAACACCCGAGGGCCGUGUCGGUAGUUGAAGACGGCGAAGGUCACUCGGGUGACCAACAGUCGUAUCAACAUCGGAUACGACAAGCGACAUCGGGCUGCACCGACGGCGGAGUUGCAUAGCUCCUUGGCCCACGACAUUGGUGAUGUCAUUCCGAGCCAUUGCCCGAUGAAAUGGAAGUCUUGGAAGGUGAUGCCUGACGAGACCAAGAUGGAGGUUCGCGGCCAGUUGUCAGUAUGUAGGCCUUUUAAUUCUUUUUCUUUCAAAUUUUAUAUUUCUAUUAUUUAAAUGUAUUUAAUUAAUUUAUUGCAGACGAACUACAACUUGGAGGACCUGGACGACGAGUCGUUGGCGUACAUCAACAGACUCUUCUCUGAGAGGUACAAAUAGUGGAAGAGCGACUUGCACCACUAUUUUGAGGCGUUUGAUGAUCCAGAAGUCUCUCUUCAGGAGGGUUGCCCGAAGGAGCUUGAGGGGCGGGAGGAUAGUUGGGCGUGGCUCUGCUCUCAUUUUCAGGCGCCCGCUUUUGUGGUAAUUUGUAAUAUGAAUUUCAAAUUUAUUAUAUUUUUCUUACUAAUGUUUUUUUAAUGUUUUAUAUUUAAUUUCAAUUUCAACUAAUACGUUUUAUUUUUUGUAUAACAGAAUAAAGCCAAAGUCAAUAAGGGCAAUAGGAAGAAGAAGACUCUUCUCCAUCAUUCGGGUUCCAGGCCCUUCUCCUAUAGGAUGGAUGCAUGGCGGCAGGUAAUCAUAAAAAAAAUUUUAUUUAAUUUUUAAUAUUUAAUUAUUCUUAAUUUAUUUUUUUGUACUAAUAUUUUUCUUCUCUUGUUCAAUUUAGGGGGGUCCAAAUUCCCAGAGAUCGACGUCUUUGGCGACGUUUAUGUUCGACCUGGGAAUGAGUUGGGCGAGUCCCUUCAUGUAAGUAUUAUUUAAUUUUAAUUAUUAUGUUACGCAUUCAAGUUUAAAGGUUAUUAUAUGAAUGUUUUAAUUUAUAUUUUAUGUUAUGCUAAACAGAUGACGAUGGUGGAGAGGAGCCAGUUGGUUCUUCAAGAGUCCGCCUCCCAACUUCCUUCCGAUACUCCGAUCGAGUCUGUGGAUCCUCCACAGGAUGCUGGGUUUCAGAUCUUGACGGAGACAUUGGAUCAGACUCUAGGGAGGAGACCGGGGAUAUAUUGUCGAGGGAUGGAGAAUGCCAGGCGGAGGGAAGCCAGACCCCGUUCAUUAGCGCAGUCAAGCAGUCAGGUCACUGCUUUGACAGCACAGGUGGCCACUCUUCAGAGUCAGAUGUCGGACAUUCUGCAGUCCCUCGCACAGUUCGGCAUUCCAGUCCCGCAUUUUGAUGCGCCGACCUCUGAGCCCGUCCAUCCUGAGCAUCCCCACCAGACGACGGCCCUUGUAGACCCCCAGACCUCUGAACCGCAUGUGCCAGACGACAAUGUAGAUUUUGGAACAUUAUGAUUAGUUUUUUUAUUUUCAUAAUUAUUUUUUAAAUAUUUCUCUUGCAGCAUACAUUUAUUUUAUAUAAUAAAUAUGUUCUUUACAAUUCUUUUUUUUAUUGGAAUUUCAUUUUAUUACCCAAAAAAAAAAAACCAAAUUUAUUUUUUUAUAAAAUAAAAUAAAAAGUAAUAUUAAAAUUAAAUAAUAAUUAUAUAUAUUAAUUUUGCGCGACGAAAUCUUUCUCGUCGCGCAAAUUUAUAUAUUACGAAAUAAAAAUGUUUCAUUUUUUUAAAUACAUAUAAUUUAUUCUUGCGCGACGAAUAUUUUCGUCUCUCAAAAAGGAUUUGCGCGACAACAGUUUUUCGUCGCGCAAAAUGUGUUGACACGAAUUGCACGACGAAGAUAUCUUUGUGCCGCAAAUAUCUACGACACGUAUUGCGCGAUGAAAAUGUUCGUCGCGCAAAAAACGUAUGCGCGACAACAAUGUUUCGUCGCGCAAUACGUGUAGACAUGAAUUGCGCGACGAAGAACUCUUGGUGCCGCAAAUGUGUACGAGACGUAUUGUGCGACGAAUAUUAUUCGCCGCGCAUCGUUGUGGCGACGAACCCGCUUUCGUCGCGCAUAAGUUUGUGCGACGAACUAUUGCAUCGUCUCUGAACCUUUUGUGCAACGAAGGGUAACCGUCGCACAAAUUUGCGCGACGAGUGAUACAAUCAGUCGCGCAAAGUCUUUCUUCACCAUCUUUGCACCACAGAUUACGCGCGACGAAUUUUCUGUCGUGCUUGAGUUUGUGCGACCAAAUUUAACUCUGCGCGACGAAAUUGGCUUCGUCGCGCAAAUCGUAAAAUGUAGUAGUGGAAGUUAUCAACAUCUAUAGGAACCCCAAUGAAAAGGCUGUUAACUAAUAAUGAAGUAAACCCCUCAAUGUUUCCGCGUAUCAGAUAUCUCUCAGAAUAUGCGAUUCCAUACUCAAUAAGCAACUCCACAUCCCCUGAGGUUUUCACCAAACCACCCAUUAAGGAAACAUACUGACUCAUGUGUAAUUAUCAUUACUCAUCGGGUAAUGCAAUUGUUCAAAGGCAAGGACAUUUCUCAUUAUUUCUGUAGUGAACCCCAAUGGAAAUGGUGGGAUCUUCAGAACCCCAUUGGUGCUACUGAAUUGUAUGUCAAAUAUGUUUUCACCUUGUCGCGCCUCAAACUUGACUCCAGCGUGCUGUAAUUCUGUCAAGCUGGGUAUGGAUGAUGGGAGUUCCCCUCCAGCUUUUGAUUCCAACGGUUGAUAGAGUUUAAAUAUUUUCCUGUAAAGAUCAACAAUAUGUGCCACUGAUCUAAAAGUCUCCAAAUUGUCUUCCAUUUUGUCAACAGGCAAUAGAUGUUCGAAGAAACUGAAAGAAAGACUAAUUAUUGAAAGCCCCUCAGUAAUGCAGUUAUUGUCAGCAUCAGCAGGGAGUGUAAUUUUCUGUGGGUCGAAAAGAUCCUCGAGAAUGAAGAAUGGCAACUGAUUUUCAAGCAACCACAUAUCUGUCCAUACAUCUUGCAACAUACCUGGUUUGUCAAAUAUGCGGUCAUUUUCAUCCCAAAAUUUGAAGUAGUCCUUCAAUAAGAGCUCAAUAACGAAGGCGGCAUCCACUAGAAUGAUUGUUACAAAUUCAUCACUGCUAAACUUGAUGGGUUCUCCAUAACAACGUCUCAAUCUUGCUUCGUGGUCCUUUAUUUUCUUAAUAUAAUCCUCCAAACUCACAUUGGUCCGACCUAUAAAAUCUUGCAGGUAUCUCUGUUUGUGCUCUUCCUAUACGACAUUCAAGCCUUCCUUUCCAUGGUGAAGUGGGCCUAUAGAGACCACCUGAGGUGUGCAGAGCUUUUCAUUCACACUUCGUAGUCGUUGAGGAACUCUGUAGAUACAGCACUUGGAGGAUGGGGGAGACAAGCUAUUGAACCCUUUUCUCAUCGAAUUUGCUAAUGAAAUGUAUGGGUUUUCUAUGUCAUUUUGAGCAGAUUGAUGGCUUCCUGCCAUUUUCCAGCUCCUGACUAUAUGUGGUGUUCCGAUUGUAACAGAUUACAAUAAUGAUGAGUAUGGAUAACUGAAUUACUGAUAAAACAAUCAAGAAACAUUUCGUUAUUUUCCAUUCCCAAUAACGAAAUCAAAAUGUUCAAGGAAAUAUAAUCAGGAUAUUGCAAUUAUAUAGCCAUUCAUAAGCUGCCUGGCAUGGAAUAAGAGGUGGAAACCAAAUCUACUUAUUGGCCAAAGUUCGAAUUCACUAUAUAUAGAUAUAUAUUUUGCCAAAAUCUAAAACUGACCAACCUUAGAUACAAAAACACGGUACAGCCCGGUUAAAGUAAUUCCAAGUGCGAAGAAAGAAAGGAAUUGAGCGUUUGUACCUCUACAGCUAGCCAAAUUUUCUAUUGAUUCUUUAAAUUUUAGAGAGCAAUUACUCUUAAUUUGGUAGGUGUAGGACUGUGCAACUUCAAGCUUUAAUGAAAGAAGCCAAGUUUAUUCUAAGGGGACAAGUCAGAGACAACGAAAUUUUGCUCAGCUUCAUUUUCAAAUUUGCUGCUUAAGAAGGAAAUUUAAUAUGUUUGUUUCACAAAUUGUAUUGUCAUCAAUGAAACUCGUGCACACCCAACGAAAUUUGCAUGGCUUAUUUUCAAAGGAGUACUGCUAUUUCCAUCCUCUGUCCUAUUUUUCCACUCACCUUAUCUUCAAAAUUUUAAAGACAAAAAUAAACCCCUUUGUAAAAUGCUUAAAAAGAAAUUUAAUAUGUUUGUUUCAAAAAUUGAUAUUGUCAUCAAUGGUUAAAGAAUUGCUGGUGACAACAUAUACUUCUUUUCUACUGUAUUAAUUUCUUUCUUUAUUUUUUCUUCAGUAUAGUUCUGCCUUUCUUUUACAUGUUUAUGCGCAUAUUUGACACGUUCAAGUAUACUUAUAUAACAAAUGCAAUGAGUUUGUAGUCACAAAAAUCAAGGAUUGAAAACAAAAAGUAAUAUUAUGUGCAAGAGAAACUUACCUGCAGAAACUGAAGAACUCCUCUAGUUUCUUCUCUGUCGCUAUGUACUCCCGCGUUCAAGUUAUUAUUCUUACAAUGUACAUACACUAUUAUAUAAUGGCGAGAAGGCUCUGAUUAACCUCCUUUUUGCUUCAUUGGAUGGGGCAAGAAUGGAAUUGUCACCGUGGGUGUGGAGGUGAUCUACCAUUUGAGCAAGAAAUUCCCACAUAUUCUUUAACUAUUUUUCAAGCAUGCAUAUUCCUCCCUAUCAAUCUUUGGUCUCUUCUUUUACUAUUUUUCAAGCAUGCAUACUUUGAUUUUAAAUCAUCUUUUCCGCACUAAUUUGCUUCAAUCAAGAAACAGUUAAUAUAUUUUGUAUCAUCAUUAGAGAACACUUGAAACUGCAUAAGUUAAUUUUGAAGAUGAUGGCAGAACCAAAAUGUGUAUAGCUUAUAACUAUAAUUUCUUGAUUACAACAAGAGGUUUCAAGUUUUCAACAACACAAAUAUGAAUCUCCCAAGCAAAGAUAAACAAUAAAGCAAGCAUACGGAUUGUCAAAUUGCCUUCAAUCACUCUAAAAUACUUCAUACCGUCCGACACUGGCUUCAAUUACUCUACAAUACUUCAAUUCAUAUAUUGUCCUAUUUUCACAUGUACAUCCUGCUUUUACUUAAGGGUUAAUUGUUGAUUUACCCCUUGAACUUGUACUCUACUUUCAAUUUGCACCCUCAACUUUUUUUUUUGAAAAUUAGGUGCAUGAACUAAUUUUUAUUGCCAAUUCCCCCUACCAACAUGUCAUCUAAUAGUCUGUCAAAUCAUUAAAAAAUAUAAUAUUUUUGGAAAAAAUUAAAGAAAAAAAAAUUCCUAAGGACCCACAGACCCAGAACCCACCCUCCGUUGCCCCCGCUUGCUGUUUUCUUCUCCUCCCAGUCCCCCAUGACCACCACCCUCCACUGCCACACCAAUCCCCUACCCAACAGACCCCUCACCCCUUCUUUUUUUUCACCCCCGAACCCAGCAUGAGUUAUUGGUUAAUACCAUUUUCUUAAUUGCCAAAUAAAAAAAAAAAACAGAGUUAACCCUCUGUUAAGCUAGCUGACUAGUGGGGCGAAAUGGAGGAAAAUCAAUAUGGAGACAGCGGAUCCGGUCCCGUGUAAGUGUAUCUGAUGGAAUAAAAGAAUGAUAUUAUUGGUGGUGGGUACGGUUAUGUGGAAGUAAUAAUGGGUAAGAGAAGAAACUUGUUCUCUUGUGAUAAUCAAAAGACAGAAAGUAGUGGGAAAAGACAGAAAGUAGUGGGACACUAUUUUAGAUAUGAUAAUGUUCCUUCCUUGAUUGAUGCAAAUGAAGAGAAAAGGGUGGCUUUAUAUAAUAGCCACUACCGACCUAACACAUUAAAAACACAACUAACACCAAACAUAGUUAAUUCAACUAACUUCUACCACACCAUUAAUUUAACACACAACUACUAACAAACUGCCAACUAUUUCAAAGUUACCAGCCGACUAUUAAUGAAGUCUAGAUUACUUUAACAUCCUCCCUUAAGCUAGACUUCAUUUACGCCAAUUAAUUUUCUCAUCUUGAUGAGCGGCUCUUUCUUCAACGGUUUGGUGAACAAAUCUGCCAGCUGAUCUUGGGACUUGCAAUACAGAACCUCAACUUCUUUAUCUUUGAUUAGCUCUCUGAUGAAAUGGAACUUGAUCUUGAUGUAACACCCCGACCCCAAAUUUUCCCAAAUUUUACCCUUAUUUAAUUAUUUAAUUAUUUAAGGGUAUUUUAGUCAUAUUUUUAACCGGAGAGAGUUUGGGACCGUGACUAGUAUUUUUGGAUAGGUCGAGCUGAGACGAGUUCAUAGACACGUAGUGGGCUCGAAUCGGAGUUGUAACGAGAGAGAUAUGGUCAAAAGAAGCCCAGUGGCACAAUCGUAAAUAUUUCGAAAUGGGAUUUUUUAUAAAAACUCAAAUUUUUCUCUCUCUCUCUCUCUCUCUCUCUCUCUCUCUCUCUCUCUCUCGCGACUCCUCUCUCUCUCUCCCGUCGGCCUCUCCUCUCUCUCUCUUCGUAACUCCGGCCACCGGCCGCGGCUGCGGACGGGGCCGGUGUCAAAAGAACCGGCUCGACCUCGGCAUCACGACCCAGCCCAUCCCCGCCAUCGGCCGCCGCUCCAGCCGCCGGAAAAUGGCGAUUUUCGCCCAGAUGUCGCCGGAACUUCAACGCCGUCGAUCUCCCUCCUCCGGCCACCAAUUCCGUCGACCCAGGUAUGGAUUUUGAACCUCUCGAGCUGCUCUAGCUGAUGGUUGGGUAGGAUUAGAUCGAUUCUUAGCGUAGAUCACUCGAUUUUCGAAUUGAAAAUCGGCCGAAACUUCGGCCGCCGUGAUCGGCCAUUUCCGGCCACUUUUUGGGGUAGGUCCAAGAACAAAAGUGGCUCCAAAUAGGGUGUUAUACCUAGGGUAGGAGUUUGGAGCCGUGGUUUUGAGAUUUUCCGGCGGAGCGUUAUCGCUUUGGGCACCCACGCGCUGCUGGCGCGUGCGGCGGAGCGUGGGCACUGUAUAAAAAGUAGCGAUGUAUUCCGAUGAGAUCCUUAGGUUGUCACGAGUGCGUAGGAUUUUGCGGAUCUCAAUUCGGACGUCGUUUGACUAUCGAACGAAUAAUCGCAUAGUGUGCGUUAUCCGGGUUCGAUAGGUUGGGACCGUUGGAUGGUCCCAAAUUUAAUAUAUGUUAAUCUAGGUAUUUCUAGGAUCGUGUAGGAAUUCACGGAUCGUGAAUCGGAACUCCGGAUGUUCCGAAUAAUAAUUUUAAGUUUAUAUUUUAUAUUAACCAUCAGAUCGUGCGAUCGUGAGCAAUCCGACCGUCCGAUCUGAACCAAACUUGCAGGACAAGUGUCCUACACCUGGUAGAACCCAUAGGGACUUCCGGAUCGGAAAUUGGAGGUCGUGGGUUCUGCAGGUCCGUUUGACCAGGGUUAGAGUAGUUUGACUCUUGGUUGACCGUGAGUCUCCCGGAGUAAUCUCACCCUUCCAGGGGGAAUUAUCGGGAGCUAGACUAUUGUGGAGGGUUACACAAUAUUAGAAUUAUUUAUAUAAAUUAUGUGGUUGUACAAGGGUACAACAGAGUCUAGAAUGUCAGUUUGGAGUGCUAUACGCACUACUCUAGGUACCUCCUCGGACUUUGGAAUUUCUACAAGUACCACCAAGUGAAAGUUAGGUCCCACGUGGCGUAGGUUAUCCGGCGUGUCGACAGACCCCAUACGUGGCGUUGGUUGUACCGGCGUAUGGGGAGAUUUGUGAUAUGAUAUUGAGGUCCCGCGUGGCGUAGGUUAUCCGGCGUUGGGACAGGCCCCAUACGUGGCGUUGGUUGUACCGGCGUAUGGGGAGAUAUUAUGAUAGUAUGGCAUGGUCGCACGUGGCGUAGGUUAUCCGGCGUGUCGACAGACCCCAUACGUGGCGUUGGUUGUACCGGCGUAUGGGGAGAUUUGUGAUAUGAUAUUGAGGUCCUGCGUGGCGUAGGUUAUCCUGCGUUGGGAUAGGCCCCAUACGUGGCGUUAGUUGUACCGGCGUAUGGGGAGAUAUUAUGAUAGUAUGGCAUGGUCGCACGUGGCGUAGGUUAUCCGGCGUGUUGACAGGCCCCAUACGUGGCGUUGGUUGUACCAGCGUAUGGGGAGAAUAUGUGAAAUACAGAGAAAUGAAAUAAGGUAUUGCCCAAGUGUGGAAUUGGGUUUUAGGGAAGAACUACUUAUGGCUUGAUCCCUCAAGGAGGGUACGUAGGCAGCCUAAGGUUAUUAGGUGCAGCCGCAGACUAAAUAUUAGUCAUAAAUUGUAAUUGAACUGUUUGGUAGUCGUUUGAGGAAGUAUUGAAAGGCCGAAGGCCAUUUGUGUGAAUUGCAUGAAAUUAUAUUGUGCAUGCUGCCAGUUGGGAAUAUUAAAUGCGUUUUUAUGCAGGUAUAAAUUUUGGGAAUGUCCAAUUUACAGGGGAGACUCUGCCAAAAUUUCGGCAGGAAGUCUCGGUUUUUAGUAAGUGGGCCUGGCAUCGGGGUGAUGUCAGGAAUUCCAAAGGGUUCGUCUCGGGUUUUGAGAAAAUUCGGGGCGGGUCCUUUCACUUGAUAUGCUUACUCUUGCUGUGAAACAUUGGAUUUUUGGAAAGACAAAUAGCUGAUUUGUUGUUGCAGAACAGCUUUGUAGGUCCUUCUUGAACUUGACCCAUCUCUUCUAAAAUACUUUUCAGCCACCUAGCUUGACAACCUGCUGAUGCAAGAGCAACAUACUCAGAUUCUGUAGUUGAAAGUGCCACUAUAGAUUGCUUUUUGGAGGACCAUGAAAUCGCACUUGAGCCAAUGCUAAAGACAUAACCAGAUGUGCUUUUGCAAGUAUCAACAUCUCCACCCAAGUCACUGUCACUGUAGCCAGUCAAAUUUAGAUUCUGAAUAGGAUAAUAAUGCAAACCAUAAUUGAUAGUUCCAACCACAUAUCUUAGGAUUCUCUUUCCAAGCUCCCAAUGAACAUCUUUUGGUGACUCCACUAAACGGCUGAGGAAGCUUACUGCAUAUGUAAGAUCUGGCCUUGUUGUAGUUAAAUACAAGAGGCCACCCACUAGACUUCGAAACAAAGUUUGAUUUACCAUUGUGCUUCCAUCAUUCUUACCUAUCUUAACACCAACCUCCAUUGGAGUAGCAAUUGACUUUGCAUUUUCCAACCUGAACCUUUUCAACAAUUCCUUUGCGUAUUUCUUUUGAGAAAUAUAGAUACCAUUCUCAUUUUGUUUGACUUCAAUUCCAAGAAAGAAAUGAAGCAAACCAAGGUCUGUCAUUUCAAAUCUUUGUGACAUAAUCAUCUUGAAAUUAUCACACAUUUGAGCAUUACUUCCAGUAAAUAUUAAGUCAUCCACAUAUAAGCAGACAAUCAAAAUCUCACCUUGAGAGUUCUUCUUGGUGUAAAGAGUAUGCUCAUAUGGGCAUUUGUGAAACCCAUACUCUUGGAAGAAUGCAUCAAUCCGACUGUACCAAGCUCUUGGAGCUUGUUUCAAACCAUAUAAAGCCUUCUUCAAUCUACACACUUUUGUUUCUUCAUUUCCCUGCACAUAACCUGGAGGUUGAGCAACAUACACUUCUUCUUCCAAAAAACCUUGCAAGAAUGCUGGUUUAACUUCCAUUUGAAAGACUUUCCAACAAUUUUGGGCAGCAAGAGCUAACACCAUUCGGAUGGUGUCAAAGCGUGCAACUGGAGCAAAAACUUCAUUGUAAUCAAUUCCAUAAUUUUGCUUGUAGCCUUUAGCUACCAAGCGAGCUUUGUAUUUCUCAACUUCUCCUUGAGCAUUCAGCUUGGUCUUAUACACCCAUUUUACUCCUAUAGGCUUCUUUCCUUGAGGAAGAUCAACCAGCUCCCAUGUGUCAUUUUUCUUAAUGGAAUCAAUUUCUUGAUCCAUAGCCUUCACCCAAUUUUCAUCCUUUGAAGCCUCUUCAAACAUAAUUGGGUCUGCAUCUACAAAUAGAGCAAAAUUUGUGCCACCAUUAGUGAUCAAAACAUAAUCACUAGAUGGGUACCUUGUGGAUGGUUGAUGAGCUCUUGUUGAUCUCCUUUGUCCUCUGCAAAUUUCUUCUUCCUCACUGCUAUCACUAGAAGAAGUUGAUGAUGACCCUUGUGAUGAAGAUUCCUAUGAUGAUAGAGUUGUUGGUGGAGUUAAAUCUGGAUUUUCAAGGCCAAUGUCCAACAGUAUUGGACUUUGAUUUUCAGCUUCACUCCAAUUCCAUGCUUCUUCUUCAUUGAACUUGACAUCACGACUAACAAUAAUCUUGUUAGUCAAUGGAUUAAACAACUUAUAUGCCUUGGCCUUUUCACUAUACCCAACAAGAAUGCACUUUUCUGAUUUGUCAUCCAAUUUUCUCCUUGUUUUAUCAGGAAUAUGAGAAUAAGCAAUGCUGCCAAAUAUCCUUAAGUGACUAAUACAUGGCUUGAGGCCACUCUAAGCUUCUUGAGGAGUCUUGCCUUCCACACUAUUGGACGAUGCACGGUUCAAGAGAUAUACAGCACAUGCCACUGCUUCUGCCCAAAAACGAUUAGGCAUUGCUUUUGCCUUCAACAUGCUUCUUGCCAAUUCCAUAACGGUCCUAUUUUUUCUCUCGGCCACACCAUUUUGCUGUGGGGUGUACCGAGCUGUGAACUGAUGCUUAAUCCCAUUUUCUUUUAGAAAAUUUUCGAACACAUUGGAUGAGAAUUCUCCACCUUGAUCAGACCGCAAGGUUUUCAAUGCAAAUCCACUUUGCUUCUCAGCCAAAGCUUUGAAAACUUUAAAGUAAUCAAACACCUCUGAUUUAUAUUUGAGAAAAUAGACCCAUGUCUUUCUGCUAUAAUCAUCAAUGAAUGUAAGAAAGUAGCGGUUACCUCCUGUUGAUGUUGUGUUCAUGGGCCCGCAUACAUCUGAGUGCACCAGCUCAAGAGGAUGGGAUGCUCUCCAAGAAUUUCCUGUAAGAAACGAAUUUCUCUGAUGUUUUCCCAGCACACAUGCUUCACAAACUUGUGUUUGAUGCUGUAUCGUUGGUAGGCCUCGUACCAUAUGUUGUUUCCCCAUCAAUGAUAGUGUAUUGAAACUCAAAUGCCCAUAGCGUAGAAGCCACAACCAUGAGGAAUCCUUGAUAAGUGCACUUAAGCAAGCAAAAGAUUCAUACUUUAUGUUCAGAGAAAACAUAUUGUCUCCUGACAUCUGCACCUUUGUAAUUAGAGAGUUGUACUUGUCUCUAAUUACACACUGGUCUUCCCUGAACUGAAUAUUAUGGCCUUUAUGAAGAAGUUGCCCCACACUAAGGAGAUUGUAAUUUAAAUCUGGAACAUAUAACACAUCAGAGAUUCUUUUUUGUUCUCCAGACUUGGAUAGAAAAAGAAUAUCUCCACAUCCUUUGGCCACUAGCUUUCCACCAUCACCAAUCCUUACUUCUGAGUUGUUGGUAUGCUUGAAAUUGACAAAGGCACUUUUGUUGCCUGUCAUGUGAUUACUACAUCCGCUAUCAAGAUACCAUUUUUCUGCACACACGUUUCCUUCCCUGGCAGCUGCAUAUGCAAGUAGAACCACAUUAUCAUUUUCCCUUUCAGAAGCUUUUUCAUGCACAAAGCUUGAUUCGGCUCCUCCAUUUGUUUUGUUUUUGCAUGUUGACUUGAUGUGCCCAUAUUGCUUGCAAUUGUAGCACUGAAUAUUAGAAAGAGAGGAACCUUGUUCUCUUCCUCUUCCUCUUGAAUAACCACCAUAAUCUCCUCUUCCUCUUGGAUAACCAUAAUCUCCUCUUCUUCUUGAAUAACCAUAAUCUCGUGCAGAGCCUUCAUCAUUAGUUUUUUUUAGGUCAUUUGCAUAGCCACGUCCUUGAUUAUUUCUUCCUCGUCCACGAGUAAAGCCGCCUCUUCCUCUUCUAGAACUUCCUCUGAAUGAGACUUGAGAUUGAAAAGCUUGCUCAACAGGGCCAGAGUCAAACUGCUUCAGUCGUAACUCAUGGGAUUGAAGAGAACCCAUUAAACUGUCAAGAGACAAAGUAGACAGAUCUUUGGAUUCUUCAAUUGCCACCACAAUAUAUUCAAACUUUCGGGGACAUACUUCGAAGAAUUUUUUCAGCAACUCUCUGAUCUUCAAUUUUUUCUCCAUUAAUUCUCAGUUGGUUGACUAGAGAAAUGACACGAUUGAAAUAGUCUUCAACAGAUUCUGACUCCUUCAUACGUAACAUAUCAAACUCACCUCUUAGAGUUUGCAGUCUUGCCAUCUUCACUUUAUCUUCUCCUUUAUAUGAUGCAAAGAGAGUGUCCCACGCCUGUUUUGAUGUAAUGCAUGAUGAGAUUCUUUCAAAGAUAGCUUCAUCCACUGCUUGAAAGAUAAAGAAUAAAGCUUUUUUGUCCUUCUUACGUGUCUCCUUCAGCUCUGUGAGUUGUUGUUGAGUGAGGACUGCUUGAUCAUUUGGCUCCACAAAGCCAUUUUCAACCACCUCCCACAAAUCUUGAGCAGCAUACAACACCUUCAUUUGGAUGCUCCAUUGACUAUAAUUCUUCCCUGUAAACUUUGGAAGCUGGGGCUGUAACAAGUUGUUGUUUGAAGCCAUAUGAUUCUGAGUUUCCAGCUCUGAUACCACUUUGAUGGAAUAAAAGAAUGAUAUUAUUGGUGGUGGGUACGGUUAUGUGGAAGUAAUAAUGGGUAAGAGAAGAAACUUGUUCUCUUGUGAUAAUCAAAAGACAGAAAGUAGUGGGACACUAUUUUAGAUAUGAUAAUGUUCCUUCCUUGAUUGAUGCAAAUGAAGAGAAAAGGGUGGCUUUAUAUAAUAGCCACUACCGACCUAACACAUUAAAAACACAACUAACACCAAACAUAGUUAAUUCAACUAACUUCUACCACACCAUUAAUUUAACACACAACUACUAACAAACUGCCAACUAUUUCAAAGUUACCAGCUGACUAUUAAUGAAGUCUAGAUUACUUUAACAGUAUCGAAUCUAGCUUUAAUAUGUAUUGGGUCCUCUGGACAAGAAUUCUAUCCUUUUCGUCCUAACUAAUAUGUAGGGGAAAAACAAUACAUCAAUUAUCCUUUUCGUCCUAACUAAUAUGUAGGGGAAAAACAAUACAUCAAUUAUGAAUUUUUUUUAUCUGGGUUCGAAAUUAAAUAUGAAUGGAGUUUUGGAGGCUUAAAAGUUAUAAGCUCAAGAAAGGAAGGAAACUAUAUGUACAUUUGGGUCGGAGGCAAAGGUCCAGUCAUCUACCGUCCAGGAUAUACAGUAUCAAAAAAGGCUUAAGAAUUGUAAUAAGGUGACAUACGCCCACAUACGGCCAACGCUAGCAUAUUUCGUAAGUGUAUUAUAUGUCUUCUAAGUAUAUCAUAGUUAUGUGUCAAUUUUAGAUCCAAUUGCACACCCAAAAUACAGAAACAAAAUCAUUGAGAAUACACUUUUUUUCACUUAUAUUUUGAAUAUGCAUUGCCUGUAUUUCAUGUGUAUGAUAUAGGGGCUUCACUUAUAGUUUUUGCACAAAACCUCCCUUGAUGAAGGAUGUCUUAGAUUAAUGACAUCAAUGAUUUGUUACAUUUGGAGUACCCAACAUAACAGCUCUCUGAUUAACAAUAAAGUUAUAAAAUUUCAACAGUUUCAUACCUAACAAGCAUAGAGAAACAAAUAAAACAACCACAUUGCUUCGAUCACUGUACAUGCACACAGCUCACUUUCACUAACUACAGAGGCUAUAUUUUCUACAUAUACACUAACUUUUUCUUUCUCCAGCUCUCUUACACCACCAGGCUGGUGACAAACCCAGCUCGCGUCAUGUGGAGGACCAAAAGGAAAUGACAAGGAGAAAACGGCUAAGGAGAGACUUACUCUCAACACUUAGAAGGCAGAGCAGAGAUAACAGAGCACACUGCUUGUAUAAAAGUGAGUAUGAGGAGAAAAAUAGCGGUAGCAAUUGAAAUAGUUGCCCAAGGUGUGUUGCAAUAGUUUUGUCUCAAGUUUGCCUGCCAUUUGUGCCAAGACGUUCUGCAGUACUUGUUGAGGUCUGCACAAAGAAUAGCAAAAUAGAAGUCAUUAGAGUCCACAAUGACCCCAUCUGCAAGGUUGUUGAUCAGAGUAGACCCUCCACUACUGUCACCGAGCAUAUUUUCGACGAUUCCUUGCUUAACAACCAACUCCACAUCCGUUGCGGUGUUCACAAAGCGAUCCACGAUGACAACAUAAUUGUUUAUGUAAUUCUCCAUGCAAUGGCAUUGUUCAAAGGCAAGGAGGUUUCUGAUUGUAAGCUCUGUCUCAUCACUUAUUGCUAAUUUUGGAAUUUCUAGAAUCCCAUUAGCGAAUUGUAUGUCGAAUAAGUUUUUGGGUGAUCCCACCUUAAACUUGACUCCUGCUCUGUGUAACUCUGUGAUGCUGGAUGUGUUUAAGAGUUUCAAGUCGCCCCUUAGCAGGUGGUUUCAAUGGUAGAGGUAGAUACAAAUUUCUACAAAAAUCUACAAAGUGUUCUACUUUAGAAGUACAUAAUUUCUCCAUAUUGCCAUCCGUUCCCUCUAUGUGCAUUAGAGUUUUGAAGAAAUUGUGGCAAAGGUUAAGCAUCGAAAGCCUCUCAAUAUUGUUAUUGUUAGAAGAGACUUUGAUUUUUUCGGGGUCAAAAAGUUCCUCAAGAAUGAAGAAUGGCAGCUGAUUUUCAAACAACCGCAUGUCAGGCCAUACGUCUGGCAACAGCCAUGGUUUGUUAAAUAUGCGGUCAAUUUCAUCCUGCAAUUCAUCGAAACGAUACCUCAACAAGACCUCAAUGAUGAAGGCGGCAUCCACUAGAAUGAUUCUCACAAAUUCAUCACUGCUAACCUGAAUGGUUUCUGCAUAACAACUGCGCAGUUUUGCUUCUUGGUCUUUUACUUUCUGUACAUAAUCGGCUAGGCUUACCCUGGUCCGACGUAUAUAAUCUUGUAAGUACCUCUUUUUGUGAUCUUCCAUGGCUUUUAGGCCUUCCUCGCCAUGAUGAAGUGGGCCUAUAGAGACUACCUGAGGUGUGUAGGCCUUUUCACUCACACGCCGUAGUCGUUCAGGAACUCUAUAAAUGCAACACAAGGAGGAGAGGGAAGACAAGCCAUCCAACUCCUCACUCAUUGAAGUUACUAAUGGAAUGCAAGGGUUUUCAAUAUCAUGUGGAGCUUGAUCGCUUCCUUCCAUUUUCCGCUGAUGUGUUUGUUGUUGUCAAUCAUAAUGGAUGAUAAUGAAAUGAUAGUCACUGACACAACAAUAAACAAAUUUUUCAAGAUGGCUGAGAAAAUUAAUACAAACAUUGCAAUUAUAAGACCAAACACACAAAGACUUUUGAUCCUUGUAACUCUUACAUACCACACUAGUGCCUUAAGAAUUCGAUUUGAAUGCACCAAAUUCAUUCAAAACUCUUCUGGUCAACUCUGUUUCUUGUAAUUAUUCUUGGAAGAUUCUAAUACAUUUUUGAUUGAAAAAUUCCUACUAAUCAUGUGAAUCAGUACCAAAGUUUAUUUCAAAUUAACAUACAAACCCCACUUUUUUUUUCCUACAUAUAUACUUCUUUAUUUCCCCUCAACUUAUUGGAGCUUCUAAUAAAGCAAAUUCUUUCUGUGAUGAUAUCAGAUAGUAGAUUAUGCUUCCAGUCAAAACAUAGACAAACCAAAAUCCCAUUAGAAGAGAAGAAAAUAAUAUACGACAUUCACAUAACCUUCUGCUCAAUUCCAAUUUCCAACUACAAUGAAACAUAAGACACUUAAAAGCUUCAAGAAAUUGGAUGUGCAAGCAAACAUAGCGAAAUUAUGAAAGACAGAGAAAGGUGUUGGGCAUUGAAAACAUACCUGAUACGUAUUGAAACACAAUUUUUUUUUGCCUUUGGUAGAUGGAGUAGCUAGAAAAGCUCAAUGCACUUGCUCUUCUGCUACAUUUCAAUAUAAGAACAUUGUUUGGAAGUCCGGUCAAUUCCUCAAAGCUUCCUUGCCUUUGUUUUGACAUGCCGAUGCCCGUCUUGGGGAAGUUUGAAUAAUCCAUUGCAGGCCCCAUGAUAGGAUUUUUAGUACUUGUGCAAACAGUGUUAAAAAUCACAUAAAAUACUUGCAAGAAUACAAGGCUAUUGUAGUAUAGAUGCUCAUGCAAGGUCGUUUUCCUCAAGGACUAAUUAGCAAUUUAUGUAAAAACAAAUUCCAAUUACUACUUAAAAUAAAAAGUCAAGAAAGAUGAUUAUAAAUUUGGUGGAUUCUAAAAAACAAAUAUUAAACAAAAACAAAUACGAUUGAAAGAAAGAGUUUUGAAUAUCAAUUUAUAAAAACACUAGGGUUUCACCAUCACCUAGCAAUCCUAUGAACUUUUACCAAUUACUUAUGAUUUGCACAUGCCACUUUGAAGGUUAGGUUUUCCUAAUGUAUAUUCUACUUGGAACCUCCAACACAGAACGUAUAUCCAACAUGCAACCCGUCCGGACGUUCGGAUCAAAUCUGAACAUGAAAGACUCAUUAAGUUUUGUGAAAACCCUUUGAAAAACCAUGCAACCCUUAAGACGUGGUGUUCAUCUUAAGUGAAAUUACAAUUAUUAAUCACAAGAAGCUAGCAUAAAUUUCAGGGAACCUUCCGACCAAAAUUGCAUCCAAUUACUUUUCUAAAGAUCCUAAUGGUGAUCAGGCAUUAAGACAAUUAGAUAGUUUAAAAUAGUGAUUAACAAUUCAAAAUACGCAUGCACUCAUCAUAAGCAAUUAAAUAAAAAUCACAUAUUCAUGCUAAGGUUCAAGGCUUCACCCUAGCAAAAGAAAUUUAGUUACGCAUACUCAUAAUUGAAAUCCAAGAAAAUAUCAUUAAGAAGAAAAGAACGAAAACACCUGAAAGUUGUGAAAACCCAAAACCCUAGCAAUUGCUCUCUACAAUGCAAAGUUCAAAAAUAAUUAAGAAGUCCUAAAUUCCUUGUGAGAAAGAGCUUAAAUAUCCCUUAAAACCUAGCUGCCAAUGUACAGCUUUUCUAUCCCUACAAGGAAACUAAUUAAAGUAAAAUAAUACUAGGAAAUAAAGUCCAAAUUGGAAUAGGAGAAUUUGCCCAAAAUCAGCCCAGCCACGUUUUGGCCCCAAAUCUCCUCCAAAUCUGGCCCAAGAUAGCUUUUUUUAAAGACACUACUACAAAAAGUGAAAAAGACGACCAGAAAACAACGACGGUCUAAGUGAAAACCGUCGUGGUUUUUAAAAAGACGACGGUUCUAAAAACACCGUCGUGUAAUACCACCUUAGACAACUAAAAAAUGGAGAUUCAAAUGGCUGUUCAAAAACAACGACGUACCUAAUUAAACAACCGACGUCUAUUUGAAACAGAUUUCCGCAGUGUAAAAUCAAAGCAAACAAAGAACGGCAGAAGUUAUGAAUAGACCGACGUAGAAAGUAAAGACGACGAUUUCAAUAAAAGCCGCCGUUUUUACUCAUAAAAUAACACGACGAGGUUUUCGUAUAAGACGCCGUAUAAUUACAAACAAAUCCACGGCUUUAAAAUACAAAAUAAUCUUAACAGAUGACACAGAUUUGCAAUCAGAGAGACAAUUUUUUGGAAGUUGAUCAACGUCGUUGAAAAUUUGCAAUCAGAGAGACAAUUUUCAACGACGGUUAUAUUAUACCUAACGACGUUUAAAAACAAAUCAACGUCGCUCAACAAAUAUAUUACGUCGUCUUAGUCUUACUUAAGACGACGAAAAACGACGACAGUAGUAAAAAAACAGUCGUUGUUUUUAUAUUCUUAUUUUAUUUAAAUCUGUCGUGUUAGUUAAAAACGACGGCAUAACAAAAAACCGUCGUUUUGUUUCAAACUGAAUUAAUUUAAAAUUUCUUCAGGAAAGCAAAAUCUAUUUAUAAUUUCCUCGGGUUAGUAAUAUUGUGUCGUGUUAGUUUACAAAUUCUAGAACAUUAAUUUCCCUCAUUUUAAAUUUUCUCGGGAAAGAAAAAUCUAUUUAUCACGCUUUGUAAUUGAAAACUAAAACUGAAAGAAUUCUGGAAAAAAAACUCUAUUUAUAAUUUAAAAAUAAAAUGCACGUCGGUUGUAGUACACUUAACGACGUUUAACAAAAUAAUCUACGUCGGUAAUUAUAAAUCUACCGCCAUCUUACCCUAAUAUAGACGACGAGAAAAGACGACGGUAGAACAGAAAACCGCCGUUGUUUCAGUUUCUUUAACAGUUUGGUCCUUUAUCUUUCUGCAGGACUUGUAUAGUUCAAAGCAUUGACAAUGUCUUCAUCAUAUCUCCCAGCAACUACUGAUUCGAUUGCUCAUGCUUUAGAGGCCAUCUGAAGCCAUUUCUAUUCUUUAUCGCAUUCUUGAAACCCAUCUUCUUCUUCUGAAGCUCUACGGAUAAAGGAANNNNNNNNNNNNNNNNNNNNNNNNNNNNNNNNNNNNNNNNNNNNNNNNNNNNNNNNNNNNNNNNNNNNNNNNNNNNNNNNNNNNNNNNNNNNNNNNNNNNNNNNNNNNNNNNNNNNNNNNNNNNNNNNNNNNNNNNNNNNNNNNNNNNNNNNNNNNNNNUUUUUUUUGGGGUUGGUUUUUUAUAGUAACCAGUUAUAACAGUAGUGGUUGUGCAAUGUUUGGUUCCCUUAAGCUUCGAUCCAACCGUGUAGCCAGCUUUAGGUCAAUGUCUCCCAAACCACUCGGGUUUUAGGGCACUAGGUGUAGAACACCCCUAAGGACUUAUUAACUCAAGCUGAAAAGGCUACGAAACCAACUAACCACCCUGCCUCAUGCCAAAACUCUACCUUUUGUCUCGAAAAUCACUGCUGAUUAGGCAGGACUGGCCCGGUUACUAGCAAAGCUUCGGGUGAGGCAAUUAUUACUUUAUAACACAUACUAACUUUAUUUAAAUUGAACAGAAAUUAAAACACACUUGGACAAAAAGUAAGUAUUCCAAUCUCACUCCCCAAAAACCAUAUUGGUGUGAUGUGCAAAUUUCAAAGUAUAAUUCAUGAAUUAGUGUCUAAGCAACAAUAAAUAGAAAAGACUCUACUGUGGGAUUGAUUUUCACUAUGUCCAUUUAUUCUAACGUUUAAAAUAAUCUAUGGAUAUUGACUGAAAAACGAAAAUUUUAAACAAGACUUAAAAAAAACUAAAAAUCUAAAAUUUACUUUCCCACCCCCUAACUUAAAUCACACAUUGUCCUCAAGGUGUGGUAAAUAAUCAAAAGAAACAAGAGCAGAAACAAAACGACUAAAUCCUAGAAAAUGAAAAUCAAAAAUAAAGAAAAUACUCUAAGAAAAGAAACUAGGAAGGAAAAAUAGAAGAAUAAUAAAAUAAAAUAAAAUAAGAAAGAAAAGGAGAAAAACAACAAUAGAAAAGAAAUAGGAAAGAAAAUACCCAAAAAUGAGACACCUUGGGGAUUCAAAGGCAGGACCAGGCGGAGUGUUGCGAAAAAGCGCUGACCAACUCAACCACGUCCACACUGGCAUCAAAUAGGAGCGACAGCUACAAUAUAACCUGCUGUAGCUGCUGCAUCUGUCAUUUGAAAAAUAUUGGAUUCCCUUCUCCUACCCCGAGCUCAGAGCCGAAAGGCUCUCUUCUGUCCAUUCCCAUUUUGCAGAAGAAAAAAGAAUAUUGCUGGAUAAACCAAAGCCUCCGCUGUGUCCAGAGAAUCAGAAAAGGUCUCUGAUUUCUCUCUUCUCAAGGCCAUCCAUCUCCGCCUUCACUCUUCUUCAUUCUCUCCAACACUCACGAUCCUUUCCUCUCUUUCAACCCAAUUACACCAGCGUUUUCAUCUGCGUGAGGAGGCCACAUUUGCAGCAAACACAACCAGUGAGGUUGAAUUAUCUGAUGCACCUGAAUUUUUGGAUGGUUUUGGAGUCCCUAGAUUCCUCAAAUUCAGAUCUGUCUCCAUCCAUGUCACCAGAUGCUAACUUGUUCCAAGAUGAAAACAAGCUGAAGCCGAACAAGAGUCUAUUCUCCACCAGUAAGGACCCCAGAUCUGUGCAUCCCGUAGGUAAACUUUCGAACCCCAGAACUGGUUUUUUUUUUUUUUUUUUUCCGUUUUUUUUUUGUUUUGAAAAUAAAAGAAGUAAAGAGUUUAGAAAAAUUGGGUUGCCUCCCAAUAAGCGCGCUAUUUUAAGUCUGUAGCUAGACUUUGCAGAAGCCUGGUGGUCAAAUCACUGGUUCCUUCAGAGUCAAAGACUCGGCUGCAAUGUCAAAGGGUGUCUCCACGUAGGGUUUUAGCCUAUGACCAUUCACCUUGAACGUGUUGCCUUUAUCUUCAUUAGUGAUUUGAACUGCUCCAUGAGGAAAAACUUGAGUCACUAGGUAGGGUCCAGUCCAGCGAGAUUUUAAUUUCCCUGGAAACAACUUGAGCCUUGAACUAAAUAACAGAACCUUUUGCCCUGGCUGAAAUUCCUUCCGUAAAAUUUGACUGUCAUGAAAUGCCUUAGUUCUUUCCUUGUAGAUGCGAGAACUAUCAUAAGCACCUUGACGAAUUUCCUCUAGCUCAUUUAACUGCAAUUUCCGCUUUUCCCCAGCUGAGUCAUAUGCAAAAUUUAACUCUUUAAUGGCCCAGUAAGCUUUAUGCUCCAGCUCCAUAGGUAGAUGACAGGCUUUCCCAUAAACAAGUCGGAAUGGUGACAUCCCAAUAGGAGUUUUAUAAGCUGUCCUGUAUGCCCACAAAGCAUCAUUUAGUUUGAAACUCCAAUCCUUGCGUGUAGAGCUCACUGUUUUCUCCAAAAUACGCUUUAUUUCUCUGUUUGAAACUUCAACUUGACCAGAUGUCUGUGGGUGGUAUGGUGUAGCCACGCGAUGAUUAAUCCCGUAUUUUGCCAGUAGGUUAGCAAAUGGUUUAUUAAUAAAAUGCUUCCCCCCAUCACUAAGAAUAACACGCGGUAUUCCAAAACGUGGAAAUAUAACCCCCUGGAGGAACUUCAGGACCACUGAUCCUUGAUUAGUUGGUGCUGCAAUGGCCUCGACCCAUUUUGAAACAUAUUCCACAGCCACUAAAAUAUAUUGGUGCCCAUUAGAAGAUGGGAAUGGCCCCAUGAAAUCAAUACCCCAAACAUCAAAUAGUUCAACAAUUAGGAUACUUUGUUGGGGCAUUUCAUUCCUUCUGGAUUGAUUGCCGACCCUUUGACACCGAUCACAUGCCUUGCACCAAUUCUGUGAAUCUCUAAAAAGUGUUGGCCAAAAUAACCCACUCUGUAGGAUUUUCUCUGCUGUCCUUUUCUGCGCAAAAUGUCCUCCUCAAGCAUAGUGAUGAGCAAACUUUAAAACACUUUCUUGUUCAGCCUCCGGAAUACACCUGCGAAUAAUCUGGUCUGCACAAUACUUGUAUAAGUACGGUUCAUCCCAGAAAUAGUGCUUUACAUCAGAUAAAAACUUCUUUUUCUGCUGGUAGGAAAAAUCUGGAUGCACCACACCCUUAGCCAAAUAAUUGACAAUAUCUGCAAACCAAGGUGUGUCAAUUUUGACAGCAAAUAGCUGUUCAUCUGGGAAACUUUCACUCAAUGGUAGAGAAUCUGCCUCUGUAGCUGCUGGAAUAAUUAAUCUAGAUAAAUGAUCAGCCACAACAUUCUCACUGCCCUUCUUGUCUUUAAUCUCUAAGUCAAAUUCUUGAAGUAAGAGAACCCAACGAAUCAAUCUAGGCUUUGCAUCCUUCUUAGACAACAAGUAUUUUAGUGCAGCAUGAUCUGUAUAGACAAUUAUUUUAGCCCCAACCAAAUAAGACCGAAAUUUCUCUAGUGCGAACACAACUGCCAACAAUUCCUUCUCUGUAGUUGCAUAGUUAAGCUGUGCAUCAUUUAGAGUACGACUUGCAUAAUAGAUGACAUGGGGAAGCUUAUCUUUUCGCUGCCCUAAAACUGCCCCGACAGCAUAAUCUGACGCAUCACACAUUAGUUCAAAUGGUAAAUCCCAAUUUGGUGCAGCAAUGAUGGGUGCCGAAGUUAGGAGUGCUUUCAACUUGUUGAAUGCUUCUAAACAGGCCUUAUCAAAAUUAAAUGGUGCAUCCUUAGCCAAUAAAGUGCACAAAGGUCGACUAAUCUUGGAGAAAUCCUUGAUGAACCGACGAUAAAAACCUGCGUGUCCUAAGAAGGACCUCACACCUUUUACUGAUGUAGGAGGUGGCAGCUUUGCAAUAACUUCAAUCUUUGCCUUGUCAACCUCGAUGCCUUUGCUAGAAAUUGAAUGACCCAAGACAAUUCCCUGUUCAACCAUGAAAUGCCACUUUUCCCAGUUUAGCACUAAAUUUGUCGCUUGACAUCUCUGAAGAACUAAUGAUAAAUUCUGUAAGCAUUGAUCAUAUGAAUCCCCAAAAACAGAAAAAUCAUCCAUAAAAACUUCCACAAUAUUUUCGACCAAGCCAGAAAAAAUACUCAUCAUACAACGUUGAAACGUAGCAGGUGCAUCGCAUAAUCCGAAUGGCAUCCUCCGAUAAGCGUAAGUACCAAAUGGACAAGUGAAAGUAGUCUUCUCUUGAUCCUCUGGUGCUAUUGGAAUCUGAUUAUACCCAGAAUACCCAUCAAGAAAACAGUAAAAAGCCCGCCCAACCAACCUUUCUAACAUCUGGUCAAUAAAAGGCAAUGGAAAAUGGUCUUUUCUCGUCCCUGUGUUAAGCUUCCGAUAAUCUACACACAUUCUCCAACCCGUAGUCAAUCGUGUAGGAACUAACUCAUUAUUAUCAUUUUUCACCACUGUAAUACCGGUCCGUUUAGGCACAACUUGAGUCGGGCUAACCCAUUUACUGUCAGAAAUAGGAUAAAUCAUACCUGCAUCAAGUAAUUUCAUAACCUCUGUUCUAACCACCUCUUUCAUAAUUGGGUUAAGGCGGCGUUGAGCAUCAACUGUUAGCUUUACGUCGUCUUCCAUUAAUAUUCUGUGCAUACAUAGUGCUGGGCUGAUUCCCUUGAUAUCCGCAAUUGUCCAUCCCAAUGCAUCUUGAUAUUUUCUCAAUACACGAAGCAAUUUAUCCUCCUCUGUCGGUGUUAAAUCUGCUGCAAUUAUAACUGGCAACGUCUCUGCAGCUCCUAAAUAUGCAUAUUUAAGAUGUUGUGGUAAAGGCUUCAGCUCCAAUUUUGGCGGCUGCUGUCUGGAUGGUUUAAGGGGCUGUUUGGGCUCCCCUAAACUCUCAUACACAUUCCUAAAUUUUGGCAACACUGUGGGCAGACUGUUCAAUGCGUGUAUGUACUCAUGAACACCUUCAUCUUCAAAAUCUGUCUCAAAUGCCCCCUGUAAAACAUGCAACAACUGAUCUGUUUUUGAAUUAGCAUAAAAUCUGUCCUGCACCAUACUGUCUACCAUGUCAAUACGCAUACAAUCUAGCUGUUCAGCAGGACGUUUUGUUGCCGCAAACAAAUUAAACACCACAGAUUGGUCCUGAACCCGUAAAGUCAAUGUUCCAGCUUCCACAUCAAUUAAGGUCCUAGCUGUUGCCAUAAACGGCCUCCCCAAAAUAAUAGGUGUUUGAAGGUCUUCAUCCAUGUCUAAAACCACAAAAUCUGCCGGUAGAUAAAGAUUAUCAACCUUAAUAAUUAGAUCUUCAAUAACACCUCUUGGAUAAGUGAUUGAACGGUCAGCUAGUUGAAGUAUAAUUGAUAUAGGCUUUAAAUCUCCUUGCCCCAAUCGCUGAAAAACAGAAAAAGGCAUCAAAUUAAUACUUGCACCCAAAUCAAUUAAAGCACUCUUAAAAUUAGAAUUUCCAAUAGUGCAAGAAAUAUUAAAACUCCCUGGAUCUUUUUUCUUAGGUGGUAGUUUGUGUAGCAAAACUGCAUUGCACUGUUCUGUCAAAAUAACUUUUUCCAAAUCUGAAAGCUUCUUUUUGCUGCUGCAAACUUCCUUCAAAAAUUUGGCAUAUGAUGGAAUUUUCUUGAUUGCAUCCAGUAAGGGAAUGUUGAUUUGAACCUUGGAUAAUGUCUGCAUAAAGUCCUUGAGUUGCUGAUCUUUUACUUUUGGCUUCAAACGUUCUGGAUAUGGAAUUGGGGCCUCAUAAACACGCUCAGGUACUUGUUUUGGAACAGUUUCUAGAUCUGCCAUAUUAUGUUUUUCUACAGGUUUGGCAGGUUCUGCUGCUGCAAAAUUUUCUGUAUGAUCCUCCACUGCAUGCUGCUCCUUUUCAAUGUUAUUUUCACGAUUGUCAUAGCUUUUUCCACAUCGUAAAGUCCGAACAACUUUGCAAUCUUCACGUCCAUUUGGAUUAGGAAUUGUUUGACUAGGAAAUUUGCCCUUUUAUCUGUCUGAAAUCUGUGUAGCUAGUUGUCCAAAUUGUUGCUCCAAACUUUUAAUAGAUGCUUCAACAUUUUGAAAUCUUUGAUUGUUGCCCUCGAUGAAUGAUUGAGUUGUUGCUGCCAGUUUAGCAAGUUGAUCUUCCAUAGAUGGUUUGGAGGGAACAAAAGGUUUUUGUGCAUGCUGGAAUGGUUUGGCAUUAGUCUGAUUGUCACCCCAUUUGAAAUUAGGGUGAUCCCUCCAUCCAGGAUUGUAAUGAGUUGCAUAUGCAUCAUUCCUAGGCCUUUGAUAGCUGUUCAUCAUAUUGACAUGUUGUUCAACAAGCUCUGGGUAAGAGUCUCUAUGUGGGCAGCCCAUUAUGUCAUGUGUAGCCAUACUGCAUAUAGUGCAAACUGUUGAUGUAGGUGGCUGCUGUGUAGAACUUGCUAUAUGUUGUAGAAGCAUAUCAAACUUUGCAUCAAUUUUCUUAUCCAUUUUUUCCAUUUGUGCAGACAUGUUGGGAGAACCUACUGAUAACUCAAAAAUGCCCCUUUUCUGUGAAUGUUCUGCUGCCCAUUGCUGAGAUUCUGUAGCCAUCAUAUCAAACAGUUCAAAUGCCUCUCUUGCAGAUUUAUUUGAUAAUGAUCCUCCAGCUGAUGCAUUCACAUGGCUCUUAGAUGUAGGAUUAAGCCCAUCAAAGAAAAUAUUCAUUUGUGUAUCUGAAUCAAUUUUAACAUGUGGACACUUUAUGUACAUCUUUGUAUAUCUCUCCCACGCUUCAUGAAACUCUUCAUUAGGCUUCUGUGUGAAUGUCAAAAUCUCCCUCUUGUAAUUCAAUGUCUUGGAUGCUGGAUAAUAUUUGUUCAGGAAUUUUGUGUGUAACUGCUGCCAAGUAGUAAUGCUAUUAGCUGGUAGAGUGAAUAACCAAGUUUCUGCCUUGUCCUUCAAAGUGAAAGGGAAAAGACGUAACUUAAUAGCCUCAGCAGAAAAACCCCUAAUCAAAAUAUUCUUGCAACCCACAAUAAAUUUUGCAAUAUGUAUGUUUGCAUCUUCAUUAGGCAAUCCCCGAAAAGUAGGUAGAAUUUCAAGCAUAUGGUGCCUGAUCUCGAACGAAUCACCCUCUUCUUGUUCAGGAUACACAAUGCAAUUGGGAACAUCAGUGGCACGGGCUUCCAAUGACUCCCUGAGUGGUCUACCUGCCGCAGGUAAUUCUAACGCCAUGUUACUCUCGUUUGCAAACAGAUCCUGCAGAAAAGUGCCCUGCAGUGAACAGUCCCAAGCCCAAGUAACUUCUCUCCGCUGUCUAUGCAGUGUGCGCUCUGGUUCUGGAUCAAAUUGUACAAUCUGUGUAGUUCCUGAUCUGGUCUGGACCAUGCAGUCUGCAAAAUCUGCAACAGAAACAAAAUUGUUCAAUUUCAAUUUUUUUUUUUGGACGAAAAUUAAAAAUAAAAUAAAAUGAAAUAAAUCAGAAAAAGGUUAAACAAAAAUUGUCUAAAAUAGUCCCCAGCAACGGCGCCAAUUUCUUGAUAGGAUUUUUAGUACUUGUGCAAACAGUGUUAAAAAUCACAUAAAAUACUUGCAAGAAUACAAGGCUAUUGUAGUAUAGAUGCUCAUGCAAGGUCGUUUUCCUCAAGGACUAAUUAGCAAUUUAUGUAAAAACAAAUUUCAAUUACUACUUAAAAUAAAAAGUCAAGAAAGAUGAUUAUAAAUUUGGUGGAUUCUAAAAAACAAAUAUUAAACAAAAACAAAUACGAUUGAAAGAAAGAGUUUUGAAUAUCAAUUUAUAAAACCACUAGGGUUUCACCAUCACCUAGCAAUCCUAUGAACUUUUACCAAUUACUUAUGAUUUGCACAUGCCACUUUGAAGGUUAGGUUUUCCUAUUGUAUAUUCUACUUGGAACCUCCAACACAGAACGUAUAUCCAACAUGCAACCCGUCCGGACGUUCGGAUCAAAUCUGAACAUGAAAGACUCAUUAAGUUUUGUGAAAACCCUUUGAAAAACCAUGCAACCCUUAAGACGUGGUGUUCAUCUUAAGUGAAAUUACAAUUAUUAAUCACAAGAAGCUAGCAUAAAUUUCAGGGAACCUUCCGACCAAAAUUGCAUCCAAUUACUUUUCUAAAGAUCCUAAUGGUGAUCAGGCAUUAAGACAAUUAGAUAGUUUAAAAUAGUGAUUAACAAUUCAAAAUACGCAUGCACUCAUCAUAAGCAAUUAAAUAAAAAUCACAUAUUCAUGCUAAGGUUCAAGGCUUCACCCUAGCAAAAGAAAUUUAGUUACGCAUACUCAUAAUUGAAAUCCAAGAAAAUAUCAUUAAGAAGAAAAGAACGAAAACACCUGAAAGUUGUGAAAACCCAAAACCCUAGCAAUUGCUCUCUACAAUGCAAAGUUCAAAAAUAAUUAAGAAGUCCUAAAUUCCUUGUGAGAAAGAGCUUAAAUAUCCCUUAAAACCUAGCUGCCAAUGUACAGCUUUUCUAUCCCUACAAGGAAACUAAUUAAAGUAAAAUAAUACUAGGAAAUAAAGUCCAAAUUGGAAUAGGAGAAUUUGCCCAAAAUCAGCCCAGCCACGUUUUGGCCCCAAAUCUCCUCCAAAUCUGGCCCAAGAUAGCUUUUUUUAAAGACACUACUACAAAAAGUGAAAAAGACGACCAGAAAACAACGACGGUCUAAGUGAAAACCGUCGUGGUUUUUAAAAAGACGACGGUUCUAAAAACACCGUCGUGUAAUACCACCUUAGACAACUAAAAAAUGGAGAUUCAAAUGGCUGUUCAAAAACAACGACGUACCUAAUUAAACAACCGACGUCUAUUUGAAACAGAUUUCCGCAGUGUAAAAUCAAAGCAAACAAAGAACGGCAGAAGUUAUGAAUAGACCGACGUAGAAAGUAAAGACGACGAUUUCAAUAAAAGCCGCCGUUUUUACUCAUAAAAUAACACGACGAGGUUUUCGUAUAAGACGCCGUAUAAUUACAAACAAAUCCACGGCUUUAAAAUACAAAAAUAAUCUUAACAGAUGACACAGAUUUGCAAUCAGAAGAGACAAUUUUUGAAGUUGAUCAACGUCGUUGAAAAUUGCAAUCAGAAGAGACAUUUUCAACGACGGNNNNNNNNNNNNNNNNNNNNNNNNNNNNNNNNNNNNNNNNNNNNNNNNNNNNNNNNNNNNNNNNNNNNNNNNNNNNNNNNNNNNNNNNNNNNNNNNNNNNGGAAGUUGAUCAACGUCGUUGAAAAUUUGCAAUCAGAGAGACAAUUUUCAACGACGGUUAUAUUAUACCUAACGACGUUUAAAAACAAAUCAACGUCGCUCAACAAAUAUAUUACGUCGUCUUAGUCUUACUUAAGACGACGAAAAACGACGACAGUAGUAAAAAAACAGUCGUUGUUUUUAUAUUCUUAUUUUAUUUAAAUCUGUCGUGUUAGUUAAAAACGACGGCAUAACAAAAAACCGUCGUUUUGUUUCAAACUGAAUUAAUUUAAAAUUUCUUCAGGAAAGCAAAAUCUAUUUAUAAUUUCCUCGGGUUAGUAAUAUUGUGUCGUGUUAGUUUACAAAUUCUAGAACAUUAAUUUCCCUCAUUUUAAAUUUUCUCGGGAAAGAAAAAUCUAUUUAUCACGCUUUGUAAUUGAAAACUAAAACUGAAAGAAUUCUGGAAAAAAAACUCUAUUUAUAAUUUAAAAAUAAAAUGCACGUCGGUUGUAGUACACUUAACGACGUUUAACAAAAUAAUCUACGUCGGUAAUUAUAAAUCUACCGCCAUCUUACCCUAAUAUAGACGACGAGAAAAGACGACGGUAGAACAGAAAACCGCCGUUGUUUCAGUUUCUUUAACAGUUUGGUCCUUUAUCUUUCUGCAGGACUUGUAUAGUUCAAAGCAUUGACAAUGUCUUCAUCAUAUCUCCCAGCAACUACUGAUUCGAUUGCUCAUGCUUUAGAGGCCAUCUGAAGCCAUUUCUAUUCUUUAUCGCAUUCUUGAAACCCAUCUUCUUCUUCUGAAGCUCUACGGAUAAAGGAAGAGGCUAUCACAAAUCUGACGGAUCUUCUUAGUCAAAAAAAUCAAGCAGAGGAUCAGGCACAUCUGAUCUUCAGAUUUCCCUGAGAAGCGAACUUUCCUUCGACAGCGAGUGGAGGCCAGGCUUGCAUCUCUUUUGAUGGAAAGCAAGGAGUAUUCAGAAGCACUAAGUGUCCUAUCAGGCUUGAUCAAGGAAGUGAGAAGGCUAGUUGACAAGCUUCUUCUUGUCAACUAGCCUAAAUGUAAGCUCAAUUUCUCUUUGAGAAAGACCUCCAAAUUAUUGUCUUUGAGAUGUGAGAGACAGUGUCUCUGAGAGAGGAAGAACUUGGAACCCUAAAUGUAAACCGCGAAAAUGAAUGAAAGCGACAAAUUUAUAGAAUAAAUUUUUAAAACCAACGGCGGUACUUACCAAGAAACCGCCGUUUCAAUUGUAAAAUCAACGUCGGUAUUACUGACGUAUAUUACAGAACUCCACGUCGGUACAUUAAUAAUCACGACGUCUUAAAUAAUCUACCAUGACGCGAGUUAUUACUUAUGUACUUUAAUUUUUGAGUUUACUACGACGGUACCUACAACACUACUGUCGUAUUUAUUUACCACGUCCGAAGUUAAAUUUACCGACGUAUUUUGUACUUUAUACGUCGUAGUUAUAUGUAACCGCCGUAUUAUUUUUUUGAAAUGGUUUUAUAUGUAAGCAACUUUUCGUCUACUUGACUUACACAUUAGUUGUUUUUAUAUUCUUAUUUUAUUUAAAUCUGUCAUCCAAAAAAGAAACUUUACAUAUUGCAGAAUAUUAAUUUCCUUCGUUUUAAAUUUCCUCCGGAAAAAAAACUCUAUUUAUAACGCACUGUAAUUGAAAAAUAAACUGAAAGGUCACGGGAAAAAAAAUUCUAUUCAUAAUUUAAAAAUUAAAAUCCACGUCGGUUAUAUUAAACCUAACGACGUUAAAUGAAAUGAUUCCACGUCGAACGAAAAAUAUUUCGUCGUGUUAGUUAAAAACGACGUAGUUAAAUGUAACCGCCGUAUUAUUUUUUUGAAAUGGUUUUAUAUGUAAGCAACUUUUGGACUUACACAUGCACUGUUUCCAAACCCGAUUAAAAAUUUCAAUCUCCAGAGAAACCUUUUCGUCUUUUUUCCUUGUCAGAGCAUUAUCAGAGUUUCUCAUCGUCUUCCUCUCGUCUUCUUCGUCGUCCUUGAACUUAAACAUCGAUCAUCUUCCUCUUGCUUUCAUUGCACGCAAAAGGUAAGCUUUCAUUUUCACUAUUUUGGUUACUGUUUUGCAUGCUCAUACGUUUUUUGUUUGAAAAAUCUUUUUACCUUUUUUCUGGCCAAAAUCAUUUUACUUCUUUCCAAGUUUGAUAAAAUAUACAGACAAAAAGGGAAAGUUUCCAACUUUGAAGACAACUACCUCAACUAAAUGAGACGACGGUAGACCACGACGGUUCGUCAGUUGUUCUAGCGUCGUCUGAAAAUUGACAAAGUUGUUUUUAAAAUAAUAGUCUUUUUUUAUAUGCUUGUUUAAUUGCAGGUUUGAUUUCUCUGAACAAUGGUUUUUGUUUUUCCCUUAUUUGAUAAAAUAUAAAGAAAAAGAAACUAGGGUUGGUAUCUAAUAUAGACGACAAAAUAUCUUAUUGUUUUACGUCGUGUGAAUGUUAAUACCACGACGGUGUAUUACUAUUAACGUCGUAUGAACAUAAAUACCACGACGUUAUAUAAAUAAUAGUUUACCACGACGGUGUAUUACUAUUGACGUCGUGUGAACAUAUAUACCACGACGUUAUAUAAAUAAUGGUUUUAAACAUUUAUUACGUCUGAGAUUAUUUCAUUGCGUCGUCUAAAAUCAUAUCAUACGUCGUAUUUUUUUAAUACCGUCGUUUGUGUUCUUAAUGUUUUCCUGAAAUAUUUUCACUUGCAGUUUUGUCUGUUAAAAUGGUUUCUCAACAACAAACUAAGGAUUCUGGCUCCAAGAAGCUUGGAAUGGUAGCUCCUCAAGACAAGUCUUCGAAGGAGAUGAAGUCUUCGAAGAAGAUGAAGUUUGCUUCAUCAUCUGCUGAGACAGAACCAACCAGCCAGACAACAAUCUCUGAUGAUUCAAAGACUGGUCGAGGCAUGAGCACAAUGCCUCGUGUUGUGAAGAGAAAGCUUCAGAAACUGAGGCCAAUUGUUGAGUACAAUAAAAGGGGGAAAGGUGUUGGCCAAGCACAUAUUGAGAUGCAGUCGUAUAUUGGUGUGUUGGCACGCUCCAGGAUCCCACUUGUGGACAAGAAAUGGUCCCAAAUCCCCAAGGAUAUAAAGGAGCAGAUUUGGGAAGCAGUUGACAUGGCUUUUGUCGUAGGCCAAGGGGGCAAGACCUCUGUUUUAGCUUCUGCUUCCAAGAAAUGGAAGGAUUUCAAGUCUACACUAACGAGGCAUUAUAUCCUUCCAUACACCAAUGACAGGGAGAAAUUAAGCCAACCCCCUGAAACAUAUAAAUUCAUAGAGAAAGCACAAUGGGAUGCCUUUGUAGCUUCAAGGCUAUCCAAAGAUUUUGAGUCUGUGCAUUCUCAACAUGCACAGAUUAGGGAGAAACUCGAGUACAAUCAUCGAUUGUCUCGAAAAGGAUAUGCUGGAUUGGAGGAUCAAUUGGAGGAAACCAUGCCUGGGGUAGAAAUUGAUCGAUCUACCUUAUGGAAGAGAGCUAGACAGGACAAACAUGGUAACAUCCCUGAUCCAAAGGUGGCAGAGAAAGCAAAAUUAAUUGUAAGCCUACUAUCACUCUGUUUUAAAUUUUUAUUAAACUGUGAAUUAUUCUUAUUACGUCGUAUGUUAUAUUUUUCGUCGUGUGAAUGAUAUUACCACGUCGAAAAGUUUUUAAAAACGUCGUUAAAGGUCUAAAUAGGAAUCACUACUAAUUUUCUGUAAUUAUAGCAUAAGACGUCGGUGGUUCAUUUUCGCGUCGUUUGAAUGAUAUUACCACGUCGAAACUUUUUUAAAAACGUCAUUAACGGUCUAAAUAGGAAUCACUACUCUGUUUUCUUUAAUUAUAGCAUAAGACGUCGGUUGUUUAUUCAUUUCGUCGUUUUAAAUAAAUAACCACGUCGGUAUAACUACCGUCGUGAUAAGUUAUAAUAACGUCGGUUUAUACGUUAUUGCGUCGUGUGAAAUUAUAUAAUACGUCGUUUGUACAUAAAUAACCGUCGUGUGUUUUUUUGUUUAUCUUUGUUUUAGGAUGAAUUGCAGAAACAAGUCUCGGAAGGCAAAGUCAGAGUAGAUGGCAGCAAUGAUGUGCUGACCAUGGCUUUGGGCCCCGAGCAUCCAGGCAGAGUGAGGGGAGUUGGUGCUGGUGUUUCCCCAAGGCAAUAUUUCAAUUUGCCCAAACCACAGAGGGUGAGCUUUGACGACCAUUUGAAGGACAGUUUAAGAGUUCUCCUUCAAGAAGAGACUAAAAAGAUGGAGGCUAAGGCAAGGGAAGAGGCCUUAAGAAUGGAGGCUAGGACAAAACAAUUGGUAGAGGCUGAGAGGGAGCAUUUCCUGAGUCAGCUUUCCCAAUUAAUUCCCAAUUUUGAUCCAAGCAUGCUUAAACCAAGAAUUAGCCAAAGCCCCAAAAAUCCAAUGUCUGACAAAGCUAGCUGCUCUGGAGGUGAUGUGAGAUCCCUACAUUUGGAGGAUGAUACUGCCAAAAUGGGGAAACAUCAGCCAGAUGAAGAGAAGGAAGAAGAAAAAAGAGAUGAAGAGAAGGAAGAAGAAAAGGAGAAAGAAGAUGAAGAAAAGCAUGACGACAAGGUAUGUUCACAUAACUUUGCCUUUUUUAUUUGUUUUUCAAAAUUUCAGACGUCGAUAUUUUUAUUUAAUCCGUCGUUUGUUUAAAACUUAGACGGCGGACUUUUUUUAAGACGUAAUAAAAUAUUUAAACGACGGUUUUUGCACCGUCGUUUAAAUGGUUUCAGACGACGCUUUAUUCAUAAAAUCGUCGUCUUUAUUGAAUUACCACGACAGUUUUUUCACCGUCGUUUAAAUACUUUUAAGACGACGUUUUAUUCCUUAAACCGUCGUCUUUGUUGAAUUACCACGUCAUUUUUUUUAUUUCUUUAAACAGGUUAUUGAAGUUGGUGCUUAUUCAAAUAUGGAGGCGCCAUCUUCUUUAAAAACCCUUUGUCGUUUUGUGGAAACGACACUCCUGCCUGAGGAUAAGACACUCCAAUUUACAAUUGAUAAGGAGGUGUUUGGUGGUGAGCGCGAUACCUUCCUCCUGCCUGAAGAUAUUACACAAUUUGCAGGCAUGGAAGAAAUUGGAGCUACUGUAUUGGCUGUAUAUAUGAGGUUUGUACUUCUAAAAUAAUACCUCGUUGGUUUAUAUAUUGCGUCGUCUUAACUAACUAACCACGUCGUCUUAACUAACUACCGUCGUGAUAAAUAUAUUAUAACGUCCUCAUCUAUUUCAGUACGUCGUGUGAAAUAUUAUAAUACGUCGUUUUUUUAUACAUAACCGUCGUGUUUGUUUGUGCUGACUUGUUUAUAUUAUUUUAUGUAUUUAGGUACUUACACGAUGUUUUGAAACAAGCCAAUAUGUGCAGCAUGGUUGGCUUUAUCGACCCUGCUACAGUUAGUGCCAACUCUGGCACAAUAACUGAAAGAUCACGACUGGUAGCAGCUCGACUUCAGAAGACAGACGGUGAACAGAUUUUCAUGAUGCCUUACAAUCCAGGGUUAGUCUCCUUAGGAUUUUGUUUUUAUGAUUUUCAAUAAAUGACAGCUUAUAAACUAACCACGUCGGUGUUUUAUUUUAUUUAGUCGUUUGAAACUACUAACCACGUCGGUAUUUAUUUAUCGUCGUGAUAAAUAUAUAAUGUCGUCGUUAUCUACUUUAUUUCGUCGUGUGAAAUACUAUAAUACGUCGUUUUUGUAAAUAACCGUCGUUUUUAUAUUCAUUUUGUGCAGCCGUCAUUGGAUCUUGCUGAUUGUAAGAGCAAAGAAGGAGACCGUCUAUUUUCUGGAUCCUCUGCCAGGUCAUCGUGUGGUCGACGAAGAGGCGAAAAACAUCGUGAACAGUGCUUUAAAAAUAUAUAAUACCCACAUAGCCCGAGCACGACGUAAAAAUGUAAUUUGGAAAACUCUCUCAGGCACACCAAAGCAACCCAGCAAUGUCGAAUGCGGGUACUAUGUGAUGCGCUUCAUGAGGGACAUCAUCAUGGAUCCUUCCUUGGGGUUUGAGAAUAAGGUAAGAAGAAAUUACCUUCAUACAUUUCACGUCGUUUUUUGUAUUAUCAACGACGGUCAUGUAAAAUUAACGUCGUUGAAUGGAUAUACUACGUCGGUUAUGAAAAAUAUCGUCGUCUGUGAUUGAAUUUCUUUUUAUUUAUAAACCCUAAUAGUCAUUGUUUAUGCAGUAUGCCAAGGGAAACCAGGAAGCUUCAUACCCCCAAGAAGCCAUUGAUGAAGUCCGGAAUGAAUGGGCAGAGUUUGUUUUCCAAAUUAUUAAACAGGGCAAUUAUUGAACACUUGAUAUUUAUGUAUAAUGUACAAAUUUUCUCUAUAAUAUGUAAUGUAAAAAUUUGUUGAGGUUUUCUUAAAUUAAAAAAAAAACAAACAUACAAAUUGCUUAACCGACGUGUAAUACUUUUCCAACGACCUAAUAAAGUCAAAAACCGUCGUAUUUUGUUGUUUCGUGUUUUAAACAAAUACGACGUAAAAAUAUAGUUAGACGACGUUCUUUGAACAAUUGAGUCGUUUAUGGUUUACAACAUCUUCAAUUUCUUAAGGGUUCAGGGUAUCAUCGACGACGUUUAUGUAACGACAGCGGUUAAGUCGUGGAAUAUAUAUUUUACGUCGUAUAGUUAAAUAGCCGCCAUGGUUUCUCAUUUUAACGACGUCAUUUUAACGACUUAGUAGUCUAUUACAAUUUACAACGUCUACAAUUUAUUAACACCGACGUGGUUUGUUGUUGUGGUAAGAAUAUUUUAUUAUUUUUAUAUCAAAAUAUUCAAAAUAAAUUUAAAAUAAAUCAGAAAAUUGAAAAGUCAUCUCCUAUGAAGUCAUUGAUAUAUUUUCUUCCACAUAAACCUUGAAAAAAUUCAUUUUGAAUAACAAAAAUUUAAAAUGACCAUCCAAAACAAAAUUGUUUUGAUGAGUCAUAAAAUCACUUCUAGUUUUAUGGUUUAGGGUUUAGAGUCUAGGGUUUAGAGAUUAGGGUUGUUAUUUGUUGGGGUUUAUUUUUAAAGUAUAAUUUUUGGGUAGUCUAGGGUAUAUGUUAGGCUUUAAAACCAUAAAACCUUUUAUAAACUUAAUUUUUUAAAUUGUAUAAUUUAGUUUUAUGGGUUUAGGGUAUUAAUUUUUAACGACGGUGGUUGCGUCGUGGAAUACAUAUUUUACGUCGUACAGAAAAACAUACGACAUGGUUUACGCUUUAAACGACGUCAUUUUAAUAUGUAAGUCGGUUUAUAUAAUUUACAACGUCUUUAAUUUCUUAACACCGACGUGGUUUUUCAGUCGUCGUUAUAUAAAAAAUUCAAAAUAAAUUUAAAAUUAAUCCGAAAAAUGAAGCUUCAAAAUGAACGGCCUUACGUUCUUAAUCCGAAAAAUGAAGUUUCCGUCGUGGAAUAUUAAAUUUACGUCGGUACUUGUAGAACUUUCGCCUUGGUUUUUCUUUCGACGUUUUAAAACGCGCGAGCUCUAAAAAUUUUCGCGUGACCUAAAUUUUUUUAGAUUUGGCUCUUAUUCUUAUACUUCGAACCCUGAAACCUAAAAUUUUCAGAUUUCGCUCUCUCACUUCUGCUCUAAUUAAAAGUUGCACUCUCCAGGCUUCGUCGAAUCUGUGAGCUCGUCCAACCUGUAAGUACAAACCCUAUCUUCCCCUUGUAAAUUCAUUGAAUGAUAUUAGGUUGUUUUGUUAAAGGGUUUUAUGUGUAUGCUUUGCGAUCUGUUAAUAAUGUGCUUAUAGGUAUGGGUUCAUAGAUUUUCUGUUUAAUGGGUUCAUGGAUUACAUUAUCUGUUAUGUUGAAUUGGGAAUGGAUUUAAUUUUGUCGUAUCUUUUAAUCACCCUAUGUUAUGUUGAAUUGGGAAUGGAUUUAUUGUUUUCAUGCUUGGUUUCAUGUAUAUGUUGGUUUCUUGCUUGGUUUCAUAUAUAUGUUGUGUUCUUAAUGGGUUUUGUGUUCUUGAAAAUAAACUGAGACACGACAAAUUUUAAGGCAUACGACGACGAUUACACGACGGUUUUUUUAAACUACCGUCGUUGUAUUACUUAUACAAGACGGUUUUUUCAUAAACCGUCGUUUGUAUUACUUAUAAUAGACGACGUCUGUUGAAAAUCCGUCGUCUAUAUAUGCCAAAUACGUCUGUUUUUGUUUAAAACCCGUCAUCUCUGUUGUGUAUUACUUGCGAUUAGAUCAUUGUAUAAUCUGCUAUAGUGAUGGUCAUUGCCUGUAUUUUCACUUUAUUAUAGAUAAUAGGUUAUAGUGUCGGAGAUGGAUAAGUCAUGGAUGCACUCGGAUAGAAGAUCGAAGGCAUAUGAAUUUGGGGUGGAAGCAUUUUUGAACUUUGCUUGAGAAGUACUUUCCCCCUUCAUUCUUUGAUAUCAUGGUUCAUCUAGUAGUACAUCUUGUCAGAGAAGUUCGUCUAUGUGGGCCAGUAUAUUUUAGGUGGAUGUAUCCGUUUGAAAGAUAUAUGAAAGUGCUGAAGGGGUAUGUUCAGAAUCGUACUCGUCCCGAAGGUUGCAUUGCUGAGCGGUAUAUAGCUUAAGAAGCGGUAGAGUUUUGUACUCAGCAUUUAUCUGAUGUUAGUACAGUUGGAGUGCCUUCAAGCCAAAAGAUGGGACUUUCAAAGCCAUUAUCAGGUUGCACAGUGAGCGUAGUUGAUCAGGACCUGUUGAAUCAAGCACAUCUAUAUGUCUUGGAGAAUACGGAGGAAGUCCUACCUUAUAUCGAGUACGUAUGAGCUUUAUUCUUUAAGUUUCCAUUUUAAAUUAUUUCUUAUGUUUAUCUUCUAUAUUUGGGACCGUAAUGCUUGAAUUUUUCGUGUCAUGUAGGCAACAUAUGAUCCACAUCAAGAUUGCUUAUCCAAAAUUUAGAAAGAGAACAAAGUGGCUGCAGGAUAAGCACAAUAGCACUUUCAUUCAAUGGCUACGCUUCAAGGUAUAUGUUGUUGAAUAACAUAUUUCUCUUUUAAUUUUCUUCUUAUUUAUAUGUUAGAUUGAAUUAAGAUAUGAUUAAUUUGCAGGUUCAAAGUGAACUUGAGGAAGACAAUCAUGGCGUAUCAGAAAAUUUAAGGUGGCUAGCAGCUGGUCCAAACAUGUCAGUGCCAUUAUAUAGGAGCUAUCUUAUUAAAGGUAUUAAAUUCAAUAUCAAGGCACAAGAUGAUGUGCGGACAACUCAAAAUAGUGGAGUUUAUUUACUUGCACAUACCAUGCAAGUUGCUAGUGCCAAGGAUAAAAACCCAAUUCUCUCAAACAUGGGUUUCUAUGGUGUCAUUCAAGAAAUUUGGGACCUUGACUACCAAAAGUUUACAAUCCCAGUCUUUAGGUGUGAUUGGAUAGAUAGUUCUGGUCUUGUAGUCGACGAACUUGGAUUUACCCUUGUAGAUUUGAGUAAAAUUGGACAUAGGAAUGACCAAUUUGUUUUGGCUUCUCAAGUCAAACAAAUAUUUUUUGUUGACGACCCGAUGCAUCGUGGUUGGUCGGUAGUGUUAUCAAUGCCUAAUAGAGAAUAUAAUGAUGUUAUUGGUGAUGAAGUCUUAGGUGAUGUGAUAAUUGAGUGUGAGCCAUUUACUAGAGGGAUGCCAAAUGUUGACACAUUUGAUGAACUGGUGGGUGAGUUAGGCGGUCAAAAUAUUCGAGAUGGGUGUGAAGAUAUAUGGAUUGAAUGAUGCUUAUGUAAUUGGCAGUGUAUGACAUUAAUUUUGUAAUAUAUUGUAAUGUGAUUUCUUCACUUUCUACGUUCAAAUAAAACACGACGUUAUUGUGAACCAGUUAUUCAGCAUAUUUACCGACGUCUUAAAGCAACGUAACAAUGAAGAACCACGACGCUAUUGUGAAGCAAUUAUUCAGGAUAUCACGUCGGGGAAGGAUUAAGAACCGCCAUGUAAUUCAAAAUAACACGACUCCAAUCCCAUAAUACCGACGUCUAAAAAACGAGAUAUAUAAUCUGAACGUUAAAAAAUACGACGUCAUCAUACAUUUUCCACAUCGCAAGUUCUUUUAUAAACGAAGAGGAACGAAAUGAAUUCCGACGGAAAUUCAUUAUAACCGCCGUCUAAUAACAAUUAAACGACGUUAUUUGUAAUACGGCUCUCAUCAUAAUCAACGCCGUCUAUAUGUUCUGUAAUACGGCUCUCAUUUAUUUGGAACCGACGUUGUUUAGAAGUUCAACGUCGUCUAUAUUAUUAAGUGCGUCGUGAGUAAUGAUGAUAGAUAUAAAUACAACGUCGACUAUAUAAAUGCCACUGACGUUGUUUCGCAUUUCAACGUCAACUGUAUAAAUACAUACGUCGUAAAUAAUGACACUGACAACUAUUUCCACGUCAUCUUUUUUAGAAAAAUCGAAGUGGAAAAUUUAUUUCACGACGGUUGUUUGUAAAUAAGAGACGUAGUAUAUUUCAAUAACGUCGUCUUCUCAUGUAUUUAAAGACGUCAUAUUUUUUCUUGUCGUGUAAAUUAUAUUUAACGGCGUAGUAUUUUAGUUGUCGUCGUUGUAUGUAUAUCUUGCGGCCUUGUUCUUUUAACAUGUGUCAUAUUUUUCCUUUUUAACGACGGUGAUUUGUUUGAGUUGGUCGUCUAUUCUCAUCCUCGACUAUUUUCUAGAACUUUAGCAGACUAAACACGUCUGUUUUUAUUGUUUUCCGACGUUGUUUUAUUUAACAACGUCUAAUAUUUAUCGUCGUUGUUUGUUUCUGAAAAUAUGACGUAUAAAUUUUGUAAUACGACUCUCAUAUAUUUGUAACCGACGUUGUUUCGUUUUUCAACGUCUACUCUAUAAAUACAUACGUCGUAAAUAAUGACACUGACAACUAUUUUCACGUCAUCUUUUAUCGAAAAAUCGAAGUGGAAAAUUAAUUUUACGACGGCUGUUUUUAUAUAUGCGACGUAGUAGGUAUCAAUAACGUCGUCUUCUAAUGUAUUUAAAGACGUCAAAUUUUUUAUUGUCGUGAAAAUGAUAUUUAACGGCGUCGUAUUUUUAUUUUCGUCGUUGUAUGUCUAUCUUGCGGCCUUGUUCUCUUAAUAUGUGUCAUAUUUUUCCUUUUUAACGACGGUUUUUUUAGAGAGUUGGUCGUCUAUUCUCAUCCUCGACUGCUUUUUUAGAUCUUUUUGCAGUACAAAGACGUCGUUUUGUAUUUGUUGAUGACGUUGUAUAUUUUAACAACGACGGUGAUUUUGCGUCGUGGUUUAUGAGGGAAAAGAUGACGGUGGAUUCCACGACCAUUGAAAAACCGAAUACACGACGGUGAUUUACCGUCGUCUUUUUGCUUUUUUGUAGUAGUGAGAUAAAAAUGUUCUGAACACUUCUCUAGAAGGCCACGAACCCAUCCGAGGUCAUCUUGGGCUCCAAAAACACAAUAAAAGCCCAACACGUCACUAUUCCAGCACCGCGCACUGCUCAUUUAUUUUAUUGCCAGAAAAUAACCGCUUGGAAGAAAAAUCUGAAAUUUUGAUACGAUCAAGCUAAGUGACUCAAGAACGUCCUCCAACUGGAAUUACUCCAAAAUUCCUCAAUUUGAUUAUGUUUUGCUCCAGAGAGAGUCGAAAGUCCUAUAUUGGAAAUAUAAUUCAAAGUAUCAAAAUUCUUCCAAAAUAUUAACCAAAAUAUACUAAGAAUGAGGUUAAAUAUAUAAUAUAAAAUAUGUCCAUCACCCCACAACAACUAAAGAACCAACAUUUUGUAGAAGGUUUUGUCUAUACCUUUGACUGUAAGUAAAUCUCUUGUAUCUGCUCCUGUGGUUCGGUGAAGUUUCUUUGUGUCCUUUCUGCGGAGUCUCCCAUGCUUGUUCCAUGAAAAUGUUCUAGGAGAAAAUACGGUUGUUUCUUACUAGAUUCAAAUGAUUAAGAAAAAUAAAAACGCAAGAAAAAAGGUAUUUUCUUGAUGGACUUGGUGAUGAAAAAUAUCACUCUCUUUAUAUGUCGUCUUCCUUGGACUUUGAGACCUUGGGUUUCGAUUCUUCUUGAGGAUUGCAUAGGGUUUCUAGGCCCAAGAAUACUUUGAGUUAGUUUUUGCGUUUUGGGCUUUGAGACUUUGAGACUAUAAUGAGUGGAAAGUUAUAAGGGGUAAGUUAUAAGGGGGUCACUUUAUAGCCAUCAGAUUAAUCCAAGGGCUGGGGAGAAUUGAGAUAAAGUUUCACAAUUGGGUAGGUGAGGAACCCAAACCCGAAUUGAAUAUCCAGCACGUCCAAAAAGAAGAAGAAGAGGGAAACACGUCCGAAAAAGAAGAAGAAGAGGCAAGUUCGAAGUUUGAACAGAAAGAACUCAUCUCUCUAAAACACAGAGGUCUGAGAUACCCAAUGAAGGCAACGGCUAACGACAGUUGAAGGCAACAAUUCGCCACUCCGUUCUCCAGACCCCGAAAAAGUAUUUAUUUGGAGUAGAAGGGGCAAAGGUGUGGAUUCCAAAUCAGUGAAGGGGCGAAGCAGUGGAAGGGGAAGGGGAGAAGCUGUAUUCGUUGGAAGUGUAGGUUCCAUUUGUGGAGCAAAGAAAUAGAAAGACCCCACACAGACACCUUGCAAUAACCAGCAUUUGGUGAGUAAUUUAUGGAAUUUGAGUUUAGGGUUAGAGUAAUGGUUUUCCCCAAUUUGUACCAUAAAUUUUGUUGGAUUUGGCAUCUCUUCGUUGUGCUUCAGUUGCAUGUUAAUUUUUGCUUAGGUAUAUGUUAAAAAAGGAAUGAAAAUUAAGUCAAUAACAAGUGAAUAACAUGUCAAUAAUGAUAUGAAUAAGAUAAUGGUGUUGAAUUGGAGGAGGCCCUCAAAACCUUCCACAUUUGAAGCAGUGCAUAGUGCAGAUUAAGAAGAGGCGCUAGAAUAUAUAUAUAUAUUUUAUGAAGUAAAUAUGAUUUCCUUUGUUACUAAAUUUGCCUGAGAAACAUUUGAACAGAUAAUAAUAAACUCAUGAAUAGAACUGCAAAGCAUUUGAUGAGCAAUGUAAGGAAUUUAAGUUUAGGGUUAGAGUAAUGGCAUCUCUUAUUUGUGCUUCAAUUGCAUGUUAAUUUUUGCUUGGGUAUAUGUUAAAAAAUGAAUGAAAAUAAAGUCAAUCACAUGUCAAUAACAUCUCAAUAACAUGUCAAUAACAUGUCAGUAAUGAUAUGAAUAAGAUAAUUGUGUUAAAUUGGAGGAGGCGCUCAAAACCUUCACAUUUGAAGCAGUGCAGAGUGAAGAGUACCUCUCUGGCACUAGAAUUUAUAUAUUUUGUGAAAUAAAUAUUAUUUCAUUUGUUACUAAAUUUGCCUAUGAGAAAUGAGAACAGAUAAUAAUAAACUCAUGAAUAAAAGUGCAAAGCAUUUGAAAUGAAGGUUGAUCUAUGACGAUUGUGGGUGACUGAAGAAAAAGGUAGAAAGAAAGAAGGAUGUGGCAAUUGCUUAGCAAGCAGAUAGCAGAGUACAUGCUUUGCUUUGCUUCCUUCCACUAUAUUUCUUAUUUAUUUAUUUUGGGUUGUGUAUGAGAUGACAAUAAUUGUCAUGUGUGUGAAGUGCAGAACUUGCCUACAUUGCACUCACACGAGUAUGGAUGCAUAAAUAAAACACGUGAAAUUGUUUGUAAUUCACAUAAUCAUUGCAUUAACAGGUAUUUGCACAAAAAUUGUCAUAUUGCUUUGAUGAUGUUAAAGGCUGUGAUGAGUAAUCCCUAUGCUCAUGUACUUUGUAAAAGUUGUAAUGUGCCUGGUUGACUAGUUGUGAUUGUGCAAAUACGUGGUAGUAUAUAUGUUCACGUUAUUUCACAUUGUAUUUGAGGAAAUGGGAUCCAACGUGGAGCUGGUAUGGCCAGAGGCAGAGGUAUAUUCGUCACGGGUGAACAACUGCUCACAUGCAAAUUCAUCUCUAGCUGCAAUUCGAGCGAAGUUGAGUGCGGAACAAUUAGAACAAUUCAAGACAUCAUGCUUUGGCCAUCUUCUGAAUAUAGAUAAGAUUCAGUUUAGCGGGCAGAUUGUGCAUGGGGUUGUGUUGCGUAGAGUAGCGGGGCAGGGUGUGAAAGACUUGGAUGGACUGAGUUUCUUAUUAGGGUGUGACGUUGCUCAGUUCACUCGUCAGGAUUUCUGUUUGAUCACAGGGCUUCGUUUUGGGGAAGUGCCUGAAGUUUCCAGUGGAGAGAGUGAUGAAAUCAGACUUCAGAAAAGAUAUUUUAUAGACGAAGGAAUUACAUGCAAUGCUUUAGAAGAAGCAUUUGUGAGGUGCACAGAGGAAGAUGACAUCUACAAGCAAGCUCUUGUUUACUUUGCUGAGUUAGUGGUUUUGGGAAGGGACAAACAUUUGAACAUCAAUCUAAAUUACCUGACCCUUGUAGAGGACUUGGAUGCGUUCAACAGGUAUCCGUGGGGUUCGGUGUCCUUUGACAAAACCCAAGACAGUCUAUUUUCUGCACCAACAAAGUAUGUGAAAAGCUUGGAAAAUGAAGAGGGAAGAGGGAAGGGGAAAAGUAAGGUAACGGGAACAAGCCGGAGAAAUGAGAAGGGCAAGAAGGAUAAGCAUGGUGAAGCGCAAAUGAGUGGCUGGAGUUUUAAAGGUUUCACGUAUGCUUUCCAGGUACAUGGUAAUAAUGUUCAUGUCAGUUAUGUUUUGUUUUUCUUUAAAACAUAAAUAAUGACUUUUGUCCUGUGAAUUGUGUAGAUUUGGGUAUAUGAAUUAAUUCCUAGAAUGGCGGACCUGAAUUACUGCAAGGUUGUUGAUCCGACCGUUGUCCCGCGUAUUUUGCGAUGGAGAACUACUACGUCUGUUCCAGAGAUGAGAAAGUUGAACAAUUAUUUUUUCCAGAGCAAAGAGGUUUGGUUUGCAGCCCUUGGAACUAUUGAUAAGAUUGAAUGAAAUUAUGAAGUAGAAUGAUUUGAUAUGACUCUUGUCUGUAUUCUGAAACAGUCAGUUCAGUUGCGGGCGCUAUGUCCGAGUGAAGAGGAAAUGAGACAGCCAUAUUGGAGUUGGCCACAGGAUCGCCCUGCUGUUGUCUCAGCAGAGUCAAUUCCUUCUUCAUGUGGUGAUCUUGAUGAGUUGAACAAGGUGGUAAGUUGGUUGAGGUCCGAGUUGUUUCAAGUAAAGCGGGAAAAAGACGUCCUUCACUUAAAGGUCAUACGGAUGGAAAAACUGUUGGACCAAUGUUUAGGUCCUCAGUUUGAGCAGGAAGUAAGGAGGGACCUAGCUUUACUGAAACAGAGGACGAAUCGUUGUGUCAUCUCACAUCUAUUUAAGGGAUAUGGGGAAAUGGAUGACAUUCAAUGGGAUGAAGGGCCAAGUAACAGAAAUGAGGGAGAGGAAAAGGAAGAUGAAGGGAUUGAAGGGGGUGAAGGGCCAAAUAAUAGAAAUGAGGGAGCACAUAAGGAAAAGGAGGGGAUUGACGGAGAGGAAAAGGAAGAGGAGGGGAUUGAAGGGGGUGAAGUGCAAGGAAAACCAAGUGAGGUAGAGGAAGGGCAAAGGAAAAGAAGUGAAGGAGAGCAAGUGCAAGUAAAAAGUAGCAAAGGAGAGGAAGCCCAGAGACAGAGCAGUGAGGGAGAGGAAGUGAAAAGAAAAAGCAGUAAGGGAGAGAAACUGCAAAGGAAAAAAAGGGAGGGCAAGGAAGUGAAAACACAAACAAGUGAGGAAAAGGAAGUGCAAAGAAACCAAUGUGAGAAAGAAGAUAAUGAAGUUAUGUUGCUUGGGGGUGACAUUGGCGAGAGCACGGAGGGGACACUGCUUGAGUUUACUGUCGGGGACAUUGAUUUGGAUGAACCUACAGCUGUGCUAUCUCAGUUGAACGUGUGGUUGAAUGAUAAAGGUAAAGCUCUGGCACAAGGGGUCCAAUUACGGAAAAGGAAGAGGAUCAUUCCUUUGUGGAAGAUCAUUGAAGGCAGUGAAUUGGUUCCAAAAAUUGGGGCACAGACAACCGGACUGAAGAUGUUAGACCCAAUGAAGGCGAUUUCGCAUGAUGAUCUGGUGAAAUUGCUGAAACUUUGUUGGGAAUGGCGCCAGGACCCAAAGUAAGUCCCUUGCAAUUAUAAGAUACAAGCAUGACUGUAUAUAAUUUUUUAUAUACAGUGUUCUAAAACUGUUUUAUAUUCAUAGUUUGGUGAUGCAAUUUGGCAACGUGGAAGCUGAGAUUGAAUUCUUCGCUUCCCUCGUGAAAGCUGAUGGUUGGCUGAAAGGAGAUGUAAGUGUAAUUGAUUAUGCAUUUGUUUUAAUGUACAUACAUUAUGAGAUUGACAAGAAAAACAUGUUGCAGCACAUUGAUUUGGGGUUGUAUCUCAUCCGGAAGCGACAACAACAGUUGGAGACAGAUUCGGUAGAAGUAGCGGACUGGACAACGACCGAUGUUUUUUUUAUGGUAUGUCAUCGGCCUUGACCAAGUGCCGUUAAUAAUUACACAUUUUCCAUACACACACUAGUGGAGGUGUUUAACCAUUGAUUGUUUUGUAUUUCACAGAAUCACAUUCGUACUUGCUUUGCGGAUAAUAAAAGAAAAAAACAGCAGCUUGGGUGGAAAAUCAGGAAAAGUUUACUAACCGUUGUAAAUGGGAAGGUUCCUCCGUGUGGGUUGGAUUGGCAGACCGUCUAUAAGGUGUAUACCCCAUUUAUGUUGACGAAGUACAAGCAUUGGGUGGCUGUAAUGAUUGAUCUGGUAUUGUGUGAAAUCAAAGUGUACGAUUCAAAGGUUUCACUAAUUCCAGAUGACAUCGUAAAGGAAGAACUCGGCCCGCUAUCAAUUACGCUUCCAAAUCUUCUCAACACCAUCGACUUUUAUGAAAAAGGUGUUUAUGCAAACAAUUGCAGCCAAGAUUAGUGGUGUCCGUGGCCAAUAGAGCGUGUGGAUGUUCCACAACAGUCUAAUGAGUAAGCACAACUUGCAAUUUAAUUUUAUUACUUUCAAUUGUCAAUUACGUUAGAAUGUCAUUAGUUGAAUUGAUCGAGUUCUUGUUUUGCUUCAGAGGCGAUUGUGGCAUGUUUGUGUUAAAGUACAUUGAGCUUUUCAGCGCUGAGCUUCCGUUAGCUACUUGCACCUCGCACAACAUGCCUUUUUUUCGGUUGAAAUUGGCUGCGGAGAUAACAAGGGGAGAUGCUUACUUCCCAUGAUAUUGGUUGAAGAUGACAAAUGGUACAUGAGAAGGUUUUGGGAAUGUCCAUUCUCAAACUAAUGUAAAUACACAAUAGAGAAGUACGGGUCCUUAUCGAAUUCUACCGCUAACUCCUUCAUGACAUUUACAUGUUUGUUAACCAAACUGCAUUGAAUUGGAAUUUUAAGACUGCAUAUGUGAAUUGGGAUUUGAAGAUGGCUUUUUAAGUGUAUUACAUCAUUGCAAAGUGAUAUGUCAUUGUUGAUGCAAGCCACCAUUAAUCGCAAUGUGUUGCAUCAUAAUAGGUGUCUAAACAUGCGAAAGGUUUUCCGCAGCUCAGUAGCAUAAAAGUAGAAACAAAGACAAUAUACACAAAAUGAACAACAAUUCACAAAUGCACCGACAAGCAAUACACACACAACAGACAAACAAUAUACACAAACUUGGCCUGCCAUAUACAGAGAAUAGACAUGCAAUAUACACACAGUAGACAUGCAAUAUACACACAAUAGACAUGCAAUAUACACACAAUACUCCCUUAACACACACAAUAGACAUGCCCUUGCCCACAAUAAUGAUGCAAUAUACUUCAGUCCCCAAGUACACCAACCAUAGGGAAGUCGUAUUGAAUAGGAUAUUAAACUUAACAGUUGUUCUUCCUACUAAAAGAAAGAAUAAGGUUCGUUUCCCCCCUUCAUUCUUACUUGAGUGAUACUUGUGGCCCCAAUAAACAUCCAAUUUUGGGGCAAUGAUAUUCCAUAUACAUGCAGCAAACUAUCAAUAAACCUUCAAUAAACCUUCAAUAAACAUUCAAUAUCGUUUCUAUAACAUGCGAAAUACAUGCAGUUACCAAAUAUUACAAAAUGGGUUUAGGGUCUCAUUGGUGGUGCGUGCAACAUGUCUUGUGCGGGAGAACUUUCACAAUCUUUUAAACCGUGCAGUUAAAUGAUCAUUAAAAGAACAAAUAAAAUGACAAUUGAUACAACUAAUAAAACUAAUACCAAGUCCUUAAUGGACUUCAGCAUGUUCAGCACUCUAGCAUCAUACGUGUCAUCUUGAUGUUCUGCUUCAGCGGAGGUUACAUCAACCCAUUCGAAUCCAUUGCAACUGGUGGCUCCCUAAUUGCAGGCAUCAUAUAUGGAAUAUAAUUCUGUCAGAGUUAGACAUAGGUUUUUUUUCACCCACAUACAUAUUCUUUAAAUUAAAACUUACAUAGGAGGUUAGACACUUCCAGAAUGGCUUCCCUCGAUUUUUGUCAGAUUUUGAAACCCGAAGCACCAUUGUAGCUCCACAAUACUGACACCUCUUUGUUUGAGCGGGAGAUGAAGAUGAAGACAUGUUUAAUCUUCUCAGUUGUACCUCUUCUCACUCAGAUCUUCUCACUGAAACCUCUUCGGACUCAUACCUUCUCACUCAUAGUUGUCAUUCAUACCACUUCACUCAUAACCCUAAACUUGUCACUCAGCUCUCUCUCAUCUCUGCCCAAAUCGAGUUAUAUUUCUUUUUUUUGGGAUCAUUUGGUGGGUUGGUCACGAUGUCGACACCUGUACCGUCAGCAUUGUGACAUCUUUUAGCCCGAAAAGCAAUAUAAACUACUUCACUACCAAAUAUAUUUUCUGAAUAAUGACGGGACACUGCUUCAAUUUUAUUAAUUUAUUUAUAUUUCAUUAAGGCAACUAGUUGGAUAAGAAUCCGUCAUUAUUGGUUCCAUUUUAAUAACAUUACUAGGGGUAAUUGGGUGUGGGAAAAUGAAAAAGUAUAUGAUGGGACCUUCUGUCACUAGUCAGUAAUCCAUCACAUUUGUAUCAAUGAAUUUGAUAGUGGGAUAAACCCAAAAAUGGCUAUGCAAAUAGCCAUUUAAUUAACUUUUUGACUGUCUGACUCUGUAUGCACCGUUAUGACGUUUUCCCUUCUUUUGUCUUAAGUUUUAAUUCACUGGGGUUCAGUUUCUUUCAAAAGGGUCAACUUGGAAAAACCCCAACUGGAAACACCUUUUCAAAACACUAUAAACAGAGGCUAAAACAAAACGUGUACCCCAAAUAUUAUCAUUUAUCCCCUCUGCCACUCCUCAAAUCGUUCCAUUCCAAAAACUUUUCAAUGAAUUCGAAACACUUCACUACAGUCGGAGGAAAGAGAAGGAAGCAUGUCCAUUUCGAUAUGCCCGAAGCCUUCAUCCCGGAGUCCGCUUGGUUUCAAGUCAUGUUAUACGUGGCAACCGAAUCAUCGGAAGAUCUCUUCCGUAUGGCAUCUGUGUGACGAUUGUUCCGAACUUUGGCAAACAGUUCACAAGUGUGGAACACCAUUUCAAUGGCAAAGUACCCAGACCAUCCUAUAUGGUACCGUGCCAGACCUGCGGUCCAGCAUUUCUUGCAACAAUGCAGGGCUUGCGAUAACCCUGAGUCCAUAUUUAGAGAAGCAUUCGAAGGUUUUUUCAGGCACGGUAAGGUGGAAGCGUUGUAUGGGAUGCGCAUUGCAGCCACGGCAGGCCAUAUGGAAGCGGCAUAUGUAGUUGGACUACUUGGUAUGUCCGGAAUUGGUCAGUCAAAAGAGGAUGCAUUACAAUUCUUGUGUUCUUUGAAUCAACGUAACAACAUUGAUAUGAAAGGAACCAGGGAUGCUUUGACAGGAAGAUUUCACGGAGCAUUUGUUGCAAGACAUAUCGUAGAUAUGUUUGACUAUGGGAAGAUUAAGUUCAAUCGGUGCAGCGCUUGUAACAACAAUGAAUGGUAUUUUGUUAUUCCAGGCUGGCCUAGUGAAGACAAGAUAAAUCCUGCGUUGUGGACUUGUUGCAAUCGAUGCAAAUGGCACCGUGAGAGUAUUUUUUGGUGCAAACUGAUGCGUGAGUAUGUUGUGCGAGGGAAUCACGUAUUUUUGCAUUAGUUUUAGUACGAAUUUACGGUUUUGAUGCAUUGUGGACUUGCUUCUCUUCACUUCUAGGUUGGCUGGCUACGUUAUACCUAUCUCAGUUUAAAUGUUGUUCAAAUGUUGGUAUUUUGUCAUAAACCGUUUUAUAUAUAAAUGUAUAAUAUUUAUUAUAUAGCGGAAUUAUUACUUACAUCAUAGACGGCUAGGAAUGACAUUUUACUGACACAGAUAUUUUGCUCACCGACCCCAAUCUUCAUAUUUGAUAAACGAAAAGUUAUGCAUGGAGUAAAUAGGUGUCUUUUCACCAGUGCUUGGGAAUGACAUUUUCCCACUUAGCAUAUCCGAAAGGAUUUGGUUACACGUUUCUUAACCUAGGGGGUUGAACAGUGAAUGACGUAGACUAUUUUUUGUGUGUGGAAGGAGUACAAUGGAUGACUUGUAUAUUUCCAUAUUAUGUUUCAAAACAUCCCUUCAACCUAAAAAAUAAAAAAAUUAACAAAUUGAAGAACAGAGAAACCGAUGAGCACUACAAAUGGCCUAUUCGCACGGAAAAUAAAAUUGUUUUCAACAAGUUGGACUAAAUAUAAUUAACAAAUGGACAGCCUAAAAAGUAAUAUCAUAAUAAUUAUAAUAAUUGUGGAUAAAUAAUAAUAAAAUACUAAUGUAACAUAACCAUUAAACAGGGAAUGCAGUAGGAAGAUGAAAUCGCAAUAAGUUCGUAGAAAUUUUGGGAUCGUUUUUCUAAUUUUUGUGUAUUUAGUUAUGAAUUUUCCAAGAAAAAAGGUAAUAAAAUAAUAAUUUAGGGUAAAAUGGGAGGAUGUGGCCAUGUUCGGUAACGUACACUUGUGCAAGUAGUCAAAAGUGACGGGCUGAGAUCGCGCCAGGUGUCAUAUUCUUGUUAAUUUUGGAUUCUUUUGUUAAAAAAUCUUUGAAACUAGGUAAUAAAUAGUAGGAAAAUCGUAAAAAUGGCCCAAAAAUUACUCCGGCCUCCUUUUGACGUCCUAAAACUAGGAGAACCUAUAAAUCAUUCGUCUCGCAAUGAAAUAAUCCAAAUUGUGUUACAUAACUCACUUUCCUCUUAACCCUAAGUAUUGAUGUUUGUUAACUUCAACUUGAAUAACCUACUUCAACAAGCAUCUCCCGUUAAUAUUGGGAAUUAAUUUUACAAAUGCGUAACAAUGAAUCGGAGAAUUCAGCAACGGAGAUGGAGUGUCAAUGAGUUCGUAGCAAUUUUCGGAUAAUUUUUUUAUUUUGUGUGUAAUUAGUUCUGAUUUUUGUAAGGAAAAGUAAUAAAAUAAUAAUUUAGGGUAAAAUGGGAGGGUGUGGCCAUGUUGACUGACGUACACUUGUGCAAGUAGUCAUCAGUGACGGGCUGAGAUCGCGCCAGGUGUCCUUUUGCUAUUAUUUUGGCUUUUUUAGUGCAACAAUCUGUGGACAUAGGUAAUAAAUUCUACGAAAAUCCAAAAAAUGCCCGGAAAAUGAGAAAAUGAAAAUUAUUUGUACAUAACUCACUUUCCUCUUAACCCAAAUUCACGUUAACACGUAUAUUUCGGAUAAUAUUCGAAAUAUAAUUUCUAAUAAUACAAUAUUUAGUUUCACUAUAUACAAUAAUAUGUUUUUUUUAUAAUAAUGUACAUAAAUAAUAAUUGCACAUGCUUUGAAGCCAUCAUUGCAACUACGCCUAGAGCUUUGAAGACGUCAGUUCGUAUUCAAUAAGUUGUCCACAUGCAACUGCACCUAGAGUUUUCAACACGUCAGAGGUAUUCAAUAAGUUGUCCACAUGCAACUGCACCUAGAGUUAUUAACACGUCACAGGUAUUCAAUAAGUUGUCCAUAUGACGCCGCAUUGGGAAUCAGUAAUAUAUUUUCAAUCAUGUCAAAUCACAUAAAUAAUGCCAUACUUUUUCUCAAUAACCUCACACAAGUGAAGCAAUUUUAAAACCCUUAGUGAAUAUUUAUCCUAGUCUAUAUGAGUGAUUAUAUAAUCAGUUGCAUAAUAUUUUUUUCACAGUAUAUGUUAACUUUGAGAGGGAUUCCACAAACAUAAAAUAUAAAGAAAGCAAGAAAUAGUAGGAAAUGAACCAGUACAAAAAACAAUAUAUAAAGUGUACAUAAUAAUUCCAUAACCUUGUCACAAACGCACUCACAAAAGCUUUUCCAUAAACCUUGUCCUAACAUAUAAUAAAUAAAGGCAACAUUGCAUAUGAUGCAACCAUGUCCAAAUCUGAUAAGUGAUCAAAAACAAAUGGACAUGGCAGCAACAUAUGAUUGAAGUAGAUGGGCUCUUUGCAUCUUCUGUUUUCGUAAUUAAAGACAUCAAAAUAUUAAGGUUUAAAUCUUCCAUAGUAGUUAGCAUCAAAAUAGCUUUGAAGCAGAGUGUAACGAAAAUUCCAAUUCCACUUAUUUGCCUCUGCUCAAACACGAGAACCAAAAUGGUUACUUCCCUUGCUGAGUAUAUUUGGUGACGUCGGAAACGGUAAUAGAUGACCAAUCAAACCCGGGUACGACGAGUUUUGCAUAGGAUCGGAAGUAGUCGAAUCCAGCUUGCAUCACACGCUUCUUUGACUCCACUACAUUAGAUGAGUUCUUGUAUUUUUGAACAGCUACACUCUGAAGUCGUUUGUGUCUACGCUUCAUGCGCUGCAACUUCGCCCUAUCCAGAUUGGCCUGCCUUUUGUCAUCUUCAAUUUGGCCUUCCACAAAUUCCAAACGUGCCCUUGCCCUUUGGAUUUCAUCACCAAGUUGAAGAUGCCUCUCCUUCCAAAAAGCAACAACUCUUUCAGACUCAAAACUUCCAACAAAAUGGUCAUUCUGUCUAGCAAUGUGACAUUGCUUGUCUGGUGACUCACUUGCGUGUCGAAGCCGGUCUUUGUUUGGAGGGGUGUUUAUUAUACUCACAUCAAACUUGGUUGUGCUUAUGCUCAUUCUUUGGGGGGAAUGAGUUUGUUUGCUUGAGAGAGUAUCGGUAGAUGGAGACAGAUUCGGUGGAGGAGUGAGUUUUGUGUGGAAGGAGAUUUUAUAUGAAAGGGGUGAUAGUAAUACCAAGAAAAGGGUUCCCGCCAAAAAAUAUUUGGUUGACAAAGUAGAAAUUAUUUUUUUAGUCUGAUACAAUCUAAGUUUAAUCCUAACUAGUUUGGUUGAGUUAACUAAGUAGAUGUCACUUCCAUUGACUUUCUUUCAACAACUAUCAGUGGUGUAAGGAGAGUGUGAGGUUGACAUGCUUGAAAAGCAAAAGCUGACACCUAUUUUUAAAAAAUUCCCGCCAAAAAGUACAUAUGUUGACUACACACAAGCUUUGGUAUGUUGGUCUAUAAACCUAUGUUCCCUUUCUCAAACGAAAUUGCAUAUGCAAUCCUCAUCCUCCCAAAACAAAGAGGAUUAUUCAAGCAUGUCAACCUCUUCAGGCGCCAACAACACAAUCGAACAUGACAAAUUGGAGUCACAGGUUCUAUUUCCACAUUGUACUCGCCGACCCCUUCCUUUUUCAACAUCAUUUGGGAGUGAGGGGGACUCCGAUGAUCCAUUAGAGGCAAUACAUGCAGUCAGUGGCAAGCUGGAUUAUAAUUCCAGACUGAUCAAUUCAUGGCACGAGAAAUGUGUUGAAGACGAGGCAAUUUUGGCUGAUCUUAACAUUAGGGUGAGCAAAGCGUUAUCCCAAAAGAACAAGUACUUGAAGCUGAGUCAUAGCAGGAAGCUGAAAGCUGAGGAGUUGGAUACAGUAAUGAAUGAUGAAAUGAAAGGUUGUUUGAUGAACCAUAUGCGAUGCGAACAGCACCAUACUGAACUGGAGUUGGCAUUCAACGAAGGAUUCGACAAAUUCCGAGCAUUUGCGGCAACUACUCAUACAAGUUAUGAUUGGAACUAUGUGUCCCCUGAUGCUGUGAGAGAGAUACUAGACGAUGGGGGUGACAUGAAUGAGCAUAAGCACGUCAAAGCUGCUCGGAAGAAGCCGACCGAUACGACUAAGUGAUUGCGGCUACCGCUGUUCAGUUAGUUGAGGGUGACCGUGGUAUUGCACAUAUACUCCCUUAAUGUCAUUAUCUAACUUAAAAUAACACAAAUAUCAGUUUCAUUUGCUUGAUAUAUAAUUAUUGGGACUAUGUAUUGCAAGUCAUCAUGUGUUAUAAUGUCUAACAUUAUAUUUUGCAAAUAUGGAAAUAUUAUUCAAGAAGCAGUCAAUAUCACAGAAAGCCGGGAAUCAGUAAAUGCUCCUUAUCAUGUCCAUUUACAUUAAAGAGCUGGAGUACUAAUGUGUUCAAAAAAAACUGACACGUGAGUCAUAAGUAACAUAACAUGUGCUAUACAUUGUUUACUGAAUGGUUUAUGGUUUAUUUGUAUAUAAUAAAAUUUCAAAUAUUGCUGAAGAUUUAUUUCGUGUAUAUCACUAGGGAUAUGAGUGGCCAUAAGCAUGUGAGACCUGCUAAGAAGAAGCUGACGAGUACGACCCAGUGAUUGGCUACCGUUGUUCAGUUGGUUGGGGAGAUCGUGGUAUUGCUAUGAGGAAGCACACAAUAUGUUUUGCAAUCAAAUGUUCUUUUGUGUGUGGAAUUAUGAGUAUUUAUGUAAGUUAGUGUACCCUUUAAUAUUUUUCACCUAAGUAUCGAAAUGCAGUUUUUGAAUGUUAUGUUUUUUUUUACCCGCUGCUUUCUAUUUGCUCUGUUCCAACAAAGUGCUUCAAGUAUCCUUCACUUACAAAAGUGUACAAAAUCGUGCCCCUAAUAACCAGUCGGAAAAAGUGGCUACUGCUGGAAAUGAUUACUGGUAAUGGAAACAACAGCUGGCUGCUGUAAUUGCUGCAUUACCGUGAGGAUUUGAAAAAUGAAUCUCUGUUAAAACAAAUUUCACCCUAAACUGCCCAUUUUACAUGGUAAAAGUCAUUGCUUCUUCAAAUCUUUUGCAGCUACACGAUGCGUGGUCAGAAUCUUUGACAUAUACGACUUCUGCCACUCUUGUUUCCCAAUUUUUUCUUUCGCUCACGUUGAACACAACUUUACAAGCAUCCUCUGUUUUGAGCUCUAGGAAACAUGCUGUACUUUGUAUUAGUUCUUGCUCAAACUUUUGAAACAUUGUCCUUGUGUACAAGGUAGCCAUUUGUUUGUUCAUUGGCAUCGGUAGAAGACAUUGAGCCACUUCAAAUGCAUCUGCGUGAUCAGCAACUAACUCUUUUUCACGUUGAUGAGAAAGUGCCCUCUCAAAUCGUAUUAUGAAAUCCAUCAACGAAUUUCUCCUUGAUAUGUAUUGCUUGAAAAAACCAUGAGAACCUUCCGCUCUUUGGCUGCUUGACAUUCCAGCGGCAAAAAAUUGUCGUGCGUAGGCUGGAACCCAAGAUUCCCUUAAAUCAAACAUUGAACUUAGCCAUGGAUGGUCAGUCAAACCAGCCUUUGUAACCACAAUAUUCCAUUUUGCAUCAAACUCAUCCUUAUUGUCAGUAUCCCAUAUGGCUUUCUGAAAUUCAGGCCAAUACUCCUUAUAAGCGUCACGUGGUAACUUAACAGAGAACUUUGAUGUGAUGUGCUAUAUGCAAAGUCGAUGAAAUGUACUCGGGAAGGCUAUUGAAAUCGCUAUGGCCAUUGCCGCAUCUUGAUCUGUAAUGAUCGUUUUAGGUUCCCCACCUGGCAUGGCUUUCUUAAACUCCUCAAACAUCCAAACAAACGACUCAGUCGUUUCCUUGCUCAAAAAUGUGCAUGCUAACACAAUUGUCUGACCAUGGUUAUUAACUCCCAACAUUGGUGCAAAUGUCAAGUCGUAUCGAUUCGUGUUGAAUGUGGUAUCAAAUACAACAACAUCUCCAUAAAACCCAUACGCCCGUCUAGAAGUUGCAUCUGCCCAAAAACAUCGACUAAACCUAUCAUGCCCAUCUCCCUCAAUCUUGAAAUAAAAAGCCUCAUUUUUUUUCUGUUCAGCCAUAAAAUACUCGGUCACUAGUUCAACAUCGUGGUUCCUCAGCUUCCCAAUCACACUACAUUCAAGAUUGUAGAUAUCUUUUUUGAUAAAACCGAUUUUAUCCAUUCCUCCGGAUUGCACCUCGAAAAUACUUACCUUCUGAUGAAUGGGAAUAUUAACUGAACCCAACUGUUUUGUGAGUACUUUUGUAGAAUCUGAAAUAUGACGGUGUGAUCUCAAUAAAUGCAUUCUUUCUAAGGGUGUCAUCUUAUGAUUGUGUCCCUCUGCAAAAAGAGAAAUGUUAUACUUGUUGCUCCCAUUUGUCUUCACAACCACAAUCUUUGCUUUGCAAUUGCAUCUACUUAUUCCCCGUUGUCUUUUUCUCUCCCGAGUUUCAUCCUUCCUGUAUGCACCUUGUUUGCAACAUACAAAUUCUUUCCUCAAAAUCUCUUUCUUAUUUUUCCCCCAAAAGCUAGAAUGAAGUCGAAUACCAAAGCCAGCCAAGAAUGCAUAUCUAUUAUAGAAAUUGUAAACGAGGUCAAGCGAGUCAAACUUCAUCCCAACUGCUGGUGUUUCCUCAUUUCUUACUUCAGGAAUAUAAACCCUCCCAUUAGCUGUUGCACAUUCAUCACUCUCUGAGCCCCCAGACAUUUUAUCUACGUAUAUUAUUGAUCCACUUCUAUAUUACUGCAUAGCAAUUAUUCAUUCAUUAAUCAGUCAUUACUGCAUCACAACAUAUCAAUGCAUUCCACUUACACAAAACAUUGCCCAAAUUGACACAAAAUACGCAUAGCCUAACUUCCGAUUACACAAAACACAAGCAAAAUUUCAUAAAAGUUACGUCAUCUCUUGUGAAAUAAUCUGGUCAAAAUAACAUUAGAACCAACAUGUUCAACUAAGAACACAAAUGUAAUUCAAACCACCAAUUACAGAACUUCACCCAAUAUCCUCUCCAACUGCUUACUCCUAAUGUCAUUAAGCCUAAGUUUAGGUUCUUUUACCUACAUUUCAUAAUUUUUCACCCCGACCAACAACAAUGAACUAAGUAUAUUGAAUAUUCACAAGGAAAUGACACAUUAUUGAUGCCACAAAUGACGAAUUUCCCACCCUCACAAAAAAUAAACCUAACCCAAUAAAAUCAAUCCAGCAAGUGAACUUACCUCUCAAAAUCAAUCGAGAGCUCUGAAGUCAGUCAGCUUGAAAGAAUGUGGUGGACAUUAGAGAAGACUCUUUGGUAUUUGAGACUCCAUCUCUAUCAAAAUCGAGGAACAACUGCUGCUGCGGCUUCUAGCUACAAAAACAGAUAUGCUACUUUGCUUUCAUCUAGAAUCUUGUCAGCUGAAUGAAAAAGAGAAGGGGUUUUCACUUGAGCCAUAGAAUCAAAACAGGGCAACAGCUAGGUAAGAGCCAUUCUUCGUAAUACCCAGGAUACCAUAGAUCGCAGGCCUCCCAACGAGCUAAUGACAGUGGAGUGACUAUAAGGUUUGGGAGAUUUGGAUCCUUCUAAUUGUGGGUUUGCUUUACAUUCAAAAAGAAAGGAUUGUGUUCUUCAGUUUUUCACAGAGAGGGAAAGAGGGGAACAACUGAAGUUGGGUUUCUAACGGGUUAGAUUUCAACCCGAUUCUACAUGCACCCUCUUUUAAAAACUCACCGUUGGAUGAAAUCCAACGGCUCUUACAUACCCCUCAAAAACACCCCUUAUAACUUCCCACUCACUAUAGAAGCUCCCCCAACUAAAUCCCAAAAGGGAAACAGAUUUGAACAACAUACAAAUUUGAAGGACACACAAAUAUGAAUCUCAGCACCGGUGAGAAAUUAAUUUUAGUUGAGGUUGGUAGGUAGGCAUUGGAAGUUUUUAUUGUUUUUGCUCCAAGUCCCUCCUCCACUCACUAAUACAGAUUACUCGCAAAUGAACUAAAGUCUGCAGGGAUAUAUGGACUCCCCUGUCCAUACGAAUGUUGGAAGAAAUGUGUGUUAAAUUUUAGAGAGACGGGUCUGUGACCCACCACUAGCAACGUUGAUAUUGUCUCCAACUUAACUACAUGUUUAGUAGAUGUGGGGUUUUAUACAAAAAGUAUUGAUGUUAUUGGGAAUGGAACCACUUAUUAUAAGUUAAAAUUUAUUUAGUCAAGUUUCCUAUGUGGGACUUUCUAUUCUUCAACAAGCCCCUUCAUGUGGGACCACCACAUAGUGGGCCACACGUAGAGCCAAGUCCACAUCGGAGUCAAUCAUUCAAGCCCAAUACCUAAACACCACGUAUUGUGUGAGGGGUAGGGGUAAACAUUCAAGCCCAACAUAUGAACACUGUAACAUCCCAACUCCAAAUUUAAUCCCUUAUUUAAAUUAUUUAAGUGAAAUUACAAAUUUACCCUUGGGGUAGGGAUAUUUUGGUCAUUUUCUUACCCGAAAAGAGUUUGGGGCAGUGACUAGUAUUUUUUGGUAGAUCGUACUGAGAUGAGUCUGUAGACAUGUAGUGGGCUCGAUUCGGAGUUGAAACGAAGAAGUUACGAGCAAAACAUCACCAAUGGCAAAACCGUAAAUAUUUCAAAAUGAAUUUUUAAUAAAAAAAACCUGAAAAACCCUCUCUCUCUCUCUCUCUCUCUCUCUCUCUCUCUCUCUCUCCUGCGCACAGCCCCUUUCCCCCCUUCGUUUUUUCUUUCCGUGGCUUCCAAGAGCCACCAUCGCCACCACGAAUCACCACCGGCCAUGAGGCCGGACUCGUUCGAACUGCCGCCGCAUCCUCUUCCUGUUCCGGUCGCUCCCAGUCGCUGCCAUCCGCUGUGCUGGCCGGAAAUCGAAGAAAACCAGCCGAUUUUUGUCAAACUUUCGGCCGCUCGUUCUCCCACUUCCGGCCACCAUUUUGGCCAUCCAGGUAUAGAUUUUGAACCUCUCGAGCUGUUCUUGCUGCCUGUUGUGUUAGAUUUGGGAGAUUUCCGCGUUUUGAAGGUCGAUUAAACGAUGGAAGUUUGGCUGGUUUUUGGCCUCCGAUUCCGGCCACUUUCGGUCACUUUUUGGGGUAGGUCCAAGAACAAAAGUGGUUCCAAAUAGGGUGUUAUACCUAGGGUAGGAGUCUUGAGCCGUGGUUUUGAGAUUUCUCGGUGAUGCGUAAUCGCUUUGGACACCCAUACGCUACCGGCGCGUGUGGUGGCGCGUGGGCACUGUAGAAAUGGGGUAUUGUGUCCCGAUGCGAUCCCCUUGUUGUCACGAGUGUGUAGUGUGCUCGGAUUCCAAUUUGGUUGACAUUCGAACCCCGAACGAAUUUCUCCUAUUGCACGUUAUCCGCGUUUGAUAGGUUUGAACCGUUGGAUAGUCUUGAAUUUAAUAUAUUUAAUCUAAGCAUUUCUAGGAUCGUGUAGGAAUUCACGGAUCAUGAAUCGGAACCCCGGAUGUUCCGAUUUAAUAAUUUAAAGUUUAUGUUUAUAUUAACUGUCAGAUCGUGCAAUCGUGAGCGAUCCGACCUUCCGAUCCGGACCAAACGUGCAGGACGUAUAUCCUAAACCUUGUGGAACCUAUAGGAACUUUCGAAUCAGAAUUUAGAGGUCGUGGGCCUAGUGGCCCCGUUUGACCAAGUGUGGAUAGUUUGACCCUUGGUUGACCUUGAGUCUUCCAAGGUAGUUUUCCUUCCUAGAAGGAUUAUAAUGACCCUAAUGACAGGUCUUGAGCGUUGUUGAGCCAUGUUGACUAGGUUAAGAUUUUUAGAGUGUUUAUUAUUGUCGUAGGAAACUCUUGGACAUUAUUUUAAUAAUUGGAAUUAUAAAAGUGAGUUUUGGGUUCGGCUAUGACUUUAGUGAAUGGACUUUAUUUUUAAAUGAAUAGCAUGGCUUUGUGAUGGAAUUUUUAGGCAUGUGAAUUUAAUGGUUUAUUGAAAUUCAUUUUUAUAAUUAAUAGUUAAUUUAGCAGUUUUGGUAAAGUAUUAGUGAUGUGUGGGGUACUUGGGAUUUUGUUGAGGUUUAUACAAUAUUAGAGAUUAACUUAUAUAUUUAAAUAUAGGUAUGAAUGUAUGAAAAGAGUUUAGAAUGUCAGUUUGAAGUACUAUACGCACUACCCUAGGUACCUCAUCGGAUUUUGAUUACACUAUAAGUACCACCCUGUGAUUGUCAGGUCACCCAUGGCGUAGGAUUUUCCGGCGGAAUGACAGACCCCAUACGUGACGUUGGAAUUUCCGGCGUAUGGGGAGAUGAUAUUAUGAUUGUUAAGUCACACGUGGCAUAGGUUAUCCGGAGUGCUGACAGACCCCAUAUGUGGCGUUGGAAUUUCCGGCAUAUGAGGAGAUUAUGUGAUUGUUAAGUCCCACGUGGCGUAGGUUAUCCGGCGGGAUGAUAGACCCCAUACGUGGGGUUGGAAUUUUCGGUGUAUGGGGAGAUGAUAUAAUGGUUAGGUCACAUGUGGCGUAGGAUUUUCCGGCUUGAUGACAGACCCCAUACGUGGCAUUGGAAUUUCUGGCAUAUGGGAGAUUAUGUGGUUAUUAGAGAGAUGAAUUAAGAUUAUUAUACUGAGUUGGGAACGAAUGAUGUUUGAAAAAGAUUUUGUUUGGGAUUUCUGCAAUUGAUUGCAUGUUGAUGGACUUGGAAAUUUUGUAUGAAAGAACUACGUGUGGCUUGAUCCCUUAGUAAGGGUACAUAUGCAGCUUAGGGUAGUGCCUAGGUGCAGCCGUGUGCUAAACUUUACUCAUGUUGUGUGAUGGAGAUUCGUUCGGACCUUGUUGUUAGUCCUGAAUUUUAGGUGAAAAUGAGAUGCAGUCUUGUUAGGAGGUUUAAAUUUUCUACGUUUAAUAUUUGGGAAUUUAGAUGAUGGAAAUCGCAUUUGGCGUUCAUAAAUGUGUUUGAGUUUAUAUUUGCAUUGUUUAGAGUUAGUUGGUGGUUUCGUUUCGAAUUAUUUGAAGGCCGAAGGCUGAUUAUGUGAUUUAUAUGAAAUUAUCUUGUGCAUACUGCCAGUUGUGAAUAUCAAAUGUGUUUUAUGCACGUUGAAAUUUUUAGGAUUGUUCAACUUACAGGGGAGACUGCCGAAAUUUCGGCAUAAAAUCUCGUGCCCUUAUUCCUUAUUGGGAAAAAUGAUUUAGUUUUAGAAGUGGGUUCGACAUCGGGGUGAUGUCGGGAAUUUUCACAGGAUUCAUCUCGGGUUUCGGGAAAUUCGGGUCGGGUCCUGUCAAACACCACGUAUUAGGUAAGGGUAAAGGCUCAAUUCAGGCCCAGUCAAUCAACCCAUUAUGAUAUCAUGUUAAAUUUCAGAUAGACGGGCCUGUGGCCCACCACUAGUAACAUUGAUAUUGUCCCCAACUUAACUACAUGUUUAGUAGGUGUGGAGUUCUAUACAAAAGAUCUCGAUGUUUUUAGGAGUGAAACCACUUAUUAUAAGUUGUAAUUUAUUUAGUCAAGUUUCCAGUCAACCUGACUUUGAUACCAUGUUAAGAUUUUAAAGGGACGAACUCUUGGCCCACCAUUAGCAAUAUCGACAUUGUCCCCAACUUAACCACCUGUUUAACAAGUGUGGGGUUUUAUCCUAAAGAACUCGAUCUUAUUAAGAGUGGAGCCAUUUAUUAUAUGAAACUUUCUAUUUUGUUAACUCUGUGUAUUCUUCAUCAAUGUGAACACCCCUAAACCAAUCAUACCUGAUACGGAUUGAAACACAAGUUUGUUUUUUGCCUUUGGUAGAUGAGUAGCUAGAAAAGCUCAAUGCACUUGCUCUUCUUCUGCUACAUUUCAAUAUAAGAACAAGGUUUGGAAGCCAGGUCAACUCCUCAUAGUUUCCUUGCCUUUGCUUUGACAUGUCUAUGCACUUCUUGGGGAAGUUUGAAUAAUCAAUUGCAGGCCCCACGACAACUAAGGAACCAACAUUUUGUAGAAGGUUUUGUCUACACCUUUUGACUAUAAGUAAAAUCUUUUGUAUCUGCUCUUAUGUUUCGGUGAAGUUUCUAUGUGUCCUUUGUUGAACGAAAAAAUGAGGUUGUUUCUUACUAGAUUCAAAUACUUAAAAGAAAAAAAGAAAUUAUUGUUUCUUAAUUGAUUUUAUGGUGAACAAUAUCAAACUCUCCUCUUAUACGUCUUCUUCGUUGGACUUGGGGUUGUUUUCCUUAUAUGUCCCUUAUAUAUAUAGGGCCUUUGGUUGAGCCCACAAAUACCUUCAGUUAGUUUUUGGGUUUAGGGGCCUACAGAACCUGCACUAAACAAUAAAAGAAAAUACCUAAUUAGUUUAGUACGAAUUCUAUAAUGAAGGCUUUAUUAGGUAAGAUUUUAUUUCUUAAUCGUUAGAUCAAAUUUGACAGGACCCGUUCCUGAAUUUCUCGGAAAUCAGAGCGAACCCCGUCCUUGUUUCGACAUCACCCCGAUGCAGGGUCCACUUACUAAAAACCGAGACUUUCUACCAAAAUUUUGAUAGAAUCUCCCUUGUAAAUUGAGCAAACCCAACAAAAAUUUCAGCCUGCAACAUACAUAAAAAUAAUCCCAACCAGCAGCAUGCUUACAACAUACAACAAAACGUACUAAAUGGCCUCCGGCCUCACAAGUAAAAUUUAACAUGGGUAAUCUACUGAUGUAAACGAUUCGGCCUUCGAACACUGCUUGCAACCUUCCUGAAGCGACUACUGGCUAAGGGGCGCAAAACAGAAAACAUGUGAGUGGACAAAAACAAGAUUCAAUUAAAACAACAUAGUAACCCCACCGUGUAAAAAUAAUGCUCAAGACAUGUAGGUUUACAAUUCAUAAUUAAAUAUUCAAAAACAAAUUUCAUUUAAAAUUCUUUAAAACCACAAAUCACUCCAUCCAUAAAACCUCAUGCCCACAAUUUUACUGCUCCUACCAACCCACUGUAUAGACUCUAAUUUCUUCACAAUCACAACUAUAUAUAAAUAUAUAAAUUGUAUCAUACAACAUACUCCUCACACUACUUAGGUACAGGGGAAACAAUCCAACCGGAGGAUCGUUUAACUAGCCCGCAGGAUUUUCAGGUGCUAUCCUGAGUCUAGGAAUGAGUGGUCCAACCAGGGGACGAAACUCUAUAGCUCACACACCGGAACAUCCAACGCCACGUGUAGCUCCAAUACUAAGUCCUACAGGCACAGACUGGAUCACCACACACCGGAACAUCCAAUGCCAUAUGUGAUAAUCCCAAGCAAUAUACAGAGUCUUCCCAUACGUCGGAACAUCCAACGCCGCGUAUGGAAAGUGUUCACACGCCGGAACAUCCAACGCCACGUGUGGGAAGCCUAUUAACUGGGGAAAGUACUUACAUAGUGUAAUCAUACAAUUUCUCUCAACAACUCCUCAUACUCAAGUUCUUCCACAAACUCACCUCAACAAUCCCAAGUACCCCACCUAUAGACAAUAUAUAUAUAACUUCCCCAAAAUCUAUACAAAACAUACUCUCGAUAUCCAAAUAUGCCAAACUCACAAUAUAUUGCCAAAGUGCAAUACAAACAUCAAAAUCAACACAUGAAUAUAAUAUAUAUUCAAUAUACCAUUUAAAACAUUAUGCGUAAAUCUUUCAUCAAUAAAACCAUGCGUAUGAUUGAAAACAAAGUCCACUCACAAGUAUUCCUACGCUGCUUGACCACGAGAGAGUCCUGCCUGCUGAGUACGUGCAGUAGGAGCACCUAUUUUGAGAUACAAACCUUUAAUUAAUAUAAAAUUACUUCAAAACGGAAAACACAAAUUAAAUACUUAAAUCCCCAAGUUCCCAGUACAUGUACGUUGAACGAGGUAUCCUAAGGUCUAGUUACAAGUUUGGGAAUCGCUCACGAUUGGACGGUUAUCGCUAACCCACAAAUUUUGAAUUAUUGAAUCGGAACAUUCGGGGCUCCGAUUCACGAUCCGUGAAGUCCUACGUGAUCCUAGGAAUACCUAAAACAACAUAUUUUAAUUGGAAAACGCACAAUAUGCGAAAAUCCGUUCGAUAGUCAAACGAUGUCCGAAUUGAGAUUCGCAAAAUGCUACGCACUCGUGACAACCUGAGGAUCUCAUCAGGACAAAGUGCAACUUCACCACCCUCACCCACGCGCCGGCAGCGCGUGGGUGUGUAGAGUAAAUUCCGGCGAUGGAAAAACUCCACACCUACUUGAGGUCAGGAUCUCAUCACUCAACUACAGGGAGGUUCAAUUAGGACGGCAACUGGCCGGAAUUUCACUUUGAAAUCCAGCCAAAACUUAGGUUUUCUAAUCGGUUCCUAGACAACAAAUCGAUCUAAACCUAUGCAACAGUCAGCUAGACUAAGGAAAAAGAGGAAGAAACCUCACAUUUUUCACUGGAAUCGGAAGGGAGAGGCGACGGGGCGACGUCGGGAAGACUCGGGUUUGAACCAGUCGAUGCCGUUGACGAUUCUCGCAUUUUUCGGGGGGACUUUGGGUGGUUCGGGUUAGUGGCUUCACGACGAGUCGAACGGGACCGGUCUCGGGGGCUGGGGUGGUCGGGUGUGGUGGCGGUGUGGUGGUUUUCGUCUCGGUGAACAGUAACAGGGGAGGGUUUCGCACGCGCAGAGAGGGACUCGGGAGAGAGAGAGAGAGAGAGAGAGAGAGAGAGAGAGAGAGGAGAGAAAAGAAAAAUUAGAUUUUUACUCUCCUCUUUUCAAAAUAUUUACAAGUUUGCCACUAAUGAUGUUUUGAUCGCCAUUUUCUUGUUACAACUCCGAUUCAAGCCUACCGCAUGUCUAGGAAUUCAUCUCAGUACCACCUACCCAAAAUUACCAGUCAUGGUCCCAAACUCUUCCCGUAACAGAAAAUGACUAAAAUACCCCUACCCCAAGGGUAAAUUCAUAAUUUCACUUAAAUAAAUUAAAAAUAGGAAUCAAAUUUGGAGUCGGGGUGUUACAAAAUUGGUUAGUACGAUCCAACGGUUAAUAGAUAAAACUUUACAUAAAAGUCAUAUAUAAGGCCCUCACUAUAGAAUGACUCGUUAGUUUAGUCUCUUGUUACAUAUCAACUGUUAGAGAUAUUUUUUUAAUAAGGAUCUACCAUACCACAUAGUUGGAUAAGACAUUAUACACAACUUUUGUAAGAGCAUCUCCAGCGAGCCAGGCCAGCCCAAGCAGCAAGGGGCCUUAAGCCCGGUAAGCAGCUCCAGCGCUCAAGAUUCAGCCCAGGCAAGGUGUGGAACCCACAAGGAGAUCUGGCCCGUCACCUUGCCUUUGGGUUUCAGUCAGGCUGAUGUCAACGAAAGAAUUUCAAAAAAAUUUUGCCGUUGCAAUGCACGCGCCAACGAUAAAUUUUCUUUGGAUUUCUUGCGUUGAUCCACAGCUACCAAAAACCAACGGCUACAAGCCACGUGGCUUCUCCAAGAGCCUCUGAUCCAAAAAUCUUGUCAAAUCUAACGGCUGUCCAUUUUUUGGCUAAAAAAAUAUCAAAAAAUUAUGGAAACAUUUUCUAUAAAUACCUACAAAUAUUAUUCACUUCCCACACCAAACCUUCAUACAAAUUCAUAUCCUUUCAAUAUUUUUCACUUUCCACACAAGAUUUUCUACUACUAAAUUUCAUUUGUGUAAAAAUACAAGUGGCCUCUUCUAUCAAAGCCGGAGGCGCGUGGACAACCGUGGAAGAUAUUUUGUUGUGUGAGUGUUGGGUCAAAGUUGGUCAUUGCCCGAUCACCGGCAAUGAGAUGAAGUCCUCUCGUAGGAGUUUCUGACAUCGCAGCGAAAGUAAGAUGUGAUAUGAGAAUGUAAGGAAUUUGAUGAGAGGAAUGGGAUUUGAGGAGUUUGAUGUAGGAAUUGAUGUUGAAUUGGAUUUGGGAGGUAUGUAUAUAUGAUUUGAGAGUAUGUGUUUAGGGAUUUUGAUAGGAGGAUUUGAGGAAUUUAGAUUUGAGGGAUUUGGAUUUGGGGAAUUUAAAUAUGAGGAAUUGAUUUAGGGUUUGGGUUUGAAUAUGAGAAAUUUGAUAUGAGAGUUUAGAGACAACUGAUGAUUGAUUGCUCUAAUACCAUGCUAAAAUAUAAAUAUGGUUUGAAUACUUUAGGUUGAGUUUUAUUCUUUUCCAUAAGGAGGUAUAUAUAGCAGUUUACAUGAGUGUUUUACAAGGAAAUAGAUACAGUAAUCAAUUAGGAUAAUAUCUCCUAAUUAUACAAUAAUUUGUCAACUAUAUAGAAUAGGAAAGUAAAUUCCUUAAUUAAUCAAGAAAAUAAAUCUCAUUGAUUAAUUAAGAGACUAACGUCAACAUUUAUAAGCCAUGGAAGAGCAGAAAAAGAGGUACUUAGGAGAUUUUAUACGUCGGACUAAGGUAAGCUUAAAGGACUAUAUCAAAAAAAUAAGGGACCAAGAAGCAAGACUGAGAAGUUGUUAUGCAAACCCAUUAAGUUUAGCAGUGAUGAAUUUGUAAAAAUCAUUCUAGUGGAUGCUGCCUUCACUAUUGAGUUCUUAUUGAGGUUCUAUCUGAAAGGAUGUAGACAUGAAGGAGACCGCUUAUUAAACAAAUCAGCUCCCAUUCUUUAUUCUUGAGGAUCUUUAUCACACAUACAUAAUAACCGACUCUUUUAGGAAUUAUUACAGUACUCAUGAUCAUGAGAGGCUUUCAAUAAUUAAUAUUUCUAAGAAUUUCGUCACAGCUGGAAUAUUGAAUUUGGAGGGGAAGGGAGACAAAUGGAACAGAAUAUCAUCUUCUUCUAGUGUUGGAAAUUUUAUAUUAUUUAAUAAUAUUUAAUUUCUAUUGUGAAUGAAAAAUAAGUUUCUUUAAGAAACGUGUGUCUUAGGCCAGUUUUUCUAACUGGUCGGCUUCCUUAGAUUUGUGCCUAUUGCUUUUCAAAGUAUAAUGAUGCAAUGGUUGUAUCUCGUUCAGGCAAAUGGAAGGUAUAUAGCAAUUUAUAGAACAAUACAGUAAUCCAGAAGAAAUAUUAUGAAAUGAAAAGAAUAAAAAGUAAAAAAAGAGAAGGAAAGGAAUUCCCACCUGCAAUGUAUAUGUAUGAAAGGAAGGACCAAGUUUGUUUUAAAAUGGUAAGAACAAGUUGAUUUAUAAUUGGGUUCAGAUCAACUCAUGGAUUUCUUGCCUUUUCUAUUCUCCUUCCUUGGACAUGAACUGUUUAAUCUUGGCUCUUCCCCAUCAUGUUGGGCCUAUCUUCUUCUUGAGGAUUGUAUAGGCCCAGGAAAUGCUUCAAGAUAGUUUUUGUGUUUUGGGCAUUGGGACCUAACUUCACAAAAAGAAAACAGAUUUGGCCAAAAAACAAAUUUGAAGGACAUUGAAAUUGUACCUGUAGGAUAGGUUAAAACACUGUAAGGGAGGUAAAUAGUACGUUUACAUAGUUUAAGUGUAAUAAAGGAAUAAAAACAUGCCCAGAGGAUUGAUAAGUGAUAUCAAUUCUUGAAUAUAGAGAACGUAAAAUAAAGGAACACGUAUAAAAUUAUUUUAUGUGGUAAAACCCCAUCUCUAGGGAAAAUCCACGGGACUUCUUAGUCCAAAACAAAUCUAUUAUAGAACGAUGAUUACAAGAAGUACUCACACACUUAUCCUAGACACAUUCUAGAUAAUGUUUACUGACCUCUUCGUAACUCAACUUCUGUCACAGGAUGAUCUUUCGACACUUCUUAUGUUGAACGCAAUACUAGUCACGAUUUCUUUCAAGCUCAUUGGAGAAAAACCGCCACAACAGUCUCGGUGCCCUCAAUCUUAUGAGUCACUGAACAUGCAAAUGAAUACAAUAUGAAUGAUAAAAGUGUUUGAUAAAUCACCAAGUUAUGGAACACUUGAUGAUUUAUUUCAAGUAAAAAUUCAGCUUUCCAAAGUUUAUGAAUUGAAAAUAUGAUCGUUAAAGCUCUCUAAACAAAAAAAACGAAGGUCUUAUUUUAUAGACUUUUUCUUUACAAGAAAGAAAACACGUUGAAAACCAAAUCUCCAAUUUCAAGGCUUGACAGAAAAUCACAAAAGUAUCUUUCCUAUUCUAGAGAUUGGUCACAUGAAGUCCAACCAAUAGGAAAUGAGAUAUUUAAGAAAGGAAGAUUUUGAUCAAUAUCAAUAUCAAAUGAAUUCUUAUAUGCCUAGUCAACUAUUAAGGGUAUCUUAACUACUUGAUAUUAUGAUAUGAUUGAAACAUGAUUUCCACGUUAGAAAAUUAAGGGGAUUUUAAAACAUGAAAGUAAUAGGAGAAUCAAAUUGAUUUGGACCAAAAUUGCCUAAAAAGAAAACACUCCUAAAUAAACUUCAAUUCACUUUUAAAAACAGUAAAACUUGAUUGAAUCGUUCUUUAAAACAAUUCCCUAAUAUACAUGCAUGAUAGUGACAUCACUUACCUCUGAAUCAGAUGCCUUUUACGAGUCAAGCCACAAGUUUGUGUUUUGGGGAUUGCUGAGCUGCAUCAAUCCUGCCAAUGUCAAUUCUGCCCCUAGGCUCUCUCAAAGCACGUUUACAAUCUAUGCUAAUAUAUACUAGAGUUUAUGCUAGUAUCUAGAAAAUGCCAACACUAAUUUCGUAACACGUAGAAAUUGUUAGAGAUUGGAAGUUUUUUUCAUUUUUUUCUUCCAGACUCUCCACCACUCACUAAUACAGUUUACUCAUGUGAUGAAUUUACAAAACCUAUUUCUCUACUCUCACAAAGACUAUACUUAGGGGGGGUGUAUUCAAUUAGGAGUCUAGAGCGUUUAAAAAGAUUUUGUUUAAGUGCCAGCUUUCAUAGAACUUGAUGGAACUUUAUAAUUCGUAUAGAACUUGAUAGACUUUCAGAAGACUUCUGUAUAAUUUGUUAAUAAAACUUUCUUAAGCUUUCAUAGAACUUGAUAGGCUUUUAUUCCAGAAUUAUGUAGACAGUAUAUUUCAUUUUAUCCCCAUCCUUGUCAUUUAAAGAAAGAAACUUGAAUGUUUUCAAUCAAAUUUGUUUUUGUUACCAAAGCAAAAACAAAAAGUACUUGUUUGCGAAGGAAGAACAUAUGCACAGUUCAAAAUGAAAAGAAUAAGAAGCAAAGUACCUAUUGGACCAAUGAAUGCUGUGUCAACUAGAGAAGCAAUUGGAUCGGCUGUCAAAGCCAAUGCUACAGGCAAUGCAUCGAUGGUCCAAAUUGCAAUAAAAAAUAUUUUGUAUAAUGGUUCUUGCAGACAAAGACCACAUAAAUUCUGGACUGGUCCAGCUUGAAUAAUAAGGUUAGAUUAGCCGAUGGAUGAGAGUAAAAGCAAAGAAAGUUGAUGAAUUCAUCACCAAUUAUUUAAUAACUGUAACAUCCCACAUUGACCAACGGAGAGGGGGUGAUGUGCCUUAUAUGUACAUGCCCACUUCCAUCUAGCAUGAGUCCUUUUGAGAGCUCACUGGCUUCGGAGUCAUGGGAACUCUGAAGUUAAGCGAGUUGGGGCUAAAGCAAUCCCAGGAUGGGUGACCCACUGGGAAGUUGCUCAUGAGCUUUAGAAACAAAAAUCAUGAGGGCAUAAAGGGAGGCCCAAAUUGGAUAAUAUCGUGCUACGGCGGAGCCGAUCCCAGGAUGUGACAAUAACCAAUAGAGUAUUUAAACAUAAACAACAAUGUUUGAUAAACAAAACAAAUAGUCCAAAUAUUAUCCAAAAAACAAUUCUAAAACCAAUCAUUCCAAACAAACUAGUCAUUCCCAAAAACUCUCAAAAAACCCACUCAUUCCAAAUUAUAGGAUAUCCAAUUUGAGCGCUCCUCAGGAGACAUUUUCAAAAAUGCAUCCUUUUUUGUGUUACUAUGCAACAAAGAGAGCGCUUUAUAAUGAGCACGUUCAUCCAAAUUUGAGGUCUCCUUAAUGGCAUCCCACAUAUAACUCUGCUGCUCUCGCUCUUUUCCCCUUUUUGCCAAUAGGUUAUGGACCUCCCGGAAGUCGGUGACAAUUGAAUCAAUGCUAAGGCUAAUUCUUCCCAUAGCUUGUUGGGUGGUCACAUUUGAGAUGGCAUUCCCUUCCAAAUCUAUUCUAGUUCGUUUCCUCUAGUAACAAGCAUAAAUCCUAGUAACAAGCAUAAACCCUAAUCCCAACCUAUAACCUAAUAACAAGAAAAACACGAUGAAAAAAAAAUCAUGGAAAAAGAAAACCCAACGAGGUAUUGAUCAAAAAAAAAAAUAGGGAGCAUACCUUCACAGAUGGAGGAAGGAAGCUGUUUGUCUUCACAGAGAGAAAAGCUAGGGAAAGAGAAAAACGUCUGAUGAAAUACUUUGGGGGGAGGUUGGAUUUCUUUUGGUCUUUGAUAUUUAUAACUCUCCCCUUAAAACCUACAAAAAUUUAUCACUUAAUGAAAUCCUUCCAAAUAUAUGACCUUUCGAAUACACCUAGAUUUGAUUCAACUUUUUUAUAAUCCUAAUUGAAUACACCCAUAUUUGAGUGGACUUUUUAAAAGUUCAUAUAAGUCCGAAUUGAAUACACCCAGACUUGUAAAACCUCUUUUAAAGUUUGUAUAAAUCCAAAUUGAAUACACCCGGAUUUUUAAAAUAUUUUUUAAACGCUUUAUAAUCCUAAUUGGUACAUCCCCCUUAUUCUCAAAAGACUAUAUCACUUUACCUCUAUCUCUGUGAAAUGUAAAAAGUUGAAACUUUAAUGUCAAACCUCGACAAAAGAUGAACUUCCAUCAGUUGCGUUGAAUUUGGAUUUGUUGAACUAAAGUGGUUUUACUUUCUCUGUCAGUGUUUGAUGACUUAAUUUGGUAUUUACUUCUUUUUUUCCUUGGAAAUGUGUUCCACCAACGUGAGGAAGAAAAAUGUGCACAAAUUAAUAUAUUUAAUAAAAGCCCAAGAUUUCGGAAGCACAUAAUUUCUACAAAAAUCUAGAAAGUGUUCUACUUUACAAACUUCUUAUGUCUAUCAAUUUCUACUAAAAUUAAUUUCUCUGUGGUGCUCAGAUUCAUCAUAUGUGUGUCCUUAAUUUUAUUGGAAAUUAGAAGUUUCCAUAAUUUUUAUUUUUUGGGAAUUUUCUGAACCAAGAAAAAUCAAGUAAAAUUAAUAAAGCUUAAAUUGGAAAGGGAAAAUAUCUAGAGGACGCAUUGUAGGAUUUCUCAUGCCGAUAAUUGUACCCUCUAAAUAUAUAGGGACAUAUUUUUUUUGUUUUCAUGACAUGUGGUCCUAAAAUUAUUGUUCCUAGCGGGCUCUCCACCCCCUCUCAAAUUUACGUGGUCCAUUAUGAUUAACCAUAUAUUUUAUUGACCAUCCAGCUGUGAGGUUUUAUCCCAAAAACCUUAGGUACAUUUCUCAAUUAUGUCUGAUACAUCACAUCAUGCCACAAUUGUAUAUUCACAAUUAUGUCUGAUACAUCACAUCAUGCCACUUGCCUCAAAUGAAUUUAAGUGAGUGUGGCAGUGGGAAGUAAUUACUUCUAGGUGCCCCUCAUCAUUCGUCUAUAAAAUGGUGAAGCCAGUGGCUAUAAGAGCCAGCUCCAACUUUCUUUUAUUCGUCUAUAAAAUGGUGAAGCCAGUUGCCAAGUUAAUUUCAGUCCUAAUGGGGUUUCAUCUCCCACUCAUCUUUGCUAUUCUCAGUGUAAGCUCUGCAAUUUGAUUAACUUUUCCAUUCUCUCUCAUUGUACUCUAUAUAAACGAAAGUUUUGUGUUCCUAUAAUUCUCUUUGAUUUUAUUUAGUACGUACUUAAGUGUCGUCCACUAAUUAAUUACAGUUUGUGAGAUUUGAUUUUAAUUAGAGUUCGAAUUAAUGUUGCAGCUAGCAGUGGUUGCACUGGCAAACCAUGCUGCUCAACCAGCACCUCAACUUUACUGGAACUCCGUCCUGCCAAACACACAAAUGCCAAGAUCUAUCAGUGAACUUCUGCAUCCUGGUUUGUGUUGAGCUCUUUAGAAUCUUAGAUAUCUCUUCUACCUGCCAUUUUACUAAAAUAUGUUCGACCACAUAUUUAUCAGUUAACUACUGUCAUUACAUGAGUGACACUUAUUCACAAAUCGGCUGAUCACUUAUUUUCCAUUUUACAUGAGUGAUAUAUAAUUUGCAGACUCCACAAAUGAAGAAAAUAUCGUGAAUGCUGUUGGGAAUGGAAAGCGCAAACCUGAAAUUUUCCCAUUGAGAAAUAUAAAUUACGUUCAAAGCCAUUAUGGAGUGUUAAAUAGAAAUUACGUUCAAAGCCAUUAUAAAAAACGUCCUCCUCCACCUGAAAAUAUCCCAUUUGCAAAUCGAAAAAAGUACGCACUAGGUUCUCCUCCAUCUGACAAUCAACUACUCCAUUAUAAAGAGUUAGCUAUUUUCUUCUUCGAGAAGGACAUGCGCCCUGGCGCAACAAUGAAGUUCCAAUUCCCUAGAAAUUCAAACACGGCUACUUUCCUGCCACGCGAAAGUGCUCAAUCGAUCCCCUUCUCCUCUAACAAACUACCAGAAAUUUUCAACCAUUUUUCAGUGAAGCCAACAUCUGUGGAAGCCAAAACAAUUAAGCAAACAAUCGAAGAGUGUGAAGCUCCAGGCACUAAGGGAGAGGAAAAAUAUUGCGCCACAUCUUUAGAAUCAAUGGUUGAUUUUAGCACUUCGAAGCUUGGAACAAGAAACGUUGAAGCAGUCUCGACGGAGGUAUUGGAAAAAGGAGCCACCAUGUCCAUGCACAACUAUACAACAAUGCCGGGACUGAAGAAGUUGGCAGGUGACAAAGUCGUUGUGUGUCAUAAGGAGAACUAUCCCUAUGCUGUGUUUUUCUGCCAUGCAAUAAAACAAACAGCAGCUUAUGUUCUCUCCCUGAAAGGCGAUGAUGGGGAGAAGGUUAAAGCAGUAACCAUCUGCCAUCUAGACACAUCAGAAUGGAACCCAGAGCAUUUGUCCUUCCAAAUCCUCAACGUUAAGCCCGGAACCGUUCCCAUCUGCCAUUUCAUUUCCACUGAUGCUAUUGCCUGGGUUCCAAAACACAAAUUUGCAUGAUCAUCACUUAGCACUGUGGUGUAAGAUAUAUGAUGAGAUAAAGUUUUUGGUAUUAGUGGUCGGGUUGCCUGAAAAACACAGAUUACAGAAACUGCUUGAAAUUAACCCGAUCAUGUUUUCUCUUGUAAGACUUCAACUUGUACUCCUAAAGCAAGUUAUAUUUAUGAAGAGAUAUUAAUCUAUAUAUAUUUUAUGUAUAUAUAUAUAUAUAUAUAUAUGCUUUGGCUUUGUGGUUCUACCCAGUGUUUGAGUGUUGAAUUGUUACGUUGGAAUAGGCUGAUAAUGCGUGUAGUUAGAGAAGCCUUCAUUUAUAUCAAAGUCCUCAAACUAUCAAGAACUAAUGUAUCCAGAAACAUAUACCAAGACGCAAAACAACAUAUUUUCCAUGCUCUGUCUGUAACGCCAAAGCAAACUUCCUUUAUCACAUCAUUUAAAGGAUCAAAUUCCAGUACUAAUCUAAUCCAUCAUGUAAAGCAUACAAGUGCCUCCCUAAAUUUGUCCAUUGGAUAUAAAUGUUGAGAAAAUUAGAGUACACAACUCUAAUAUGAUAGUUGUACACAACUCUAAUAUCAUAAAGCAAACAAAAUUUCUAAGUUAGUUUGCUUUAUGAUAGUUGUUUUUUGAAGGGGUCCUUAGAUCCUAUCUCAAAAAGUUUGGCUUUUAUUAGGUUUAACUCUGGUUUUUAUCUCUACCCACUAACUUUUAUCUCUCAUUUUUAUUACCCAUUUUACCCUUUAAAAUAAAUAGGGCAAUAAACUAAAAAUUCUGAUUUAAUGCAUGUUUUACUCAUAAGAGAACUAAAAACUAAAAAUUCUAUACUCUAACACAAAAAAUGAAAACUAAAAACUAAAAUUGAAAUGGUUUCAAGCAAUUGCAUGUCAGGCGCUAUAUAUAAUGUAUUAGCCAUGGUUUGUUUAAUACGCGGUCAUUCGUCAUUUUCCCAUUCAAAAUAUUGAAAUUACGAACUACAUACCAUGAAAGAUAAGAAACUAAAAGCUUCAAGCAAAUAGAAAUGUGCUACAAACAUAGUAAUGAAGAUGUGGAAGCAUUAUCUCAGACGAAUGAUUCUGAAGUGGAAAAAACAAGAACAAAAAAGGAAGUGAGUUAAAUUUGCACCUGCUAUGUUCAAACGACAAAGUUGGUUUCCCUUUGGUCGAUUACAAGAGAAGCUCAAUGCAGCUUACUUGGUUCCUCUGGUAGAUGAAAAUAUAAUUUUUCUCCUAAUAAUAAGGGUAUAGUGCAAUCAAUGAUGGGCUGUAUAGAACAACUUUUUUGUUUUAUGUGUUUAUGUGAGACAUGUUUUGCCAGAUUGAAUUAAUGUCUUCUAGCCAUGUACCUUAUCUUUUUGCCGGGCCAUGAGUUGAAUGUAGAGGCAAAGUAUGGACUUGGGGUCAAGUUUGACUUGUAAAAUAAUUAGGAAUUGAAUGGCUCCUACGUUCAAUUAUUUUAAUUUUUUUUCCCGAGCCAUUCAAUUCCUAAUUAUUUAGAUUUUCGAUUUAGUGAGCAUCCACAAUCAUGCUCUCUAUUUUUAAGUUAAAUUUUAGUUAAAAACAUAUAAAAGUUAUUUAGGAGCUCUCUAUAAAAUUUAAACUUCAAUCGUUUUCUAUAGUUUAGGGAGUCAUAAAUGUCAUAACUCUUUUUUGAUUGGUCCAUCUCUAUUAAAAAAUAAAAUAAAAAAUAGUUAGCAUGAAAUAAAGGUUUGAAAUACUCAUUAAAUAAAGCAGCAUUAAAUUAUAGGGAGCCACUAAGAGUCCUUUCUCUCUCCUCAAGUUUAGGAGCUCCUAGAGGUCUCCCUAUUUUAAGAGGUGGAUAGGGAGUAUGGUUGGAAUUGUAUUUUUACAAUUCCUCCCUAAAAAUUUUCUAUGGAUAGGUGGUUUUAAGGAACCCAUUGUGGAUGCUCUGAUCUCAAAGAAAGAAAACCUCGAGUUUGCAAGCAAGUUUUCUACGUAUGUAUAUAUGAAAAACUGACAUUUAUGAAAAUAAUAAAUCCAUAUUUUUAUGUAAGCCAACUUUCUAAAUCCAUGUACUAUAUUUAUUAGGGAAAUAUUGGAGAAACUGAUUAUUUUGAAAAAUUAAAUGUGAAAAACUGAACAAAAAUUUGACAGGUUACAUAUUUCAACUCAUUCAGCAGCUUAGGUUGUGAAGACCUCAGAAGAGGCUAUGCAAUGAGCCUAGCUAGUGCACUGUUGAUCACUUCAGUGUUUACCGAUCUGUAAUUUUUCCAGAUUGGUUAUAUUUUCCUUUACAUAUUCUUAUAUUUUUCCCAGUUGGGGAGACUUAUAAAUAAACCCAAAAUGGGUACAAUAUCUAUACAGAAGGACAAAAUUAAAGUGUUUGGACAAUAAUCCCCUAUUCAUUUUGGGAUUGCCUAAGGAAUUCUUUUUCUGAUUUUCAAUGAUGCAAAGGACUGUUGUUUGAUGCUUGCCGUAUGGAGCUAAGAAAACUUGCUUUGAUAGUUUUGGACAGAUGCAAGCUACUGUUGUUGGUAGGGGUGGGCACGGUCCGGAUUGGUUCGGUUUUACUCUCAAACCACAGCUGAACCAAUAAGAAAAUAACGGUUCGGUUUGGUUCGGAUUAGCCUAAAAUCAUAAUGGAAACCGAACCAAUCCAAACCACUUGUAAUCGGUUUGGUUCGGAUUGGUUCGGCCGGUUUGUGCCUAACACAAAACCAUGCAUUUUUCAACCUGCUCUUACAUUAUAAUGCUAACAUUUUGCCAUUAUAUCAUUCCAUUCCAUUCCAUCAAAGGCUAAUACAACAUCAUUCCAUUUAUUCAAAGGUUGUCCAAUGUCUAGCAUGCAUCUAAGUUCACAAUUUCCAUCAAAACAAACAUAUACAUAAUUUGCAUUAACCAAGUAGCAUUACAUUUACUCAUUGCAUUCAUCACAAUUCAUAAGAGAUGAGAACGAAUCAAUUUUACUUUAACAUAUUAAACAAAUGCAUUCUUUGUAAUAGUUAAACAUUCUCACAUCAUGAAUAUCGGCAAGCUUAUAAAGCUGCUGCACCAACUUGCUAAUUGAUUCGUCUGUACCAGGAACAACAGUAGUAAUGCGAGAGAACCCCUCAACUUCUGCAUGGCCAACAGCUAAACUCUGGAAACGAGAAACCAGCUCAAUUAUAACAAAUGCCUAAAACUUCUACCUUAACAGAAGACAAAGGAGGAAAUAACAGCAGAAGGAAACCAAAUUUCUCAAUUUAAUAACUGAUAUUUCCAAAGGAUUCUUAAGUCUAAAAUUCGACCAAGACUUGAUUAACUAUUCCAAUGUCUAGCAUGCAUCUAAGUUUAUAACUUUGUUCCUUCUUUAACAAAAAGAACAAGGAGAAAAAGCUAAUAAUAAGGUAUCCUUCUUUAACAGGCAUCAAGCAUAUCACAUAAGCAACAUUUUAUAUACAUUAUUCUAUGAACAAAACUAAAUCAAAGCAAGGUAUGCUACAGUCUUUUUGUACAAUAAAAUAGAUUAACAUAUUUUAUAACCAUAAAAAUGAAAAAUUAGGCCUCAUAGAAAAUACCAUUUUAUUUUUCAACUCUCUAACUUUUUAUAUAACCAGUUAUUGGAGACAAUACAAAAAAUAAAGUAGUAGACAGAACUAGCAUAUUUUACAAACCCAGCUGAUGAUGACGAUCCACCACCAACAAUAUUCCCAUAAUCAAUCCUUGCAUAACCUGAUGGUCGAUGAUGGAACUUGGGUUUUGUAGAGAUGGAUUUCGCUGAGGACAAAUGGGUGGGUUUCGCCGAGUUCGAAUCAUGUUGGCUUGAGUUAGCGUCGAGGGAGAGGGAGAGGGAGAUGUAGCAGAGAGACAAAGAGAGAGGGAGAGGUAGCAGAGAGAGAUGGAGAAAUAAUGAGAGGGAGUUGCGGCUAGGGUUAAGAGACGAAGGAAGGGAGAUAGGAGAGAGGCUCUUCUGAGGGAGAGAGAAUGGUUAGAUAACUUAGAUGUGUCCGUGAGUUGUAGUUUUGGAGUCCAAUCAAGUGUUGCAGGGUACAUGGUACACUCUUAAAUAACCACUCAAACCUUGCCACAUGUAAACUAAAUUAAAUAAAUAAUAAAUUGAUUUAUAAUCGGUCCGGUUCGGUUUAGGACAGUUUUUAAAACUCUCAAACCACAGCUGAACCAAACCAAACCGGUUCGGUUCGAUUUUUCAAAAUGUUGACUUUUUCUUUGGUCAAAACCAAACCAAACCAAUCCAAUAUAAUCGGUUCGGCUGGAUUGACCUGAUCGGCCAGAUUGAUGCCCACCCCUAGUUGUUGGGAUGAUCUUUUCACGUGAAAUGAGGAUGACGAUACUUCUACACUACACAAUCCAACGAAUUCACAUUUCUAUUUCAGAUACAUGUAUAAACAGACAAGGCUUUAAAAUAUGGGAUGCUGCACUGUUGUUGCUGCUGCUGACACUGUUACUGUGUUGCUGCUACUGUUACUGCGCUGCUACUGGAAGAAGGACAAGGACUUCACAUGUUGCUUUCGUCCUUUGUGGAGGAGAGAGACCUAGGACUUGCAUGUCUUAGAUAUUUAAGAUAAGGGGCUUUCGUGCCAUUUUGAAAAUACUUUGGGUGUUUUUGAAAGCUGCUUGUUUCUUUUGGGUUUCUCACUAAAUUUCGCUAUUAGAAGGGAAAAUAAUAAUAAUAAAAAUACAGCUCUUAUUAGCAACAGGGUUACAAAUUCUUCUACAACACACCAACUGUUGUAAAAGUUUGAAGGUGGAGCCCACAGAGGAAGUUUCCUUGCAUCUUCCAGGAACUUUCCCUUCCCUGUAUUUAUCAAUUCAGGAAGUUUCCUUGCAUCUUCCAGGAACUUUCCCUUCCCUGUAUUUAUCAAUUGAGGAAGUUUCCUUGCAUCUUCCAGGAACUUUCCUUCCAUGUAUUUAUCAAUUCAGGAAGUUUCCUUGCAUCUUCCAGGAACCUUCCCUUCCCUGUAUUUUACCAAAACCUUAGCCUAUAAAUAGGCUUGCUCAUUCACUUGUAAUACACACCAAAAUGAAGAGAAGAAUGAGUGAGGAAAGAAAGAAAGGAAGAGAAGGAAGAAAGAGGGUGAGUAAGUAGAGAGAAAAAUAGAGUGGAGAGAAAUUAGUGAGCCACAUAUAUUGUAAACACUAAAGUUGUAGCCCUAUUAUUUUACAUAGUGGAAAAGUUACUACUGCUGCUCUCCGGGGACGUAGGCAUAGCCGAACCUCGUUAAAUACUGUGUCUCAUUUACUUUACGUGCAGCUCAAUAUUCAUACAUAUUCCAGGUUAUUUUUAUAACACGUUAUCAGCACGAGAAGCUCUCAGGUAUAAUUUUUGUGCUGCACUAUUAUCUAUACUACUAACCACUAACAAAAAUGGACCCUUGGUAAUACUAAACAUAUUAUCAGUGGGAGACCGUUACUAAUACUAACUUUUUCUUAUUUUAUUCGGUGGUGGUUUUAACCCCACAUUUAUUUACUGUAUGGUGUAGGUUUAUUACCCAUACAUGCACCUUUACUUUAUCGCAAAUUUAUUUUACCGCAUAUUUAUUUUAUUUACUGUAUGGUGUAGGUUUAUUACCCAUACAACAGUAUUUAUUUAAAAGGGUGGUGCGAGUUUAUCGUCCACGCCUUUGCUUUUAUUUAAAUGUAUGGAGCAGAAUUAGUGCCCAUACAAGCACAAUUUACUUUACCGCACAUUUAAUUUUAUUUAAAGUAUGGUGCGGGAUUAACGUCCAUACAGCAAGCAAUUUAAUUUAUGAAUUUAAUUUACCGCACAUUUACAUUUAUUUAAAAGGGUGGUGCGGGUUUAUCGUCCACGCCUUUACUUUUAUUUAAAUGUAUGGAGCAGAAUUAAUGCCCAUACAAGCACCUUAACUUUAUGAAUUUAAUUUACUGCACAUUUACAUUUAUUUAAAGUGUGGUGCGGGUUUAUCGUCCAUACCAGUAAUUUAUUUAUCAGCAAUUUAUUUUAUGGAUUAAUUGUUUAUUUAUCAGCAAUUUAUUUUAUGGAUUAAUUGUGCUGUAUGAUGAGUUUUUCCAGUAUGCAGAUCAGGACCAGAAGUUCCUUGAUCCUCAUCAUACAAUUACAUCAGGACUUGAAGAUCCUUGAUGAUGAUAUUAAAAUGAGAGCUGGCAGUCUCACCGGUACUGUAUUUGUAAACAUGUGAUUGGACUUAAAGGUCCUUGAUCCCUGACAUGUAAAUAAGGACCUAGAGUUCCUUAAUGAUGUAACAGUACCGUAUUGGUUCAUAGUGCCGUACACAUUGAUGAUAACUGUACUGGCAGAUGAAUAGAUACGUAUUCAUGACUUGAUGAAUAGUACUAUUCACAUGAAUAGUGACGUAUGCAUAAAUAUUAACCAUUUUGGGUAAACCGUCACUAUAUACAAAAGGGAACCUGCAGUUCCUUAAACUCAUGGAUGAGCAAUUAAAUGAGAUGCCAGAAGUUCCUCAAAAUAUGGACAAUUAUGUAAGGGCUUGAAGUCCCGAAAUAUGUACAGAAAAUUGUAAAAAUGUCCAUACCAUGAGAAUAUGUGGCUUUGGCCUGAAGUUCCAAAUUUAACAGUGUUGAGAACCUGAAGUUCCAACAAUUAAAUGGACAACCCUUGAGGUAUUAUUGCAAAUUGUGGUAUGCCACAUAUUUCUUUGGCAUAAGAAGAUGAUGAAUUUAAUAAAGUUCGAUUUUGUUAUAAUCGACACCUCAAGGAAGAAAUAUAUUUUGUGAAUUCCGGUUGUUAAGAAUACACCGCGAAAUGGAUAAUAUUAAUAUAAACCUCAAAUAAUGAAUUGAGACUCCCCACAUAUUUUGUUAUAUCUGGGCCGGAAGCCCAUGGAUCCAAAUAUAUGAGAGAUCCUAAACUUGAAGUUGUGGGUAUAUAGUAGUUAAUGCUCUUCACUACUAUAUUGCGAUAUUAUCAUGGCUUUUACUCAAUUCAUAUUUCAUGUCCAUUUGAAAAGGGCAAAUAAAUUCUGAGUUUGUGCCCAGGCCAUAAGUUCCGGGCUACCAUACGUUGAAAUAUGAAAUUUGGGAGAGUCGAUGUGGUUAUUUGAACCUAUAAGGCACAAGGUUCCAAAUCGUCAUUUUGAAAAGACGUAAAAACCAAAGGUGCAAGUUUAAGAAUGUGCGCAAUUAUUAUUACAGGAACAUACAACAGAUAGAUUUUUUCCACUUGCAAUGAAGGUGCAGGCCCUGUAAAAUCUAUAAAAUUACAUUAUGUUCUGGAAGCCUCUGAAGGAAGAGGACGGCGCCUCUUAAGCUUAGCCAUGAGCUUCUCAUGGUCUCCCAAAAUUCUUUCAUUGGAGACCUGCAGCAUGUCUAGCCUUCUCAGUGUAUCAACAGAGUACGAACUCACCAGUUUCAACAAGGAAUUAUUCUCUCCUUUAAGUUUCUCAACCUCCUGUUGAGACUCAUGAAGCAUUCUUUGGAGAGACGAAUUUUCAGUUGUUAAAUUCUCAACCUCGUUUGCUCUGGCACGCAAACGAUCAGCCAUGUUAGAAACAGAAACAGCACUCUGAAUGCUAAAAGCCAUUGAGUCAUCAAUAGCCUCUUCCUCUGAUCUCCCCGUCAACAACAUUUCAUCCAUUGGAGUAAUGAAAUUCCUAGCUACUAUGACAGCAGUAGCAUCAUUCAUCAUCACAGAAUCAUUAACUGUGAGAUGACGAUUUUUGGAUACAAAGGAUGGACGCCAAACUUGGGCGUCACUGGUAGUUGUGGGAGUAUCAUUUAAAUUGAAAUAAUUUGGGCAGGAAGAAGAGGAAGCCAUUUUUAAGAAGGUUUCGAAGAAAGCCUUAGGAAAACUAAAGUUUCAUAAAAUGAAGGAAGUUAAGUUGAAACGCAAUUGCUCCAAUCAAGUUUUGCAAAGGCAAUAUCUAUAGACGAAAAUAUGGCAAUAUCUUCAGGAUUCCAAUAUCUUCUCGAAUCCCCAUAUUAUCUUUUUCUUUCCCAGAGUCCAAAACUUCACGUGGCCUCUAAUAAUGCCUGUCGGCACUUUCGGCGUUUUUCAAAGUAUUAUUUUCAAAGCCGAUCUUGCUUUACGGAUUUCACGGAACUACUUUUUCAAAAGUAUCCCGAGAAUCUCGCAAUUUUCCUAUGGUUAAUUUGAAAUUCACCGGUUCUACCUAUUUAUUGUAUUUAUGUAUAAAUGUGUUACUAACGAAAUUUUCUUUGCAAAAGACAUCCAGUUUUCUCCAUACCUAGUGAUGCGAUAUCUACUUAUUUUUCUUAUCAGUGAGCACUUAAUAUGCCUGAGAAGCAAGACUAUCUCUGAUCAUACAUUCAGGAAGCAAGACUAUCCCUGAUCAUGUUUCCGCUACAUUAGGGAACUGUGAAGGUGACCUUAUGCUCCAAUCUCCUGAGGUCUUUCUAGACUAGGAGAAAUGAGAGCUUGUUGUUUGCUCCCACCAGCUUCCUUCCUUGAUUGCUUACCUUACCUUGCAAUCAAUAUCACAAUCUUUUUGCAUUUUUUCUCUUUUUAUAACUCUCUGUUCAUAAGAGAUUUUAUUUCUUUAGAAUGAACAUCUGAAGAAUGAAUCCAUGAAGUAAUCCUAACUAUGAGGGUUAUUUGUUUUGACAGAGGCAAAAGAGUUGUGAUUUUUGCUCUUGCAGGAUAUAACUAGAUCAUCAAGCGCUACAUUAUAUUUACUGGGCUGAUAUGAGCUUGAAUGAUACUUGAGAAAAGUUUCUCCCACCUAAGGAUGUAAGCAAUACUUGUGUUAUUUUAUGCUUAUAUACCUAUUUGAUAUUUUAUCUUGAAAGGUAACUAAAUGGGGAGAUAAGUCCGUUCCAAAAGAAUGACUUGUAUGUAUCCAUGAAUUAUUAAUGCAAAUUUUACAGAUUGCAAGUUGGAUACAUUGAUAAUACACUGCACAGAUUAAAGUCCCAUAAGAACAGAAUAUGGGUAUAGCAGUGAUCAAUAUGAUGCACGCCUAUUGCGUAGCAAAUGAUAUGGAUUGAAGUCCCGAAAGGACAAUCCUUUGACAUUUCAAUAUUGAUAUUAUGCACGCCUAAUGCGUAGCAAAUUAUAUGGGUUAAAGUCCCAUAAUAUGGGUUAAAGUCCCAUAAAUUAAUUGACAUGUAUGUAUUAAUCUGUGGCAUGCCUGCAGCAUGACAGAUAUAUGGGUUCUAAAUGUUCCAACUCCCUAAAUGGAGAUUAUCCACGCCCUACUAUAAAAUAACGCUCCAUUGGAGGUUAUAAUCCACAUUCUCACAUAAUAAAAGCCCCCUGCAGUGGCUUGGGUACCCAAAAGCAAAGAAAUGCUUAUAAUUGAUGCAUGCGCAUGCACAUGAGAAUGGUGGGAUCAUGAAUUGAUGAAUGACAAUUUUUGAUCAUGAAUUGAUGAAUGACAAUUUUUGGUUUUAGAGUAGCUACUCAAAUCAUCAAUGGGCUGUGUUGAUUGGAACCACGUUCAAUUAUUAAAUGUCGACAAUAUCAUUGGCCAAAAUGGAACGAGGUAAUUCCAUUAUAAAUGAGAAUGAACGUGAAAGAACAAACCCACAAUACGAACCCCAAAAUUUGUUAAUACUAAAAGUUAUACUUGGGUGUUCGGAAUAAAAGGAAAUAUAUCUACUUUGUAUGACACACUGUUUCUGGCAGAAACAAGGAAUGUUGGGUUUUCUCCAUAUUUACAGAUUCAAUUGUGCCCCCCUUAUUACACAAUUACGGAGACCAACAUAUUAUCUUUAAGGGUUAUUAAUGCACAGAGCAUAUCGCCAGAAGCGAUUUCCUAAAGAUGUAUAAAUAGCUGGGUAAAAGCUAUAUAAUGUGUCAUAAAGUUUAAUCCCUUUUAACCAAAAUCUGUUGAGAGGAUUGAUAUUGCAUAGAGCAAGUCCCUAAAGAACAUGUGCUUGAAGCACAAAAUUUGUACUCAAUAUUAAUAUGCAUAAAUUACCUCAGUGAGUACAUUGAUUAUAAUGUGAUUGCAACACAUUAAAGCUUCUGCAGAAUUCAUGAAAUAUUUGUCUCGAUCGAGCAUUAUGCCAACGAGAUUCUUGCUUAUACUAAGAAAGUAUUAAAGUAUUUUUAUGAGGAUUAUCCGUUGGACACUUUAAUGAUUUUCCGGAAGUAUAUUGGACCGGACAUCAUAUUUUCCAGAUAGGGCUCAACUCCAUCACCAUCAUUUUGGGAUGAUGUGAGGUAUAUUUGAUGCUAUCUAAGCAUAACACCAUAUAGGGGCAUAUUUUUUUAGUGAACUUAUAAAUAGCCCAAGUGUUCUAAGAUAUGCGGACUCAGGAAAUCUCUAUGGUCGCUUACUGGAAAAAGCUAGUCAUGAAGUUUUCAGGGGGAGAUAUUCAUCAGGGAGAGCAUGGUAUUAAUAAAGACCUUCAUACACUAUUGACUCACAGCAGCAGUGUCAACUAUGAUAUUCAGACAGAUGAUCAACAGUAUGGCUUAAAGAUAUUUUGCCAAGCAUCAGGGGGAGCGUGCUGUCAAUACAGACCCUUACCCACUGUACUCUUUUUCCUUCGUCCAGGUUUUUAUCCCACUGGGUUUUUCCUGGCAAGGUUUUAACGAGGCAGUGUCGCACGCGCGUCAAUAUACACAGAAUUUUAUGUUACACGUGAUUAUGUACUCUUUUUCCCUUCGACCAGUUUUUGUCCCACUGGGUUUUUACUGGCAAGGUUUUUAACGAGGCAUAUUCCAUAUCAUUUGUGGUCUCCAAGGGGGAGUGUUGUAAAAGUUUUAAGGUGGAGCCCACAGAGGAAGUUUCCUUGCAUCUUCCAGGAACUUUCCCUUCCCUGUAUUUAUCAAUUGAGGAAGUUUCCUUGCAUCUUCCAGGAACUUUCCUUCCGUGUAUUUAUCAAUUCAGGAAGUUUCCUUGCAUCUUCCAGGAACCUUCCCUUCCCUGUAUUUUACCAAAACCUUAGCCUAUAAAUAGGCUUGCUCAUUCACUUGUAAUACACACCAAAAUGAAGAGAAGAAUGAGUGAGGAAAGAAAGAAAGGAAGAGAAGGAAGAAAGAGGGUGAGUAAGUAGAGAGAAAAAUAGAGUGGAGAGAAAUUUCUCCAAGAGAGAAAAAUUAGUGAGCCACAUAUAUUGUAAACACUAAAGUUGUAGCCCUAUUAUUUUACAUAGUGGAAAAGUUACUACUGCUGCUCUCCGGGGACGUAGGCAUAGCCGAACCUCGUUAAAUACUGUGUCUCAUUUACUUUACGUGCAGCUCAAUAUUCAUACAUAUUCCAGGUUAUUUUUAUAACACCAACAUCAAUCUAGCCCUGAUCCACUCUUUUACAUACUUGAAAACAAAACAAAACACGAAAAACAAAAAACAACAGGGAGAAAAUGGCUCCGGAGAGACUUACUGCUAAUACUUGAUCAAUAACAGAGAUAAUAGAGCACACUGUUUGUAUGGCAGUGAGUAUCAGAAGAAUAAUAGCUGCCCAAGGUGUGUUGAAAUACUUUUGUCUCAAAUUUGCCUUCCAUAUGUUCGUGGUCUUCUCGCAAUACUCGUUUAGUUUGCCAGCAAGAUCACCAAAAUAGUAGUUUCCCUGGUUAAUCAUAAUGGAAACCUUACUGUUGUCACCUAGCGUGUUUACAACAAUUCCAUUGUCAACAAGCAACUCUACAUCCUUUGGGGUGUUUACAAAUUUAUCCAGGAUGAAAACAUAAUCGCUUAAUUAUUUAUUAACGCAAUGGCAUUGUUCAAAGGCAAUGAGAUUUCUAAGUGUAAGCUCUGUGUAAUCAUGUAUUUCAAUUUUUGGAAUUUCCAAGGUGUUUUUCAAGAACUGUAUAUCGAAUAAGUUCUUGCUUGAUUCAACGUUAAACUUAACUCCGGCCUGGUGUAGUUUUGUCAUGCCGGGUGUACUUUGGAGCCCUACAUUUUCUUUUAGGGUUGGAUCUGGCAGAUGUAAAGUUCUAAUAAAAUCAACAAAUUGUACAGGUUUUUUAGGAUCAGGAGGCAUAAAAGACUUACGGAAGGCUGGUGAGUUCUCCAAGUUUUCUAAACGCAGUGCCUGUUGGAAGAACCUGUAAGAGAGUUCAAUUAUUGAAGGCUCCCCAGUCUGGGCACCUGUAAGAUUGUAAAGAUCCUCGAGAAUGAAAAAUGGCAGCUGAUUUUCUAGCAUAAGCAUGUCAGGCAAUAUAUUUUGUAGCACCCAUGGUUUUUUAAAUAUCCAAGCAUUAUCAUCCGGCAAUUUUUCUUCCUGAAAUUUUUCUUCGGAUUUAUUCCUCAACAAUAGCUCAAUGACAAAGGCGGCAUCAACUAGAAUGAUAUUCACAAAAGCGGCAAUGUUAAACUUCUUAGUGUCUUCAUAAUAAUGACGGAGUUCAACUUCUCUCUCCUUUAGGUACCUGAGUUUGUGAUCUUCCAUGGCUUCUAAGUUUUUGCUGCCAUGGUGAAGUGGGCCUAUUGAGACUACUUGUGGUGUGUAGGCCUUUUGUUUUACGUUCCGUAGUCGCUCAGGCACCCUGUAGAUACUGCAGGCAGGGGACAGGGCACGGAAGUUUGUCAACUGAUUUUCCAUGGAAGUUGCUUGGUUUUCUAUGUCAAAAGAAGCUUCAUUGCUGCUUUCUUCCACUUUCUUCCUCCGCAUUAUGUGUUGUUCUGAUUGUAAGUGACGAGGAUGGUGAUGAUUCUAGACACCAUAAUCAACAAAUGUUUCAAUCAUAAUUGACAUUUCAAGAUGCUCCGACAAAAAAUUAGAAAACAUUCAUCACAAAAUGCGAACUCAUACAACAGAUGGGUUGAGAAGAUCCACACAUUGCAAUCAUACAAUCCAAUUGAACAGGGAUUACUCCCUAUUCUCCUCUCUCUCUAAAAAAGAUUUUCAUAUCGAUAACAUCUUAUUGCAAGGGACUUGUACAUCAAGUGGUGAAGAACAGAAAUUCAUAUUCUUUCAAUCAACAAAUUUCGAAGAAGUUUGUUUGUUUUAUUUUUGGGGGAAAAAAAUCUGAGCAUAUAUAGAUGCAUAUUAUACGUAGACCUAAGGUGAAAACAUACCAGAUUUUUACUCCAUUUUUCAUGAGGUUUAAGUUCUUGAUGUAUAUAUUUAUCUCAAGUGUAACAUCCCACAUUGAUCAACGGAGAGGGGGUGAUGUGCCUUAUAUGUACAUGCCAGCCUUCAUCUAGCACGAGGCUUUUUGGGAGCUUAUUGGCUUUGGAGUCAUAGGAACUCUGAAGUUAAGCGAGUUGGAGCUAGAGCAAUCCCAGGAUGGGUGACUCACUGGGAAGUUGCUUGUGAGUUCCCAGAAACAAAACCGUGAGGGCAGAGAGGAGGGCCCAAAGCGACCAAUAUCAUGCUACGGCGGAGCCGAUUCUGGGAUGUGAUAAUUUGGCAUCAGAGCUACUCUGCCGUGUGGUGUGAGUGUGCCGACGAGGACGCCGAACCCUUGAGGGGGGUGGAUUGUAACAUCCCACAUUGACCAACGAAGAAUGGGUGAUGUGCUUUAUAUGUAUAUGCUUGCCUAUAUCUAGCACGAGGCCUUUUGGCAGCUUACUGGCUUCCGAGUCAUAGGAACUCCGAAGUUAAGUGAGUUGGUGCUAGAGCAAUCCUAGAAUGGAUGACCUACUGGGAAGUUGCUCAUGAAUUCCCAGAAAAAAAAAGCUGUGAGGGCAGAUAGGGGGGCCCAAAACGGGCAAUAUCGUGCUACGGCAGAGCCGAUCUUGGGAUGUGACAUCAAGAAUUUAUAUCCUCCCUUUUCAGAUCUCAUGUUCCAGUCAAUACAUAACGAAACAUAAGAAACUAAAGUCUUGUUUAUACCCAUCCUCCCACCCACCCACGGCCAUCCACCCCUACCCCCUAUCUCCAUUAAAUCUACAAGUAGCUCAUCAAUUUCUCCACCAUCCCAAGUUCAAUAUACCACCCAACAACCAUCUUACCCAUCUUCUCAUUGAUCUUCCACCCAACAUCCAACACUAUCUUCAUAAACUCUUUAGCUUAAUCUCUCUGUUGCUUUUGUUUUUUGUUUUUUAGAAAUUAAAUUUUUUAGUUUAUUUUUUUGUUGGUACAAAUUCAAUGAUAAAGAACAUCGAACUCGUCGCAACAUCCUGUUCUAGAUCCAAGCUCUACCACCAUCACAACCCUCUCUUGACCUCCGACCAACCUUAACACCCAACUUCAAAUCUAGGUUGUUUGAAACCCAGCCCCCAACAACCCCCCCAAGUCAUCCCAUUGCAACUGACUUGUAGAUGAAGUAGUAAAGAACAAAAAGUCAUAUUCUUCCAAUCAAAACGUAUCAAGUCAAACAAAAUUUCUAGUUAGUUUGCUUUAUGAUAGUUGUUUUUUGAAGGGGUCCUUAGAUCCAAUCUCAAAAAGUUUGACUUUUAUUAUGUUUAACUCUAGUUUUUUGCAAUUUUUUUUUAUCUCUACCCACUAACUUUUAUCUCUCAUUUUUAUUACCCAUUUUACCCUUUAAAAUAAAUAUAGUAAUAAACUAAAAAUUCUGAUUUAAUGCAUGUUUUGCUCAUAAGAGAACUAAAACCUAAAAAUUCUAUACUCUUACACAAAAAAUAAAAAAUAAAAACUAAAAUUAAAAUGGUUAUCAAACAGACCCUUAUAUUACAAAAAACCUUAACUGACCACCUUAUAUGGCAACUGAUNNNNNNNNNNNNNNNNNNNNNNNNNNNNNNNNNNNNNNNNNNNNNNNNNNNNNNNNNNNNNNNNNNNNNNNNNNNNNNNNNNNNNNNNNNNNNNNNNNNNUAGCAUUCUAAAAAAAGUGGCCUCAUGGCAGCAUUCAUUAAUUGACAUGGCAUGACACAUCAGUUGCCACAUAAGGUGGUCAGUUAAGGUGGUCAAUGUUGUGUGUCCAAAUAGCAUUACUAAAAAAAAAUCAAAUAUUGAACUCAUCAUAAGAGAACACAGAAAAACCUCACUGCUUGCAACUCUUACACCACCACUACACGAACAGAACAACUGCUAAUUAAAAUGAGUCACAUGUCACAUGUCACAUGUGGUACUUAACUCUAAAAACUUAUUUAGAUUAUAUAUCCAUAUUUAUAUAUCCUACUCCUCGAUCAAAACAACCAUGAAACAUAAGUGACUUAAACCUCUAGGCAAAUGGACGGUAUAUAGCAAUUUAUAGAACAAUACAGUAAUCCAGAAGAAAUAUUAUGAAAUAAAAAAAAUAAAAAGUAAAAAAAGAGAAGGAAAGGAAUUCCCACCUGAUAUGUAUAUCUAUGAAAGGAAGGACCAAGUUUGUUUUGCCUUUGGUUAAUGACUAGAAAAGCUCACUUGUAUAUUGCUUUCUCCGGCCGUAGAUGCAAGAGAAAUUUUCUCUUAAUAAUAGCACAAUGAUCGGGUAAUCGUAAGAACAAGUUGAUUUAAAAUUCAGGUCAACUCAUAGAUUUCUUGCCUUUUCUAUUCUCCUUCCUUGGACACGAGCUGUUUAAUCUUGGAAUCUUCCCCCAUCAUGUUGGGCCAGUCUUCUUCUUGAGGAUUGUAUAGGCCCAGGAAAUGCUUGGAGGUAGUUUUUGUGUAUUGGGCCUUGAGACCCAACUUCACAAAAAGAAAACAGAUUUGACCAAAAAAACAAAUUUGAAGGACAUUGAAAUUGUACCUGUAUGAUAGGUUAAAACACUGUAAGGGAGGUAAAUAGUACGUUUACAGAGUUUAAGUGUAAUAAAGGAAUAAAAACAUGCCCAGAGCACUACUACAAUUUUUCCCUGUCCUGGCAACCCUUUGUGAUCGGUAAAAACACCAUUAUUGACGGAACUUCGUCAGUAAUUGCUUCUUGACGACUGCAGCGACGAAAAUGAGUAUAGUCAGUAAAAGUCCCGUCAGUGUUACUAUUACUGACCAACUUUUGCAACUUAUUCGUCAGUAGAGGUGUGUCUCUGACACAAGUCAUGAAGUGACUCUAAAUUAUUACUGACAAAACAAAUAGCCACUAUUAAACAAGCUUUUGUCAGGAUUAUUAUUUUAGGAUGGAGUACUAGUGGCAAAGAUUUGUCAAUAUUGUUUUCAACAAAAAAAAAAAUUCAGUCAAUUUGCUUCUGAGCUGAUGCGCCUUUAGAUAUCCUUUUCUGAAAUGUCUUUUGUUUUCUAAUAUAAUGGAUGUUUUUCUUUAAUAAAAAUUUAAUGGAUUCUGAAAAUGUAAUAACAAUUAUAAAUACUCAUAGAUUGAACCAUUCAACCCCCAUCCUUAUAAAUAUAAACUACCAAUGUCGAUUACAAUAGCCAAAUAUUACAAAGUCUGCCUACAUCAGUAGAGUUCAAAAACUUUAGGUGCCCUUACUAUACAAAAGUAUGCAAUUCCAAAUAUUCAACAAAUACACUACAAAAGCAUGCAUACCCCAAUAGGGUCCAAAAUACAACGUCAGCAACUAUAUAUACCAAAAAUGCAUAACACUAAGUAACUGCAUCUAUUCAAGUCCAUGAGUACCUUGAUCUGAUUCUAAAAAGUCUGUCUCACUUGGGUAUGCAUCCCCCCUCAGCAAUCCAGUUAACCCACCAAUAGGAGUAACUGACCUGGCUUGAUAAGGCAUUUGAUGGAACAUCUGCGGCGAGUAAUAUGACAUAUGGAAUGGGUUUGGCAGCUGCUGGUACAAUGGGUGAUGCGAAGCUGACGAGCACGAUAACAUCUGCCUCAUUUCCUCAAUCUCUUGCUGGUUAUGCUUCAGCAACUCUUGCGUCGCCUUCAAUUCAGAACGCCAAUGAUCCUGGUCAUGUUUGUACCUUUCUUGUAACUCUACAUACUGUGACUCAAGGUGAACAUAGUCGUGCCCUCGCAAUCUCUUGGAUGACCCUGCUUUCGUUUGAAUCCAAGGCACCUGAUGGGGUUUCACCCCAAGUCCUUCACCACGAACACUAUUAUUUGUCUCAGGACCCAUUGCCUCAACAUAAGCCCUUCUUCGUGUCUCUAAAUUAUCAGGACAUUCAUCUUCAACCAAUUCCUUCAACUUUUCCUGCAUUUCAGCCUAACAAAAACAAAAUAUAUAUCCUUCUCCAUCAAAUUGUGGUCAUCAUAGAACUAGCCCAAUAAACUCUACAAUGAUGAAUUGCAUUAUGUAAUAAAAAUUUAGGCCAAUUAGUCUUCUGGACCUCUACUGUUUUGUUUUUCAUAUGCUUAAACAAAUAAAAGAACAUAAAGAAUAGUGAACAAGAAAAAAAAACUACCUCCAAACAACUUUCCAUAUGCUUAAAAAAAAAAAAAAAAAAAAGUCAACCAAAACAAAAUAAGAGAAACAUCCUGGACUAUGGCUAACAAUUCCUCAUGAAAAUGAACUUAUAUAUAAUUAUUCCAAUAUAUAGUCCAUAUGCUUACAUAUUUCUGCUCAGCCACCAAGUUAACCCAUGAUCGAUCUUCGUCACGCCGUGUAUGCUUAUCUUGGAAAAACCAAAUAGGAUCGGGGUCUUCACCAUGUUUCUUAUUCUUAGCAUGCAAUCAAUAAAAUAAAAUAAGAUAAUCAAUUAGCUAACACGACCUCAUAUGCUCAAUAUUUGAAUAUAGUAAAGAGUAAACAUUCAAGUGCAUCAUCAAAACUGACAUAUUGUGCUUUGCUGCGAGCAUAAGACUUUGUUCUAGAUGUGUGAUUCAAUGUUUGUUUACUCCGAUUUUCAACAUUUCUUUUAGCUUGCUCCUUUUAUUAGCAAAAACAAAACAUACUUAAUCAUUGCACAGAUUAUAUAUACUGAGUGUUGUGUAAUAAUACGUACUGCAAUCUCAUCUUUUUCCCAAUGUUCAACCAACACCCUCCAUUGAUCUGGGUCUACACGAGAAUCCCCACAUUGCCACCGUCUUUUACUUCCUGUGAAAGGCUUAUAAUAAGCUUUCUUCAAAUCACUCUUGAAACUUCUCCACAAUUUUUCAAUAUUCUUCAUUGUUACAUCCUUGAAGACAUGAAUCAUAGGUUGUUGUUCAGGACGAAAUUCAAUGGUGCCCUGCAUCCACAAUAAGGUAGUCUUACAUCAAGUUGAAAUAUACCUAUUAAACUCAAUUUCAUGCAAUAAGUAUUCAAUAAUUUUAGGAAAACCAAACCCGUAGAGUGUCCCAGACAUCAAGUUUGCAAGAGUCUGGUACUUUUUCCCAUUUUAAAUACUUGAUCGGAAUUAGAUUGGCAUCCCGCGCCAAAAUACCCAUGUAUCUAGAAAAAUGGGGACUAUUGUCACUAAUAACUCUGCCAAAUGGAGAUAAAUCAACUGACUCUUUUUUGUUAUUUAGAAACCAGUUGCAUUUCCCUUGACCUCGACCUUGCUUCGCCUCCUUGCCUACAUGAAAAGUUAAUUUUAACUGAUCAAUACAACAAGAAAAUAAUAAGAAACUGUAAGGUAAUAAGUUUCUCACACAUUAUUCAAAUGAAAAAUUAGCAUAGCUAUUUGGAGAUGAUGUGAUCGUGAAACAUCCCAUAUUCAAUACAUUUGUAUAUGAUUAAAACAUACCAAUUUAUUAAAAGAAAAAGGAAAAGAAAACCAACAUACCAGUAGCACUUAUAGAACCAUCUCCCUCUAGACUAUCCCUAAAGUCAGCGUUGGGCCCUUCUUGUGAACUAUCUUGAGAACUGCUCAUCUAAAAAAUUUGAUAUGCAUAACAGUGAAGGGGUAACAAAUUAAUCAGACAUCAUUGGUAAAAGAAACUAUUACUUCAACAUUCUAAUACAAAACAAUCUACUAAAGAAAUUCUUGUACAAUAUUCUUAAAAUUACGUAGUCCAUUUAAGCUGACAGCUCAUCAAAAUACAUGAAAAAUUCAAUACUCCAUGUCAUCAUAAAGCUCAUCCUCGUUUUCAGUAGAGAGAUCGUCUGAAGACUGUUCAUCUUCUUCAUCCUCAUUUCCGGGCUCAUGCUCAUCUACCAUCUCAUCCAUAUCAACCCUAAUAUGAAAUUCCUCAUUGUCUAGCAGCUGAUCAUCAAGAUUCGGAAUGGCAUAAUUAUCAGUAGCACUUAAAAGGGUUAUCUAUAGUUGGAGCUAGAUCACUAUCUUCUAGCACAUCAAAAAAAUCUCUUGGUUGAGUUUGGGUUGGCACAUGCCAAUGACUGUCUUCUGGAUCUACAACAUAAAACACUUGUGUAGCUUGAGAAGCCAAUAUGAAAGUGUGUCUUUCGUUUGUCGCAACCGAUUGAAACUAACCAAAGGGAAACCAUACCCAUCAAACCUCAUCCCCCUAUCACUAGCAGUAUCAACCCAAUCACAGUUAAAUAAUGUAAUUUUCCGACCAUUAUCAUUCUGUUCUAUUUGACCCCCGUAAUUAAGUUCAUAAAUCUCUUUAAGAACACCAUAAUAAUCAACAUUGCCAAUUACUGGAUUGCGAUCUCUUGCGCUUGAGUAACUAGAUGUCUCUGCACAUUGAAAUACACCACUAUUCUGAUUCUUCUUUUUAUCGUCUACUGAUUUAAUCCGGAACCUACACCCAUGAAUUAUGUGAUUCUUAUACUUGUUCACAAAUCUACUAGGACCAAUUGAUAGCCAACGCAAGUCCUCAGAUAUUGACAGAUCAUGGGCUGUGUACAAUUUAGUAACCUAUAAUUUAAAACAACAACUAAAGUAAAUAACUUUAAUUAAAAAUAUGGUGCAGCAACAUAAAAUGAAUCAUAUUACAACUAAACAUACUUACAUGAUCCUUGAACCAAGUUGGAAAUAUCUUAUUUCUCAUCCCCUCAAUUUCCUGUAUGGUCUUCCGUCGAUUACUUUGUCUCAAUUCUUGGAAGCAUUUUCUGUUUUACAAUAUAAUAUAAUGACUUGUUAGUUAUUAAUUCAUAAUUGAGGAUUGAAAAAAAAAAAUAUCAACAACUUGCUUGUUUUUAUUCAUAAAUAUCUUACUCUAAAAAAGGGGAAACUUCAUCGCAAUUGAACAAGACCACUCUGCGACAUUGGUCCCAAACAUCUUUGUCAAGAUAUAUUUGUUCAGCUGAACCCUUAGAAUGACAUGAAGAGUCAAAAACUUUUAGCUCCCCAAUGACACCACGACCAAUACCAUCAGCAUUUCGACCCUUUCGAUUCCUUCGAGUCUCAACGUUGCUAAGAUACAUGGUACACAUAGCUAAUCCCUCGUCGACAAGAUAUCCUUGUUCCAUACUUCCUUCAGGAUAACUCUUAUUCUGAACAUAUUUCUUUAAUGUUUGUAGGUAUCUAAAGAUAUGGCAAAAUUGAACAUGUUAAUUUACAAUUAAAAUGGAAAACUAGAAAUAAUAAAUAAGAUUUGAACUAAUUACCUUUCAAUGGGAUACAUCCACCGGUAUGGGGCAGGCCCUGCGAUUGCAGCCUCAUCUGCCAAAUGCAUGAUUAAGUGUACCAUCACAACAAAGAAGGAAGGAGGGAAUAUCUUUUCCAUCUGGCAUAAUGUCACUGCAAUCCGAGGUUUUAAAGCCAUGUAUGACGCUUCAUAUUCCUUCUUACUACAUAACCGUCUAAAAAUUGCACUUAGCUCAAGCAAAACAAUGGUAACAGCUUUUGGUAAUACUCGUCGUAUUGCAAGGGGCAGCAGCUGUUGCAUUAUAAUAUGAUAGUCAUGACUUUUCAAUCCGUGUAUUUUUCUCUCAUUCACAUUAACACAUCUAGACAGAUUUGCAGAAUACCCAUCAGGAACUCUCACAUUUGCCAAGACUUCGCAAAACAUUGUUUUUUCCCUUUUCCUCAUGUCAAAAAGUGCUGGAUCAAAAACUUCCUUACCUUUCCCAUUUAUAUAAGGGUGCUGUUUUCUCCUUAUAUUCAAAAUUUGAAGGUCCUUACGAGCUUUUAUUCCAUCCUUUGUCUUCCCAGGAAUAUUUAACAGUGUACCUAAAAUGUUUUCACAAACAUUCUUUUCAAUAUGCAUUAGAUCAAGGUUAUGCCGUAUCAAAAGAUAUUGCCAAUAUGGUAACUCAAAGAAUAUGCUUUUCUUCUUCCACUGAACUUUGUUACUAUUUAUAUUCGUUGUGGGAUAGGUAUUUGUAUUCCUAAUGGGACAAGAACAUUUUUUGGGUUUUCCUUGCCCAACAAAAACAGCUGACUUCUUUUUGGGUUUUCGAAAUGUGAAUGUCAAACUUGACAAUUUUUCUAAACACUGUGAACCUGUCAAGGGAAUAGGUGGAAGAGCAUGUUCUUCCUUACCGUUAAAGGCUGCUUUAUCUCUUCGAAACCUAUGUUGUAUAGGUAGAAAUCUCCGAUGACCCAUAUAACACAUCUUACUACUAUUUGCCAAAUGCAUUGAGACUGUAUCAUCCAUGCAAUGCGGACACGCUUUCUUCCCCUUCGUGCUCCAUCCUGAAAGAAUUGCAUAUGCGGGAAAGUCAUUAAUCGUCCAUAACAAUGCAGCCUUCAUUGUAAAAGUUUGGUUGGCAAACACAUCAAACGUCUUAAUACCAACCUCCCACAACUCUUUCAACUCAUCGAUUAAAGGCUUCAAAUACACGUCAAUAUUAUUGCCAGGCCCAUCAGGACCAGGAAUUAUUAACGAUAACAAUAAAUUUGGUUGCUUCAUACACAUCCAUGGAGGCAAAUUAUAAACUGACAGUACAACAGGCCAUGUACUAUGGGGUUUGUUCAUAUUUGAAAAGGGAUUAAACCCAUCACUUGCAAGCCCCAAUCGCACGUUGCGUAUCUCCGAAGAAAAUUCAGGGUAUAAGGAAUCUAAAUGCUUCCAUGCACGAGAAUCUGAUGGGUGCCUCAUGAAUCCAUCUUUAGGACAUUCGGUUGCAUGCCAUCUCAUAUCUUCAGCGGUAUGCUUCGACAUAAACAAUCUUUGCAACCUUGGUUUUAAUGGAAAAUACCGAAGAACCUUGGUUGGAACCUUAGCUGAUGUGUUCUUACUCAAAGAACCUCCCACAAUAUUGACUUUGUACCUUGAGGCACCACAAAGUGCACACUCAGUCAAGUCUGAUGUAUCUUUCCAAAACAGCAUACAAUCAUUGGGGCAAACAUCAAUCCUCUUGACUGUAAGUCCCAACUCCCUAAUGAUUUUUUUAGCAUCAUAAUUAUUUUUUGGUAAACAAUUCCCCUCUGGCAACAAUUGUUUAACCAAUUGUAACAGCAUUGUAAAGACAUUAUCGCUUCCCUAAACAUUUAAUCUGGAACAGUCUUACAACAGAAUACAAUUUCUUAUAUUUACACCUAGGGUACAACUCCAUAUCUGCUUCUUCAAGUAACUUAUAAAAUAUUUCAGCCUCAGGUGUUUGGCCAUCAAAGAUAGGUGGCUCUGUCGAAGUCCCAACAGUUUCUCCAAUUAUUGGUUGCACAAAGGCUUCAUUGAGAAAAUCAUGAAUGUCAUCUAUACAAACUUCUUCAUUAUGAACUGAUUCUAUAUCCUCUUGGAAUGGUAAAUUUGUCAUGGGCUCCCCAUGAUGCCUCCAAGGGCCAUUCAUAUAUGUGGGAUCCAUUCCUUUUUCUAUAAGAUGAAGCUGGAUGAUGUUUCUUUCAUAGUGAUAACGGUUACAACAUUUUUUGCAAGGACAUAUGACCCUCUCUCCAAAACCCACUUUGGCAAAGACGUCAUCUAAAAACAUUCUCAUUCCGUCUGCGUAUUCCUUACAAUUUCUCCUUAAAUGUACCCAACUUUUAUCCAUAGUUCACCUAUAUUGAGUGCAAGGCACCAAAUACAAUUAUUCAGCACAGAUCAUCCCUCAUACUUAUUGUCUAUAAAUUCCUAUCAGGUGGGUCAAUUUAUUAUCCAUUAGAUGACCCUCAUGACCAUCUACAUCAAUUCACAAGAAAAACCAAAUUAAAAUAACAAAAACCUGAGUCUAAAGAAUAUAUUAACUAAGAAAUUGCACAUUCAUUCAACUGAAGAAAAGAACUAUAACACCAAACAACUAGACCCACUUAAUAGCUAAAGAAACUCACGUCAUAACAACAAAGUAUACAUAUUAAACAACAUAUCAACUCAUAGAUAAAAGCCCGAUAAUCUCAAUACUAUGAACAAUCUUAUUCAAAAAUAAUAAGAUAACAGCAACAUAAUAGAAAAAAGUAAAGGGAAACACACCUGGAUUCUAAGUUUCCAACAACAAUUCAACACUCCUGCAGUAGAUUAAUACAUACAUACCCACAUAUCAAACUUCACCAACAAAUAAUAAAAAAUUAAAACAAGAGCUUUGAAAAAUCAAAGGAUUCGUGUCACAUCCCGGAAUCGGCUCCGCCGUAGCACGAUAUUGUCCGCUUUGGGCCCCCCUCUCUGCCCGCACGGUUUUGUUUCUAGGAGCUCACGAGCAACUUCCCAGUAGGUCACCCAUCCUGGGAUUGCUCUAGCCCCCAACUCGCUUAACUUCGGAGUUCCUACGACUCCGAAGCCAGUGAGCUCCCAAAAGGCCUCGUGCUAGAUGGAUGCGGGCAUGCACAUAUAAGGCACAUCACCCCCUCUCCGUUGGUUGAUGUGGAAUCUUACAAUCCACCCCCCUUAAGGACCCGACGUCCUCGUCGGCACACUCGCACCACACGGCAGAGUGGCUCUGAUACCAAAUUGUCACAUCCCGGAAUCGGCUCCGCCGUAGCACGAUAUUGUCCGUUUUGGGCCCCCCUCUCUGCCCGCACGGUUUUGUUUCUAGGAGCUCACGAGCAACUUCCCAGUAGGUCACCCAUCCUGGGAUUGCUCUAGCCCCCAACUCGCUUAACUUCGGAGUUCCUACGACUCCGAAGCCAGUGAGCUCACCCCCUCUCCAUUGGUUGAUGUGGGAUCUUACAAUUCGUUUAUAUCUUGGAAUAAAAUCAGUAUUCUAAUUUUUAUAUCUAAUUGGAAGGAUUCAUGGGUCAUUACCUACACUAAAAUACUUGAAAAAAUAAAAUAAACAAACAAAAUAAGAACAAAAAUUUCACCAGAACAGAGGCACAAAAAUCUCACCAAAACAGAGGGCCUCUUUAAUGAAGGACAACCAAGUCAGCCCCAAUUGAAAAGAGCAAAGAACCCCCAGAUUUAAUCUCUCUCUCAAUCUGAAUCAGCAACCCCAAUUGAGAAAAGCAAGGAAAACCCCCCAAAUUUAAUCUCUCUCUCUCAAUCUGAAUUAGCAACCCCAAUUGAGAAGAGCAAGGAAAACCCCCCAAAUUUAAUCUCUAUCUCUCUCAAUCUGAAUGAGCAGACACGAAAAUCACUACCACACAUGACUCCAACUCCAUUAGCUAUGAGGAAGAAUACAAUUCAUUCUUCAAUGAAAAGAAGAGGGAAGAGAUGGCCGGUUUGGAGGAAGUAGAAAAGCUCAAGUAAACAAUUGAAGUUUUUUAUAUAUCAAUAGGAAAAUUUUGAAGUUAAAAAUUAUAUUUAAGAAUAGUAUUGGCAAUCGAACUCGUCAGAAAAAAAGUUGGCUUCCUGGUGUCUGAAAAUUUAGGCGCUUAUGUUUUCACUUCCCGCGUUAAAAGAGACUGGCGCAGUGUCUCGUCAGUAAAGGUAGUAAUGACAAAAGACUUUGUCAGUAUUAUUUACUAGUGAAAAAUCACUUUAUUUUGCUAGUAUUUGGUCUCAGUACUGACUAAGCUGCUCUUUCAUCAGUAUUAGUCCGUCAGUAUAAGCUAAAAUUGUAGUAGUGAGAGGAUUGAUAAGUGAUAUUAAUUCUUGAAUAUACAGAAUGUAAAAUAAAGGAACACGUAAAAAAUUAUUUUAUGUGGUAAAACUCCAUCUCUGGGGAAAAUCCACGGGACUUCUUAGUCCAAAACAAAUCCAUUAUAGAAUGAUGAUUACAAGAAGUACUCACACACUUAUCCUAGACACAUUCUAGAUAAUGUUUACUGACCUCUUCGUAACUCAACUUCUGUCUCGAGAUGAUCUUUCAACACUCCUUAUGUUGAACGCAAUAUUGGUCACGAUUUCUUCAAGCUCGUCAGAGUUCUUCCAACUCUCCUAAUAUUGAAUCCGAUACUAGUCACGAUUGAUUCAAGCUCAUCGUAGAAAAACCGUCACAAUGGUCUUGGUGCCCUCAACCGUAUGAGUCAUUAAACAUGCAAAUGAAUACAUAUAUGAAUGAUAAAAGUGUUUGAUAAAUCACUGAGUUAUGGAACACUUGAUGAUUUAUCUCAAAUAAAAACUCAGCUUUAAUGCUUUCUAAACAAAGAAGACGAAGGUCUUACUUUAUAGACUUUUUCUUUACAAGAAAGAAAAUAAGUUGGAAACCAAAUCUCCAAUUUCCAAGGCAAAAUCACAAAAGUAUCUUUCCUAUUCUAGAGAUUGGUCACAUGUAGUCCAACCAAUAGGAAAUGAGAUAUUUAAGAAAGGAAGAUUUUGAUCAAUAUCAAUAUCAAAUGAAUUCUUAUACGCCUAGUCAACUAUUAAGGGUAUCUUGACUCCUUGAUAUUUUGAUAUGAUUGAAACAUGAUUUCCAAGUUAGAAAAUUAAGGGGUUGUUAAAACAUGAAAGUAAUAGGAGAAACAAAUUUAUUUGAACCAAAAUUGCCCAAAAAGAAAACACUCCUAAAUAAACUUCAAUUCACUUUAGUAAAACAUGAUUGAAUCGUUCGUUAAAACAAUUCCCUAAUAUACAUGCAUGAUAAUGACAUCACUUACCCCUGAAUCAAAUUUGUUAAUGUAUGCAUUUUGAGUUUUUUUUUCUUUUGGCUUCCCUUGACAAUUUUGUAAUAGGAAAAUCAUUGUAGUUUCUCAAGCUCUAAGUUUAGAUUAAGAAUUACUUCUCUAGGUGUUCUUAUCUGCCUACAUUCUGAUGGAAAACAAUGCGUUUGACAAAGGUAAAUUCUGCAUUACACUACAUUGCAUUCACUAAAUUUCUUAAGAUUAUGACUAGUCAUCUUUCUUUCGUAUGACUAGUCAUCUUGCAUUCGUAUGACUAGUCAUCUUUCCUUCGUAUGACUAGUCAUCCUUUGUUUCAAUUAGGAUUUCCAGCUCACUGUUUCCAGCUGGGGCUUAAGCAUUUUUUUGUCCUUUUCUACGAAUUUCUCAGCUUCCAUGUGUCUAUUCUGACCUAGGAAUUUUUGGUAAAAGCCAUAGAAUUCCUCAUUUGGCAGCCGUCACUUUUGGGGACAAGUUGUGGAAAGUUUCAUAGCAAACUUUCGCUUCUUCUUCCUCAAGAGUAACCUUCAUAUUUUUCAUCUUUGAGUUCUCUAAAUUGUUUCUUUUUGAAAACUGCAUUUGAAAUAUGAAAACUUCAUCUUGCUAGAUCAAACACUCUAUCAUAUACAUCUAGGUCAGAUUCAAGAUUGAUUUCUUCAAGAGUAUGGUUUCUUGAAGAAAUUGGUCAUUUUCUCCAUGAAUCCAAAUUUCAUUUCUGUCUGAGUUAGAGCUUGCAAGCUGGUGCCAUGGGAUGAAUGAGCUGAAGAAGGAGCUGCCAUUGCCAUGAAGAACUGAGCUUCAAGCUUUGCUAAGUUGGAGAAGAAGAUUGCACAAAGGAGAUAUAGCAUCUUCCUAAAUAGACCUAGGAAUUUCUUGAGCUUGCUAGUGUUCUUUGUAAGAAUCUUUUUGCUUAGUGGAUUGCCUGGUCGGUUGAUGACCCCCAGUUUUUCCCAAUGGUGGGUUUCUGGGUGAACAAUAUCUGGUUUCCAUCUCUGUAGAUUUUUUGGGUUUGUGUUCUUGAUAGUUGACUAGUCAUCUGAAUUUGUGUGGUUGACUAGUCAUCUUUUUCUGCUGUUUGGUGUUUUCUUGAUUAUGUUGUCUUCACACACUUUUACCAUAGUUGUUGCUAGCACAAGGGAUGCCUAGAUUGAUGGGUCCUUCUGAGUGCCUAGGUUGUCACUAGUAAUUCUCUAGGCCUGCAGGUACAUCUUGGUAUGCUUUGUGUAUGUUAUUGUUUGGUUUAAUUCAUAUCUAACAGUUGACUAGUCAUAAGAGUAUUUGGUCAAGGUCUAGAGUGUGUGAAGUUUGUUGCGUUCUUGAUUGAAUAUCUUUUAAAUUUACCCUUCGUCACCUAAUUACCAAUUUGCAGACUCCACAAAUGAAGAAAAGAGCACAAAUAUCGUGAAUGCUAUUGGGAAUGGAAAGGGCAAACCUGUUCAAAAAGGGUAUGGAGGGGGCGUUAGACUUUACGUUCAAAAAGGGUAUGGAAAACGUCCUCCUCCAUCUGACAGUCAACUACUCCAUUAUAAAGACAUAGCUAUUUUCUUCUUCGAGAAAGACAUGCGCCCUGGCUCAACAAUGAAGUUCCAAUUCCCUAGAAAUUCAAACACGGCUACUUUCCUGCCACGCGAAAGUGCUCAAUCGAUCCCCUUCUCCUUUAACAAACUACCAGAAAUUUUCAACCAUUUUUCAGUGAAGCCAACAUCUGUGGAAGCCAAAACAAUUAAGCAAACAAUCGAAGAGUGUGAAGCUCCAGGCAUUAAGGGAGAUGAAAAAUAUUGCGCCACAUCUUUAGAAUCAAUGGUUGAUUUUAGCACUUCGAAGCUUGGAACAAGAAACGUUGAAGCAGUCUCGACGGAGGUAUUGGAAAAAGGAGCCACCAUGUCCAUGCACAACUAUACAACAAUGCCGGGACUGAAGAAGUUGGCAGGUGACAAAGUCGUUGUGUGUCAUAAGGAGAACUAUCCCUAUGCUAUGCUAUGUUUUUCUGCCAUGCAAUAAAACAAACAGCAGCUUAUGUUCUCUCCCUGAAAGCCGAUGAUGGGGAGAAGGUUAAAGCUGUAACCAUCUGCCAUCUAGACACAUCAGAAUGGAACCCAGAGCAUUUGUCCUUCCAAAUCCUCAACGUUAAGCCCGGAACCGUUCCUAUCUGCCAUUUCAUUUCCACUGAUGCUAUUGCCUGGGUUCCAAAACACAAAUCUGCAUGAUCAUCACUUAGCACUGUACGUAUAAUAAGCUUGGUUGGGUUGCACCCCUGUAUAAUUAUCUCCCUACUUAUUUCUGCCUCUUCAUCAUGUGGUGUAAGAUAUAUGAUGAAAUGAAGUUUUUGGGAUUAGUGGUCGGGUUGCCUGAAAAACACAGAUUAUAGAAACUGCUUGAAAUUAACCCGAUCAUGUUUUCUCUUGUAACGAUAUAGACUUCAACUUGUACUCAUAAUAAAGCAUGCUAUAUUUAUGAAGAGAUAUUAAUCUAUAUAUGCUUUGGCUUUGUGGUUUUACCCAGUGUUUGAAUGUUGAAUUGUUACGUUGGAAUAGGCUGCUAAUGCAUGUAGUUAGAGAAGCCUUCAUUUAUAUCAAAGUCCUCAAACUAUCAAGAACUAAUGUAUCCAGAAACACAUACCAAGACGCAAAACAACAUAUUUUCCAUGCUGUCUGUAACACCAAAGCAAACUUCCUUUAUCACAUCAUUUAAAGGAUCAAAUUCCAGUACUAAUCUAAUCCAUUAUGUAAAGCAUCAGGGACAGACUCAAGAUUUCAAAAUGGAGUGGGCUAGAUUUUAGGUCCGGCUAAACUUUAUAGGGAGACUUAUGAAAUUAAUCAUAAUAUUAUAUAAAUUUAAUUUAAAAACAUAUCAUUUUUAUUUUAUUUAUUUAAAGAGUCCAAUUUUACACCAACAAUGUCAUCAACAAUUGAUUAUAUAUGCUUAAAAUUAACAUUAGUUGACAACUCACAACUCAUAUUGCAACUUAUUUAGUAUAUGUGUUUUAUACUAACAAUAACAAAAGAAAAACACUUGACUGGGCUAUAGCCCAGUUUGUACACAUUGCAGGCCCGUCCUUAUAAAGCAUACAAGUGCCUCCCUAAAUUUGUCCGUUGGAUAUAUAUAUGUCACUUUUUAUUUUUUGAUAGAGAUAUAAAUGUUGAGAAAAUUAGAGUACACAACUCUAAUAUCAUAAAGCAAACAAAAUUUCUAAGUUAGUUUGCUUUAUGAUAGUUGUUUUUUGAAGGGGUCCUUAGAUCUAAUCUCAAAAAGUUUGGCUUUUAUUAGGUUUAACUCUGGUUUUUGCAAUUCUUUAUCUCGUAGUGGCAAUGUUCAAAUGCGAUGAGAUUUCUAAUUAAUACCUCUGUAUGAUCGCUUAUUUUCAAUCUUGGAAUUUCAAGAGUCCGGUCAGCAAAUCUAAUAAGGUAUUCGUUGAUCCCUCAUUCAACUUGAUCCCUGCCCUGUGUAGCUCUGUGAUGCUGGGUGUGUUUAUAGUUAUGAGUUUCCUGUCAUCAAUUUUUAGGGCUAUUCGUUAUAUGAGUCCCUGAACUUAGACUCGAUUUGCAUUUUAGUCCCUCAAUUUCCAAAAUCGUUUCAGUGGUCCUUCAACUUCAGUUUCGUUAGGACAAAUGGUCCUGCCAUCAAACGAUUAUAAAGUGGAAAAAACAAGAACAAAAAGGGAAGUGAGUUAAAUUUGCACCUACUAUGUUCAAACGACAAAGUUGGUUUCCCUUUGGUUGAUUACAAGAGAAGUGAAAGGACCCGCCCGAAUUUUCUCAAAAUCCGAGACAAACCCUUUGGAAUUCCUGACAUCACCCUGAUGCCAGGCCCACUUACUAAAAACCGAGACCUCCUGCCGAAAUUUCGGCAGAGUCUCCCCUAUAAAUUGGACGUUUCCCAAAAUUUAUACCUGCAUAAAAACGCAUUUAAUAUUCCCAACUGGCAGCAUGCACAAUAUAAUUUCAUGCAAUUCACACAAAUGGCCUUCGGCCUUUCAAUAAUUCAUAUCCAACUACCAAACCAUUCAAAUACCAAAUAUGACUAACAUUUAGUCUGCGGCUGCACCUAAUAACCCUAGGCUGCCUACGUACCCUCCUUGAGGGAUCAAGCCACACGUAGUUCUUCCCUAAAACCCAAUUCCACACUUGGGCGAUACCUUAUUUCAUUUCUCUGGAUUUCAUAUAAUCUCCCCAUACGCCGGUACAACCAACGCCACGUAUGGGGCCUGUCAACACGCCGGAUAACCUACGCCACGUGCGACCAUGCCAUACUAUCAUAAUAUCUCCCCAUACGCCGGUACAACCAACGCCACGUAUGGGGCUUGUCCCAACGCCGGAUAACCUACGCCACGCGGGACCUCAAUAUUCAUAUCACAAAUCUCCCCAUACACCGGUACAACCAACGCCACGUAUGGGGUCUGUCGACACGCCGGAUAACCUACGCCACGUGCGACCUCACACAAUAUCACAAUAUCUCCCCAUACGCCGUACAACCAACGCCACGUAUGGGGUUUGUCUCAACGCCGGAUAACUACGCCACGUGAGACCUGAAACAUCAUAUUACAAAUCUCCCCAUACGCCGGUACCACCAACGCCACGUAUGGGGCCUGUCCCAACGCCGGAUAACCUACGCCACGUGGGACCUAACUUUCACUUGGUGGUGCUUGUAGUGAAUCCAAAAUCCGGGGAGGUAUCUAAAGUAGUGCGUUUAGCACUCCAAACUGACACUCUAGACUCUGUUGUACCCUUGUACAACCAUAUAUAAUUAUAGUUAUAUAAAUUAAUUCUAAUAUUGUGUAACCCUCCACAAUAGUCUAGCUCCCGAUAAUCCCCCCCUUAGAAAGGUGAGAUUACUCCGGGAGACUCACGGUCAACCAAGGGUCAAACUACUCUAACCCUGGUCAACCGGACCUGCAGAACCCACUACCUCCAAUUUCCGAUCCGAAAGUCUCUAUGGGUUCUACCAGGUAUAGGACACUUGUCCUGCAAGUUUGGUUCAAAUCGGACGGUCGGAUUUCUCACGAUCGCACGAUCUGACGGUUAAUAUAAGAUAUAAAAUUAAAAUUAUUAUUCGGAACAUCCGGGGUUCCGAUUCAUGAUCCGUAAAUUCCUACACGAUCCUAGAAAUACCUAGAUUAACAUAUAUUAAAUUUGGGACCAUCCAACGGUCCCAACCUAUCGAACUCGGAUAACGCACACUAUGCGAUUAUCCGUUCGAUAGUCAAACGACGUCCGAAUUGAGAUCCGCGAAAUCCUACGCACUCGUGACAACCUAAGGAUCUCAUCGGAACACAUCGCUACAUUUUCUACAGUGCCCACGCACCGGCAGUGCGUGGGUGCCCAAAGCGAUAACGCUUCGCCGGAAAAUCUCAAAACCACGGCUCCAAACUCCUACCCUAGGUAUAACACCCUAUUUGGAGCCACUUUUGUUUUGGACCUACCCCAAAAAGUGGCCGGAAAUGGCCAAUCACGGCGGCCGAAGUUUCGGCCGAUUUUCAAUUCGAAAAUUGAGUUGCCUACGCUAAGAAUCGAUCUAAUCCUACCCAACCAUCAGCUAGAGCAGCUCGAGAGGUUCAAAAUCCAUACCUGGGUCGACGGAUUUGGUGGCCGGAGGAGGAGGAUCGACGGCGUUGAAGUUCCGGCGACAUCUGGGCGAAAAUCGCCAUUUUCCGGCGGCUGGAGCGGCGGCCGAUGGCGGGGAUGGGCUGGGUCGUGACGCCGAGGUCGAGCCGGUUCUUUUGACACCGGCCCCGUCCGCAGCCGCGGCCGGUGGCCGGAGUUACGAAGAGAGAGAGAGGAGAGAGAGAGAGGAGAGGCCGACGGGAGAGAGAGAGAGAGGAGUCUCGCAGGAGAGAGAGAGAGAGAGAGAGAGAGAGAGAGAGAGAGAGAGAGAGAGAGAGAGAGAGAGAGAGAGAGAGAGAAACCAGAUUUUAUAAAAAAAAUCCCAUUUCGAAAUAUUUACGAUUAUGCCACUGGACUUCUUUUGACCAUAUCUCUCUCGUUACAACUCCGAUUCGAGCCCACUACGUGUCUGUGAACUCGUCUCAGUACGACCUAUCCAAAAAUAUAAGUCACGGUCCCAAACUCUCUCCGGUUAAAAAUAUGACUAAAAUACCCUCAAAGCAGCUUACUUGGUUCCUCUAGUAGAUGGAAAUAUAAUUUUUCUAGCUAAAUUUCUCAAAUGGUCCUCAAACUUGUACGCGAUUUACAUUUUGGUCCAUCAAUUAAAUUAUUAGUCCAAAUGGUACAUAAACUCUAUUUUAAUCGCCCAUUUGAUCGAACCGUCUAAUUUUCUGUUAGAUUUAACCAAAUUUUAGGGUAAAUAUGACUUUUCAUAAUUAACAAAUAAAAUAGGAUUAAAAUAAUUAAAUACAAAAUUAGAAAAAAAAAAUGAAGAAAAGGAGGAAGAACAGAAGAGGAAGAAACCCAGAAGAAGAGGAAGCGGACAAGGUUAUUGCAAUGGCUUUCUUAAGUAAAAUUGGGAAUAUACUCAGAUGGACUGCAAAGAAGCAUAUCUGAUCUGAAUUAUCUCCUUUCAAACUAUCUAUCCAUCAAGCAGUAAGAUGCAUGUCAAACAUGGUGAGUUCAAAACUCUUAUUGGAGGUAUUUCGUACCAAACAGAUGAGCAGAGUCUGAAGGAAGCUUUUGCAAAAUAUGGUGAAGUUAUUAAUGCAAGAAUCAUCAGUGACCGUGAAACUGGUAGAUCUAGAGGAUUUGGGUUCAUCACUAGCGAGGAGGCAUCCAGUGCAAUCCAGGCCUUGGAUGGGCAUGAACUUCAUGGCCGUCGAGUAAGGGUGAAUUAUGCUACUGAUAGACCUCGCCCUAACUUCGGUGAUGGAGGUGGUUUUGAAACUGCUAGCACUGGAGGUGGUUUUGGCAAUAACAUCAAUUUGGGUGUUGCUGUUGCUGUUGGUGGUGCUCAUAACUUUGUUGGCGGUGCUGACAACAGCUUUGGCAGUGGUGGAGCUCAAUUGGGAGAGAACAAAGGUGGUUUCAGCUUGCAUGAUCCCUUGAAAGGAAAUGAUAAGGAUGAUGAUGAUGAUGCCGGCAACUUUCUCAAGAGGGCUUGAUAAUAUUUAGAUAAGAGGAGCGAUUUAGUUUGCUUCUAUGCAGAGCUACUAGUAGAUUGUCUUUUUGUUACAGCUGCAUGUCCCCCCUCCCCGUCUUUCUAAACUAUUAAUUUCAUUUGGCGGAAUUUUCUGUGAAUUUCAUGCACCUUUUAGUGUGCUUUGUCAACUAAGGACCUGGAUUGUGGGAAAAAAAGAAGCAAAAAAAGAAGAAACCAGGAAGAAGAAGAAGAAACCCAGAAGCAAAAGAAGAAGAAACCCAGAAGAAGAAGAGAGAGAGAGUUGGUGGAUGCAAUGACCAAGUUGCCCUCAUAUUUAACGGAAAUAUUGAUAGAAUGUAACGGUAGGAUCAAUGAAGCGAAUAAUAUAGAGUUGAUGUACCAUUUGGACUAAUAAUUUAAUUGAGGAACCAAAAUGUAAAUCGAGUAUAAGUUUGAGGACCAUUUGAGUAAUUUACCCUAAUUUUUCUCCUAAUAAUAAGGGUUUAGUGCAAUCAAUGAUGGGCUGUAUAGAACAACUUUUUUGUUUUAUAUGUUUAUGUGAGACAAGUUUUGCCAGAUUGAAUUAAUGUCUUCUAGCUAUGUACCUUAUCUUUUUGCCGGGCCAUGAGUUGAAUGUAGAGGCAGAGCAUGGACUUGGGGUCAAGUUUGACUUGUAAAAAAUUAGGAAUUGAAUGGCUAAUACGUUCAAUUAUUUAUUUAUUUAUUUAUUUUUGUCCGAGCCAUUCAAUUCCUAAUUAUUUAGAUUUUCAAUCCAGUGAGCAUCCACAAUCAUGCUCUCUAUUUUUAAGUUAAAUUUUAGCUAAAAACAUAUAAAAGUUAUUUUAGGAGCUCUCUAUAAAAUUUAAACUUCAAUCGUUUUCUCUAGUUUAGGGAGUCAUAAAUGCCAUAACUCUUUUUUGAUUGGUCUAUCUCUAUUAAAAAAUAAAAUAAAAAAUAAUUAGCAUUAAAUAAAGAUUUGAAAUACUCAUUAAAUAAAGCAACAUUAAAUUAUAGGGAGCCACUAGGAGUCCUUUCUCUCUCCUCAAGUUUAGGAGCUCCUAGAGGUCUCCCUAUUUUAAGAGGUGGAUAGGGAGUAUGGUUGGAAUUGUAUUUUUACAAUUCCUCCCUAAAAUUUGUCUAAGGAGGUGGUUUAGGGAACCCAUUGUGGAUGCUCUCAUCUCAAAGAAAGAAAACCUCAAGUUUGCAAGCAAGUUUUCUACGUAUGUAUAUAUGAAAAAAUGAUAUGAAAAUAAUAAAUCCAUAUUUUUAUGUAAGCCAACUUUCUAAAUCCAUGUACUAUAUUUAUUAGGGAAAUAUUGGAGAAACUGAUUAUUUUGAAAAAUUAAAUGUGAAAAACUGAACAAAAAUUUGACAGGUUACAUAUUUCAACUCAUUCAGCAGCUUAGGUUGUGAAGACCUAAGCAACAAAUCUGCUACUGGGGUGUUGGGGUUUUCUACGUCAUGUGGAGCUUCAUUGCUGCAUCCUUCCACUUCCAUUAUGUGUUGUUCUGAUUCUAAGUGAUGAGGGUAUUAUUGGCACCAUAAUAAACAAAUCAUUUCAAGAUGGUUCCUUCAAAAAUUUAGAAAACAUGCAUCACGAAAUUUUUUAGAAAACAUGCAUCAUGAAAAAAUUACGUGAACAAUAUACUUACACCAUGGGAUCACUCCCACAUAUUGUAACACCCCGACUCCAAAUUAAAUGAUUAUUUUAAUCGAUUUUUAUAAAAUUACGAAUUUACCCUUGGGAUAGGGGUAACUUGGUCACUUUCUUCUUCGGAAGGAUUUUUGGACCAUGAGUGGUAUUUCUGGGUAGUUGGUACCGAGACGAAUUCGUAGACAUGCGGUAGGCUUGAAUCGGGGUUGUAACGAAAAAGUUACGGGCAAAAUAGUGUCAGUGGCAAACUUGUAAAUAUUUCGAAAAGGGUUAGGGUAAAAAUCAGAUUUUUCCAGUUUUACCUCACUUUCUCUCUCUUCCUCCCGAUUCUCUCUCUCUCUCCCGCGUCUCUCUUCCUUCUCCGAUCUGCAGAUCGCAGAGCCGCCGCCACAGGCCACGGCUAGCCCCGAGACCGGACCCAAAACGAUCGGCCAAACCUCGCCGACGUCCCCCGACCCAUCUCCAGCCGCCAGCCGCCGCCUCGUCGCCGGAAACCACGGAUUUCAGGCCGAUUCUUGUCUGAGCUUCCAGUCGAUCGUUCUCUCUCCUCCGAGCACUAUUUCAGACGGGUGAGGUAUGGUUUCUCAUCCAAUUUUUGAGUUCUAGCUGAUGAUGGUAUAGGUUUUCAUUGAUUUUGAGUCUAGAAAACCGAUUAGGAAUCUAGGUUUUGGGCCGAAUUUCAAAAUGAAAUUCUGGCCAGUUGCCGGCCGAAUUGGAGCUUCUCGUAGUUGAAUGAAGUGAUCCUGACCUCGAGUAGAAGCUAGAGUAGGAAGGGUGAGCUCGGGUGUGGAGUUUUUCCGUCACCGGAAUUACUCUGCACACCCACGCGCUGCCGGCGCGUGUGGCGGUGCGUGGGCGAGUCUGGUGAGGAUGUAAAUUGACCCGAUGAGAUCCUUAGGUUGUCACGAGCGCAUAGGAAUUCGCGGAUCUCGAUUCGGAUGUCGUUUGGCUAUUGAAACGGAUUUUCGCAUAUUGUGCGUUAUCCGGGUUCGAUAGGUUCCGACCGUUAGAUCUUUCCCAAAUUAAAAUAUGUUGUUCUAGGUAUUCCUAGGACCGUAUGGGACUUCACGAAUUCUGAAUCGGAGCCCCGGAUGUUCCGAUUCAAAAAUGCAAAGUUUGCGGGUUAGCGAUAACCGUAAAAUCGUGAACGCUUCCUAAACCUGUAAUCGGACCUUAGGGUACCAUCUUCGACGUGCACGUAUGGGAAUUUGGGGAGUUAAGCAUUUAAUUUGUAAUUUCCGCUUAGACGUGGUUUUUAUAUUAAUUAACGGUUCGUAUUUCGAAAUAGGUAUUUCGACUGCACGCACGCAGCAAGCAGGACCUUCACGUGGUCAGGCAGCGAGGGAAUACUUGUGAGUGGACUUUGUUUUAAUCAUAUGCCUGGUUUUAAUUAAUGAAAGAUUUUGCAUAAUGUUUUAAUGGCUUCUGGAUUUUAUGUAUUAUAUGCAUGAAUUAAUUUCAAUGGGUGUAUAGCAAUUGGCAAUAUAUUAUGAGUUUGGCCUUUUGGGUUUUGAGAGUGUAUUUCAUGUAUAGAUUGGGGAAGUAUAUUUUGAUAUAUAUAUAUUCUUUUAGAGGAGAUAUUUGGGUUGUUGGAGAGUGAUAUGGAAGAAUGUGAUUAGAGAGGAGUUGUGGGAUUACACUACGUAAGUACCUUCCCCGGUUACUAGUCUCACUCGCGGCGUUGGAUGUUCCGGCGGGUGAGACACUUUCCGUAUGCGGCGCUGGAUGUUCCGGCGUACGGAAAGACUGUGUAUAGAGUUUAGGGUCAUCACCAUGGCGUUGGAUGUUCCGGUGUGUGAUGAUCCAGUCUGCGCGCGUAGGACAUAGUUUGAGAGCUACACAUGGCGUUGGAUGUUCCGGUGUGGGAGCUUUGGAGUUUCGUCCCCCGGUUGGACCGCUCAUCCCUAAACGCAGGAUAGCACCUGGAAAUCCUGCGGACUAGUCAAACGAUCCCCCAGUUGGAUUGUUUUCCCCGGUACCUAAGUGGUGUGAUGAGUAUAUCAUAUAGCUAUUUAUAGUUAUUUAUAUAUAUAUAUUUAUGUGUAUAUUUAUUGAAUAUGUAUAGUUGAGUGUGAAAGGAAUUGGAGUUUGUUUAAUAGUUGAUAGGAGUGGUGAGUUUGAGAGAAUGGGGUUCUUUUUGAAAGAGAUAACUGAUGUUUUUAGAUGAGUUUUACUGAAGCAUAUUUUGAGUAAUUUCUUAUUGAAUUGUGAACCUGCAUGACUUGAGCAUUAUUUUACAUGGUGGGGUUACUAUGUUGUUUUUAACUGCAAACCUGGUUUUUGUCCACUCACAUGUUUUCUGUUUUGCGCCCCCCCAGCCAGUAGUUGCUCUUGGAAGUGCAAGUGGUGUACGAAGCGGAAUCGGUGCAUCUUUCUAAUUAGGAAUUGUGUAAAUUCUUCUACUCAACUGUUCUUGUAAUCUAAAUUCAGUAGAUGCUCUGUAUUUGCCAUGGUAGAUUUUACUUGUGAGGCCGGAGGCCACUCUAGUAUGACUUAUGUAUGUAUGAAAGCAUGCUGCUGGUUGGGAUUAGUAUUACUGUGUGUGCAGGUUGAAUAAAUUUUGUUGGGUUUGUUUAAAUUGCAGGGGAGACUCUGCCAAAAUUUUGGUAGAAAGUCUCGAUUAUUUAGUAGUGGGCCCGGCAUCAGGAUGAUGUCGGGAUCAAGACGGGGUCCGCCUCGGUCAACGGGAAAUUCCGGGGCGGGUCUUGUCACAUAUUUGAACACAUAACACGUGUUCAAGGUUAUAUAUUUCAUUACCUUCACAAUAGGUACCAAACCGUACCAUGGGAACAUUCAUAUACGCACAACAUACUUAUAACAUACUUACACUCGUGUAUAUUUGAACACAAGAAGACGUGUGCACCACCGUGCACGGUUCACAUGAAGUAAGAAGAUGAAGAGGAAAUAAAGAAGAAUACAAAAGAAAAUGGAGAUGAGAAGAAAAAAAAAACACGAAUAAUGAAAAAUGAGUUGACAAUUAUAUAUGGUUGACAUUAGAUGUAAUAUUAUAUGUAAUAACUAAUGAUCUAAAAUAAACAUUUAAUCUAUUCACUCGUUUCGUGUUUACUCCUGUGAUGGAAGGGCAAAGUUCCCCAUUGCCUUGAAAACCAUUGACUGGUCAACAAGACAACUUUCUUUGGUGUGCGAGCGUGCCACUACUAGCAAUAAAAAACAUAGCAGACUUCUUUGAAAUAUAUAACUUGCGUCCUAAGUUACUAAUUUCUAAACAAGCGAUCGUGAAUUUGGGUGAGGAAUAUCUCCCAAGUAAGUUCUUUUCUUGCCUCAGACUGGUGAGGACUUCACAAUUUAUCUUAGUACAAGAUUGGUAGUUUUGGCCAGAAUAAAUGAUAAUAAAGUGGACUUUUUUAGGCAGAACUGCCUUUUACAAAACUAGAAAGGAAAAGAUCAACUCUAGAAAGACAAAAAAAUGGCUGAAAUUCCAUUUCUGCCUGGAUAGAAGCUUCUGAUCCGGGCUGGACUGGGUAUGUUUGUUCUGGACUGAAUUGUCAACAACUUCAACUACUAAGCUUCAGCUGUAAAUCGAUACCAAAGUUUGAGUUUGGCAGAGUUUUAAUAUAUUUCAAGCCCUGGAAGGCUUUUCGAACGGGCAGAACUGCAACUUCUUUGGUCUGAACGGGGCAGAAGUGGCUGGACUUAAGGAUUACUAAGCCGGAACUGCACUAUGGUACCUGUUCUGCUUGAUCCGGGCUCUCUAUAAAUUUGUUGAGGUUUCCAUAUUUGUGAAAACUCAAACUCGGCUUGUCUUGGCUUUUGCUGAACCAAAUUUGUAACGCGAGAAGUCUCGUUUUGAAUGACUUAUUUAUCUGAGUAUGAACUUGGAAGUUCGAUCUAUAGCUGGCUUCUUUUGUGGCUCGAAUGAGUUUUUGGUUGCUCUAGUUUGUUUUGAAGGUUCUCAAUGAUCAAGUGAUCAUUUUGAGUUUUUGCCUUUGGUUGAUUUUUGAUUGUUUGAUUGAUUGUUGAAAAAUGAGUGUGUUUUGCUCUGUUCACCCUCUCCUAUAUUUAUAAGAAAUGCUUUGGAGUAGGGUUUCUAAUUUUUUAGAAAUCGGCGGCAGAUUUUCUCAAAAGAUCUUUCAUUUUUUAAAAUGUAAAGAAAUAGGGGUUUUAUCAAUUCUGGUAGAUAAGCUCUCAAUGGUCAGUUUCUUUAAGUCAAUCACUUCUCUGUUUUUUGAAAGAAAACUUAAUCCCUCUUUAAUUCCAACUGCCCCUUGUGAGAGCUCAAACUGUGAUGGUUAGUUUGAUUUUCCAGUUUAAACAACUUCCUGUUUCAUGCUUUAUCUUUUUUUAGAAAACACAGUCUGCGUAUCCUGAAAGAUGGUGCCUUCUUUGGAGUAUAAACAAUAUCUCUGAAUAUAUAAAAGGGUUUUGAUCUUCUGGUGGCAGAGAUUUCAGAGACAUCCCUUCUUUUCGCCUGCCUCUGUCAACUCUUUAUUAACCUAGUUGAAAUUGUUGACUUUCCUAAAUCAGAGAAAAAGAUUCACUUUGGUAUGUUUCCUUUUGGGCUCCUUCUUCUCUUUUAAUAUGCCCAAACCCUUUUGUUUUUCCUGGAGCCAUGAGCUGAUUGCUCUUUUUUUCUUUUUUCGAGGCCCAAGUUUAUUUGCAGAGUCCAGACUGCUUGGGCCCUGUGGUUUGUCUUUGUUGUUUUUGGGCUGGGUGUGUCAAAUUAGGCCCAAACAAAGUCAAACAAUAAUUAAAAGAUUUGACAAUAUAAAAAUAUAUUGAGAACAAAAAAAGGCAAAAACUUUUGAAAAAUGGAAACAAUAAAUAUGAAUUGAGUCAUCAACUCACCAAGGUAAGUUUGCUGAUGUGUAAAAAUAGUCAAUGGACUACAUCGAAAAAUAAUUGGCUUACAUCAAAAAUUAAAAUCACGUGGUUUAUUCUUAAGAAACCUUAAUAUUUUUGGGUUCAUAUAUUUUUUGUAUUUUAAAAAAAAAGAAAAAAAAAAUCUGACCAUGUAUGUAUGAUGAUGAUAUGCAUGUUAUUUUUAGACCUAAGGUAAAACAAACAAACUUUUUACUCCAUUUUUCGUGAGGUUUAUCAAAAGAAUUAAACUGUUAUAUCCUCCAUUUUAGAUUUCAUGCUUCCAUUUAAAGAAAAGAAUAUCAACAACAAAAAAAGAAUAAAGUUACAACAUUGAUCAAUUCAAAUGUCCAACUAUCGGAUCAUGAGCCUCUGCACUUAGAGACUACGCAUUUACCCGUAUUUCGUUAAAUUUAGACCAUUAUAAUAAUCUAACCCCUUAGAAUGGGACACAUCAUCAAGUUUUUUUUCCUUUCACUAAACAGAAGAGUUAAGUUUUAUUUGUGGGUAACUAAACUCUUGUUUAGAGCAUGUUUUUUAUUUAUUUUUCUUUGUUCUGUGUAAAUUAUAAUAGGUUAGAUUAUUAUUUGUGGGUGACUAAAAUCUUGUUUAACAAUAAUAGUUAACGUUUGUUUAGAGAAGAAAAAAAAUUUGAUGAUGUGUCAUGUUCUAAAGGGUUAGAUUAUUAUAAUGGCCUAGAUUUAGCGAACUGUAGAUAAACGCGCAGUGUCUUAAUGCAGAGGCUCGAGAUCCCCAACUAUCAUUGAAACAUAAGAAACUAAAAUCUUCAAGAAAAUGCUAUCAAUUGAAAAAACAAUAAUUAAAAAACAAAAAAAGGAAGGGAAUUCGCAGCUGCUAUGCAAAAAAGAGCAAGUCGGUUCAAUGAUUUUUUCUUCUUCUUCUUUUUGUUAUGGAAAUGAAAAGCUAAAUGAUGGGCUAUAUAUGGGAAGAAGCUCAAUGAUUGAAUUAAUAUCUUCUAUCUACAUUCUACCCUCUUCCUCGCUACAUACACAAAUGGUGCACGUACAUGGACAUGGGUUGACAUGAAUAAGAACAGCGACGCGUACUUGUUUUUAUUUUUGGUUCUUUAGAUCCAGUUGCACGUACCAAAGAAAGAAAACCACAGGUAUGCAAUGCAAGCUCUUUUCCCAUGUUUUCCUCUGUUUUCUCCUAUUUUUCUCUCUUUUUUAAAAAAAAAAAAAAAGAUAUACGGAAGUGAUUAAAAUACUCCUCUAACUAAGCUUGUUUUGCGUUCGGUGGCCGACUGUAAAAGCUCUGCUCAAACCUAACGUACUAGGUAUUUAUUUUAUUGCUCUGUUCAGACCUAGUGAUUAAAAUGCACUUGCGAUUUUGUGUUUCAAUUCCCUCUCCCCUAAUAUUGCUUGUAUAAAAAUAAAAACUUUUAAAAAGACAUUAAUAUUGUAUUCUAUAUUCUAUAAAGUGUUGGACAUGUUUUAUAUUGUUGACAACCCCCUAAUAUUUUGGUGGUGCCCAGUUAUAUUCAAUUCGUAUGUAUUUAAUUUGCCACUUACAUUCUUGCCUUAAUACAUUUAGGCUUAUUUUUAUACAAAUUUCUCUAACAUAACUUUUGCACAUUCUUUUAGUCUCUAAUAUAUAUAUAUAUAUAUAUAUACAGAGAGCUUCCAUUGAGGGAUCCCUCAAAUAAACUUAUUUGAGGGACACUCCUUGUAGGCCCCACUCCGAAUUGUAUUUCACUAAUACAAACCGUCUAUUUUGUAGAUACUCAUUCAAAGAUCAUCUCUACAAAAAAUCACUUGAAUCCGAUAUCAUUUGACCACUCAAUUAAGUUAUUGAAAUUUUAGCAUUUUCUUGAAGCACCGUGUUCAUUGAUUUUGUAAGACACAAUUGGAUGUCGAAACGGUUUCCGAUUUGUCUAAUUUUUUGUAAGGAUGAUCUAUGAAUGAAAACCUAAAAAAUAGGUAGUUUGGAUCAUUGAGAAAAAAAUUGUAUGGUACCUUAAAGGGCGUCCCUCAAAUAAAAUUAUUUGAGGGAUCCCUCAAUAGAAGGGGACUGUAUAUAUAUAUAUAUAUAUAUUUUCUAAUAAAUAAUCUUACCCAUUUGAGUUAUCAGCUAUUUUCUUUUAGCCCGGAAAAUCGACAUUUUGACAGAGAGUUGAAAAGAACUCCCCAAUUUUAAUGUCAGCCACUUGAAAAAAAAAACAUAAAUUUAAUGACAACAAUUACAUUUAGCAAUGCAACCUAAAAACUCAACCUUUGCGCCCCUUUCACAACGUAGAUAGCAGAGUAAGGAUAUUCGGAUAAGAACCAAGACAUAAGCCAGAGAAACUACGAUAGCCAACCAGGGCCUUCAUUUCUUACCAUCUGAACAAUGCCACCAUUUUGUUUGGUAAGUAUUUAAUAACAUUUCUUGCUCUUCAUAAAGUAAUAUUAAAACGAAAUUUGCCUAAAUUUUUCUUACCAACAAUGCAUACGAAAAAAAAAAAGGAAGAUUCACUAUUAUACUCAAUAUAGGAGCCCAAAUUAUUUAUAAUUAAAAAAAAAACCUUACAUGAAAUGGACUUUAGAAACACACUCAAAACCUAUUUACAACAAAACAAAGACUUUUAACUUCUUUUAAAUUACAAAACUAUCAUUGAUUUCUUAAACAAACCCAACCCCAAUACCUCAUAAAAAAACCCAAAAUACUUGAUAAAGCAUCAAAGUAAUUUAAUAAUCAAAAUUAAAUUCAAUAGGACCAGCAGUUAUUUUUUGGGUUUUUUUUGUUUGUUUAUAGAAAUUAAAUGGUGUAGGAUCUAUCUAUAUUAUUAGUGCUAAGAAUGGAUAUGUGACUAAAUAAUUCCAAAAAAAAAUUAUAAUAAAUCUACAAUUUUUCUUUUUAUAAAAAAAUUCUACAAAAAUUUAUUAGAUUAAUAGGCACUACUAGAAAAUCUCCAUAUAAGCCACUAAUACACCCAUGACAGUUGUCCAAGCGUAGUGUUGUCAUUCAAUAUUCCCCACAGCAACCAGCAUCCAAUAAAGGGUUGCCUCUCUGUAUGUAGCUAUUUGAGAAUAUAAAAGAAAUAUUUUUUAUUCAACAUGGACGCAGAAACUGUUGCUAAACUGCAAACUUCUUAAAAUAUUUAUCUAACUUUCUAGAUCCAUGUACUGAGAUUUAUUAGGGAAAUAUUGUAGAAACUGAUUAUUUUGAAAUAUUAAAUGUGAAAAACUGAACAAAAAUUUGAUGGGUUACAUAUUUCAACUCAUUUCAGCAGCUUAGAUUUUGAAGACCUCAGAAGAGGCUAUGCAAUGAGCCUAGCUAGUGCACUGUUGAUCACUUCAGUGUUUACCGAUCUGUAAUUUUUCCAGAUUGGUUAUAUUUUCCUUUACAUAUUCUUAUAUUUUCCCAGUUGGGGAGACUUAUAAAUAAGGGAAAUAGCCCUAAAUGCCACCAAUUUUAUAAUUUUUUGUCAAAAUACCACCCCUCCCCAAAAUUUUUAAAACUACCACCUAUAAAUACAUCUUUAUUGUAAAUUAAUUGCACCCAUAUCACUUUUUCAGAAAUUGGGUUCUCCCUCAACUCUCUUGGCUCUGUCUCUCUCUUUAGCCUAGCUCUCUCUCUCUCUCCGACAUAGUCAUCUUCCUCCCUCAGCCAUCCAAGCUUAACUCCACAGUUCACAUCCACGAGGUACUGUUCACGUUCCUUUUCUUAGAAAUUUGGGGUUUUUGUGAAUUUGGUUUAUGAUGUAUGGAUUUGUAUGAAAUUGGUUUAGGGGUUUCUUCCAAAUUGGUUUGGUAAGAAGGUGAUGUUGUUGUUGCUGUCACUGACAGACUAUUUUUCCUGGGUUGUGGUUGGUGGGUGUUACUGCGAAUGCUUACAAGGUUGCUGAUUCUCCUUCUAAGGUCUCUCUUUCUCUCUAUUUCUACAAAUUCUAAGGUUUUUUUUUUUUUUUGGGUUACUUUUUUUUUUUUUUUUAUUUCUUUUGCUAAUUGUAAUUGGGCCUUUGUUGCAGAGGUGGAUUUGUUUUGUGCCCAAAAGAUUGUGACUUUGUUGAAAGUUCGUAAAUAGAAAAGGCAGCUGCCCCCUGCGGCUUGGAACGCUCAAUUCGGAGGUAUUAUGCCUUGAAUUUUUACAAAAGAAGAAUUGAAACUACCUUAUAGAAGGCAAAACAAAAAUAUAUAAGAGGAAAAAAGGAGAAAAUUUAUCUAAUUUCCCUUUUUUUAGUUGUAUUUUUNNNNNNNNNNNNNNNNNNNNNNNNNNNNNNNNNNNNNNNNNNNNNNNNNNNNNNNNNNNNNNNNNNNNNNNNNNNNNNNNNNNNNNNNNNNNNNNNNNNNNNNNNNNNNNNNNNNNNNNNNNNNNNNNNNNNNNNNNNNNNNNNNNNNNNNNNNNNNNNNNNNNNNNNNNNNNNNNNNNNNNNNNNNNNNNNNNNNNNNNNNNNNNNNNNNNNNNNNNNNNNNNNNNNNNNNNNNNNNNNNNNNNNNNNNNNNNNNNNNNNNNNNNNNNNNNNNNNNNNNNNGGGGGAAGGGACACCCUAUUUCGUUACAGGGUUUAUUGACUGCAUUCUUCCUUGUUCUAGAAGACCUCCUCAGUUCCAUUGAGCCGACAAACCUUAUGAAGUUGAAUGUGAAGUGUUACCUUGCAUCUACAUGUUUCAUCUUUUAACUUUAUUUUCAUGUUUCACACUGAUGCUUGUAGUUAUUUCUAGUUUUGCAUACAGAUUAGCAAAUAGGUUAUGCAUUUACUGUUUAGUCAUCUAAUGAUUUGAUAUCUAAUAUUUAGGCAUAUGGGAAUUUAUAGAUGUACCGAUUAUGCAUACAUAUAGGUUUUGUGCUUGUAUUAGGAAGUUAGAUUCUUGUGGUUCCUCUUCAAUGGCAUGAAUUUAAAUUGUUGUGCUUCAUGAUUAGGGUCUGAAGAACAACCAUGUAGUAAGAAAGUUGGAGAAACGUCAACAGAUUUGCACCCUUGACCAACAUAUUGAAGAGUAAUUUGGUGGUGGUCGUCUAUUGGCUUGUAUCUCAUCACGACCUAGAUAGUGGCUGUGCUGAUGGGUAUGUGACUUUAUUUGCCUAUGUCUGUUUCUAGUCAGCCGAUAUGUCAUUGGCAUAUUAGUGUAGUUACCAUAUUGCAAGGGCUGAAAUCUGGAUGAUAACAGCUUCUUUUUAUUGUUGUUUUAAAGUGAAGUAUGUAUGGAUCUUAUGAAAUUUUUACAGAAAUAUAUUGGAGGGCAAAUAAUUUUAUUUUAGUUUUUUUAUUCCCAAAUGAUACCCAAAACAUGUAAGCUUCACACUAUGUUAAUUUCUGCAGGAUGGGAAAACAUUGGACAAUGAGUUGGAGGUUGUUAAGGGAAUGAAGCUAGACAUGGGCUACAUAUCCCCUUAUUUCAUCACCAACCAGAACAAUUAGAAAUGUGUAAGUUUUGGUUUGAUUCAGGGAUGACUAUGUCUUGAAACUGUUAGAGGGCUGCUUGUUAAAGUUAGUAGCACCUCAAGUCCCUUUUUUAUUGAUGCUGAUUAUCUUCAAACUUGUGUAUGUGCUGAUAGGAAUUGGAAAAUCCUCUAAUCAUAAUCCAUGAGAAGAAAAUCUCAAGUAUUAAUGCUGUGGUUAAAGUAUUGGAGUUGGUCUUGCAGGUUAUCAUUUCUCUGGUUAGGUUCACUAGUUUCUUCUUUUUUAUCAUGAAUUGGUUGACAAACUUUUGCUCUUUUUCAAAAGCAAAGGUCUUUGCAUUUUGUUAUAUCUUUCAGAACCAAAGUUAUAAAAGAAAAUGGUUUUCCUCUUUGUUAAUUGAGAAUCAUCUGCAGUUAUGAUUUCAGAUCUAUAGAUAACUUGUUGUUGCUGAUAUUGCUACACGGGAGGAGAAUAGAACAGCUUGAAAAAUGUGCAAGAAGAGAGAGCUAACUCAUACACCGAAGAACAAAUUGGUGAAGUUAAGAUCAAAUUAGUAGAAUUUGUGAGCUCUCCAUUAUUUAUAAUUAUAGGUAGGAAGUAUGUAUGUAAUAGAGUAAAGAUUGGUUGACUAUGUAAUAACAAUUGAAUUUUCAAGUUUUAUGAAAGAAAUAAUUUUUGAGCAUAUAUAUUUGUUAAUAAAGCAUUAUAAUUGGUUUUCUAGUUAAAAUCGUUGUAUAGAAUCGUAGGAAACAAAAACCUAAAUAUAACAGCUUGGGAACUUAUUAGACGACAGAUUUAAAGAUAAUAAAAUGUAGUCUGAAUUGUUAGGGUUCGGUGGCGAUUUAUUUUGCAUGUCUAAAUUGUAGUCUGUAAUAUAUGUGUGUGUAUUGUAUGUAGAUUGACUUAAUAUUGCUAUCCUAUUGCAUGCGUAUUGUACUAAUAUUGCCUUUGUAUUGCAUACAUAUUGUAUGCAUAUUGCCACCCUAUUGCAUGUAUAUUGUGAUGUUAUUGCUGUUGUAUUGCCGUUAUAUUGCCCUAAUAUUGCCUCUCUAGUGUAUGUAUAUUGGCCUAAUAUUGCCAUUAUAUUGUAUGUAUAUUGACUAUGACUCAUCAAUGGGUUUACGGUUUAGGCCCUACUUCAUUCAAAAAGAAGACGACGACGAGAAAGAAACAAUGUGCCUUUCAAAAACAAGCAGUCAGGUGCAUUAUAAUUGCACCGUAAGACAUUGUAAGAAAUUAUUUUAAAAGAUAAUAACAACUAAAAAAUAAUUUACCAAAAAAGGAAGGUAUGAAUAAAUAUGCAAAUGCUUCGUCAUGGGUUGAAGAAAAGGAUGAUUACAUUUGGUGGUUUGAUUAUGUUUGGUGAUAUGAUAUGUUGUUCGUCUGAAUCUUCAUAUAUGUAAUUGUUAUGUUAAUACUUGACACAAAUUCAUCUCGUAAUCAUCCAAUUAUUAAAGCUAAGUAAAUGAAAUGAAACAAAAGAAGAAGCCCAAAAUAAACAGAAACAGCAAUUUCUAGCACCCAUUUAUCGCUUCUGUAUUACCACUGUAUCACCAACGUAUCACCAGCUUAGCGUUGAUGACCAUUAGUUCAAACAUUAUGUGAUCUAAUAGGGAUAACUAAUUUUUGGAACAACUAAUGAAUCUUCAAAAAGAUAAAGAACAACUAGUAAACUAAUGUAUGCAGUUUAACUUUGCACGGGUCAUAGUGCUCAACAUGAUAUUUGGCAACCAUCUCUACACUUGGUGUAUAUUGCAGGCUUCUAUGCAUUCCAAACCUUCAUUCUUCUGUGAUAAAACUGUUAAAUUACCAAGAUUUCUAACACAUGGAAGUAAACAAACGAAUCUGCACAUUUAUUUGUACAUACACACUGCGUAUUGCACAUCUGCGCAUCUAUUAAUCACCACACCAAUGUUUCAAAGAUUGAUUCAGAGGGCAAAAUGAUUGAUUACAUAUUUCAAAUUAGUCAUCUGCUCAUAAGAACUUGGCCCUAAAACUGUACUAAUGGUAAAUAUACUGACAUAAUAGCUAUUAAUGAAAAAUUCUAAACAAACGAGGGACUUAUUUUUCUAAUAUUGUAGUGGAAGCAUGUUAAGUGAUUUUCCACAUUUGUUCAUGGGGGUAAAGUAUAUCUUACCCCUUUCUAAACAUUAUGAGGUUUCAAAUUUCAAUAACAACAGAAUGCUAAGCAGAAAAGUAGAAUUGCUACAUAAAUUACUUAGAAGGAACAAAGUCAAAACUAAUUUGACAAAUCUUAAGAAAGCUGUAUGCUUCACUAAGUCAACUAACAGAUUCCCAGUGCAGGAAAUGAAAUAUACCUAUAUCACAUAAAUUGCAAAGAAAACCACAGAGACUAAAUGUUAACAAUGGAUACAAAAAUGAGUAGAAUUCAGUGGAAACGAACACAUCGUUUCAAACAAGUAAAUUGUUAUAUGUCCAUAAAGAGCAACUAUGUUUAUAUAUGGAGGUGUACGAAAUAGUUCAACUUCAAAAUGGAAACAGUUUAUGUGCCAUGUAAGGCAAUGAACAUAUAACAAGGUGAGUCUUCAACAAAUUAAAAGUAGACAAUUAUUUUCAAACAAUCUGACAGCUGCCCGAGAAAACUGAGGGAGUUAAGGCAUGAGAUGCAAACAUGAUAAACACUGUUAAGCACUCGGACGAACCCAUGCUAUAAUACAAGCCAACAGACAAUCACCACCACCAAAUUGCUCUUCAAUAUGUUGGUCAAUGGUGCAAAUCUGUUGAUGCUUCUCCAACUUUCUUACUACAUGGUUGUUCUUCAGACCCUAAUCAUGAAGCACAACAAUUUAAAUUCAUGCCAUUGAAGAGGAACCACAAGAAUCUAACUUCCUAAUACAAGCGCAAAACCUAUAUGUAUGCAUAAUCGGUACAUCUAUAAAUUCCCACAUGCCUAAAUAUUAGAUAUCAAAUCAUUAGAUGACUAAACAGUAAAUGCAUAACCUAUUUGCUAAUCUGUAUGCAAAACUAGAAAUAACUACAAGCAUCAGUGUGAAACAUGAAAAUAAAGUUAAAAGAUGAAACAUGUAGAUGCAAGGUAACACUUCACAUUCAACUUCAUAAGGUUUGUCGGCUCAAUGGAAUUGAGGAGGUCUUCCAGAACAAGGAAGAAUGCAGUCAAUAAACCCUGUAACGAAAUAGGGUGUUCNNNNNNNNNNNNNNNNNNNNNNNNNNNNNNNNNNNNNNNNNNNNNNNNNNNNNNNNNNNNNNNNNNNNNNNNNNNNNNNNNNNNNNNNNNNNNNNNNNNNGAUAUGAAGAAACAAAAUGAAUCUCCCACAAGCCUAACAGGCUAAUACCAUUAACAAGGUCUGAAAUUGACUCUAUAUCAUGUACAUAUAUAUAUAUAUAAACUCCAUCUUUACAUAUUGGAACUACAUCAAUGUAAACCAACUAGAUCGACCCUGCAUCCUGAACACCACCCCCCCUCCCAAAAAAAAGACCGAGAAAAAAAAAAUACAACUAAAAAAAGGGAAAUUAGAUAAAUUUUCUCCUUUUUUCCUCUUAUAUAUUUUUGUUUUGCCUUCUAUAGGGUAGUUCCAAUUCUUCUUUUGUAAAAAUUCAAGGCAUAAUACCUCCGAAUUGAGCGUUCCAAGCCGCAGGGGGCAGCUGCCUUUUCCAUUUACGAACUUUCAACAAAGUCACAAUCUUUUGGGCACAAAACAAAUCCACCUCUGCAACAAAGGCCCAAUUACAAUUAGCAAAAGAAAUCAAAAAAAAGUAACCCAAAAAAAAAAAAAAAAAACCUUAGAAUUUGAAGAAAUAGAGAGAAAGAGAGACCUUAGAAGGAGAAUCAGCAACCUUGUAAGCAUUCGCAGUAACACCCACCAACCACAACCCAGGAAAAAUAGUCUGUCAGCGACAGCAAAAACAACAUCACCUUCCUAUCAAACCAAUUUGGAAGAAACCCCUAAACCAAUUUCAUACAAAUCCAUACACCAUAAACCAAAUUCACAAAAACCCCAAAUUUCUAAGAAAAGGAACGUGAACAGUACCUCGUGGAUGUGAACUGUGGAGUUAAGCUUGGAUGGCUGAGGGAGGAAGAUGACUAUGUCGGAGAGAGAGAGAGAGAGCUAGGCUAAAGAGAGAGACAGAGCCAAGAGAGUUGAGGGAGAACCCAAUUUCUGAAAAAGUGAUAUGGGUGCAAUUAAUUUACAAUAAAGAUGUAUUUAUAGGUGGUAGUUUUAAAAUUUUUGGGGAAGGGUGGUAUUUUGACAAAAAAUUAUAAAAUUGGUGGCUUUUAGGGCUAUUUCCCUAUAAAUAAACCCAAAAUGGGUACAGUAUCUAUACAGAAGGACAAAAUUAAAGUGUUUGGACAAUAAUGCCCCUAUUCAUUUUGGGAUUGCCUAAGGAAUCCUUUUCCUGAUUUUCAAUGAUGCCAAAGGACUGUUGUUUGAUGCUUGCCGUAUGGAGCUAAGAAAACUUGCUUUGUGUUAUAAAAAUAACCUGGAAUAUGUACGAAUAUUGAGCUGCACGAAAAGUAGAUGAAACACAGCAUUUAACGAGGUUCGGCUAUGCCUACGUCCUCGGAGAGCAACAGCAGUAACUUUUUCACUAUAUGAAAUAAUAGGGCUACAACUUUAGAGUUUACAAUAUGUGAGGCUCACUGAAUUUUCUCUCUCUUUCUUCUUCUCUCUUUUCUUUCUUCUUUUUCUCUUCUCCCCUUUCUUUCUUUUCUCCGUUGGUCACACUCCCCUUUACAAUUGGUAUGCCUAUUUAUAGGCUAAUGUUUAGGCAAAAUACAGGGAAGGGAAGGUUCCUGGAAGAUGCAAGGAAACUUCCUGAAUUGAUAAUGUCACACCCCGGACCGACUCCGCCGUAGCACGAUAUUGUCCGCUUUGGGCCCUCCUCUCACUGCCCGCACGGUUUUGUUUCUGGGAGCUCACGAAGCAACUUCCCAGGGUGGUCACCCAUCCUGGGAUUGCUCCAGCCUCCCACUCGCUUAACUUCGGAGUUCUUACAACUCCGAAGCCAAUGAGCUCCCAAAAGGCCUCGUGCUAGAUGGAUGCGGGUGUGCCAUAUAAGGCACAUCACCCCCCUCUCCGUUGGUUUGAUGUGGGAUCUUACAAUCCACCCCCCUUAAGGGUCCGACGUCCUCGUCGGCACACUCGCACCACACGGCAGAGUGGCUCUGAUACCAAAUUGUCACACCCCGGACCGACUCCGCCGUAGCACGAUAUUGUCCGCUUUGGGCCCUCCUCUCACUGCCCGCACGGUUUUGUUUCUGGGAGCUCACGAAGCAACUUCCCAGGGUGGUCACCCAUCCUGGGAUUGCUCCAGCCUCCCACUCGCUUAACUUCGGAGUUCUUACAACUCCGAAGCCAGUGAGCUCCCAAAAGGCCUCGUGCUAGAUGGAUGCGGGUGUGCCAUAUAAGGCACAUCACCCCCCUCUCCGUUGGUUUGAUGUGGGAUCUUACAGAUAAAUACAGGGAAGGAAAGUUCCUGGAAGAUGCAAGGAAACUUCCUGAAUUGAUAAAUACAGGGAAGGGAAAGUUCCUGGAAGAUGCAAGGAAACUUCCUCUGUGGGCUCCACCUUCAAACUUUUACAACACUCCCCCUUGGAGACCACAAAUGAUAUGAAAUAUGCCUCGUUAAAAACCUUGCCAGUAAAAACCCAGUGGGACAAAAACUGGUCGAAGGGAAAAAGAGUACAUAAUCACGUGUAACAUAAAAUUCUGUGUAUAUUGACGCGCGUGCGACACUGCCUCGUUAAAACCUUGCCAGGAAAAAUCUAGUGGGAUAAAAACCUGGACGAAGGAAAAAGAGUACAGUGUGUAAGGGUCUGUAUUGACAGCACGCUCCUCCUGAUGCUUGGCAAAAUAUCUUUAAGCCAUACUGUUGAUCAUCUGUCUGAAUAUCAUAGUUGACACUGCUGCUGUGAGUCAAUAGUGUAUGAAGGUCUUUAUUAAUACCAUGCUCCCCCUGAUGAAUAUCUCCCCCUGAAAACUUCAUGACUAGCUUUUUCCAGUAAGCGACCAUAGAGAUUUCCUGAGUCCGCAUAUCUUAGAACACUUGGGCUAUUUAUAAGUUCACUAAAAAAAUAUGCCCGUAUAUGGUGUUAUGCUUAGAUAGCAUCAAAUAUACCUCACAUCAUCCCAAAAUGAUGGUGAUGGAGUUGAGCCCUAUCUGGAAAAUAUGAUGUCCGGUCCAAUAUACUUCCGGAAAAUCAUUAAAGUGUCCAACGGAUAAUCCUCAUAAAAAUACUUUAAUACUUUCUUAGUAUAAGCAAGAAUCUCGUUGGCAUAAUGCUCGAUCGAGACAAAUAUUUCAUGAAUUCUGCAGAAACUUUAAUGUGUUGCAAUCACAUUAUAAUCAAUGUACUCACUGAGGUAAUUUAUGCAUAUUAAUAUUGAGUACAAAUUUUGUGCUUCAAGCACAUGUCCUUUAAGGACUUGCUUUAUGCAAUAUCAAUCCUCUCAACGGAUUUUGUCUAAAAGGGAUUAAGCUUUAUGACACAUUAUAUAGCUUUUACCCAGCUAUUUAUACAUCUUUAGGAAAUCGCUUCUGGCGAUAUGCUCCGUGCAUUCAAUAACCCUUAAAGAUAAUAUGUUGGUCUCCGUAAUUGUGUAAUAAGGGGGGGCACAAUUGAAUCUGUAAAUAUGGAGAAAACCCAACAUUCCUUGUUUCUGCCAGAAACAGUGUGUCAUACAAAGUAGGUAUAUUCCCUUUUAUUCCGAACACCCAAGUAUAACUUUCAGUAUUAACAAAUUUUGGGGUUCGUAUUGUGGGUUUGUUCUUUCACGUUCAUUCUCAUUUAUAAUGGAAUUACCUCGUUCCAUUUUGGCCAGUGAUAUUGUCGACAUUUAAUAAUUGAACGUGGUUCCAAUCAACACAGCCCAUUGAUGAUUUGAGUAGCUACUCCAAAACCAAAAAUUGUCAUUCAUCAAUUCAUGAUCCCACCAUUCUCAUGUGCAUGCACAUGCAUCAAUUAUAAGCAUUUCUUUGCUUUUUGGUACCCAAGCCACUUCAGGGGGCUUUUAUUAUGUGAGAAUGUGGAUUAUAACCUCCAUCGGAGCGUUAUUUAGUAGUAGGGCGUGGAUAAUCUCCAUUUAGAGAGUUGGAACAUUGAGAACCCAUAUAUCUGUCAUGCUGCAGGCAUGCCACAGAUUAAUACAUACAUGUCAAUUAAUUUCUGGGACUUUAACCCAUAUUAUGGGACUUUAACCCAUAUAAUUUGCUACGCAUUAGGCGUGCAUAAUAUCAAUAUUGACAUGUCAAAGGAUUGUCCUUUCGGGACUUCAAUUCAUAUCAUUUGCUACGCAACAGGCGUGCACCCAUAUUGAUCACUGCUAUACCCAUAUUCUGUUCUUAUGGGACUUUAAUCUGUGCAGUGUAUUAUCAAUGUAUCCAUCUUACAAUCUGUAAAAUUUGCAUUAAUAAUUCAUGGAUACAUACAAGCCAUUCUUUUGGAACAGACUUAUCUCCCAAUUUGGUUACCUUUCAAGAUAAAAUAUCAAAUAGGUAUAUAAGCAUAAAAUAACACAAGUAUUGCUUACAUCCUUAGGUGGGAGAAACUUUUCUCAAGUAUCAUUCAAGCUCAUAUCAGCCCAGUAAAUAUAAUGUAGCGCUUGAUGAUCUAGUUAUAUCCUGCAAGAGCAAAAAUCACAACUCUUUUGCCUCUGUCAAAACAAAUAACCCUCAUAGUUAGGAUUACUUCAUGGAUUCAUUCUUCAUAUGUUCAUUCUAAAGAAAUAAAAUCUCUUAUGAACAGAGAGUUAUAAAAAGAGAAAAAAUGCAAAAAUAAUGUGAUAUUGAUUGCAAGAGAAGGUAAGCAAUCAGGGAAGGAAGCUGGUGGGAGCAGACAAUAAGCUCUCAUAUCUCCUAGUCUAGAAGGACUCCCGGAGAUUAGACCAUAAGAUCGCCUUCACAGUUUCCUGAUGUAGUGGAAACGUGAUCAGGGAUAGUCUUGCUUCCUGAAUGGAUGAUCAGAGAUAGUCUUGCUUCUCAGGCAUAUUGAGUGCUCACUGAUAAGAAAAAUAAGUAGAUAUCUCAUCACUAAGUAUGGAGUAAACUGGAUGUCUUCUGCAAAGGAAAAUUUCGUUUAGUAACACAUUUAUACACAAAUACAAUGAAUAGGUAGAACCGGUAAAUUUCAAAUUAACCAUAGGAAAAUUGCGAGAUUCUCGGGAUACUUUUGAAAAAGUAGCUCCGUGAAAUCCGUAAAGCAAGAUCGGCUUUGAAAAUAAUACUUUGAAAAACGCCGAAAGUGCCGACAUGCAUUAUUAGAGGCCACGUGAAGUUUUGGACUCUGGGAAAGAAAAAGAUAAUAUGGGGAUUCGAGAAGACAUUGGGGUCCUGAAAAGUUGCCACAUUUUCGUCUAUAGAUAUUGCCUUUGCAAACUGCGUUUCAACUCAACUUCCUUCAUUUUCCGAACCUUUAGUUUUUCUAAGACUUUCUUCGAAACCUUCUUAAAAAAAUGGCUUCCUCUUCUUCCUGCCCAAAUUAUUUCAAUUUAAAUGAUGCUCCCACAACAACCAGUGACGCCCAAGUUUGGCGUCCAUCCUUUGUAUCCAAAAAUCGUCAUCUCACAGUUAAUGAUUCUGUGAUGAUGAAUGAUGCUACUGCUGUCAUAGUAGCUAGGAAUUUCAUUACUCCAAUGGAUGAAAUGUUGUUGACAGGGAGAUCAGAGGAAGAGGCUAUUGAUGAAUCAAUGGCUUUUAGCAUUCAGAGUGCUGUUUCUGUUUCUAACAUGGCUGAUCGUUUGCGUGCCAGAGCAAACGAAGUUGAGAAUUUAACAACUGAAAAUUCGUCUCUCCAAAGAAUGCUUCAUGAGUCUCAACAGGAGGUUGAGAAACUUAAAGGAGAGAAUAAUGCCUUGUUGAAACUGGUGAGUUCGUACUCUGUUGAUACAUUGAGAAGGCUAGACAUGCUGCAGGUCUCGAAUGAAAGAAUUUUGGGAGACUAUGAGAAGCUCAUGGCUAAGCUUAAGAGGCGCCGUCAUCUUCCUUCAGAGGCUUCCAGGACAUAAUGUAAUUUUUAUAGAUUUUACAGGGCCUGCACCUUCAUUGCAGGAAAAAAUCUAUCUGUUGUAUGCCCCUUUUCUGUUAUAAUAAUUGCGCAUAUUCUUAAACUUGCACCUGUGGUUUUUACGUCUUUUCAAAAUGACGAUUUGGAACCUUGUGCCUUAUAGGUUCAAAUAACCACAUUGUCUCUCCCAAAUUUCAUAUUUUAUCGCAUGGUAGCCCGGAACUUUUGGCCUGGGCACAAACUCAGAAUUUAUUUGCCCUUUUCAAAUGGACAUGAAAUAUGAAUUGAGUAAAAGCCAUGAUAAUAUCGCAAUAUAGUAGUGAAGAGCAUUAACUACUAUAUACCCACAACUUCAAGUUCAGGAUCUCUCAUAUAUUUGGAUCCAUGGGCUUCCGGCCCAAAUAUAACAAAAUAUGUGGGGAGCCUCAAUUCAUUAUUUGAGGUUUAUAUUAAUAUUAUGCAUUUCGCGGUGUAUUCUUAACAACCGGAAUUCACAAAAUAUAUUUCUUCCUUGAGGUGUCGAUUAUAACAAAAUCGAACUUUAUUAAAUUCAUCAUCUUCUUAUGCCAAAGAAAUAUGUGGCAUACCACAAUUUGCAAUAAUACCUCAAGGGUUGUCCAUUUAAUUGUUGGAACUUCAGGUUCUCAACACUGUUAAAUUUGGAACUUCAGGCCAAAGCCACAUAUUCUCAUGGUAUGGACAUUUUUACAAUUUUCUGUACAUAUUUCGGGACUUCAAGCCCUUACAUAACUGUCCAUAUUUUGAGGAACUUCUGGCAUCUCAUUUAAUUGCUCAUCCAUGAGUUUAAGGAACUGCAGGUUCCCUUUUGUAUAUAGUGACGGUUUACCCAAAAUGGUUAAUAUUUAUGCAUACAUCACUAUUCAUGUGAAUAGUACUAUUCAUCAAGUCAUGAAUACGUAUCUAUUCAUCUGCCAGUACAGUUAUCAUCAAUGUGUACGGCACUAUGAACCAAUACGGUACUGUUACAUCAUUAAGGAACUCUAGGUCCUUAUUUACAUGUCAGGGAUUAAGAACCUUUAAGUCCAAUCACAUGUUUACAAAUACAGUACCGGUGAGACUGCCAGCUCUCAUUUUAAUAUCAUCAUCAAGGAUCUUCAAGUCCUGAUGUAAUUGUAUGAUGAGGAUCAAGGAACUUCUGGUCCUGAUCUGCAUACUGGAAAAACUAAUCAUACAGCACAAUUAAUCCAUAAAAUAAAUUGCUGAUAAAUAAAUUACUGGUAUGGACGAUAAACCCGCACCACACUUUAAAUAAAUGUAAAUGUGCGGUAAAUUAAAUUCAUAAAGUUAAGGUGCUUGUAUGGGCAUUAAUUCUGCUCCAUACAUUUAAAUAAAAGUAAAGGCGUGGACGAUAAACCCGCACCACCCUUUUAAAUAAAUGUAAAUGUGCGGUAAAUUAAAUUCAUAAAUUAAAUUGCUUGCUGUAUGGACGUUAAUCCCGCACCAUACUUUAAAUAAAAUUAAAUGUGCGGUAAAGUAAAUUGUGCUUGUAUGAGCACUAAUUCUGCUCCAUACAUUUAAAUAAAAGCAAUGGCGUGGACGAUAAACCCGCACCACCCUUUUAAAUAAAUACUGUUGUAUGGGUAAUAAACCUACACCAUACAGUAAAUAAAAUAAAUAUGCGGUAAAAUAAAUUUGCGAUAAAGUAAAGGUGCAUGUAUGGGUAAUAAACCUACACCAUACAGUAAAUAAAUGUGGGGUUAAAACCACCACCGAAUAAAAUAAGAAAAAGUUAGUAUUAGUAACGGUCUCCUACUGAUAAUAUGUUUAGUAUUACCAAGGGUCCAUUUUUGUUAGUGGUUAGUAGUAUAGAUAAUAGUGCAGCAUAAAAAUUAUACCUGAGAGCUUCUCGUGCUGAUAACGUGUUAUAAAAAUAACCUGGAAUAUGUACGAAUAUUGAGCUGCACGAAAAGUAGAUGAGACACAACAUUUAACGAGGUUCGGCUAUGCCUACGUCCUCGGAGAGCAACAGCAGUAACUUUUUCACUAUAUGAAAUAAUAGGGCUACAACUUUAGAGUUUACAAUAUGUGAGGCUCACUGAAUUUUCUCUCUCUUUCUUCUUCUCUCUUUUCUUUCUUCUUUUUCUCUUCUUUUCUUUCUUCUUUUCUCUUCUUCUUCUCUCUUCUUUUUCUCUUCUCCCCUUUCUUUCUUUUCUCCGUUGGUCACACUCCCCUUUACAAUUGGUAUGCCUAUUUAUAGGCUAAUGUUUAGGCAAAAUACAGGGAAGGGAAGGUUCCUGGAAGAUGCAAGGAAACUUCCUGAAUUGAUAAAUACAGGGAAGGGAAAGUUCCUGGAAGAUGCAAUGAAACUUCCUCUGUGGGCUCCACCUUCAAACUUUUACAACACUUUGAUAGUUUUGGACAGAUGCAAGCUACUGUUGUUGGGAUGAUCUUUUCACGUGAAAUGAGGAUGACGAUACUUCUACACUACACAAUCCAACGAAUUCACAUUUCUAUUUCAGAUACAUGUAUAAACAGACAAGGCUUUAAAAUAUGGGAUGCUGCACUGUUGUUGCUGCUGCUGACACUGUUACUGUGUUGCUGCUACUGUUACUGCACUGCUGCUUGAAGAAGGACAAGGACUUCACUUGUUGCUUUCGUCCUUUGUGGAGGAGAGAGACCUAGGACUUGCAUGUCUUAGAUAUUUAAGACAAGGGGCUUUCGUGCCAUUUUGAAAAUACUUUGGGUGUUUUUGAAAGCUGCUUGUUUCUUUUGAGUUUCUCACUAAAUUUCGCUUUAGAAGGGAAAAUAAUAAUAAUAUUAAUAGUACAGCACUUAUUAGCAACAGAGUUACAAACUUCUUCUACAACACACACCAACAUGAAUCUAGCCCUGAUCCACUCUUUACAUACUUGAAAACAAAACAAAACACGAAAAACAAAAAACAAGAUAGGGAGAAAAUGGCUACGGAGAGACUUACUGCUAAUAGUUGAUCAAUAACAGAGAUAAUAGCGCACACUAUUUGUAUGACAGUGAGUAUCAGAAGAAUAAUAGCUGCAAAGAGAGAAAUAGCUGCCCAAGGUGUGUUGAAAUACUUUUGUCUCAAAUUUGCCUUCCAUAUGUUCGUGGUCUUCUCUCAGUAACUCGUUUAGUUUGCCAGCAAGAUCACCAAAAUAGUAGUUUCCGUGGUUCAGAGCAACUUUACUGCAAAGCUUGUUAAUCAUAAUGGAAACCUUAUUGUUGUCACCUUGCAUGUUUACAACAAUUCUAUUCUCAACAAGCAACUCUACAUCCUUUGGAGUGUUUACAAAUUUAUCCAGGAUGAAAACAUAAUAGCUUAUGUAUUUAUCCACGCAAUGGCAUUGUUCAAAGGCAAUGAGAUUUCUAAGUGUAAGCUCUGUGUAAUUAUGUAUUUCAAUUUUUGGAAUUUCCAAGGUGUUUUUCUUGAACUGUAUAUCGAAUAAGUUCUUGCUUGAUCCGGCCUGGUGUAGUUUUGUCAUGCUGGGUGUCCUUUGGAGCCCUACAUUUUCUUUUAGGGUCGGAUCUGGCAGAUGUAAAGUUCUAAUAAAAUCAACAAAAUGUAAAGGUUUUUUAGGAUCAGGAGGCAUAAAAGACUUACGGAAGGCUGGUGAGUUCUCCAAGUUUUCUAAACGCAGUGCCUGUUGGAAGAACCUGUAAGAGAGUUCAAUUAUUGAAGGCUCCCCAGUCUGAGCACCUGUGAGAUUGUAAAGAUCCUCGAGAAUGAAAAAUGGCAGCUGAUUUCCAAGCAUAAGCAUGUCAGGCAAUAUAUUUUGUAGCACCCAUGGUUUUUUAAAUAUCCAAGCAUUAUCAUCCUGCAAUUUUUCUUCCUGAAAUUUUUCUUCGGAUUUAUUCCUCAACAAUAGCUCAAUGACAAAGGCGGCAUCAACUCGAAUGAUAUUCACAAAAGCAGCAAUGUUAAACUUCUUAGUGUCUUCAUAAUAAUGACGGAGUUCAACUUCUCUCUCCUUUAUUUUCUCGAAAUAAUCCUUCAAUUUUACAUUAGUCCAAUCAAGAAAACACUUUAGGUACCUGAGUUUGUGAUCUUCCAUGGCUUCUAGGUUUUUGCUGCCAUGGUGAAGUGGGCCUAUUGAGACUACUUGUGGUGUGUAGGCCUUUUGUUUUACGUUCCGUAGUCGCUCAGGCACCCUUUAGAUACAACAGGCAGGGGACAGGGCACGCAAGUUUGUCAACUGAUUUUCCAUGGAAGUUGCUUGGUUUUCUAUGUCAAAAGAAGCUUCAUUGCUGCUUUCUUCCACUUUCUUCCUCCUCAUUAUGUGUUGUUCUGAUUGUAAGUGACGAGGAUGGUGAUGAUUCUAGACAACAUAAUCAACAAAUGUUUCAAUCAUAAUUGACAUUUCAAGAUGCUCCGACAAAGAAUUAGAAAACAUUCAUCACAAAAUGCGAACUCAUACAAUAGAUGGGUUGAUGAUAUAACCAUUAUUUCGUACAUUUUUAUUAUCUUUCUCUUAGAUUCUUGCUAUGGUUCUUGAGUGAGUUUAGUCCAUUUUUACUUAGUUUUGUGUUUUACUAGGUUUGAAGAGUAAAGAUGGAAAAGCAAGCAAAAGGUGCAAUUUUGGUAUUGAAAUAUAAUGUGAAAUCCUAGGAGCAGAAUGUGUUGUGCGGAUCGGACAACUUUACAGAACAUACUGUACUUCCUCAGAGCGAACCAGAUGUUGAACCUUAUAUCAUUGGAAAGAUACGGAUGUUCGCCUUCUGUAGAAUUUCGCGGUUCAUGAUUCGGACGUGUGUGGAGAGAGUUGUGGCCAUUUUAGUACGGACAGUUCGGGCAGAAUGUGUUCUGCGGGUUUUGCAAAAUAAUCCAUUUGAAGUCCAAUCCUUGGAGUUUAAUUUGUGUCAAUUACAUUUGGGAAGUGUCUACAAGGAUGUGGAGUUAUUUUCUGAAGUCUGACCCUUUAUUUAGUAGGAUUAUGGAUGCCAACUCAUCAAAGACAAUGAAGCCAAACUAGGAAAACAUAGUUACCAAGUCAAAAGAGGAUUUGUUCCUUAUUUAAAGAAGACCAGAAAAUAGGGUUCUCUCAUGCUGGAAUUUGAAGGAGAGUUAAAGAGCCGCUGCCAUCGUCAAGUUCUCAAGCAUCGUCAUAAUCCAUAAGUUCUAUUUUAUGUUUUCUAGUUUUUCAAUUAUGUUUUCUUUGAACAUGAGUAACUAAAUCAUUCUCUAGGGCAAGGAUGACGCCCGAGCAUGGAUAGUUAUGAUUUUUAAUGCUAUUUAAUGAAUUCCAAGUUUCUUUUAGAUGAAUGUUUAAUCACUAUUUUAAUUGUUGCUAUUUGUUUAAGUUCUUUGAUUGAUCACCUUAUGACAUGACCCGCCCCGAAUUUUUCGAAACACGAGACGAAUCUUGUGGAAUUCCCGACCACACCCCAAUGCCGGGCCCACUUACUAAAGACCGGGACUUUCUGCCGAAAUUUCGGCAGAGUCUCUCCUGUAAAUUGAACAUUUCCCACAAUUUCAACCUGCAUAAAACACAUUUUAUAUUACCCAACUGGCAGCAUGCACAAUGUAAUAACAUGCAAUUCACAUAAACGGCCUUUCGACCUUCCGAUAAUCCACAACAAACCACCAAGCACGCUAUCAAAUCAAUUCAUACCUUAAACAAGGCAAACAAUAAAUUCAAUCACACUUAAGAAUGUCAAAGCAAUCCACUACAUUUAAUUUUUCUCAACACCCAACAUACGAGGUUUUAACAUCCUAACACAAUCACAUCUAUGUCUGCGGUUGCACCUAAUAACCUUAGGCUGCCUAUGUACCCUCACUGAGAGAUCAAGCCACACGUAGUUCUUCCUACUAAAUUCCGAUUUCCAAACACAUACAAUACCUUUAAUCAUCUCUAUGAUAAUCACAUACUCUCCCCACACGCCGGAAAUUCCAACGCCACGUAUGGGGUCUGUCAUCACGCCGAAAAAUCCUACGCCUCGUGUGACCUAACCAUCAUAUCAUCUCCCCAUACGCCGAAAAUUAUAACGCCACGUACGGGGUCUGUCAUCCUGCCGGAAAAUCCUACGCCAUGGGUGACCUGACAAUCACAUAAUCUCCCCAUAUGCCAGAAAUUCCAACGCCACGUAUGGAGUCUGUCUCAACGCCGGAAAAUCCUACGCCACGCGAGACCUAACAAUCACAUAAUCUCCCCAUAUGCCAGAAAUUCCAACGCCACAUAUGGGGUCUGUCAGCACGCCGGAUAACCUACACCACGUAGGACCUAACAAUCAUAGCAUUUCCCCGUAUGCCAGAAAUUCCAACGCCACGUAUGGGGUUUGUCCUCAUGCCGGAUAACUUACGCCACGUGGGACCUAACAAUCACAUAAUCUUCCCAUAUGCCGGAAAUUCAACACCUCAUAUGGGGUCUGUCAGCACGCUGGAUAACCUACGCCACGUGUGACCUAACAAUCAUAGCAUAUCUCCAUACGCUGGAAAUUUCAACGCCACGUAUGGGGUCUGUCAUCAUGUUGGAUAACCUACGCCACGUAGGACCUAACAAUCACAAGGUGGUACUUAGGGUAGUGCGUAUAGCACUGACAGAAAAUCACAAAAGUAUCUUUCCUAUUCUAGAGAUUGGUCACAUGUAGUCCAACCAAUAGGAAAUGAGAUAUUUAAGAAAUGAAGAGUUUGAUCAAUAUCAAUAUCAAAUGAAUUCUUAUACGCCUAGUCAACUAUUAAGCGUAUCUUGACUUCUUGAUAUUGUGAUAUGAUUGAAACAUGAUUUCCAUGUUAGAAAAUUAAAGGGAUGUUAAAACAUGAAAGUAAUAGGAGAAUCAAAUUGAUUUGGGCCAAAAUUGCCUAAAAAGAAAACACUUCUAAAUACACUCAAUUCACUUUUAAAAACAGUAAAACAUGAUUGAAUCGUUCUUUAAAACAAUUCCCUAAUAUACAUGCAUGAUAAUGACAUCACUUACCUCUGAACCAAAUGCCUUUCACGGGUCAAGCCACAAGUCUGUGUUUUGGGGAUUGCUAAGCUGCAUCAAUCCUGCCAAUGUCAGUUCUGCCCCUAUGCUCUCUCAAAGCAUGUUUACAACCUAUGCUAACAUAUACUAGAGUUUAUGCUAGUAUCGAGAAAAUGCAAACACUAAUUUUGUAACACGUAGAAUUGUUAGAGAUUGGAAGUUUUUAUCAUUUUUUUCUUCCAGUCUCUCCACCACUCACUAAUACAGAUUACUCAUGUGAUAAAUUUACAAAACCUAUUUCUCUACUCUCACAAAGACUAUACUUCUUCUCAAAAGACUAUAUCACUUUACCUCUAUCUCUGUGAAAUGUAAAAAGUUGAAACUUUAAUGUCAAACCUCGACAAAAGAUGAAUUUCCAUCAGUUACGUUGAAUUUGGAUUUGUUGAACUUAAGCGAUUUUACUUUCUCUGUUAGUAUUUGAUGACUUAAUUUGGUAUUUACUUCUUCUUCUUUUUUUCCUUGGAAAUGUGUUCCACCAACGUGAGGAAGAAAAAUAUGCACAAAAUAAUAUAUUUAAUAGAAGCCCAAGAUUUCGGAAGCACAUAAUUUUUUCAAAAAUCUACAAAGUGUUCUACUUUACAAACUUCUUAUGUCUACCAAUUUCUACUAAAAUUAAUUUCUUUGCGGUGCUCAGAUUCAUCAUGUGUGUGUCCUCAAUUUUAGUGGAAAUUGGAAGUUUCCAUCAUUUUUGUUUUCUGGGAAUUUUCUGAACCAAGGAAAAUCAAGCAAAAUUAAUAAAGCAUAAAAUGAAAAGGGAAAAUAUCUAGAGGAUGCAUUGUAGGAUUGCUCAUGCCAAUAAUUGUACCCUCUAAAUAUAUUGGGACAUAUUUUUUUUUGUUUUCAUGACAUAUGGUCCUAAAAUUAUUGUUCCUAGCGGGCUCUCCACCCCUCUCAAUUGAAAACCUAUUGUGUAAAUCUUCAAUCCUGAACGAUGAACGAUGCACCUAAAACACAUGUUGCAAUACACAUCCACCCAUUCUCAGGCCAAUUAUUGUUCCUAGCGGGCUCUCCACCCCCUCUCAAAUUUAAGUGGUCCAUUAUGAUUAAUCAUGUAUUUUAUGGACCAUCCAGCUGUGAGGUUUUAUCUCAAAAACCUUCGGUACCUUUCUCCCACAUGCCACAAUGGUAUAUUCACAAUUACGUCUGAUACCUCACAUCAUGCCACUUGCCUCAAUUGAAUUUAAGUGGGUGGAGUGUUACUUCUGGGUACCCCUCAUCAUUCGUCUAUAAAAUGGUGAAGCCAGUUGCUACUGUUACCAUAAGAGCCAGCUCCGACUUUCUUUAAUUUCUUGUUUCGUAUCCACUAGCUACAUCUGUUGCCAAGUUAAUUUCAGUCCUAAUGGGGUUUCAUCUCCCACUCAUCUUUGCUAUUCUCAGUGUAAGCUCUGCAAUUUGAUUAAGAUUUCCAUUCUCUCUCAUUGUACUCUAUAUAAACGAAAGUUUUGUGUUCCUACAAUUCUCUCCGAUUUUAUUUAGUAUGUACUUAAGUGUCGUACGUCCACUAAUUAAUUACACUUUGUGAGAUUUGAUUUUAAUUAGAGUUCGAAUUAAUGUUGCAGCUAGCAGCAGUGGGAAACCAUGCUGCUCAACCAGCACCUCAACUUUACUGGAACUCCGUCCUGCCAAACACACAGAUGCCAAGAUCUAUCAGUGUACUUCUGCAUCCUGGUUUGUGUUGAGCACUUUAGAAUCUUAGAUAUCUUUUCUACCUGCCAUUUUACUAAAAUUUGUUCGACCACAUAUUUAUCAGUUAACUACUGUCAUUACAAAUCGGCUGAUCACUUAUUUUGCAUUAUGACGUUGAUAUAUAAUUUGCAGACUCCACAAAUGAAGAAAAGAGCACAUAUAUGAAUGCUGUUGGGAAUGGAAAGGGCAAACCUGAAAUUUUCCCAUUGGGCAUUAGACGUUACGUUCAAAAACGGUAUGGAGGGGGCAUUAGACGUUACAAUCAAGAACGGUAUGGAAAAGGUCCUCCUCCAUCUGACAAUCAACUACUCCAUUAUAAAGACUUGGCUAUUUUCUUCUUCGAGAAGGACAUGCGCCCUGGCGCAACAAUGAAGUUCCAAUUCCCUAGAAAUUCAAACACGGCUACUUUCCUGCCACGCGAAAGUGCUCAAUCGAUCCCCUUCUCCUCUAACAAACUAUCAGAAAUUUUCAACCAUUUUUCAGUGAAGCCAACAUCUGUGGAAGCCAAAACAAUUAAGCAAACAAUCCAAGAGUGUGAAGCUCCAGGCCUUAAGGGAGAGGAAAAAUAUUGCGCCACAUCUUUAGAAUCAAUGGUUGAUUUUAGCACUUCGAAGCUUGGAACAAGAAACGUUGAAGCAAUCUCGACGGAGGUAUUGGAAAGAGGAGCCACCAUGUCCAUGCACAACUAUACAACAAUGCCGGGACUGAAGAAGUUGGCAGGUGACAAAGUCGUUGUGUGUCAUAAGGAGAACUAUCCCUAUGCUGUGUUUUUCUGCCAUGCAAUAAAACAAACAGCAGCAUAUGUUCUCUCCCUGAAAGGCGAUGAUGGGGAGAAGGUUAAAGCAGUAACCAUCUGCCAUCUAGACACAUCAGAAUGGAACCCAGAGCAUUUGUCCUUCCAAAUCCUCAACGUUAAGCCCGGAACAAUUCCCAUCUGCCAUUUCAUUUCCACUGAUGGUAUUGUCUGGGUUCCAAAACACAAAUCUGCAUGAUCAUCACUUAGCACUGUACGUAUAAUAAGCUUGGUUGGGUUGCACCCUAGGCCUGUAUAAUUAACUCCCUACUUAUUUCUGCCUCUUUAGCACUGUACAUAUAUAGACUUCAACUUGUACUCGUAUAGCAUGCUGGAAAAAAAAAGGACCAAUAGGGAGAAAAUGGUGAACUAAGGAGAGACUAAUACUUCUGGUUCUUAGAAGGCAUAACAGAAAUAAUAGAGCACACUGCUUGAAUGCAAGUCAAUAUUGUUAGAAAAUUAGGAGAUUUACUUCCUAAUAUAUUAUGAUUCUAUUUAUUUCCUUUUGUAUUGAUAUUAUGUAAUUAGGACUUUAUCUUAGUUUCCUAGUAUAACCCUACUAGGGUUUGUACUCUUGUAUUAUAAAUACCUCCUUUUGGAGAAUGAAGUAUAAUCUGAAAAUAUUCUAUCCACUUUGUUUGACAUGGUAUCAGAGCAAACUUUUCUAGUGACCUGUGUGUUGUGCCAACCCGUAUUCUAGCCCCAUAUUUUUUCUCUACCUAUGCCGUGUGUGCCCCCCCUCUGGGUUUGUGGGUUGUGUUGUCGUGUUGGUGUCAUUCCUAUCUUCGUGCAUCUGCCGUAUUUGAGCCUUUGCUGUGUUCCGCUGUGUACUCUGUUGUGUUCAUACCUCUAUUGUGUUCGUGCCUGUCUUCGUGCAUCUGCUGUAUUUGUGUCUCUAUUGUGUUCCAUUGUACAAUCUGCCGUGAUCUGUUGAAUUUAUGAUGUAAUCAUAGGUGAUAACUCAUUUGUUGGUGUUGUUGUUGCUGUUUCUGGAAAUUUAUGUGAUUCAGACUCUAUUCCAUUUACUGGCUACAAUACUUAGAUAAUUGAUACUGGUACUUAUGAUCAUAUUGACAGGACUCGCCCCGAAUUUCCUGAAACCCGAGACGAAUUCUGUGGAAAUUCCUGACAUCACCCCGAUGUCGGGCCCACUUCUAAAACUAUAUCCUUUUUCCCCAAAAGGAAUAAAGGCAUAAGACUUUCUACCGAAAUUUCGGUAGAGUCUCCUAUGUAAAUUGAACAUUGCCCAAAAUUUUAACCUGCAUAAAACACAUUUUAUAUUACCCAACUGGCAGCAUGCAUAAAGUAAUAACAUGCAAUUCACAUAAACGGCCUUCGGCCUUCCGAUAAUUGGCAACAAACCACCAAGUACGCUAUCAAAUCAAUUUAUACCUUAAACAAGGCAAACAAUAAAUUCAAUCACACUUAAGAAUGUCAAAGCAAUCCACUACAUUUAAUUUUCUCAACAGCCAACAUACGAGGUUUUAACCUCCUAACACAAACACACUUCGUUCUCACUCAAAUAGCAGGACCAACUUCAAGGUCCGCAUCAUACUCAAUAAUACACAAGUAAAGUUUAAACCGCGGCUGCACCUAGGCACUACCCUAGGCUGCCUACGUACCCUUAUUGAGGGAUCAAGCCACACGUAGUUCUUCCUACUAAAUCCUGAUUUCCAAACACAUACAAUAAUACCUUUAUUCAUCUCUCUGUUAAUCACAUAAUCUUCCCAUACGCCGGAAAUUCCAACUCUACGUAUGGGGUCUGUCAUCACGCCGGAAAAUCCUACGCCACGUGUGACCUAACCAUCAUAUCAUCUCCCUAUACGUCAGAAAUUCCAACACCACGUAUGAGGUCUGUCAUCCAGUCGGAAAAUCCUACGCCACGGGUGACUUGACAAUCACAUAAUCUCUCCAUACACCAGAAAUUCCAACGCCACAUAUAGGGUCUGUCUCAAUGUCGGAAAAUCCUAUGCCACGCGAGACCUAACAAUCACAUAAUCUCCCCAUACGCUGGAAAUUCCAACGCCACGAAUGGAGUCUGUCUCAACGCUGGAAAAUCCUAUGCCACUCGAGACCUAACAAUCACAUAAUCUCCCCAUAUGCCGGAAAUUCCAACGCUACAUAUGGGGUCUGUCAGCAUGCCGGAUAACCUACGCCACGUGUGACUUAACAAUGAUAACAUCUCCCCAUACGCCGGAAAUUCCAACGCCACGUAUGAGGUCUGUCCUCACGCCGGAUAACCUACACCAUAUGGAACCUAACAAUCAUAGGGUGGUACUUAGGGUAGUGCGUAUAGCACUUCAAACCGACAUUCAAAACUCUAUUUAUACCUUUAUAAAUUUAUAUAAAAAUAUAUAUAUUAAGUUCUAAAGUUGUAUAAGCCUCAACCACAAUCUAGCAUCCGAUAAUCCCCCCCAAUUUAAAACAAUAAAUUAAUAUCAUAAACCCACAUAAUCAACAUAACUUAACAACGCUCAAGACCUGUCACUAGUGUCAUUGUAAUCCUCCUAGGAAGGUAAAACUACUUCGGAAGAGUCACGGUCAACUAAGGGUCAAACUACCCAAACUUGGUCAAAUGGGCCCACGGGCCCCACGACCUUCAAAUUCCGAUUCCAACCUACCGAAAUUUCUUAUGGGUUCUACAAGGUUUAGGACACUCGUCUUGCAAGUUUGGUCCAGAUCAGACGGUCGGAUCGCUCACGAUCGCACGAUCGGACGGUUACUAUAAACCUAGCCCUAGGGUUGGUAUUUUCGGAGUAUCCAGGACUCCGUUUUACGAUCCGUCGAAUCCUAUACGAUCUUGAGGAUGUCCAAACUAACAUAUAAUAAAUCUAUGACUAUCCAACGGCUCAAACCUAUUGAACCCAGAUAACGCACAAUAUGCGAAAUCUGUUCAAUAGUCAAACGACGUCCGAAUUGAGAUCCGCGAAAACCUACGCACUCGUGACAACUUGAGGACCUCAUUAGGACAAACUGUAGCUUCACCACCUUUGUCCACGCGCCUGCAGCGCAUGGGUGUGUAGAGUAAAUUCCGAUGAUGGAAAAACUCUACACCACCGCUCACCCUUCCUAUCCUAAAUACUACUCGAGGCAAGGAUCACUUCAUUCAACUACGGGGAGGUCCCAUUUGGACGGCAACUGGCCCAAAUUUCACUUUGAAAUCCGGCCAAAACCUAGGUUUUCAAAUCGGUUUUCUAGACAUCAAAUCGAUCCAAUCCUAUCCCAUAGACAGCUAGAGCUCAGAAAAUAGAUGACAAACCAUACCUCACCCGACGGAAUUGGUGGCUGGAGGAGAAAGAUUGAGCGAUGAGAAGUUCUGUCAAAACCGACUCGUUUUCGACUGAUUCCAGCGAGCACAGUUGACGAUGAUGGCUAAGACUAGUCGGGAAAAGACAAGGGAGAGGUGGUGAUUCGAACGGGACCGGUCUCGAGGCCAGUCGUUGACUGUGGAGGCUGCAAUAGCCUUGAAGGGUGGCGGCUGUAAAAACGAAGGGGAGGGGGGCUGUUCACGAUGGAGGAGAGAGAGAGAUAGAUAGAUAGAUAGAGAAAAAUCUGAAUUUUAUAAAAAUUCCAUUUUGAAAUAAUUACGAUUGUGCCACUGAGUUUCUUUUGACCGUAACUUCCUCGUUACAACUCCAAAUCAAGCCCACUAUGUAUCUAUGAACUCAUCUCGUCGAGCUCUACGCAACGGUAGAGCUGAAAUUCUCAAAUUUCUUCCUGAUCAAAAAGUCAACUUUAAACCCAAUAAAAUAUUCUAUGGGUAUAAUGGUCUUUUAUCUACAUAAAUUAAUAAUUUCCAAUUUAUUUAGGACCGGGUCGUUACACAUAUGACUUAUGAUGCUAUAUUUUUUUAUGAGUUGUCUAGUAAUACUCGUGACCCAUACAUAACUAGUGCUAAUGGCUUGCCCUAUCCAAUUACUGGCGAGGGCAUAAUCUCUCACUCCUACUCUGUCCUUGUCUCGUGUGUUACUCGUUCCCAAUAUCCAUUGUAACUUGUUGUUUGUUGGCCGAUUACUUGAUACACUUAAUGCUUAUGCUACUUUCUAUCCUACACAUUGCUCUUUUCAGGAUCUCAAGACUUGCGAGACGAUUGGGCAUAGUAAACGGAUAGGGGGCUUAUAUUAUUUGACAUUGUCUUCUGCACCAAUUCGUGGUUGUGUCAUUCAUACUGUUCAAAGUUGUAGUGUCAAGGACAAAUAACAAAUUUGGUUAUGGCAUCGUCGCUUGGGACACUCGUCGUUCGGCUAUCUUAAGCGUCUGUUUCCAUCUUUAUUCCGCUCUUGUGACGAGUCCAGUUUUAAGUGUGAGACAUGUAUUUUGGCCAAGAGUCAUCGCACUGUGUUUCUUUUAAGUGACAGUAAAGCUGCAAAACCUUUUGAUUUAGUAUAUUCGGAUGUAUAGGGACCUGCUCGUGUGACUUCUAAUGGUUUCUAUUGGUCUAUUACUUUUAUUGAUGACUGCACUCUCCCCAUAGUCCGGAAUUACCAACGCCACGUAUGGAGCCUGUACGCACGCCGAAAAAUCCUACGCCACGUGGGACCUCAUCAUCAUAUCACAUAGUCUCCCCAUACGCCGGAACUACUAAAGCCACGUAUGGGAUUCGUCUCAACGCCGGAAAAUCCUACGCCACGUGAGACCUUACAAUCACAGGAUGGUACUUACACAAUGUAAUCAAACCAUCUUUAUCUCUUUAAUAUAUAUAUAUAUAUUCCCAAUUUCCCCAAGUUUAAAACAAUAAACUAGUUCCUUAAACCCACUAAUUAACAUAACUCAACUAAUGAUCAAGACCUAUUGAAAGGACUCGCCCCGAAUUUUCUCAAAACCUGAGACGAACCCUUUGGAAGUCCUGACAUCACCUCGAUGCCAGGCCCACUUACUAAAAACCGAGACUUCCUGCCGAAAUUUCGGCAGAGUCUCCCCUAUAAUUUGGACAUUUUCCAAAAUUUAUACCUGCAUGAAAAUGCAUUUAAUAUUCCCAAUUGGCAGCAUGCACAAUAUAAUUUCAUGCAAUUCACAUAAAUGGCCUUCGGCUUUCCAAUAAUUCUUAACCAGUUACCAAACAAUUCAAAUACCAAUUAUGACUAACAUUUAGUCUACGGCUGCGCCUAAUAACCUUAGGCUGCCUACGUACCCUCCUUGAGGGAUCAAGCCACACGUAGUUCUUCCAUAAAACUCAAUUCCACACAUAGGUGAUACCUUAUUUCAUCUCUCUGUAUUUCACAUAAUCUCCCCAUACGCCGGUACAACCAACGCCACGUAUAGGGCCUGUCAACACGCCGGAUAACCUACGCCACGUGCGACCAUGCCAUACUAUCAUCAUAUCUCCCCAUACGCCGGUACAACCAAUACCACGUAUGGGGUCUGUCUCAACGCCGGAUAACCUACGCCACGCGAGACCUGCACAUCAUAUCACAUAACUCCCCAUACGCCGGUACAACCAACGCCACGUAUGGGGCCUGUCCCAACGCCGGAUAACCUACGCCACGCGGGACCUCAACAUCAUAUCACAAAUCUCCCUAUACGCCGGUACAACCAACGCCACGUAUGGGGUCUGUCGACACGCCGGAUAACCUACGCCACGUGCGACCUCAACACAAUAUCACAAUAGCUCCCCAUACGCCGGUACAACCAACGCCACGUAUGGGGCCUGUCUCAACGCCGGAUAACCUACGCCACGUGAGACCUAACUUUCACUUGGUGGUGCUUGUAGUGAAUCCAACAUCCAGGGAGGUACCUAAAGUAGUGCGUAUAGCACUCCAAACUGACAUUCUAGACUCUGUUGUACCCAUGUACAACCAUAUAUAAUUAUAGUUAUAUAAAUUAAUUCUAAUAUUGUGUAACCUUCCACAUUCAUCUAGCACCCGAUAAUCCCCCUUAGAAAGGUGAGAUUACUCCGGGAGACUCACGGUCAACCAAGGGUCAAACUACUCUAACUCUGGUCAACCGGACCUGCAGAACCCACGACCCCCAAUUUCCGAUCCGAAAGUCUCUAUGGGUUCUACCAGGUAUAGGACACUUGUCCUGCAAGUUUGGUUCAGAUCGGACGGUCGAAUUUCUCACGAUCGCACGAUCUGACAAUUAAUAUAAAAUAUAAACUUUAAAAUUAUUAAUCGAAACAUCCGGGGCUCCGAUUCACGAUCCGUGAAUUCCUACACGAUCCUAGAAUUACCUAGAUUAACAUAUAUUAAAUUUGGGACCAUCCGACGGUCCCAACCUGUCGAACCCGGAUAACGUACAAUAUACGAUCGUCCGUUCGAUAGUCAAACGACGUCCGAAUUGAGAUCCGCGAAAUCCUAUGCACUCGUGACAACCUAAGGAUCUCAUCGGAAUACAGUGCUACUUUUUCUACAGUGCCCAAAGCGAUAACGCUUCGCCGGAAAAUCUCAACAUCACGGCUCCAAAAUUCCUACUCUAGGUAUAACACCCUAUUUGGAGCCACUUUUGUUCUUGGACCUACCCCAAAAAGUGGCCGAAAAUGGCCGAUCACGGCAGCCGAAGUUUCGGCCGAUUUUCAAUUCGAAAAUCGAGUUGUCUACGCUAAGAAUCGAUCUAAUCCUACCCAACCAUCAGCUAGAGUAGCUCGAGAGGUUCAAAAUCCAUACCUGGGUCGACGGAAUUGGUGGCCGGAGGAGGGAGAUCGGCGGCUUUGAAGUUUGGACGACGUCGGCCGCUUCAUCUCCAGAUUCCGGCGAAUCCGCGGCGGCUGGCGGCGGGAGGUGGCUGGGGUAGGAAGAGGACGACGGCCCGGUCAUUUUGGUACCGGUCCCGUCGUCAUUGGUGGCCGGAGGAGAGCACGGCCGGCCAAAACGUGGCCGGCGGUCGUCGCGCGCGAGAGAGGAGAGAGAGAGAUCGCGCGGAGGAGAGAGAGAGAGAGAGAGAGAGAGAGAGAGAGAAAACCAGAUUUUUAUAAAAAAAAGUCCCAUUUUGAAAUAUUUACGAUGUGCCACUGGGCUUCUUUUGACCAUAUCUCUCUCGUUACAACUCCGAUUCAAGCCCACUACGUGUCUAUGAACUCGUCUCAGUACGACCUAUCCAAAAAUACAAGUCACGGUCCCAAACUCUCUCCGGUUAAAAAUAUGACUAAAAUACCCUUAAAUAAUGAAAUAAUUAAAUAAGGGUUAAAUUUGGGGUCGGGGUGUUACAUCUAUCACCAGGAUCAUUAUAAUCCUCCGAGGGAGGUGAAACUACCUCGGAAGACUCACGGUCAACCAAGGGUCAAACUACCCAAAUUUAGUCAAACGGGCCCACGAGACCCGCGACCUCCCGAUCUGAAAGUUCCUAUGUGUUCUACAAGGUUUAGGACACUCGUCAUGCAAGUUUGGUCCAGAUCGGACGAUCAGAUAGCUCACGAUCGGACGGUUAUUAUAAACAUAAACUUUAAGUUAUUAAAUCGGAACAUCCGGGGCAAAGAUUCACGAUCCGUGAAUUCCUACACGAUCCUAGAAUUGCCUAGAUUAACAUAUAUUAAUUUUAAGACUAUCCAACGGUCUGAACAUGUCAAACCCGGAUAACGCCUAAUAUGCGAUAUGCGAUAUCCGAUCGAUGAUCAAACAAUAAUCAAAUUCAAAUUCGAGCAUACCGUCACGCUCGAGACGACGAGAGGGUUAUUUUAGAACUCUAAGACAAGCCACCACAUGGCCCACGCGCUGACAGCGCGUGGUUGUCUAGAGAAAUUUCCAGCGGCGGGAAAAACUCCAAACCGCCAGCCAAGACUCCCAGGUUAGGUAAAUCACAUGUAGUGGAACAACUUUUGUUCUUGGACCUACCCCAAAAAGUCGACGGAAGUGGCCGUCGGAGGCCGAAACUGGCCUAAACUUCUAUCGCUUAAUUGACAACCAAAAUGCAGCAAUUGAUCCUAAAUAACCCAACCAGCAGCUAGAUCAGAUUGAGGGGAUGGAAAAGCAUACCUAGAUCGCAUGAUUUGGUUACCGAAAACGUCCGAACGAGCUUCCGAAAAAUCCGCAAAAAACCUUUCGGAUUUCUGCAAUUUCCGGCCAGCACCAGCAGUUCCAGCAGCUGAGGUUGGUCGGAAAAGGAAGAGGAGGUGGCAGCGGUUUGAACAGGUCCGGCCUCGUUGCCGGUGGUGAUCCGUGGUGGCAACUGUGGCUCUUGGAAGCCACGGCUGUGCAGAAAAAUGAAGGGGGAGGGGGCUGCGCGCGUGGGGAGAGAGAGAAAGUGAGAGAGAAUCAGAUUUAUCAAACCUUUUUUUGCCAAAAGUACGAGUAUGCCACUAAGGGUAAUUUGAUCGUAUCUUCUUCGUUACAACUCCGAUUCGAGCCCAUUACGUGUCUACGAACUCAUCUCGCUGUGCUUUACACAACGGUACGGUUGAAAUUCCCAAAUUCCUUCCCAGUCAAAAAGUCAACUUUAAACCUAAUAAAAUAUUCUAUGGGCAAAAUGGUAUUUUCUCUGAAUAAAUUAGUGUUUACUAAUUUAUUUAGGACCGGGUCGUUACAAUACCCAAAAAUUUCCUGUGUCAGAAUCAACACAUGGCAGCAGAGAAAGAAAGGGGAAUAGGACAAAAUAGUUGGUUAUCCAGCUGGAAAUCCUACAGAGCAAGGAUGACUAGUUAUACGAGAAACAGAUGACUAGUCAUCAUUUUAUGAAAUCAAUUUAAUGCAAUGUGAUGGAAUGCACAAUUUACCUUUGUCAAUUUGCUUGAACCUCUAUACGAUAGUUGUUAGUUAAGAACACCUAGAGAAACUAUUCUUAAUCUAAACUUGAGCUUGAUAAAAAUAAUAAAAAUCUUAUUACAAGAUUAUCAAGGAAAGUGUUGUGUCUACCCAAGUGCAAGUAGUCACACGUAGUAAUAAUCUUGGAAGUCCAAGUAUCGUAUCCUCAAGGAGCAGGUAGGCAAAUAUCUGCACACAAAGAAAUAAUUAAACAUACCACAAUAAAAGUGACAAGCAAAAUGGAAAAGUUAUUUAUUUGAUUGUUGUGAAAAUUGAAUUUAAAAAUGAAAUAUCAAUAAUGGAAAUGCUAAGGCAUCAAGGUUCAAUUCUUUAAACAAAAUAUGUUUCAUGCUCUUUACUCCAGAUUAUAACUCGAUUAAAAUCAUCAUCGAGAAACUUUAACCGGAAGAUAAAGAAAUUAAAACCAAUUUAAUUUUUCAAUGUAAUCUUUUAUUAAUGAUUGUUCAGAAAAUGGAAUUGCUUAAUAUCUACUCUUUUAAUUUAAAAGCAUGCCAAGUCAGUUCUUAACAAUGAGAAAAAUAAAAUUGAACUCAUGAAAAGGUAAUAGCACUUAACAUCAAUCAAAAUAAAAGGAUAUGAAAAUAUUGAACAACCAAAAAUAAAAGAAUUUAGCAAUUCAUACCGUAUAUUGGAUUAAAGAACAAUUCACAAACUUACUUAAAGAACAUUCCCUUUAGCCUUAGCUAGAGUUCUAGCAACUCAAUUACAAAGGAAAACAUAAACUAAAUGGAUAAAGAAAUCAGUCAUAGUGGUGCCCUUGCCAAAGAAGUUGAUGGGUAAUUUAUAGUGAAUGAGGUGAGUGGGAAGUUAAUACAUGGGUAAUGAAGGGUUUAAGUAAGGGAUUAAUUGGAUUAAACAUUGGUUGAUGGUGGAGAGUUAGUGGAAAAGAAAUAACGGUGAGGUAAAUAGGCGUUAAAUGGCUAUGAAUGACAUGAAAUAGGCUCUUUAGCUUCAACGGUUGUGUCUUCUCUUCUCCCUCUUUACUUCUCUUUAUAAUCACAAUAAUCCAACAAUCAAUUCUUCAAUAAAAUCCGCCAGCAAUUCUCUUCACACCUAGCUUGAACUUGGACAAAUGUAUGUCUUCAUCUUUUGGCUUUCUAACUUCCUACCGAAGAUAAAUUCACCUAAUAAGUUCACCAAAUUAAUAUAGAAAAUUCAUAAAUCCAGUUGAUGAGAAUAAAAUGUAACAAUAAGUGAAAUUAUAUUUAUUAAGUCAAAAUUAUAUCAUAAAGUCUCCAAAAUAAUAUUAAAAAUAUAUAAUUUAAGACUCUCAUCACAAAGCCAAAAGAAAAACUCAAAAUGCAUACAUUAACAGUUUUGCCAUAUUGAAUUAAUGUCUUCUAGCUAUGUACCUUAUCUUUUUGCCGGGCCAUGAGUUGAAUGUAGAGGCAGAGCAUGGACUUGGGUCAAGUUUGACUUGUAAAAUAAUUAGGAAUUGAAUGGCUCCUACGUUCAAUUAUUUUAUUAUUAUUAUUAUUUUUUGUCCGAGCCAUUCAAUUCCUAAUUAUUUAGAUUUUUGAUCUAGUUAGCAUCCACAAUCAUGCUCUCUAUUUUUUUUUUUUGGUCAUAAAUGCCAUAACUCUUUUUUUAUUGGUCCAUCUCUAUUAAAAAAUAAAAUAAAAAAUAGUUAGCAUUAAAUAAAGGUUUGAAAUUCUCAUUAAAUAAAGCAGCAUUAAAUUAUAGGGAGCAACUAGGAGUCAUUUCUCUCUCCUCAAGUUUAGGAGCUCCUACAGGUCUCCCUAUUUUAGGAGGUAGAUAGGGAGCAUUGUUGGAGUUGUAUUUUUACAAUUUCUCCCUAAAAUUUGUCUAAGGAUGUGGUUUAGGGAGCCCAUUGUGGAUGCUCUCAUCUCAAGGAAAGAAAACCCCAAGUUUGCAAGUAAUUUUUCUACGUAUGUAUAUAUGAAAAACUGACAUUUAUGAAAAUAAUAAACCCAUAUUUUUAUGUAAGCCAACUUUCUAAAUUCAUGUACUGAUAUUUAUUAGGGAAAUAUUGGAGAAACUGAUUAUUUUGAAAAAUUAAAUGUGAAAAACUGAACAAAAUUUUGACGGGUUACAUAUGUCAACUCAUUCAGCAGCUUAGGUUGUGAAGACCUAAGCAACAACCCUAGUGCACUGUCGAUCACUUCAGUGUCUACCGAUUUUCCUUUCCAUAUUGUUAGAUUAUUCCCUGCUGUAACACUUGCAUUUAGAAAAUAAUAGUACAGCUCUUAUUAGCAACAGUUUUACACACUUGCAUGAAUCUCACUAUGUUAAAGCAAUCACAUAGCACACCUUUAUUGAAAACAAAGCUAGCCCUGAUCCACUCCUUUACAUACUUAAAAACAAAACAAAACGAAAAAAAGAUAGGGAGAAAAUGGCUACGGACUUACUGCCGACAAAAAGAGAUAAUAGCGAACACUGUUUGUAUGACAGUGAGUAUGAGAAGAGUAACCGCUGCAAAGAGAGAAAAAGCUGCCCAGGCCCAGGGUGAGUUGAAAUACUUUUGGCUCAAAUAUGCCAACCAUCUGUUCCUGCACUUCUUGCAGUACUUGUUUAGAUUGUCAGCAAGACCACCAAAAUAGAAAUUUUGCUGGUCCGGAGCAACCCCCUUGCAAAGUUGGUUAAUCAUAGUAGAAACCUUAUUGUUGUCACCUAGUGUGUUUACAACAAUUUCACUCUCAACAAGUAAAUCUACAUCCCUUUUGGUUUUUACAAAUUUAUCCAGGAGGAAAACAUAAUCGCUUAAGUAAUUGUCUGUGCAAUGGCAUUGUUCAAAGGCAAUGAGAUUUCUGAGUAUAAGCUCUGUGUCAUCACGUAUUUCUAGUUUUGGAAUUUUCAGAGUUCCAUUAUGGAACUGUAUCGCGAAUAAGUCGUUGCUUGACUCCAGACGACUUGAUUCCGGACGAAACUUAACUCUGGCCUGGUGUAGUUUUGUCACGCUGGGUAUACAUGGGAGUUCUCCAGCUUCUGAGGUACCGGUAUCCAAAUAUUGCACAUGUAAAGUUCUAAUAAAAUCAACAAAAUGUAAAGGUGGUUCAGUCCCCUCCACUUCGUCUUCCGACCUCUGUAAACCCACUACCUUUUUGAAGAAAUGGUAAGAGAGCUUAAUCAUUGAAGGCCUCUCAGUCUCAGAAUUCUUAACUCUGACUUUGCUUGCAUCGAAAAGAUCCUCAAGAAUGAAAAAUGGCAGCUAAUUUUCGGGCAAAAGCAUGUCGGGCACUAUAUUUGUUAACAUUUAUGGUUUUUUAAAUAUCCAGUCAUUAUAUCGUCUCGCAAUUCUUGGAAAUGGUACCUCAACAAUAGCUCAAUGACAAAGGCAGCAUCAACUAGAAUGAUACUUACAAACUUGUCGCUACUCUUGAAGUGCUGAGCGUUUCCAUAACGACCACGGAGUUCAUCUUCUUGGGCCUUUAUUUUCUCUGCAUAAUCCUUCAAGCUAACCUUAUUAUUCCGAUGAAGAAAAUUUUGUAGGUACCUCGGUUUGUACUCUUCCAUGGCUUCUAAUUCUUUGUUGUCAUGGUGAAUUGGGCCUAUUGAGACUACUUCCGGGGUGUAAGCGUUAUUUCUGCCCCGUAGUCACGAAGGAACCCUGUAGAUACAGCACUCAUCAGAGGGCCUAUUGAGACAAACUAUCCAACCGCCGCUUCAAAUCUGCUACUGGGGUUUUGUGGUUUUCUACGCCAUGUGGAGCUCCAUUGCUGCAUCCUUCCACUUCUAUUAUGUGUUGUUCUGAUUGUAAGUGAUGAGGGUUAUUGGCACCAGGGGCGGAUCUAGCCCUUUUUUGGCUAGGCAGCCACCCAGUCGAGAAUUUUCAUAAAAACAAAAUAGGUACGUAUUGUUGUAAAUGUAUGAGUUGGUGGAUGACCACCAUACCUCUUAGCAUUCACCUUUUCUAAUUCUAUGUAACUAUACACUAAAUGCCAUAGUUAUGGACUUGUAACUUAUGAGUUGUUAAUGUUUUCUUACGUGUAAGCCUAUAAAUAAGAGGGCUAUCUUGGCAUAUGUGUUCGUCACUAACUAUAUAAUUUAAGUUGUUUUCAGUGACUAAUUUAAAUAAUUGUCAGAAAAUUUGGUCAUUAAAAAUUAAAAAAUAAGGGUCAAUUAUUUUAGUGACCAUGAAGUAUUAUUAGUCAUUAAAUUCAUUGUAUUUGUGACCAUUAUUUAUGUGGAAUUGGUCACUACUGACCUUUUUUCUUGUAGUGUACAUUCUUGCCUUAAUACAGUUAGGCUUAUUUUUAUACUAAUUUCUCUAACAUAACUUUUGCACAUUCUUUUUAUAUUAUAAUAAAUAAUCUUACCCAGUUGAGUUAUAAACCAUUUUCUUUUAGCACGGAAAAUCGACAUUUUGACAGAGAGUUGAAAAGCACUCCCCAAUUUUAAUGUCAACCACUUGGAAAAAAAAAACAUAAAUUUAAUGACAACAAUUACAUUUAGCAAUGCAACCUAAAAACUCAACCUUUGCGCUCCUUUCACCACGCAGAUAGCAGGGUGAGGAUAUUCGAAUAAGAACGAAGACAGAAGCUAAAGGAAUUGCGAUAGCUAACCAUAGUCUGCAUUUCUUACCAUCUGAACAAUGCCACCAUUUUGUUUGGUAAGUAUUUAAUAACAUUUCUUGCUCUACAUAAAGUAAUAUUAAAGCGAAAUUUCCCUAAAUUUUUCUUACCAACAAUCCAUACCCAAGAAAAGGGGAGAUUCACUAUUAUACUCAAUAUAGGAGCCCAACUUAUUUAUAAUAAUUAUAAAAAAAAACCCUCUAUGAAAUGGACUUUAGAAACACACCUAAAACCUAUUUACAACAAAACAAAAAGACUUUUAACUUUUUUUAAAUUACAAAACUGUCAUUGAUUUCUUAAACAAACCCAACCCCAAAACCUCAUAAAAAAGCCCAAAUACUCAAUAAAGCAGCAAAGUAAUUUAAUAAUAAAAAUUAAAUUCAAUAGAGUCAGCUGUUAUUUUUUGGGUUAUUUUUUAUUUGUUUAUAGAAAUUAAAGAGUGCUGCUAAAAGAACCCUAACAUUAACUAAAUACACCAAAUGAUCUAAGUACACCCUAAUAUUUUAAUUAAAAUACAAAAUUAACUAAGUACACCUUAUUUAACUACCAAAAUUACCCGUGUUACACCCUAAUACACUCUAUCACUGUUCACCCGUUUAGUUUUUGCUCCUGUGAUGGAAGGGUAAAGUUCCCCACUGCCUUGGAAACCAUUGACUGGUCAACAAGUCAGCUUUCUUUGCUAUGUGAGCGUGCCACUGUUAGCAAUGAAAAUCCUAACAGACUUCUUAAAAUGGAUACUUGCGCCCAAGUUACUGAUUUCUAAACAGUGAUUGUGAUUUGGGUGAGGAAUAUCUCCAAGUAAGUUCUUUUCCUGCAUCAGGCUGGUGAAGACUUUAUAAUUUUCACAGUAUAAAUUGGUAGUUCUUGCCAGAAUAGAUGAUAUAAAGUGGACGGUUUUUAGGCAGAACUGCGUUUUACAAAAUUAAGAAGGAAAAAUCAACUCUAAAAAGACAAAAAGAUGGCUGGAAUCCCACUUCUGCCUGGGUAGAAACUUCAGAUCCGGGCUGGACCGAAUACAUUCAUGAUGGACUGAGCUGUUAACAACUUCAAUUGCUUAGCUUUAGCUGUAAAUCGAUACCAAAGUUCAAUUUUGGCAGAGCUUUAAUCUACUUCAAGCCUUGGAAGGCUUUUGAGCGGGCAGAACUGCCGUCUCUUCUGGCUAAAAGAGGCAGAAAUGGCUGAAUUUGAGGUUUACUGAGCUGGAACUGCACUGUUGUACCUGUUCUGCUUGGUCAGGGCUUUCCAUAAAUUUGUUGAGGUUUUCAUAUUUGUGAAAAACUCAAACUCUGCUUGUUUUGGCUUUUGCUGAACCAAAUUUGUAACGAGAGAAGUCUUGUUUUGAAUGACUUUUCUCUAAGUUUGAGCUUUUGAAAUUCUAGGAGAGAGAGAGAGAGAGAGCUUUUGAUUGCUCCAGUUUGUUUGAAGGUUCUCAAUGAUCAAGUGAUCAUUUUGAGUUUUUGCCUUUAGCUUAUUUUUGGUUGUUUGUUUGAUUAUCCUUUGCUCUAUUCACCUUCUCCUAUAUUUAUAAGAAAUGCUUUGAAGUAGGGUUUCUUUCUUUUAAUAAUGGGCGGCCAAAAUUCUCAAAAGGUCUUUCAUUUUUUUAAAUACGAAGAAAAAGGGGUUUUCUCAAUUUUGGCAAAUAAGUUCUCAACAGUCAAUUCCAUUGAAAGAGAACCUGACUUUUCUUUAAUUCCCAACUGCCCUUGUGAGAGCUCAAUCGUGAUGGUCAGUUUGCUUCUCCAUUUUGAACAACUUCCUGUUUCCUGUUUAUCUUUUUAGAAAAUACAAUCUGGGUAUCCCUUGAAAGAUGGUGCCUUUUUUGGAGUAGAAACAAUGUCUCUAAAUAUAAAAGGGUUUUUUUUUUAUCUUUUGGUGGCAAAGAUUUCAAAGACGUCCCUUCUUUUCGCCUGCCUCUGUCAACUUUUUAUCAACCCAGUUGAAAUUGUUGACUUUCCUAAAUCAAAAAAAGAGAUUCACGUGGGUCUGUUCCUUUUGGCUCCUUCCUCUCUUUUAAUCAUGCCUAACCUCUUUUGAUUUUACUGGAGCCAUGGGCUGAUUGCUUCUCUUUUCGAGGCCCAAGUUUAUUUGCAGAGCCCAAACUGCUUGGGCCCUGUGGUUUUGUCUUUGUUGUUUUUGGGCUUUUUAGGCUGGACGUGCCAAAAUUAGGCCCAAACAAUGUCCCCUAAGUUUGAAUCGUUUCUAGAACGGUUCGAGAUUUAAUGAUUUUGGCCAUUAAUUCGUGCGCGCCAACUUCUUUCGUUUAAUGCACGUCUGCCUACCACGAGCUAGACUUCAUGGGAAACUGUUUUGUUACUAGCUAGUUACUUAGCUAGUUAUUAUCAUAUGGCGUCUCGUCUUCCUCUUCCCACGAUUUCAAGCCCCUUUUUUAAGAAAUUCGAAACUCCAACUUCUGUUUAUUUCAAAAACUAGCUUCUUUUUAGACCUCGACAAUUCUUAGUUUUCCCCAGAAUUCUCACUUUUUCUUCGACCAGACUCUGCCUUUCUUAUCAUUUCCUUUCCUAGUUCAACACUUCUGAUCAUGUCUUCUCCCAAGACUCGUGCUCAAGGUUGGUCCUCCUCAGUUCCUCCUAAUUACAUCACUGGGACUGGGAUUGACAAUCACGCGAUAGAGGUUAGAAGCAAACUGAUAGGACCCGCCCCGAAUUUUCCAAAACCCAAGGCGAAUCCUGUGAAAUUUCCGACAUCACCCCGAUGCCGGGCCCACUUACUAAACACCGAGACUUUCUGCCGAAAUUUCGGCAGAGUCUCCCCUAUAAAUUGGACAUUUCCCAAAAUUUCAACCUGCAUAAAAACACAUUUAAUAUUCCCAACGGGCAGCAUGCACAAAAUAAUUUCAUCCAAUUCACAUAACGGCCUUCGGCCUUUCAAUAAUUUUCAACAAACUACCAAGCACACUAACAAAUCAAUUCAUGCCUCAAACAAGGCAACCAAUAAAUUCAAAUAUGCAUUAUGACUACCAAAUUUCGACAUGCAUCAUUUUGCUUUUCCAAUCUCAAUAGAUGAGGUUUUAACCUCCUAACACAAUCACAUCUAUGUUCGCGGCUGCACCUAAUAACCUUAGGCUGCCUACGUACCCUCACUGAGGGAUCAAGACACACGUAGUUCUUCCUUAAACCCAAUUCCACACAUAGGCAAUACCUUUAUUCAUUUCUCUGUAUUUCACAUAAUCUCCUCAUACGCCUGUACUACCAACGCCACGUAUGGGGUCUGUCAACACACUGGGUAACCUACGCCACGUGCGACCUCACCAUAUUAUCACAUAAUCUCCCCAUACGCCUGUACUACCAACGCCACGUAUGGGGCCUAUCGACACGUUGGAUAACCUAUGCCACGUGCGACCUCAACAUAAUAUCACAUAAUCUCCCCAUACGUCAAUACAACCAACGCCACGUAUGGGGUCUGUCUCAACGCCGGAUAACCUACGCCACGCGAGACCUGAACAUCAUAUCACAAUAGCUUGCCAUACGCUGGUACAACCAACGCCACAUAUGGGAUCUGUCGACACGCCGGAUAACCUACCCCACGUACGACCUCAAUAUAAUAUCACAUAAUCUCCCCAUACGCCGGUACAACCAACGCCACGUAUGGGGUCUGUGUUAAAGCCGGAUAACCUACGCCACGCGAGACCUGAACAUCAUAUCACAAUAUCUCUCCAUACUCCAGUACAACCAACGCCACGUAUGGGGUAUGUGGACACGCCGGAUAACCUACGCCACGUGCGACCUCGAUAUAUUGUCAGGUAAUCUCCCCAUAUGCCGGUACUAUCAAUGCCACGUAUGGGACCUGUCCGCAAGCCGGAUAACCUACGCCACGUGGGACCUAACUUUCACAGGGUGGUACUUGUAGUGUAACCAAAAUCCGGAAAGGUGCCUAGGGUAGUGCGUAUAGCACUUCAAACUGACAUUCUAGACUCUUUAUACCUUUACAAACAUAUAUAAACAUAUAUAAUUUAAUUCUAAUUGUGUAAACCUCAACAAUAGUCUAGCACCCAAUAAUCCCCCUAGGAAGGUGAGACUACUCCGAAAGACUCACGGUCGACCAAGGGUCAAACUACCCUAACAUUGGUCAAACAGGCCCACGGGGCCCACGACCUCCAAAUUCUGAUCCGAAAGUUCCUAUGAGUUCUCCGAGUUAUAGGACACUCGUCCUGCAAGUUUAGUCCAGAUCGGACGAUCAGAUCGCUCACGAUCGCACGAUCUGACGGUUAAUAUAAAACAUAAACUUUAAAUUAAUAAAUCAAAACAUCCGGCACUCCGAUUCACGAUCCGUGAAUUCCUACACGAUCCUAGAAAUACCUAGAUUAACAUAUAUUAAAUUCAAGACCAUCCAACGGUCCCAACCUAUCGAACCCAGAUAACGCGCAAUAGGCGGUAUCCGUUCGAUAUUUCCCUUUAAUAAUUUAAAUAAGGGAUUUAAUUUGGAGUCGGGGUGUUACAAUCUACCCUCCUUAUAAAAAUUUCAUCCUCGAAAUUUCAUACCUGCUAGAAGAGGAAUCUGCCAGAACUGACUUUAGGAAGAAGUUCCUGAGUGUCACUCUGCCAAGAGAUCUGCCCCACGGAGGUGGGAAGCCUCCAAACUAUCAUUUGGGAGCAGAAGUCUAUCAUCGCAACUUCUGUGCAAGGCAACUUGGCUGCCCCAGCUUAUUCCACUAAAAUCAUACAGAAGCUGCAAUCGGGCCACUUCCUUGAGAGAUGCGGAUGAUCUGGAAGUGCACAAAGAUGCUAGAUGUGCAGUAAACAAGAUAAAUAACAGCGCAGAUGCCCUCUAUCCAGCCUGGGAACUGAACUCCUGCAGUUCUGCCGAUUUUGACGCUUGGUGGAAAUCCAGGUUUCAUGGUCUGCCAGCCUCCAUUGCUGCACUCAAGGUGAUUUUUGAGGGCUGGGACUCCUGGACUGUCUACGCGGAGGUGGAUGCCAAGAACUUCAUGGUGCAGACCAUCAAAGACAUUAAUGCCCAGGGUAUAGAAGGUAACUUUCAAUUCUGUCUGUCUUGCCUAUUCUGUCUCUUAGUGAUGAUGCCUAACAGUUUUGUUCUGUAUAUAUCAGACCCUUAUUUGACAGAAAACAUAGGUGGACAGUCUGUCCAAGCUGGAGAUGUGAUUGGUAAGUUUUUCACUAUUCUGUUCCUUUCAUUAUUUUCUUGCUUGAUUGACUUCUGACUUUGUCUAUUUCUUGUGUAGUCAUUGCUGUCAUUGCUGCUGGGACUUGGAGCUUCCCUCUGGAGAUGAAGAGGAUCUAGCUGCUGAGGCUAUUCCUUUUGGCAGAACAUCCAGCUGCUGAGGCCAUUCUUUCUAGCAGAAGGAAGAGAAAGGAAAUUUCUUCUGCCCAGCACAGUGCUGCUCAGCCUGCGACUUCAGGUAAGUUCUGACAGUUUGAGCUUUUCGUAAUUCUAUUUUGUCCUAUUCUGCCUUAUGUUCUAAUGGUUUAUUGUCUGCUUAUUGUAGCUGAAAGUUCCUCUCCUCCUCCUACUAAGUCAAAAAGACUUAAAAAGAGGACUGUGGUGGAAUAUAUGGCCAUGGAGGAGUCUGCAGCAGUUCCCACCAACACUUCUGGGACGGAUGAAGAGCUGAGAGAGGCCUUCAAGACAGUGGAAUAGGAGAAAGAGCUAGAAGAAACAGAAGAAGAACCUCAAGAAAAGGCAAAAGAAAUGGAAGAAAAUGUGAGUAUUGUUUUCUGGCUAUGUCAGCUUUUCUUUUGUUUCUUCAUUUCCUCUGUUCUGACUUCUGUCUAUGUAUAGAAGGAAAUCCCCGCUGAAGUGAUUGCAUAGAGCAUUGCUUUGGCGCAGAGGCAGCAGGAGAAUCAAAGGGCAGAGCUGACCAGCUCGGAGUUGGCCCUUUUUGAAGACGCAGAGGCAGAACACUCAACUGUUGUUCCAGCAGCUGAGGAGCAGGUGGAGCAGUCUGCAUCAGAGCCUGUGGAGCGAGCAGAACUACCUGUUGCAGUCCCAGCACCUGGAGUGGAAGUGGCUGCUGUUGUUCCCGAAGUUGUGGUAAUUUUUAUUCUACUUCUGUCCACCUGUUUCCUGCAAUUCUGUUCUGUCUGUGCUUCCUUAUCUAUUAGUCUUUUCAGGUAGAAGUGCCUAGGCCUGCUGGGGUUUUGGCAGUGGUGACCAGCCCCUUGAAGCCUCUCAUCGUUGCUGUAAGUGUUAAUGCAUUCCUGGGCUUUUUCUUUUCUGUCUCUGCCUAGUUCCUACUCUUGUUCUUUUCUGCAUAUGCCUAUCCAUUCCCUUCCAAGUUCAUCUGCCACAGCUUCCUAUGCUGAUUCGGAGCUGGCAGAAUUUGAGGCUCUGGAUCUGAACGCCCAGCUAGACAAGCUGAACCCUAAACCCUUGAGAAACUCAGCUCCACUCCUUGCAAGGCAAAGUCCAAGGCAGUGGAGGAGGCUAUGGAGAGACUGAAGAUCUGGCAAUCAACUGAUCUGGAGCUGGAUAAGGACAGGGAAGCUGUUGACCAAUUGAUGAAGGAUCUGGACCUUCUGCACAGACAGAACAUGGCCCCCAAACCCAUACUUGAGAUGAGCCUUGGCUUGGGAAGAGAUGUGCUCAACCUCCACGACCGUUACGAGGAUCUCAAGCCCACCUUCAAGACCUCUGAGUUCUGCAAAGCCACCCAUAAAGCCAACUUGGCUGACUAUGCAAAGCAGAAGGCAGAACUGGACCAGAUGGUUGCAGGAUACAAGGAAGCCAAAGCCACUAUAGACAAGUUGGAGAAGCAGAUUGAAGAGCUUCAAAAACAAUUGGCAGAGUGCAGAGAGGUGCAGAGCAGGCUCGGGGCUAGACUGAGCUCUAAGACCAAGGCCACCUUCCUUGUGUAGAAUAUGGUUUCAGCUUCUAGGCCAGCUUUGGAAAUUGCAGAGGCUUCAAUCCACCAGGGGUGCUACUUCAGAAGGAACUCUCCAUUAAAAAGGCCAACUUGCAAGAAACCCUUAGGAAAUUAGGGUUUUAGAUUCUAGUUUUUUUUUAAAGAAAUGUAAUAAAUAAUUUAGCCAUAAAAAGUGGCUAUAUUUAAAUAAAAGUUCAUUUAUUUUUGUGGGAAUUCCAAAUUCUUUCGACAAAAAGAAAAGAGAGAAAAAGUAAUUUAAAGCAUACUUAACAAAUUACAACGAAAAUGAAAGUGAUCAGAAAUUCAAACAACAGUUUUAUCUUGCUGUCUCUCUAUUCCGGGAUCUGUCUGUACCGCCUGUGAAUCCCACAUAGUUGGAUAGAACUUUUUUAACCAUUUGUCAUUAAUUGGUGCAGUAUGGACAUCUCCAUCUCGAUCAUGUAAUCUGUAUGCCCCCAUUCCAAGGAUCUGAUUAAUUAUGAAAGGACCUUCCCAUGUAGGUGACCAUUUUCCAUAACCAUCUAUAUGCGUUCCAAGGGGCAGAACUGCUUUCUAGACUAUUUCCCCCUCUUCAAAACUCUUGUUCUUGACUCUUUUGUUGUAAGCCCUUGAUACAGCUUCCUUUCCUGCUAAGAGUUUGUUGAGGGUAUCGAUCCUGCUUGUAUCCAAUCCUUCCAGUUCUAGCAUCAUAGCUUGAGAGUAGUCUUCUCCAACCAAACUGUGUUGAUGAGCAAUUCUGAGGGAUUGGACUGCUAUCUCCAUAGGCAGAAUUGCAUCGUGGCCAUAGGUGGUCAUGCCAGUUGCUUCUCUUCUUGAAGUUCUAUAUGCCCACAGAGUUUCUGACAACUUCUCAUGCUACUAUUUUGGAUUUUUCUCAAGCAUUUUUCUGAUAAUGUUGAUGAUCACCUUGUUACUUGAUUCUGCCUGCCCAUUAGCUUGGGCAUAAUAAGGGGUGGAUUGAAGCAGUUUGAAUUUAAAUGCUCCUGCCAUUUCCAACAUUUCUCCAGAUAUGAAAGAAGAUCCCCUAUCAGUUGUGAUUGAUUCUGGAAUGCCAAACCUUUGUAUAAUCUGCUCUUCUAUGAAAGUGAUGAUUUCUUGAGAUGCUGUGGACUUAACAGGCUUGGCUUCCACCCAUUUGGUAAAAUAAUCUGUAGCUACAAUAAUAAAACAGUGUUGUUUGCUACUGGCUGGAUAAAUCUUACCAAUGAGAUCCAUUGCCCAUCCUCUGAAAGGCCAUAGUUUUACUACUAGAUUCAUGGGAACUGAAAGAGCCUGCUGGAUUAGCCGAGCCAUUUCCUUUUAUGCUACCGAUUUCUUUUAUGCUACUGAGCCGGGCAAAACCAAUAAAAUAAAGAAAGGCAACGAAUUUAUUAACCGAGUAUAAAGGAGAGAGAGGGAUUCGAACCCUCGAUAGUUCUUUGUUUCGAACUAUACCGGUUUUCAAGACCGGAGCUAUCAACAACUCGGCCAUCUCUCCGAAAUAAAAUUUAUAUUUUAUUCCACCUAAUAGAACAUGGACAUAUGAGUUGAUACGAUUACUAUCUAUAGAAAGAUAUCAGGUGUGAGUCUAUAGGUCUAUCUAUCUGUAUAUAUAUAUAUAAUAUAGAUGCAUGAUCCAGCAAGCAUGCCCCUGAAGUUGACUUACGCUCAAAUGUAGAAGAAUCAGCCAUGGCAAAUAGGUAGCUGAAUUGCAGCGGAAUAGAUGAGCAACGGUGUCACUCCCCCUCAUAUCCAACGAUGUAUAAGAGUCGAGAUUUGGAGAAAGCAAUACCGAAAAAUAAAGUUGCAGAACUCAAAUAAAGUUGCAUCUAUCUCCCCAUCAAAUCCGACACUGGUAAAGGGUCGAGAUUUGAAAGAGGAGAAAUUGAAAUAAUAGUAAAGAGACUCAAACAUGCAGUCUCAUGGCAGAAACAAAUGCAAGAGGGGAAGAUGGUAGCAUACGGUUGUCCCAUGAAGAAAAAACUUUAGAAAAGGAGAAUAGUAAGGGAGGAAACCCAGCAAAUCAUGAACAGAGACAAAGACAAAGAUAAGGUACUCAAACUGAGAAGCGGAAAGGCAACUCAAGAGAGCAACCGAAGAAGACAGAGGCCCGCAGAACAGUCAAAGGAAAGGCUCGGCGAGUGGUGACGAUGCUCGCGGAGGAAAGCAACGGCUCGGUGAGCAGUGACGAGGCUCACGGAGUAAAGAGACUUGUUAUGAAGUUUCAAAGAUAGAGAAGCUGAGACAUCAAGAAAGACCAUCUGGCAUACAAAGAUGAAAAAUAAAAUUUUUGGAACAGUAGCAAAGAAGCAUGUGAAGGCUAGGUGCGGUGAAAACACAUAUGAAAGGAUGAACAAAAGAAGAUGACUAUACAAGAUGAAGACCCAUGAUGGGUUAGAAAUGAGGAGUGCCAACGACUCUCAAUUUGGCAGAGGCUAUCACAGGUUAGGAACCUGGCUCUGAUACCAUGUCAAACAAAGUAGGGUAAAUAUUCAGUUAUGCUCAGAUAUGCUCAUAUUAUUAUUCUUCUCCAAUAUGGAGAUAUUUAUACAAGUACAAAGAUGUGUUAACCCUAAAUAAAAUAGAAAAUAUAUCUAAAUUACAAUUGGAAGUAAAUCUCUAUUACAAUAUGAGUAAAUAAUAAUUGAUAAGUAACCAAAAUUCUAAUGAAAUAAGGAACUAAAAUCCUAAGUAAGUAAGGACUCGCCAACGAAUAAUAGUACAACUCUUAUUAGCAACAGGUUACAAACUUCUUCUACAACACACCAACAUGAAUCUAGCCCUGAUCAAUUCUUUUACAUACUUGAAAACAAAACAAAACACGAAAAACAAAAAACAAGAAACAAGAUAGGGAGAAAAUGGCUACGGAGAGACUUACCGCUAAUACUUGAUCAAUAACAGAGAUAAUAGAGCACACUGUUUGUAUGACAAUGAGUAUCAGAAGAAUAAUAGCUGCAAAGAGAGAAAUAGCUGCCCAAGGUGUGUUGAAAUACUUUUGUCUCAAAUUUGCCUUCCGUCUGUUCGUGGUCUUCUUGCAGUACUCGUUUAGUUUGCCAGCAAGAUCACCAAAAUAGUAGUUUCCGUGGUUCGGAGCAACUUUACUGCAAAGCUUGUUAAUCAUAAUGGAAACCUUAUUGUUGUCACCUAGCGUGUUUACAACAAUUCCAUUGUCAACAAGCAACUCUACAUCCUUUGGGGUGUUUACAAAUUUAUCCAGGAUGAAAACAUAAUCGCUUAUGUAUUUAUCCACGCAAUUGCCUUGUUCAAAGGCAAUGAGAUUUCUAUGUGUAAGCUGUGUAAUCAUGUAUUUCAAUUUUUGGAAUUUCCAAGGUGUUUUUCUUGAACUGUAUAUCGAAUAAGUUCUUGCUUGAUCCCACGUUAAACUUAACUCCGGCCUGGUGUAGUUUUGUCAUGCUGGGUGUACUUUGGAGCCCUCCAUUUUUUUUUCUUUUGGCAGAUGUAAAGUUCUAAUAAAAUCAACAAAAUGUAAAGGUUUUUUAGGAUCAGGAGGCAUAAAAGACUUACGGAAGGCUGGUGAGUUCUCCAAGUUUUCUAAACGCAGUGCCUGUUGGAAGAACUUGUAAGAGAGUUCAAUUAUUGAAGGCUCCCCAGUCUGAGCACCUGUGAGAUUGUAAAGAUCCUUGAGAAUGAAAAAUGGCAGCUGAUUUACGAGCAUAAGCAUGUCAGGCAAUAUAUUUUGUAGCACCCAUGGUUUUUUAAAUAUCCAAGCAUUAUCAUCCUGCAAUUUUUCUUCCUGAAAUUUUUCUUCGGAUUUAUUCCUCAACAAUAGCUCAAUGACAAAGGCGGCAUCAACUAGACUGAUAUUCACAAAAGCAGCAAUGUUAAACUUCUUAGGGCUAGUUUGGCGUUGCUGUGUUUUAAAAAAAAAUAUGCUUCUGCUGUGCUGUGAAAAUAAUCAGCUGUGAAAAAAAGCUACUAAGCGUUUGGUAAACUGUUUUUGAAAAACUGUUGUGAGUAGUCAAAGUGUUUGGUAAAUUUUUAUCAGAAGUGUUUUUAGUGUGUAUAAUGACCAAAAAGGACAUGAUGAUGAAAUUGUUUGUUAUUUUCUUCAUUCUUUUUCUACUUUUUUUUUUAAAAAAAAAACCCAAUUUCACUACAUAAAUUUUUAUUCUUUUUUAAUUCACACCUUUUUAUCAAAAAAUUUAAUCUACAAUUAACAUACAUAUUUUACCAUAAAUUAUAAAUUACUAUUAUAACAAAAGUAAUUCUAAAUAUUGUUAUAUUAAUAUGGGCUUCGGACAUGACAAAAAUACAAAAAUUGUUCAAUUUUAAAAUGCCCCAAUAGAUCACUACAAUAUAAAAGAAGCUAAUUAGAUGCAUUCAUUAAACUUGUAGCGAUGCUAUUUCUUAAUGCAUUCAUUAGCUUCUUUUUUUGGUUUCCAAUGGUUCUCUAACAAUUUUAACUAAAAAAACAACCAUAAUGCUUUGUGAACAAUAAAUUCAAGUCCAAAUCUACUAAUGCCCACACCAUACAUAUAUACAUAAUUGUUUCUUUCAUAAAACUUGAAGAUUCAAUAGUAAUUACACAGUUUACCAAUCUUGAUUCCAACUAUAUCCAUAAAAUUAAACUAUAAUUAGAAACAGAGGAGCUACAUGUGAUUACUUAUAAAUGUUGCCCACUCUCAUCAUCAUCUUCUUCCUCCUCUGUACUUUGCCUUUCACAAAUGGACAAGACCAGAUGGUAACGUACACGACAUGGUCCACAUAUAGAUAAAUUUUGGGUUCACUGGAGAACAUAAAAGAGUUUUUACACGAAUACAAAGUUAGUUAAGUAGUGAAUAAGGUAAAACUAUUCUGUACAAUUCUAGCUGAUGCAGUCCAAAAAGAAUAUAUGUCUAAUAACUUAAAUAACAAUAAAGAGAAACAAAAACCUCAUGAAAAAUGCUAGAGUAAAAGUUACAUAACUGAAUCGAUGGACAGAGAACUCCACAGGCAGAGAAACAGCAACAAAAAUUGUCAAAACAGUAGCAAGACCAUGUUGGAGUCAAGGCCAAAGAUCAUAUUUCCUGUGUAUCUUCUUCCAUUCUGAAUUAUUCUCGUAUUCAAAUACUGUAACUCUAUUUCAAGUGCACCCCAAAAUACUUAUCUAAGGCCAGUACAUAGGACUUCAUAAAGGGUGCCAUAAAAAAUAUUGCCCCUUAAUUGAUAAACAGAACCAAGAUCCCAAUGGCACACCAAAACUAUACCAACCACACCUACAUAAUAUGGACAGAAAAUCCUGUUGUUCUGACCUCUAACCACACCAAUGACAUUCAUUAGGAAAAUACAAAAGAUGGGUACCCUGCAUUUCUAACAUUUAAGAUAAAAUUCACUGCCAGCUAAUCACAAAUUUGAAAAGAUGGCAAGAAAAUUGGCUAUGCUUUAACAAAAACCAGAGCAGUCCUUGCAUAGACCUGACUUUUUGCUCCAAGCUUUAGCAGAUCACUUACUGGUAGAGAGCAGAGAACAUGUAUGUGAAUAUCUGAAGUUGGAAGGGUAAGCCAUCACAAACACCAAGAGAUCUGAUUCUCAUCUCUUGUUACAACAACAAAUCACAAACACCAAUACAUCUGAUUCAGAAUCUCAUAAACAAUGGAGGAACAAACACAUAUUCACACACAUAUAAAUCCCUAAACCGAAAAAAAAAAAAAAAAAAAAAAAAAAAAAAAAAAAAAAAAACAUGAAAGUAAUAGGAGAAUCAAAUUGAUUUGGGCCAAAAUUGCCUAAAAAGAAAACACUCCUAAAUAAACUUCAAUUCACUUUUAAAAACAGUAAAACGUGAUUGAAUCGUUCUUUAAAACAAUUCCCUAAUAUACAUGCAUGAUAAUGACAUCAUUUACCCCUAAAUCAAAUGCCUUUCACUGGUUAAGCCACAAGUCUGUGUUUUGGGGAUUGCUGAGCUGCAUCAAUCCUGCCAAUGUCAAUUCUGCCCCUAGGCUCUCUCAAAGUGCAUUUACAACCUAUGCUAACAUAUACUAGAGUUUGUGCUAGUAUCUAGAAAAUGCCAACACUAAUUUCGUAACACGUAGAAAUUGUUACAUAUUGGAAGUUUUUAUCAUUUUUUCUUCCAGUCUCUCCACCACUCACUAAUACAGAUUACUCAUGUGAUGAGUUUACAAAACCUAUUUCUCUACUCCCACAAAGACCAUACUUUUUCUCAAAAGACUAUAUCACUUUAUCUCUAUCUUUGUGAAAUGUAAAAAGUUGAAACUUUAAUGUCAAAUCUCGACAAAAGAUGAACUUCCAUCAAUUACAUUGAAUUUGAAUUUGUUGAACUUAAGUGGUUUUACUUUCUCUGUCAGCGUUUGAUGACUUGAUUUGUUAUUUACUUCUUCUUUUUUCCUUGGAAAUGUGUUCCAUCAACGUGAGGAAGAAAAAUAUGCACAAAUUAAUAUAUUUAAUAGAAGCACAAAUUAAUAUUUACAAAAAUAUGCACAAAUCAAGUAAAAUUAAUAAAGCAUAAAUUGGAAAGGGAAAAUAUGUAGAGGAUGCAUUGUAGGAUUGCUCAUGCCAAUAAUUGUACCCUCUAAAUAUAUAGGGACAUAAUUUUUUUUGUUUUCAUGACAUGUGGUCCUCAAAUUAUUGUUCUUAGCGGACUCUCCACCCCUCUCGAUUGAAAGCCUAUUGUGUAAAUCUUCAAUCCUGAAUGAUCCACCUAAAACUCAUGUUGCAAUACACAUCCACCCAUUCUCAGGCCAAUUAUUACUCCUAGUGGGCUCUCCACCCCCUCUCAAAUUUAAGUGGUCCAUUAUUAUUAACCAUAUAUUUUAUGGACCAGCUAGCUGUGAGGUUUUAUCUCAAAAACCUUUCUCUCACAUGCCACAAUUUAUGUCUGAUACAUCACAUCAUGCCAGUUGUCUCAAAUGAAUUUAAGUGAGUGAGGCAGUGUUACUUCUGGGUACCCCUCAUCGUUCGUGUAUAAAAUGGUGAAGCCAGUUGCUACUGUUACCAUAAGAGCCAGCUCCGACUUUCAAAAUAAAAAUUCCAACAAUGAUCUUAGUGCCUUCAAACGCAUGAGUUACUGAACAUGCAAAUAAAUACACUAUGAAUAAUAAAAGUGUUUGAUAAAUCACCAAAUUAUGGAACACUUGAUGAUUUAUCUCAAAUAAAAAUUCCAAGGCUUAUUUUAUAGAAUUUUUCUUUAUUACAAGAAAGAAAACAUGUUGAAAACCAAAUCUCCAAUUUCCAAGGCUUGACAGAAAAUCAAAAAAAUAUCUUUCCUAUUCUAGAGAUUGGUCACAUGUAGUUCAGAAAAUCAAAAAAAUAUCUUUCCUAUUCUAGAGAUUGGUCACAUGUAGUUCAACCAAUAGGAAAUGAGAUAUUUAAGAAAGCAAGAUUUUGAUCAAUAUCAAUAUCAAAUGAAUUCUUAUACGCCUAGUCAACUAUUAAGGGUAUCUUGACUCUUUGAUAUUGUGAUAUGAUUGAAACAUGAUUUCCAUGUUAGAAAAUUAAGGGGAUGUUAAAACAUGAAAGUAAUAGGAGAAUCAAAUUGAUUUGGACUAAAAUUGCCUAAAAAGAAAACACUCCUAAAUAAACUUCAAUUCACUUUUAAAAAUCGUAAAACAUGAUUGAAUCGUUUUUUUAAAACAAUUCCCUAAUAUACAUGCAUGAUAAUGACAUCACUUACCCCUAAAUCAAAUUGUCACGCCCCGGACCUGGGGGUCAGUGGAAAUCCCGCGCCCGGUGCGUGAGAAAAUAAAAAGUAAAAUAAAAUAAAAAGAAAGCCGAAACAAGGGUUUAAAAUAAACUUCUCUUAUAAAAAUAACUCUAAAAUCUUAUAACUUUACAAGAAAUAAAUAAAGCUCUAUCAUUCUUAUCUAAUUCAGACUCAACUGGUUUAGUCCUUGUCUUGCCCACUAAUUCAUCUGAAAAAUUAAGAGUGUUGCUAAACGAACCCUAAAAUUAAUUGAGUACACCAUACUACCAAACAAUUUAUUGAAUUUGUCAAGGUUUUGUUUCUGGGAACUCACGAGCAACUUUCCAGUGGGUUACCCAUCCUAGGAUUGCUCUAGCCCACAACUCGCUUAACUUCGGAGUUCCUACGACUCCGAAGCCAGUGAGCUCCCAAAAGGCCUCGUGCUAGAUGGAUGCGGGUGUGCACAUAUAAGGCACAUCACCACCUCUCCGUUGAUUGAUGUGGGAUCUUACAAAAUUACUAAUUUAUUCUAAUAUAAAAUGAUCAAAAAAGAUAAAAUAAUAUUGGUAUCUAUUGCUUUGAAUCCAUGCCUUCAAACAAAUUGACUUAAUUUUUAACAAACAACACGGAGUCCAGGAGAAGUGUAUUGAUCCAAGUUGAUUUUUGUAUGCAUAAAACUUAAACAAUCAAUAACACAAAGCAGUUCAUGCUGAAAUAUUGGAAACCCACACCCAAAGAGUUCUCCGCUGCGAGGUUGAAGGCAGGAGAGAUGGGUGACAGAUUUUACUUCCACUGCGAAGUUGGAGGCUAGGAGAGUCUGUGACUGCCAUGGUUGAGGGAGAAGAUGCGUUCAAAAUGCCUAUUGAUAUUUUACAUUAUUUUCUAUACAAGUUAACAGUGUUUGUGUAUUGUUAAAGGUGGAGAGACGUGUCAAAAUUUUAGACAAAGGACAGGAGGAGAUAGGGAAUUUGGGGACAGCAGAUCUCAACUCCCUUGAGACCCUAUUCUCUACGCCACCCCUCCCCCUCAACAACCCUAGUCACCAUUUCUCCUUCAACUCCAACGGCAACUCAUUAAAACCCAAUUCUCAAAUGCAACAAUCUAAUCCCAAUCCCAAUUCAGAUGUUUCUAAAAAACCAAUGGUUGUCGUGGUGGAGAACUGCAAUUCCAGGUGGUGGUGGUACCACAUGGGAGAGAGAAAAAAGAAGAAGAAGAAGCAGCAGAGAGAGAGUUUUUUAUUAUAUUAUUAUUUUACUGUAAUUUUUUAAUUUAAAAAAUUAAAAAAAUUAAAAAUUAAAGAGGAUGUACCAUGGGUAUUUUUGGUAGUUAAAUAGGGUGUACUUAGUUAAUUUUCAAUUUAAUUUAAACAUUAGAGUGUACUCAGUUAAUUUUAGGGUUCAUUUAGCAGCACUCAAAAUUAAACAAGGUAAGGGAUGAGCAAGUAGGGACAUGAGACCUUGCCACAGUAGAUUGAUAUAACUAAAUAUUAUCAUAAACAUCGAAAUAUAUAAAUAUUAUUAUGAUAGGAUUCAUAAUAAUUAAUAUAAAAGUAUAACAACAAGAUUUACAUUUAUGUACCAAGAUAAUUACACAUAUAAAUAUAACCAAUAUAUAUUUUUAUAUAUUUUAAAAUACAAGUCUUUACGUAAAUGCCCUUCACGGGUCAAGCCACAAGUCUGUGUUUUGGGGAUUGCUUAGCUGCAUCAAUCCUGCCAAUGUCAAUUUUGCCCCUGGGCUCUCUCAAAGUACGUUUAAAACCUAUGCUAACAUAUACUAGAGUUUAUGCUGUAUCUAGAAAAUGCCAACACUAAUUUCGUAACACGUAGAAAUUGUUAGAGAUUGGAAGUUUUUAUCAUUUUUUCUUCCAGUCUCUCCACCACUUAUUAAUACAGAUUACUCAUGUGAUGAGUUUACAAAACCUAUUUCUCUACUCUAGCAAAGACUAUACUUCUUCUCAAAAGACUAGAUCACUUUACCUCUAUCUCUGUGAAAUGUAAAAAGUUGAAACUUUAAUGUCAAACCUCGACAAAGUGUUCUACUUUACAAACUUCUUGUGUCUACCAAUUUCUACUAAAAUUAAUUUCUCUACGGUGCUCAGAUUCAUCAUAUGUGUGUCCUUAAUUUUAGUGGAAAUUGGAAGUUUCCAUAAUUUUUGCUUUAAGUCACUCUUCUGAAGGAAGUUGAGGUUCCACUCCAUAAUCCAAAAUGUCAGGUUGACUUAUGGCAAACAAUGUAAAUAUGUAGGAGUACUAUGACCUUUUAUAGCAUUUUUAGUUUGAAUUUGGGUUUUAUACAUAGAUUUCGAAAUUAAUAGGUUGAUGCCUAGGAAAUAGAAAUUGUAAGGGCCUAUAUUAGACUAGCCCUCUUAAAAAAUAUAUUAAUUAAUGAAUAUUUGUUCUUCUUGUUGUUUUGAAGUAGUGGUGGGAGGCAUACCAACAAAAAAAAAAAUAUAGUGAAGGCUUAUAAGAGCAUUUACAAUCAUGCUCCCUAUUUUUUAGUUAAAAUUUAGCUAAAAAUAGAAAAAAGUUAUUAUAGGAGCUCUUUAUAAAAUUUGAACUCCAAUCAUACUCCCUAGUUUAGGGAGUCAAAAAUACUAUAGUUAUUUUUUAAUUCAAUUUGAUUUUGGUUAAUCUCUAUAAAUAAAUAAAAAUAUGAAAAAAUAGUUAACAUUAAUUAAAAGUUUAAACUAUGCAUAAAACAAAGAAACAUUAAAUUAUAGGGAGCCACUAUGAGUCGUUACUCUCUCCUCAGAUUUAGGAGCUCCUAGAGGUCUCCCUAUUUUAUGAGGUGGAUAAGGAGCAUGGUUGGAGUUGUAUUUCUUCAAUUUCCUCCCUAAAAUUUGUCUAAGGAUGUGGUUUAGGGAACCCAUUGUGAAUGCUCUAACUCUGGUAAAACACGAGUGACAUGGACAACAUAUGUUACGUCGUACAGAAGAUUUUUGGGUUUCUUUAAUUGGUUAAGUAGCAUCCACAAUGAGCUUCCUAAAUCAUCUCCUUAGACAAAUUUUAGGGAGGAAUUGGAAAAGUACAAUUCCAACUAUGCUCCCUAUCCACCAACUAAAAUAGGGAGACCUCUAAGAGCUCCUAAAUCUGAUGAGAGGGAAAGGACUCUUAAUGACUCCUUAUAAUUUAAUGUUGCUUUACUUUAUGCAUAUUUUGAACUUUUAAUUAAAUCAAAUUAUUAUUUUUAUAUUAUUUUGUAUACAGACGGGUUAAUUAUAUUAAAUUAAAAAAUAAUUAAAAUAUUAAUGACUCUCUAAACUAGGAAGCAUAAUUGUAGAUCAUCUUAUAUACCUUAAUUUGAAGAUUCUUUAUUUGGGUUUCUUUCAAGACUUAUCACCUUAGCCACACCACCUACACGUCUGCAAGCUUCCGUAAUCUAACAAGGAAGGGGAGGCUGCGCAAUACUUAUCACCUUAGCCACACCACCUACACCACAAGACCAAUAUGUGUAGUCCAGCAGGCUUUCCAAUUUUAAUAUAUAUUAUAAAAUAAAAUAAAAAUCAAUCUAUUAUCAUAUAUAUUAUAAAAUAAAGAUUAUUGCUCCAUCCUCCAUGCACUUGCAUGCCCUCUUACAAAGUGUGAAGUAGAUUUUGUGUGCUCCAAGUCAUUGACGAGAGCUGUAACAUGGUUAGCUGGAUUUAUAAGAUCUUUUCUUUUCUGGGAAUUUUCUGAAUUAAGAAAAAUCAAGUAAAAUUAAUAAAGCAUAAAUUAGAAAGGGAAAAUAUCUAGAGGAUGCAUUGUAGGAUUGCACAUGCCAAUAAUUGUAUCCUCUAAAUAUAUAGCGACACAUUUUUUUUGUUUUCAUGACUUGUGGUCCUAAAAUUAUUGUUCCUAGCGGGCUUUUCACCCUCUCUCGAUUGAAAAUCAAUUGUGUAAAUCUUCAAUCUUGAAUGAUGCACCUAAAACUCAAGUGUCCCAGGCCAAUUAUUGCUCUCAUACCACUUGUUGUAAUAAACAUUCACCCAUUCUAAAGGAAAGAUAACCAUCGAUAUUAUCUGAAAUUUAACCACUUAAGUUCAUUAUGAUUAACUAUGUAUCUUAUGGACCAAUCCAAUCGUAAGGUUUUAUACUCAAUUAGAUCGACCAAUACAAAGUUCACACUGGAUUAAAAAGGGCUAUCGGUAGGGGAGUGUUCGGCACCCUUUACUGUGGAGCGCAACACAAGACCCCUUGCAUGCCCUCACUAAGUUGAGCCCAACUAUUUUUGAGCAUUAACAAUAUAUAUAGAUUGAAAAAAUAAAAUAAAAAUCAAUCUAUUAUCAUAUAUAUUAUAAAAUACAUAUUAUUGCUCCAUCCUCCAUACACUUGCAUGCCCUCUUACAAAGUGUGAAGUAGAUUUUUUGUGCUCCAACUCAUUGACUAGGGCUGAAACAUGGUUAGUUGGAUUUAUAAGAUCUUUUGUUUUUUGGGAAUUUUCUGAAGCACGGAAAAUCAAAUAAAAUUAAUAAAGCAGAAACUGUACCCUUUAAUUAUAUAUGGACAUAUGUUUUUUUGUUUUCAAGUCUUAGAUGACAUGGGGACCCCUCUCAAAUUUAAGUGGUCCAUUAUUGUUAACCACAUAUUUUAUGGACCAUCCAGCUUCGGUACAUUUCUCCCACAUGCCACAAUUGUAUAUUCACAAUUACGUCUGAUACAUCACAUCAUGCCACUUGCCUCACAUGCCACAAUUGUAUAUUCACAAUUACUUCUGGGUACCCCUCAUCAGUCGUCUAUAAAAUGGUGAAGCCAGUUGCUACUGUUACCAUAAGAGCCAGCUCCGACUUUCUUUAAUUUCUUGCUACAUCUGUUGCUAAGUUAAUUUCAGUCCUAAUGGGGUUUCAUCUCCCACUCAUCUUUGCUAUUCUCAGUGUAAGCUCUGCAAUUUGAUUAACUUUUCCAUUCUCUCUCAUUGUACUCUAUAUAUAUAAAUGAAAGUUUUGUGUUCCUAUAAUUCUCUCCGAUUUUAUUUAGUACGUACUUAAGUGUCGUCCACUAAUUAAUUACACUUUGUGAGAUUUGAUUUUAAUUAGAGUUCGAAUUAAUGUUGCAGCUAGCAGCGGUUGCACUGGCAAACAAUGCUGCUCAACCAGCACCUCAACUUUACUGGAACUCCGUCCUGCCAAACACACAGAUGCCAAGAUCUAUCAGUGAACUUCUGCAUCCUGGUUUGUGUUCAGCUCUUUAUAAUCUUAGAUAUCUCUUCUACCUGCCAUUUUACUAAACUAUGUUCGACCACAUAUUUAUCAGUUAACUACUGUCAUUACAAGAAUGACACUUAUUUUCCAAUAUAAUUUGCAGACUCCACAAAUGAAGAAAAGAGCAAACCUGAAAUUUUCCCAUUGCAGGGCAAUAGAGUUUACACUCAAAGCCAUUAUAAAAAACGUCCUCCUCCUCCAUCUGACGAGGGCAAACCUGAAAAUUUCCCAUUGCAGGGCAAUAGAGUUUACACUCAAAGCCAUUAUAAAAAACGUCCUCCUCCUCCAUCUGACGAGGGCAAACCUGAAAAUUUCCCAUUGGCCAAUAGCUUUUACACUCAAACCCAUUAUAAAAAACGUCCUCCUCCUCCAUCUGACGAGGGCAAACCUGAAAAUUUCCCAUUGGCCAAUAGCUUUUACACUCAAAGCCAUUAUAAAAAACGUCCUCCUCCUCCAUCUGACGAGGGCAAACCUGAAAAUUUCCCAUUGGGCAAUAGCCAUUACACUCAAAGCCAUUAUAAAAAACGUCCUCCUCCUCCAUCUGACGAGGGCAAACCUGAAAAUAUCCCAUUGGCACGUUCAGGUUACCAACGAAAAAAUUAUGGAGCAAGUCCUCCUCCAUCUGACAGUCAACUAAAGCAUUAUAAAGACUUAGCUAUUUUCUUCUUCGAGAAGGACAUGCGCCCGGGCACAACUAUGAAGUUCCAAUUCCCUAGAAAUUCAAACACGGCUACUUUCCUGC
rnacentral:lncRNA from 1 species